rnacentral:lncRNA from 1 species
AGUCGAGGAGGCGCGGGCGGCCGGCGUGGGACGGUCACCUGGAGCGCAGCGGCCAGGUAAAAGACGGUGCUCGCCACCGGGGCGCUGGGCGAAGCGGGUGGAGGUAGCGGCUGACCUGGUUUCUUGCCUGAUCGCGUUGCCAAGGGAGGAAAAAGUUUUCGGCCCGGGUAGGAAAUGUCUUUGCUUUGGGGAAUGCAAACAGGGUAUUGGGGACGCUGGAGAGAGCUGGUCUGUCGAUUUGGGGAGUAGGGGAGUGGGUGAUGGAAACUUGAACCUAGAGAGAGCGCGAUAUUGUGCGGAGUUGGAGCCUGGGACCCAGGGUGGGAAUGCUGGGGUCACCGCAAGUGCCGGGAAAUGACGGGAGUAACAGGAGCGGUGGCCGGGAGAGAGCGGGGGCGCACCACUGGGCUCUCCUCGCCUUGCAUCCUCUCUCCCCCGAAUGCCGGAUUUGAGGCACCAAGAGUCCGGACAAGAGGAGCUACUCGGCUUGGUGUGUGCUCGUGCGCGCGCGCCUGUGUGAUGUGCGUGUGUGGCUUCCCUCAGAUGAUUUCCUACCGCUUUUAGGAAAGCUAAAGCAGACACCCGCCAACCUCGAAAUAGGGUGGCUUGUUCGGAUUGCAUUUCAGGGGGCGAAGAGGCAAAUUUGGCACUUAGUGUAACACCUGGGCGAAGGUGGGUAGCCCCGGUGCGCAUCUUUACUGACCCAGAGAGAGUCUACACUCGCGGAGCCGUGGCCGUUAGACCGCACCGGAUCUCCUCUCUGGAACCCUCCCCCAGAACAGCCUCCUUACAGCUGGGUUAAUUUCUGCGUGUUUUUAAACCGUGGUGGUGUGGGGGGCGGGGUGGGGGCACAGUUGACUCGUGCAGCAAAAUGCACUUGUCUUUUUCGCGCUGUGCGUGUUGGAAUUGUGAUCCUGUUCGGCGUGCGUGUGCAUGUGUGCGACUCUCCUAGCACGCAGGUUGGAAGUGGGAGAGGAAGCAGGGGUUUGGGAAUUGCACCCAUAUGGACAGAUUACAAGAAUGCAAACAUUCAUGUGUCUGCAAGUGUUAUUUGAACCUGUCCGAUGGCUGUAAGGAUAUGCUGUCCUCAGGCUGGCUGUGUUGCGAUGUUGAACGGGAUGGCUCUUCUUAGGAGGUAAAUGUAUGUAUACAAGCGUUUGUGUUGUUAAAGACACUGGUUAUUUCACUGUAUGUUUUGCACAGACCUUUUCAUGCCUCUCUUGGCCUCUGAGUCCCAACAAAACAGAUAGCCUGAUCCCCCAUUUUGGGUCUUUCUGUGUUACUAUUUGAAAAAUAAUUUUUUUUUCCAAAAAAAAAAAUGUAUUUGUUGAUUUUGCGGUCCCAAAUAAUUUUAUAUUGUGAGAUCAUUAAAUUGCAUGAAACAUUCAGCACUAUUUCCUGUGUUUAAAACAAUGCCCCUGUAUUUACUUAAGAAAGAGACCCUGCCUAAGAAUAUACACUUAAGAAAGGGGAGAGGUGAACCUAGGACAAAUACCAGCAUAUAGACAAGAUUGUGGUAGUCACGUAUUAAUUAAAAAAAAAAAAAAACUGAGGUCUUUCUGUUCCAAACGUGGUGGGAUAGAUAUGGCGUUGGGUGCACCCUCUUGUUAUGGGAGCUGGUAUUGCGAACAGUAUAUAGAACAUGCCUGCCUUUUCUGUGUGCAUUCAACAUGCCACAGAAUUGUGGUUUAGAUCAUACGCUCCUAUCCCUGAAUAGCCUAUUUGAGAUUUUGUUUACAUAGCUUGUCUCAAUUAGCUUAAUGUAUAAUUAGCUAUUGUUGCAUUAGAAAGCAUGUUAUUUUUAAAUGGGUUUCCAUAUGGAAAUAUACCUUUAGCUUAAAUUGCUGACUUAAAAUUAAUUACAUUGCAGGUCUGAUUUAGACUGUUUCUAUAGGCUGGGGGGGGGGUUGCUAAUAACAUUGACUUCCAAAAUGAAAAUAGUACUACUGAAAUGCCAUUUUUUAAAAAUAAUAGCAAAUAUUUAUGCAAAUAGACUUAAUAUUUUAAAAAGGAAAGAGAAAAAGAUUUUGAAAAGAAUCUUUGACAAUGUAUAUAUCUACUGCAUGGGAAAUUAUUGUAAGAGGAAAGUGUAAUUCGGGAAAAGGGAAAACGUGUGUGGAAUUGGUCAACAUAUAGAGAAAGAUUGAUUGUGUUAUAAGAGUAGUUUUGCAUUAAACCUACAUUUAAACUUAUUUAGGAAACUUCCUAUUAAAGUUUAGUGAAAUGUAUGAAUUGUACAUUUUUCUUUUUGGGAAAAAAGGGAAAUAUCACAUCAAGAGUAUUACCAAUUUCUGAAGAUUAUUUAGGCAUACUGGGUUUUUUAAGGAUGCACCCGUUUUCUUCUCCUUAUAAAGACAAAUGAUUUACUUCCUUGCAGAAAGAGUGUGUUGUUUAAGCUACAGUGUGUAAAAGCGUGAACUUCUUUUAAUGGUGUUUUAGCUUUAAUUGAGAGCAACCUGUUGAAAAUGAGCCUGGCGGUGGGGGUGGGGGGGAUAUAUGAAAUUCACAAUAAUAUAAAAUUUCUUGCAUCCCCACCAGUCCACUGAAUAGAAGGAAAUUUCCGUGAUAUAAUUAAAAGCAACAUUCCCUUGUGUAUUUGCAAAUUCUAAAGUAAUAAUUUUGUUCAUAUUUGUACCUAAAAUUUCCUCUAGCAUUUCCUGAGCCCACGUACUGUUCUUGCCUAAUAGAGUUGUUAGCAUUGGAAGAAUUACUUGCCUACUCCUAAAUGGCCUGGACAUUGUCAGUGUAACUAUUAAGGAACUGGGUCUUUGCAAUGCAGGGAAGUUUAUAUUGAGAACAGCUGUGGUCUAGUGGCACUUCAGACAUGAGAUGAAUGAAUGGUGAAUCAUAUGAAGACGGACUCUCUGGUGGGUAUGCUGAGAGAUGCACCUGUCAUUCACUUAGGGAACCUGCUUUUAUGUCAUAAUAUAUUAUGACCCAUAGCAUUAUCCUCACAUUGUGGUUCUGAAGCAUCAGUGAGUAACUGGAAAUGUUUUACUUUAUGCAAUAUGUUUGUGAAUUGAAAAAUACAUUUUUCGUACAGGAGAAUAUCAAAAAGACCUGUAUGGCUCCAAUAAAAAAAAUUAAGCAAAUGCCUCCACCACGGUUAUUUAAAAAAAAAAUCAGCAUAAUAAAAUGUGCCUUAUGCUUAAUUUUUGAUGGCAGUGCUUCCCUAGAUGGCCAUGAAAUGGUCCACUGGAUUUUUUUUUUAACCUAUCAAUCUCAUUUAGUCCAGUGGAAUCCCUGUCCUAGUUGCCAGUAUGAACAGAACUGGGGGAUAGAAUUGUAGCCUCGGUGGAAAGUUUUGAUUUUAGGGGAGAACGGUGAACAGAUCACCUAAUGAAUUUGACAAGAGGCAAAACCUGUCAAAUUGGAAGUUAAUUUCUCAUGUCUGACAAGACUCCAUCUUUAACAUUAAGGAAGGGGUUCUUGUUCAGAUCAAAUUAAAGACUCUGAAUCCUAAAUCAGUAGUUAUGGCCCUUGUCUCUCCACCAGCAUGCCACAGAAGGGCUGUGCAGGUGCAAAAGGCAUCCCCUUUUGGUUGUAAUCCCACAUCCCAUGUGCUCCAUUAGAUUUCUCCGUUCCCUAAAAAGUGCAUAUCCUGGGCGACUUAGACCUGCAUUAGCACUGUCAUCAAAUAAGGAAAUGAAGACAGUUUUGUUGCAGUGAAGCUAUUGGAAAUACUGAAUCACAAUGGGCCGUACAGUGGAAAUGGGGUGCCCUCCCCCAGCAUUUCUUUCCCCAUGUGCAAGUGGAGGGGAUAGCAGUCUUCCUGUCUACGUUGCAGAAUGCUUUUGGCCAUCCAUAGCCAUGACUUUGGUGGAAGUGCUUUUCGAACAAUCUCUAAAGCACUAUUAAAUGCGGCGCACGAUUUGGACCCUUAAUAUUAUUUGAUGUGGAGCCCGGAGAGCCAGAGUACAGGUUCCCCUCUGGCUAAGUAGCUGGCUGCACUUGCGUUCCCUUCUGUCCGGAAGUUCAGGCGGCUUGUAGACUCCUUGGCCUCUGGCAGGCUGUCCCCUUCCGGCUGGCACUUCUGCUCUCCCACCUGUUGAAACGUCCUGCUCAUGCACUCCUGAAGGCUAAGUCCUCCGGCUGGCAUGCACCUUCUUUGACUUCUCUCUGCUGAGGCUGUAGCUCCCCACAUUGACAGAGCCCCGGGAUCCACCGGUGGUGAUGGCAGGCCAACAGAAGGAAUAUUUGAGCUCCUGCCAUCUUCUUCUCACCAACUGUGCCAGUUCAUCCUGAAGCCAGCUAGAAUGUGAACACUUUGAGGAGAAACAACGAUGGGGGGGAAAUGGGGGAAUACGAUUAGACAAACAGUAGCUGGCUGACGCAUGUGGGCUUUGAGCUCUUGCCUUCCCCGGCCCUGCAUCGUGUGACACUGGGAGACUGGGCUUCUGGACUCUUCAACCAGUGCACUGCAGAGAAGGGAGUGUGAGGCUCACUGGCCCUAACCCUAGUGAGCGCUAGUGUUUCCCAUGCCAAGCUAGCCUCAGUUUCUCUUACUCUUGUCAUAUUUUCCAAGGCUAGGCUUUUCUCAUGUUUGCAGUUUCAGUCCUACAGGCUUGCCUGGAAGGGCUUUAGCUGUGACCUUGGCAGUUAGCCUCACCCUUGCCAAGAACUUUUCUCCAGGAGCAAGACUGCAUUCUUUCUCUUCUUAGUCUCUGAUGCAACCCUAAAGCGGACAAACCCCUAGGCCUAAGGCACAGUCACCCUCCUGACAGUGUAUCCUUUCUGCCUGAAGAGUGGUGCUGCCAAGUUCCAACCUGACAAAUAAAUUCUCCUUGUGUGUCAUUGUUGGCAGGAUCAAAUCUCAGUUCUCCACACUCCUCCUGGCCACUGUAAUUUGAGUUGCUGACUAUCCACUACAGAAUUAAUUCUUCAUUAGGUCAUUUGUUCUGGCCUAGCCCUAGCUUAUUUCCUGUCCCCAGUGUUCCCUUGAAAUCUGGCACACCAGCUGAGCCCUGACAUAUUCUACCUUCAGUCACCUCUACUGCAGGAAGUAGAGCUAGUAUAGACAUCCUGGGUCAGGCAGGAUAUCCUCCCACUACUGCUGUGCAGAUAAAAUUCAGGUAAGAUCAAGCCAAAGUAAAAUACCGCCAGCAGGCUGUAAAGGACCAUGCGUUUAUGGUUGUGAGGUGUUCUUCUGCUAAGGCCUUUUAAUUUAUCACAGGUAGCUAUGGCCAUGGAAUUAGAUUCACACCAAAAUAUCCUGCCAGUAAGCUUUAGGGAAAGGGACCUAUGGACAGCCUUUGUCCAUUUUUUUUUUUCAACUUCUCACUUUAGAGUAGUGAUAUUUGCUCUGGACUUGCCCACGGAACCAAGUCUGGAGAGAGACCCCGUUACUACUCAACUAAGAACCACUUCUUGCCAAUGGCCAUUUGGAGUUUCAUCUUGCCGGCUCUUAACCUCCCGUGGGGCCCAAUCCAGUUGUAUUUUGCAGAAUCCAAGAAUCCACAUAAAUUUCAAAUAUUACUGGGUUCUAUGUGUCUGUGUAUCUAUUUAUGUAUAUGUGUAUUCAUUGAGAAGUGUUGAACACAGUGAUUCUUUUGUUAUUUUCAAUUUUUUCAGUUCAACGUAGUCUAAAAGCACAACUUCUCUCAUGUGCAAAUCCCUCAAAUUAUCUGCACUGAAAAGAAGUUCUCAUACAUGAAAUGGAUGCAGAGAUCCUCCUGUCUAGUUUGCCGGUGACUCCUCACGUGAUAAUGACAUGUGCCAUGUGCAUUACCUUGUCAGAAGGGAGACAUUUGGGAAAACUGGAAUGUCCACAGUAUCCCUUCAUAUGAAGUCCUCCUUUCUUCCCUCCUCACCCCCAAAUCCUCAGCCAACCUCUCUCAACUUUCCUUGAAUGCAGCUAUCAUUCUGUUUUCCUUGUGAUAAAUUAUUUUAAACCCUUUAGUUCAUGUAAUAGUAAGAAAACUUGUCUAAGCAACUAUAAGCCUCAUGUCCUUCCUCCAAAUUCUGGUUGUACCCUCUAUCUUGAAUAGUAAAUGUGGCAUUCGAGGAUAACCCAGGUAGUAUUUAUGAAGUUAAUUUCAUGAGAGUAUAAAUAAAUUUUAAUUUACUUGCUUGAGUAGAAUGAGUCUAUCCAUCUGCCUUUCUCCUUCCCUGUUGCUUUGUGUCUGUCUGUCUGUCUAUCUAUCUAUCUAUCUAUCAGUCAUCUGUCUAUUAUCUCUGUGUGUGUCUGUGUAUCCAUCUCUGUGUUCCGCUUACACGUGUGGGUGUACAUCUCUGUGGUAAUUCUCCCUGAUAGUGUUCAGUGUUAUCUAAUGUGCCGGGUACCACAGACAUCCUUCUUUGGAUUCACAAGAGGGUGAGUCCAGGGCUGUGCCUUCCAAGAGUUUAUGAUCUGCAUGUGUUGAGAGCAGCUCCAGAAAUCUAAGAGUUGGAAGGUGAUGUCAGGUGUCGUAUUGAUUUACUAUGGCUUAAAACAAAAUAAAUGUUUCCUCUCAAUUCUGGAGAGCAGAAGUCUGAAAUCAAAGUGUGGGCAGGUGCACAGUCCUUCCAAAGCCUCCAGGGGAGAAUCCUUCCUUGUCACCCACAGCCUCUGAUGGCUGUCUACAUUCCUUGACUUCUGACUGCCUCUAGUCUCUGCCUCUGUGGUCACAUCGGCACCUCUUUUUCUGUGUUCCUCCUCCUCUGUGUUCCUGCCUUACAGGGAUACAUGUGAUUGCAUUUAGGGCCCACCCAGAAAAUCCAGGAUAAGCUCCUCCUUCUGAAAGCCUUAAUGUUAUCAUACCUUUUACCACAUAAAGUAGUAUUUACAGGUUUCGGAAAUUAGGAUGUGGAUGUAUAUUUUGAGAGGACACCAUUCAACCAGCUACAGAUGUCAGUGAUGAGCCACAUUCUACCUUGUGAUUCCCUGUUGAAUUGUGUGAUCUGUGAGCUCUGAGAAAUGAAUGUGUACAAGGUGGCCUUUUCCAUUUUCAGAGAGCCCUGAGCAGAUUCUCCUUACGUUGAGCCAAAAAUCUAAUUCUUACUGUUUGCCCUCCUAAUAAUUCUGAGAAUUAUGAUGAGAAUACUUCUGAUCUUUUUUCCAUAAGCAAAUCUUUAAAGUUCAACAGUUUAAAGUUCAUUCAACCUGGUCUCUUAUGCCCCUUCAGAAUUUUCAUUUUCGUUCUUAAUCUUUUCAUUCGUGCUCAGUGCCACCUCCCUCCACCCCCAAUUUCACUACCCUCCGACCCUAACCUUUUGCUCUCUAGCUUCCCUCCUCACCAGGAGUAAAACCACUACCAAAAGUCACCCCUGACCUCUUAGUCAUAAAACAAGUAGCCCUUCCCCAGGUGUCCCCUUUAGUCUCUUAGCAACACCUGUACCUCUCUUUAUUUUCAAAGCAUCGUAUUUCCCUCGCUCUCUCUCUCUUGUGGUUCCUCUGCCUUCUCCCGGCUUCCCUACCCCAUCUCCUGAGCGGAGUGAGACUCUCCAAGAAUUUCUCUUCUGUUGACCCCCAUGCCUUCCUCGCCCCCUCCUCCCUUGGUAACUGCACUUGUUUUCACGGCUUCCAAUGCCUCCAGUGUGGAGCACACCCAUUCAUGGUCUCCACGCCCAGCUUGGCUUCUGGAAGGAGUGUUUCCAUGAGUUUGCCGGGCAGCACAGCCUUCAUCUGUUUCCUCCUCAUCCUGCUCCUCUUCGGUUUCCUAUUUCUAUAAAUAGCAUGGCCAUCGUACAACUCAAAAUGUCUGAGUAAUCUUGAUUUAUUCCCUUCCAUUGCCUCCCACAUUUAGUCAGAUGCCAAAUUGUAAUAAUUCAACCAAGUAAUAGCUCAAACCUCUUGGCUUCUUUUCUUCCCUAUCACCAGCACCUUGAUUUAUUGCUUUUCCAACUUUAUUGUGCAUUCAGAUCACAUAGAGAUCUUGGUAGAAGGCAGACUCUGAUUCGGGAGGUCUGGGCUGGGGCCUGAGAAUCUGCAGUUCUAACUAGCCCAGGUGAUGCGAAUGCUGAUUCGAGUCACCUCGUUCAUCCAGUCUCUGGGCCUCCCAGAUGACUGUGCCCUCUUCUUCUCAUCCAUUUUAUACAGAUCACUUUUAUUGAAGACCCAAUCUGAUCGUUGUUUUCUCCUAUCCUCACAAAACUUCUUUGACAUCCCCUUCUAUUAUUAUUGAAUGACAAUUAAAUGUAUUCUAUCAGCAUUCAACUAGCAUUCCACUUGUUCCAUAGCUUGGAUUUACAUUUUAAAUUCAAUCCCAAGUCUCAAGGUCGCCUCUCACGGUACCCUUGGCACUUGCUGUUGUGUAUACGCUCUGCCAUUUCCCUGACUUUCAUGUGUUCUCAGUGCUGCACAAAAUGCCCUUUCUUCCACAUCCUCAUGGGCUCGGAUUUUAGCAGUUUGUCAAGGAUUGCUUGAACUGACAUUUCUUACCAUGAAUUCAUCUUCUAGUACUUUAUCAGACAUUCAGUGUCAUCACCGGUCACAUUUACUCGUGCGUGCGUGUGUGUGUGUGUGUGUGUGUGUAAAUUAUUUCAAAUACUGGAGUGUGAAGUCCUUUGAGGACACCGUGUCUCAUUUGUCCUUUAUUGCCCUAAAGUACCCUGCGUGGAGUCUUCCUCCAAAUGCUCAGUAUACUCAUCAACCUAUAAACUGUAUAAAUAUACUGUAUUUGUUGCUUUCUCAUUAUGUAAUUAAUAGGGAUUACACUAAAAAUCAAGCAUUACAACAAUGUAUAUGACGUCAAAAGUAAAACCAAAAAGUUCACCGUGACCUAAUAUCCCCUAAAAAACCAUGGUUAACAAUUUGAUGCAAAAUCCUUUAAUGCUUUUUUUAAAGCAAGCUCUGCACCCAACGUGGGGCUUGAACUCAUGACCCCCGAGAUCAAGAGUCAUGUGCUCUACUGAUUGAGCCAGCCAGGCGCCCCAAUCCCUUGAUAUUUUUCUAUAUACAUCGUCACGUUUAUUUUAUACAAAACUGAGAUAAUAAUAGAUUUUUGUGACCUGACUUUAAAUGUAAAUCUACCUCUCCCUGUUUUUUUUAAAAUCUGCAAUGUAUUCCAAAAGAUCUACUGAUUUCGCUGCAUAAAAAUCAAUCCACUUAAGAUGGCCCAGUGGUAUAGAAAUAUGUUUGCUUUGAAAUCCUGAUCAGUUAAGCAUGUCUUUAUUCAGCACUUUCUCUGCCCCCAGGAUUAGACACUUAGGAUUUACGAGAGUAAGACAUAAUACUGCCCCAGAGGGCACAAGCUGUUCACGUCCCUUCAGGCUGAUGUUGGACCGUAGACUGGUGGUGAUGUAGUGACCACUCAUGUUUGAUGCCCUGUACUUUCAGAUAGUUGAAUUUCAUAUUGAAAUUUAAACUGUCACAUGCUUUAUAUUUUAAUAGUUUUUUUUAAGUUUAUAUUUUAGUUUUUGAGAGACAGAGGGAACUGGCGUGCAGGUAGGGGAGGGGUAGAGAGAGACGGAGACAGAGGAUCUGAAGCGGGCUCCUGGCUGACAGCAGAGAGCGUGAUAUGACGCUGGGCUAGAUCUUACCAACCAUGAGAUCAUGACCUGAACUGAAGUCAAACGCUUAGCUGACUGAGCCACCCAGGCGCCCCUAAUCUUUCACAUACUUUAGAUCUGUGGAAAGCGGAUGAUUCGUGUUGAAAUCUGAAUGUGGACAUAUUUAUUGAAGACACACAUAUAAUGUAUAUUAGUUUUUGUUUCAUGAGUGAAUGUAAUUUUGGAGUAAAAAAGCCCAGAAAAUCUUUUUUCUCCCAGAAAAUCUUUAACAAAGAUUUAAUAAAAUCAUGUUGUAUAUUUAACAAAAGUGCAAUUUAGAAAGGAAAGGCAAAAAAAAAAAAAAACCCACAAAGUCAUACGAGCUAUGUUUUAGAAUGCCAAUAAAUGAAUGCACAAUGUAAGACAUUGAUUGAAAAGAAAAUUCCUGUAGAAGUCUAAAUCAAAAUUCCUCUAAGGAUUUUGGAGAGACAGCUCUUAAUAACGACGAAUGUUUGUUACUGUGACCGUUAUUUGUCAAUUUUUGAAAAAUCAGUUUUGCGGUAGAAUUCUGGAAGUUCAUUUUGCCUGGGUAGUGGGUCAGGUGGAGUAUGUAGGGGGAACCUACAGUUGUCAUCGAAGCUGGCUAUGUCUCGUGAAGAAAAAACCUAAAAGCAGAACGCCAGACAAUAAGGGGCUGAUACUUAGACAUGUACGAGGCUGCUGUGGUCUGAGUUUGUGAAAUUAUAUGAAGAACACUUCUAGAUCGUAUCUCUUCUAUUUGAGGAAAAUGAGGUCCCAAGACUUUGAGUGAUUCACUGAAGGACACAAACUUAACAAGCCUGGGUCUUUGGGCUGCACAUCAGGGUUUCUCGGUUCUCCCAGGGAAGAGUCAUCCCGCCUGCUGUCUGUGUGUGUUCUCGCCCCUGGAGAUCUCAGCUGCACUUAGGGCUUCGGUGACAGCAGACCCAGGUCCGUUCCCUUGAGUGCGGACAUCCAUUUCUGGCACUCUGCUGGACAUUUCCACAAAGGAUAUCCACCGGGCACCUCUCACGUCCUGUUUGGACAUUGGAACCCAUCACCUUUCUCUGAAAUAUACCAUUCUGCCUGUUUGUCCUAUAUUAGCUGAUUGCAUCAGUCCCCCUAGGAUCUCGGACCUUUUGCCACUGUAUUUCCUUUAUACCCUCACUCUGCACAUGCAAUCUCCACAUCCUAACAGAUUUUCUUGAGCUGUCUCAUCCAUUCCUUCCCUCCCCUUCCCACUGCCUUUCCCAUCUCCCCCUCACACAGUGCCCAUGGCCUCGAACGUGGCUCCCUGCUUUCAUUCUGCUUUGGCUUUUCCCUGUUCUGUAAUGAGGUCAAAGUCAUUCACAUUUGGCUCUACACAACUGUCCAUACGGUCUUCCUUGCCUCCCUCUGCUGCGGCUCUUAGAUCCAUGUCAACCUGCUGGGGAACCCUCUCACUGGCCCCCAUUCUCCUCCCUCCGGGUUUCUGUAGAGACCCCCCCAUGCUUCCUGACAUUCUACUCCUGCUCUGACUGUUAGCAGACCCACAGAUGCUAGAGGCCUGCCUCCCCAGACAAAAGUCACCUUUUCAGUCCCCAUGCCCCUUUAGUGUAUUAGUCCCAUGCCCGCUAUCCCAUUUGCCACAUAUGUUUGCGCUAGAAUAAGUUAUGUGAAUAACUGUCUUUUCCUUUAGAUUUUCCGUGUCUCAUCAGGAGCCACCAUUAUUUAUUUUUCGAUGCCUAGGACUUCACGCUGUAAAGUCCAAAUGAGAAGCUCUCGAAAUCUGUCCCUGUAUGGGCGGAGAUUUUUAUGUUACGUUUUCCUCGCCAACAUCUCCCAUGGGCCAAAAAACAGAGCUUGGCACAUAAUAGACUCUCAUUAUGUACUUGUUGUUGAGUGAAUACCCUCUUACUUUUCCCCUUGCAGGGCAGGGAGGGGGGGCUUGAAUUAAAUCUCAGGUUUACCAGUUUUCAGUGCAUCUUAAUAAUGACAAAAUAGCUGACAUGUUUUAAACAGUAACCAGUUCUUGAUGAGUGUCAUACAGAACAUAAUAGAAUUAUCCCAGGCCAGACCCAGAGUGUCACUUGCUUGGAGGGUUGUCUUUGUAGAUAUAAUGGUUACACGGGUGACCCUAACAUUUUGAGAGGUAUAAUCCUUUCAGAGAACCACCUCCAGAUGAGGCUCCUCUCACCGGCCAAGGCUGAUUGUACUUUUGAAGUAGUCAUUAUUGGUCGAGCGUCCUAAGUAGCGGCUUCUCAUGGGGAUUCUUGUAACCACCGGACAGGUUUAGAAAUGGUGAUGUUUCUAAAGCCAUACAUAGCCCAGGAUUGAGUGCCCCAGAAUUCUCUGGGGGUGGUUGUUAAAAAUGCAUUCUUGGGGAUUGAAACCAGACCAGCCGAAUCAGGUUCUGUCAGUUUGCAUUUCAAAUAAAUGCCUUGAAGGAUACUUAGGCUUGCUCAAUUUUAAGACCCACUAGUGAGGAUUAACAGCGAACAGGAGGGAGACAGACAUAGAAAGAAAUUGAGAAAGAAACAUUUUCUUUCUUUCUUUUUUUUUUUUUUUUUUCUGUGUAGAUUCUGAGUAGCCUGGUUGGCAAGGGGUGCAUUAUCUUAGGCUGUUCUCUCUGGUAAGAUGAGUCAUAUUCGAUUUAGGGUGUUUCUCAGGCUCUGAGGAAGGGUGGAGUGCUCUUUUCCACUGAAAUUUAAACACAAUCGAGCAAGGACUGAGAUCUCAGGUGUAGAAAUAAGAUGAAACUGUUUCCAUCAAAUGUCCUCCACUGUAUCUAAAUAUAUUGUUGUAUUUAAAAAAUACGGAUAUGUGUUCAUAGGUGGUAUUAAAACAGAAGUUCUGAUCUCGAAUACAGGAAGUCCUCGACGAUUUUUUUCUUUGUUUCUUGAUUUAUAUUACGGAGCUAUUAUACGCAGACCAUAUAUUUGCAUGUAUUUAAUGCUAUAUUUAAGGAUUACCUUCCUGAGAAAGUAUAUCAUAUGCAUUAUUGAUAUGAAGAAGAUAAUGUCAGGAAAGUGAGACGGUAUAGUCUAGAACUGCUACCUAUGUGCCUAAUAAUUCAAUUAUUGUAAAUAUUCAUAGAAUAAGCAUAGAUUCAUUUUGCUCAUUGAUUAAAGGUCAUUCUGUCUAGAUCAUCUAGAAAUAAAUAAGUUUUAAAAAGCGUAUGUAAUACAUUUCAUAGUACUUCACAAAUUUAAAGUAUUAUAUUAAUUUCUAAGACAAUUAAACAAAAUUAUCAAUCACUCUGUUCUGAUCUGUUUCCAGUUCCUCUACUGCCAUUCACUAGCUCAUUAAAUUUAUCACGUUCCUAAAUUGUUUCAGGCACUGUUCUAGGUGCCAGAGAUAAAGAGAGAAAUAAACAGGACAAGAUGCUGCUUUCAUGAAACUUCUGUUUUUGUGAAAAUCCAUAGGAUCUAGACAUAAGAUCUAGAAGUUUCAUGAAAUUUCUGUUUUUGUGAAAAUCCAUGGGAUCCAUAGCAAUCCAUAGACUCCAUAGGAUCCCAAGGGGUUUUACACAGGCCUUCCUUAACUUGAUGUCAAAGUCAGAGAGAUAUGGGUAUUACAGUAGCAUGGUCACUUAGAUGUGUGACCUUCCUAGGUUUGACUUUUCCUCUAUCUUUUAAGCUUAGAGCUUAGAUUGAAUUUUUCUCAAAAAAAUAUAUGUGUAUAUAUAUGCAUGUAUAUAUGCAUAUAUAGACUGUUUUCUAGAAAAAUUAGGCUGCCGAUUCUGAUUUUUGCCACUAGAUGGCAGACAUCAGCAUUUGUGUCCAGUGAAUGGGUCAAGUCUUGAAAAAUUAAAAUGAGGUUCAAAACGAGUCACUUGAUAUGGGGAAAUGUUGUUAGUUCCAUGUGAGGGAGAGGGAGGAGUUGCUGUUAUAUUCCAUAGAUUUCAUGCUUUAAAUAUGGUCAUUCUUUACUCUCUGGCAUUUAGUUUGUUGUUUUGUUUUGUUGGGAUUUAGUUUUUAAUGUGGCUAUCUGCUCUUUUCUUUCCAAACACAGGACAGCCCGUUUUUGAAACCUAUGUUGAAAGUCACGUGUAUUGCUGGAGUUAUGAUAUAAGGCGUUAUCUCUAAUAUCUUAUAAUAACCUUAUAAUAUCUAAGUUAUGAUAUAAUAAAUAUAUGAAAUAUAAGGUAUUAGCUAGAAUAGAAAUUCCCUAACAUACCUUGACCAGUGUUUCUUACAUAUGAAAAAAAUUAAAAUAGACUUUGCAAGUUGAAACCUAGAUGAACACAUUUAGUAGCUCUAGGGAGUAGACUACGAUUCCAAAUGUGUGAGAAACAAAGGUUUCAUUUGUGUGUGUGUUGGGGUUUGGGGUGACAGAAGAAACAAAGAUACUAGAAACCUUAAGCCUGACUAAUUAAUUUUAUCUGCCAUUGGUUAUAGGAAUCCAAAAAAAAUGAAAUAUAAACAGACGUUAUAUCAGGCAACUCAUAUGUGUAAACCAAGAUUAACAUUACCAUUACAGAGUAGAAAGCUGGCCCAGAUCCUGCUAAUGAAGAUCCCACCAAUGUAUCUUCUUUUUAGCACAGAAAUAACUAACCAGGGGUUCCUGGGUGGCUCAGUCGGUUAAGUGUCUGACUUUUGAUUUUGGCUCAUGUCAUGAGCUCUCUGUGCACAGAGCCUGCUUGGGAUUCUCUCUCUGCCCAUCCCUCUCUCUCCUUCUCUCUCUCUCUCUCUCUCUCUGUCUCUCUCUGUCUCUCUCUCCCUCUCUUUCAAAAAUAAAUAAAUAUUAAAAAAAAAAAAAGAAAUAACUAACCAAAGCAUGACAUUCAGUGUGUCUUGUAGAAGACUGAAGACGCCAUCUUGUGUGUUUUCCAAGUCCAAACCAGACCAAGCUAUAAAGUAGUGCCCACUGACUCUUUAAAAUUUUAGAAAGCCCAUACCAACUGUAGAUGCUGUUUUUGACCUCCAGAGCAGCUUGGAAAUAAUUGUUUUAAGGCAAUGAGGUUCAGAAGGGAAAAAUAUGUAGCAAAGUCUUGCCCUUAGAUAUGUGUUUAUAACCUAUAAAAGUGUUAAUUUGUAAAAUAGAAUUAUCUGAGCCAAGUUGUUCUUGGGAUUUAAAGGGUGGGGAAGCCAAAUCUUUUUGGAGUGAUUCCAGGAACUUCUUAGUUAAAGGAAUUUCACUUGAGAAAUACUUUAAAGGACUGGUAAGGUUUAAAUAGACAUGCAAGGUACACUAAUUAGGCAAAACUUACCUUACAUGUGGAAACUCUGCUAUUUUUUGUCUGUAUCAGGAACAUUCCAUCUCAGAGUCUUUGCACCUGCUAUUCCGUUUGGAACACUCUUUCUGGAAAUCUGUACAGCAUGCUUCUGCACUUACUUUAGGUUUUUCUCAAAUGUCACUUGAUCAGGCCAGCAUUUUGUGACCACCUCAUCUGACAUAGUAUGAAUUCUCUUCCACUAUUCACUGUCUCCUCAAUCUCUCGUCCUUUUCUUCAUAGUAUUUAUCACCACCUGACAUCAUGUGUAUUUAUUUUUUCAUUUAUUGUCUGUUUAUAAUCCACAUAAUAUGAGCUCUCUGAGACCAAGAAUUUAAUUUUUUUUUAACUGCUAAAUCUCCAGUUCCUAGAACACUGCCUGGCCCACCAUAGGCUCUCAACAAACACUAACUGAAUAAGUGAAUACUCAGUGCCACUUCUGCAUUUCUUGUCACAUAAACACCGAUAAACUUACCCCGUAUUGUCCAUUCAGCCAUGGCCCUUUCUUUUGUACAUUCAUAUUAAAAUCAUCACUCAUAGCAUCAUUUACAGUGAAGUAUAGGAUUAUAGAUGUGCAGAACAAUGAAAUAAACUAGCACAUUCACUCAGAUUUACCUGAUUAUGCCUAGCCUUGUUUCUAAUAAUGUUAUUUCCCCUAUUUUCCCAUUAGAAUUACAUAAGAGAGAAGCAACUUGCCACCUUCUAAUUUUUUAAAAUUUUAUCGUGCUCACAAUAAAUAAAUAAAUAAAUAAAUAAAUAAAUAAAUAAAUAAAAUGUAUUAAAUAAGUGCUCACUUAAUUAUAAGCAUAUGCACUAAAAAGGAAGUCAAGAAAUUCUUUGGGUUAUAAAAUGGAAGGGGAAGUCGAAGGACUUUUCUGAGUUUGAUUCUGUGGCGUAAUUAGGAAGUCACCAGUGAGUACCUACUAUGUGUCACUGUGCAAAAAGUGACAUAAUCACGAGUGUGUUGGCCCAAAGUACCACAAGAUACUUAAUUUUCUACAUUACUUGGCAAAUAUGCUUUCUAGCAGUUUGGUGAUUCUGAGGCUCUUAAAAAUAACCAAGUAUCAUACUCUGUUAGGUUUUUCACAGCAAAAUCUAGGUCUUGACAUAUUGCCAAACAUACUUGAAAAUAAUGUAUUCUAUUUUUUCAUUCAUCAGAUUUUUUUUUGAGCAACUGCCCAAGCCAGAAUGCUGUUCCACGUCAGGGAUACAGUGAUGCCGAAAAAAGACAGGGUCUUGCCCUCAAGAGGAGCUUCAAGCUUCAGUGAAUCCACUAAUUGUUCUUGCUAUUGAAAAGUAGCUUUAAAAAGGUAAUAAGAAUAUAACAAAUAUAAUAUAAAUAUUAUAAUAAGUGAUCUGGCUUGAAGGGUGCUGAUCCGUGGGCAUCACCGUGAGAUUGACAUUCCUAAUAUGGUAAAUUUCGCUCUGAUGAUGGUGGGAUAGGAGGCAUUCCCUGGAGACGCUGUUUCUCUGGAACCUGCAGAUCAAAACGCACACACACUCGACUGUGUGAACCAUCUUAGCAGCACCCAGAACUCGGUUGGGGCUGAAUCUCUCCCAUCUCUCAGGUCUUGAAACCACAUGUGUAGGUGAGAACUUGUGUCUGGGCUCUGAAUCAAAGUGGGAAACGAUGCUUGUACAGGCAUGGUUUCAAAACAGGUAUUUGGAAGUUAGGAAAAUAUUUUACUGGGAUCACACGGAAGCUAUUGUCCAAUAGAAUGUGAGGUUGUCACAAGCUUGACCUCUUGAUCUCUAAAAGGACAGUGAGAUGCUUGGAAUUGGUAGCAAGAGAUUCACUGAGGGGCGCCUGGGUGGCUCAGUCGGUUGGGCGUCCGACUUCGGCUCAGGUCAUGAUCUCACGGUCCGUGGGUUCGAGCCCCGUGUCAGGCUCUGUGCUUAGAGCUCAGAGCCUGGAGCCCGCUUCGGAUUCUGUAUCUCCCUCUCUCUCUGACCCUCCCCUGUUCAUGCUCUGUCUCUCUCUGUCUAAAAAAUAAAUAAACAUUAAAAAAAUUUUUAAAAAAGAGAUUCACUGAAUAGAGAAUAUCUUUUGUUAAAACAAAAUCAGUGAUCUAGAUACUAAAGCAAUUUUCAUUUGAGGGCAUCUGCUGCUCUAACAUUUUAAAGAACAUUUUGCUGUAUGGUAUCAGAUGGCUGAUAUUAACCUUAAAAUGUUUUGUUGUUGCUGUUUUUUAAUAGUUUUUUUAAAGUUUUUAUUUUAUUCUUAUUUUUGAGACAGAGAGUGCCAGUGUGAGAGAGGGGCAGAGCGAGAAAGAGAGAGAAUCCCAAGUGGGCUCCACACUGUCAGUUCGGAGCCUGAUGUGGGGCUCAAACUCACAAACCGUGAGAUUAUGACCAGAGCUCAAAUCCAGAGUCAGGCACUUAACCAACUGAGCCACCCAGGCAUCCCAACCUUAAAAAUGUUUUUAACCACAAAAUGCUGUCAUGCUCCCAGAAUUAUAAGGUCCUUCUCAAUUGUUACCAAUUGCCAUUCUGAAGCUCUCCCACCAUUAUUUUCCCUCUUAACCAUUCUUUUAAUUCAGUGUGUCUCAUCUGGACUUUUUUUUGGUCCUAAUCUCUGUAACCCAUGAAAAUUUAAUACCGUGCAUUCACUGUGUAGCUGUUUGUAAAAUGUGGCCAUUCAGAGAUUUGGAAACCAUUGCAAUCUCUAAAACUUUUUUUUUUUUUUCUCUCUAAGAACCCAUUUUAAAGGCUGGGUAUGCCCUUACGUACUUUGACCAUUUACCAGGACAGUAUCAAGGCAGAAGUGGUUCCAUGGCCCCUCACACUUCAUGGUGCUUUUAGUCUCCUUUGCCGUUCCCCAGAGAAGUCCUGUACCGUUGACAUGAUUCUCUCAUGGAAGCACGCAGGAUCCCUUCCCCACCAUCUCUCUGCUGGAAUCCUCUGAUCCCUCAGGACUCGUGCUAGAGUGGAUGCAUCUGCUGUCCCUAAAAAAGGAUUUCCAGUGAACCUCUACUACACUCUGGCCCCUUAAUACUGGGUUUUUGAGCAGUGGAGAAGGUCAGUGUGUUCUUCUGAGGCACAAUAAGAAAAUCCAAGCACGAUUUUAUUUAUUUUCCAGCUUCUUACUGCUUUUCUCCAGCUCCACUGCUGUGGGUGUCCUUAAAUUUGCUUUGUUCUGCCUGGCAAAUCCGCCUGUUCUCACCACCCAAGUACACUUGAGAUAAAGGGAAGCCUAGAUAGGGCCACUCUGUUUUGUUUUCUUACACGAUUUACACAGUUGUUGCAUUCCUGUGUCAUCAAAGGGUUUUGAAGCUUUUGUAAUACCUCAGUCCUUCACAAAGUCCUGUGGUUCCCAAGGCUGUGAGAAAAUUAUAGCAGCCCUCAGCGCCCCAGGCCUCCCAGCUUCCCAGUCUUGACAGGUGAGCAUUUUUAACUCUUUGGGCUGAUUUUUCCCCCCUCUUAUUUACUUUCAUAUUUCUAAAUACCAUGCUUCGACUGAUGUGUCUUACUUUUUGGCUUUUAGUUUUUUCAAUAACUUUUUUUUUUUUUAAUUUUUUUUUUUUCAACGUUUAUUUAUUUUUGGGACAGAAUCAGAGUGAGCAUGAAUUGGGGGAGGGGCAGACAGAGAGGGAGACACAGAAUCCGAAGCAGGCUCCAGGCUCCGAGCUGUCCGCACAGAGCCCGAUGCAGGGAUUGAACUCACAGACCACGAGAUUAUGACCUGAGCCAAAGUUGGCCACUCAACCUAGCCAGCCACCCAGGCACCCCUUACUUUCUGGCUUUUAGAAUUUACUUCUUAUGAUAGAAAACCUCCGUCCUUAUACUGAGAAAAUCACAUUAAAAUUUUGGUUAUAUGAAUAUUCAAUAUUAACAUGUUUUAACUAUAUAAAUGUUACUCACUACUGAACCAUUUAGUGAACUUCUUAUGAUAUUUUCUCUUUUUGUAUUUUUUUUAUUUUCUAGGAAGUAAUACUUGUCUCAUGUUCUCCCUUUCUCUCUCCCUCCCUUUCUUUCUUCCUUCCUUCCUUCCUUCCUCCCUCCCUCCCUUCCUUCCUUCUUCCUUCUUCCUUCCUCCUCCCUUCCUCCCUUUCUCCCUCCCUUCCUUCCUUCCUUCCCCCUCCCUUCCUCCCUUUCUCCCUCCCUUCCUCCCUUCCUUCCUUCCUUUCCCCUUCCUUCCUCCCUUUCUCCCUUCCUUCCUUCCUUCCCCCUCCUUUCCUUCCUUCCUUCCUGUCCUCUUUCAUUUAUUAGGAGCCUUCCAGAACUGUUUGCUCUCUAGACCUGCCAUAUAUCUGCACUCUUAAGAUAUUCCUUCACUCUACUCUUCCCUGAAUUACCCCUUUUCUUCAGAGUUCCUCAAUUUUACCAUCUGUAGUGGGAGAAGGAUAAUUACUAUUCCUUGCCUCUUCUGGUCAUCAGGAAGGUUAAACUGAGUAUAUGUAUAAGCCCUUAAGUAGAACUUGCACGUGGUACGUGCCCCAAAAAACAGUGUUAUUAUCACUGCUGUAUCUACUGUUUUGUUGUUAUUUUUCUAUUAUUAUCUUACCAGUCUCAUCACCGUCUCUAUGACAUGAUGUGAGUAGAGUAAGAGAUUAUUGUAGAAUAAGUGAAGAGUCUUGCAGAAUGAUUAUGUAGCCAUAAUUAUUACAAUUACUAUUAAUGGUACUGCAGACUUCUUUCAUGGAUAAAUCAGAGCAGAUACCUCAUGGAGGAGAGUCCGGCUGAGGGUUGCUGGCCGACCACUGCUCUCCAGACCUCGCUUGUACUUUGACCCUCAAAAGAAAGGCCCAUUUCCUGGGAGGGUUAGAACUGAACCAUAAUCCGAAUUGAAAUUAAACCGUCACGACUUUUAAUAGUCUUCUAUAUUUUUUGUGAACGUCAGUCAACUACUUCAAUAUUAAUUUGAAUGAAACUGUAGAACAUAAAAGCAUGAAUGGCUGUGUUGAAACACAGAACUCACUUGUACAGGUUAUUUAGUUAAUUAAUUAAAGGGAAGGACUCAGGGUACCUAAGUGGCUGAGUCGGUUAAGCAUCUGACUUCGGUUCAGGUCAUGAUCUCACGGCUUCGUGGGUUCAAGUCCCCGCGUCGGGCUCUGUGCGGACAGCUCAGAGCCUGGAGCCUGGAGCUUGCUUUGGAUUCUGUGUCUCCCUCUCUCUCUGCCCCUCCCCAGGUUGUACUCUGUCUCUCUCUCAAAAAAUAAGCAUCAAAAACAAUUUUUUUAAUAAAGGGAAGGACUCAAAAAUAAGUGGAUUUAGAUGUUACUGUGCAGUUAGAGUGGUUUGGGGGUAUAGAGAAUACACAAGACACAUAGACACACACUUUUUUAAACUAAAGAAGUAGGCAUCAGCUUGUUUUCUGUUGUUCUUAUUUCCAUUGCAAAUGUUUACUUGGGUGGUUUUAAAUCAUAUGAAUGAUACCAGAAUAAUGCAGACCCAAGGUGGGGAGUGUUUGGUGACAAGAAACAAGGGUUCUUGUCUUGUCUCAGGUUCUCCCUGAGAAUGUUCUCUCUGAAGUUCAAAAAGAAUUUGAACUUAGAUGUUCCUAGGACCUCAUCAUUUGUGGUAAUUUUGUGAGCAAUCCCAGAGUUUGCUGUGUCUCUGUAGCUGAAAAUCCAAAUGUGUUUGAGUGGGUGGUGGGGCACUGGCUCACCUCAUCACUGCUAUGUUUUAUUUUGUUUUGUUUUGUUUUGUUUCACUACUAUGCUCUUUGUUUCAUCUAAUCCUUGGUUUCUUUUCUAUUCACAAUUAAUUUUAUACUGAACACACAUGCUUUGUGACAGCUGAAUACUUGUCUUUGACGUCAAUCAAAAGAAUAAUUCUACGAUUAAUCACACAAGUGGCUUACCUUUUUUUUUUUUAACCUUUAUUUAUUUUCGAGACAGAGAGAGACAGAGCAUGAACAGGGGAGGGUCAGAGAGAGAGGGAGACACAGAAUCCGAAGCGGGCUCCAGGCUCUGAGCUGUCAGCACAGAGCCCGACGCGGGGCUCAAACUCACGGAUUGUGAGAUCAUGACCUGAGCUGAAGUCGGAGGCUUAACCGACUGAGCCACCCAGGCACCCCUGUGGCUUACCUUUUUUUAAAAGGGGUUCAUCCCUUCCUUACUUCGAUUUUAACGAACCUAGGUAAUUUUUAAUACUUAGGUUGCAUCUACCUCAGGCAAGUGUUUCCAACAGUUUGAUGUUAUUUGGAACACACUUUCCAAGUUGCCUGUGCUAUGUGACAUUCAACAAACAUCAGCCUCUACCUUAUGUUUGCUCCAAAGCAGGUAGUAAAACAGCUGGAACAGAACAAAAUAGUUCAGAUCAGAUAACAUCCAUUUCAGAAAAAUGGACUAGCAUAGAUAGGACACUUAAUGUCAUAUAUUUUCCUAAAUUCAAUUCAGCUGAGAUCAAGGAGGAUUGAUUCAAUAUAUAGAGUAGAAACUGAACAUGCAUUUUAUUUUCUGAUCAGUUUCUUGGGAGCUCUGGCCUUUAUGGAACAUAUGGCUAGUAGUGGAAAUACUGGUGGUAGGUUGUAGGAAACCAGCUUGACCCUUUGUUUCUUUUUUUUUUUUUUUUAAUGUUUAUUUAUUUUUGAGAGAAAGAGACAGAGAGCGAGUGGGGAGGGGCAGAGAGAGAGAGGAAGACACAGAAUCUGAAGCAGGCUCCAGGCUCUGAGCUGUCAGCACAGAGCCCGACACGGGGCUCGAACUCAUGGACAGAGAGAUCAUGACCUGAGCCGAAGUCGGAUGCUUAACCGACUGAGCCACCCAGGCGCCCCAAGCUUGGCCCUGUCAUACAGAAUGAUUCACUGGCAAUAAUAUAAACACUAAUAUUUACCCAAAAAAUGCUGGGUUCUUGCUCAGUGUUAGAACAGUGCUAAGUAUUUCCUUUGUAAUACCUCAUUUGCCCUUAAAACAAUACUGCAAAGUAGGUAUCCUCUCUGAUUAAUAGGUGAGCAUAAUAAACCACACAUACGUUAAAUAACUUGACCAGUCCAGGUAUGACUGUGGUUUUGGUUAAAGGUAUUUGCAAUCUCUGGACUAAAAAAUGAAACUUAUUGAGGCGCCUGGGUGGCUUAGGCAGUUAAGUGUCCGACUUUGGUGCAGGUCAUGACCUUACAGUUUGUGAGUCUGAGUCCCAUGUCAGGCUCUGUGCUGACAGCUCAGAGCCUGAAGCCUGCUUCAGAUUCUGUGUCUCACUUUCUCUCUUCCCCUUCCCCACUCACACUCUGUAUCUGUCUCUCACAAAUAAAAAUAAAAACAUAAAAUUUUUUUUAAGUUACUCAUAAUAAUGUUACAAUAAGAGGUUAUUUUAUUCAUCUAAGUAGGAUCAUCUACUGCUCUCAAUAUGAUCUCUUUGCAACUUGGACACUAAUUUAGUGAUCUUAUGUAAAUAAUGCACUGUGGCUAUAAAAGAUGACAGAUAGAAUUACUCAGUUUCUGUGUUUGGUAUGGAUUUUCCAAACAGUAAACAUUUAAGGGGAGAAGAGCAGACUUUUCAAAUAGGAACGUGUAUCAGUGAUUCUGCCACUGUGCUCAGCUUCUUUGAUAAUUCAAGUUGGUGAGAGUUCUAGAAGGCUCUUCAGGAACAGAAUUAAAUAUUGUGGGGAAACCACAGUUGAUCUGAAUCUCAAAAUCUACCUGAAGGAAAUAAAAUCAUAAAGACCAUUCUUCAUUUGAACAUUGGUCUUCAAUGAUCCUGGGUUGGUUUUUGUUAAAUGAUAAUUUAGUUUUGUGGACUCAUUUUUAUCUGACUCUGUCAUUCAUUUUCCCCUAAAGUUUAGAUUAUAUAAAAAAAUGACAAGAUGUUGUCAGUGCAGAAACUAACUAUUGGCCUAUGUAGUAAAAUAAAAGAAUUUCCCCUUCCACGAAAGAGAGGUGUUCUCUGUAGAACAGUAUUGUUGUUCUUGAGGUGACCAGUGGAGCCUCAUAUGGGCAUUUGCUUCACAUUCUAUGGGAUCUGACUGUUUUGAGUGAUAAAGCCUCGAGAAUAGGAACUAGAAUGAAAUAUAUUUAUAUCUUCUUUCUGGUGAAAAUAUAUCCAUCAAUACUAAUGACUAUGAGGUAUCAGAAGCAGUUGUGAACUUUGUGUUCUUCUUUUGCUGCCAAUUAAUAUUUUCCUUCUUUUCACAAAAUGAUUUCGUGGACUUCUGGUUUAUAAGUCAAGACAAUGGGGGGGGGGGAAGCGUAAAUGAAAGAAGUGUGUAAAACUGAGCAAGGAAUAUGCCCUUACAUUUCACACUCAUUCCAGGGUUGGAAGGUGAGGAGACUUUCUCGAAGGGUUUGUAUGUAACCUUCCUCCUCUCCCAUGGAUAUGGUUUGGGAGCCCAGAUUGCUGCUGGCUAGUAAGCUGCUUUAAACUCACUCUUUUUUCAUUUCUUUCUUUCUUUUUUUCCUUCCUUCCUUCCUUCCUUCCUUCCUUCCUUCCUUCCUUCCUUCCUCCUUCCUUCAUUCCUUCUUUAAUGUUUACUUAUUUUGAGAGACAGAGAGCAGCAGAGGGAGAGGGAGAGAGAGAAUCCCAAACAGCCUCCAUGCUGUCAGCACAGAGCCCAACACGGGGCUCAGUCCCAUAAACUGUGAGAUCAUGACCUGAGUCAAAAUCAAGAGUUGGACGCUUAACCGACUGAGCCACCCAGGCGCCCCAACUCUGUCUUUAGAUAUGAAGUUGUGUAGUUGGGGAAGACAAGGUGCUGGGUCAUGCCAUUGUUGAUAAGGCUGAAGGAAGGAGAGCCAGUAAGAAGGAAAUUGCUGGAAUUGCUUUGGAAUUCAUGGAUCAAAAGUAUGGAACAAAAGGGUAAACUAUUGUGAGGAUCCAGGGGUUCGUUUGUACAAUGAAAAGAAAGGUCUGCCAAAACAGAAUUGUGCAGUAUCAGUGGCUACCUAAUAACAGACUGGCUAGCUGGUUUUACAAUCACCCUACCAUCUGUUUCUGAAUUUGGGGAAAAGAGGUACAUGUGAACUUUUCAUCAUUUUUCUAAGAUGCGAAGAAAACAAUUUAAGCUGGGAGUAUGUGUUGCUCACACAUGCUGUUUUCAAAAGAAAAAAAAAUGUGUGAAUGGAGGAAAUUUUAAGAUGUGAAAUUCAUAGACUUCAUGAUAGAAUAAAGAAUAUAGUCUGGUAUAUUUUAGAACAAGUAGUCUGGGCUCCUGGGUAAACUUUAAGUUUGUUCCAUUUAGUUCUUCAAAGAAAAGAAAAAGAGAUUCCUCCAUACUCCUUUUUUCAGAAUAUUGCCACAGAAGCUGACAGAAGGUUAACCUCCUGAUGAACAAUAAAUUAUAAGUUAAAAUAAAUUAUAGGCUAAUUGGUUAUUAUCCCAGUCACUCUUCAUAAAUUCUAGGUUUUAAGCCAGUGUACAGAUUAAAAAAUUCCAUUUUAAUUUUUGCUUUUUUUUUCAUAAUUUUACAUGUACAUGUAUAUCUCUUUAGAAUAUAAUUUGGGGUCAGAAGUUACUUUGAACUAUCUGAAGACAUCUGUUUAAAAUAUUCCUAAUUUUAUAUUUUGAAGUCGACAGGACUUACUAAUUUUGAAUUCCAUAGGUUUCCUUCUUGACUAAGGAAAAAUAGUUUGGAAAAAUAGCGCAAAUUUUCAACCCUAGAUAAGUGGAUGCAAUGAUGAAAAUAAGCAAUCGGGUCAUGAAAUUUGUUAGAACUAUUUGAGAGCAGAUAACCAAUUGUAACACAUUUGUUUUUCCUUUUCAAAAUUAAAAAAAAAAUUUUGAUGUUUAUUUAUUUUUGAGAGACAGACACACAGAGCAGAAGAGGGGGAGGGGCAGAGAGAGAGGGACACACAGAAUCCGAAGCAGGCUCCAGGCUCUGAGCUGUCAGCACAGAAACCGAUGCGGGGCUUGAAUCAACCACAAGCUUUGAGAUCAUGACCUUAGCCAAUGUCGGACGCUUAACCGACUGAGCCCCCCAGGCACCCCGAAAAGCUUGGAAGGUUUUUUUUUUUUUUUUUUUUUUCAACGUUUUUUAUUUAUUUUUGGGACAGAGAGAGACAGAGCAUGAAUGGGGGAGGGGCAGAGAGAGAGGGAGACACAGAAUCGGAAACAGGCUCCAGGCUCUGAGCCAGCAGCCCAGAGCCUGACGCGGGGCUCGAACUCCCGGACCGCGAGAUCGUGACCUGGCUGAAGUCGGACGCUUAACCGACUGCGCCACCCAGGCGCCCCAAAGCUUGGAAGGUUUUUAAUGACUAAAAAUUUCAUUCUUUGGGGUGCCUACGUGGCUCAAUCAGUUAAGCGUCCAACUCAUGAUUUCAGCUCGUGUCAUGAUUUCACAGUUCGUGAGUUCAAGCCCUGCAUUGGGCUCUGUGCUUACGGCACAGAGCCUGCUUGGGAUUCUGUCUCUGCCCCUCCCCUGCUCCUGUUCUCUCUGUCUCUCUCUCAAAAUAAAUAACAUUUUGAAAAAAAAAAUUAUAUUCUUCAAAACCUGGUUUCUUUAAAUAAAGGAGCUGAAAACUCGAACGCAUCUGUCCUCCUGGCCUGGGUGUUUCUUAGAGAGAAAUUAUGUUGACAUUGGUACUGCAGUAGGACAAGUGUAUUGCUUGAGAAGGAGUGUAUUGGCCAUGAUAAUCAGUCACUUCAUGAGUGGUUUCCUCACUGCUGCCUCAUGGGACAUUGGUGCACACCAUUCUUGGUGACUUUGUUCUUUAAUGAGAUGGGAAAUCAUUGGAGGGAAAGAACAAAUCCAGUGUGUGCUAAACAUGAACAUGUCUUUUAAAUAGACCUUGAAGGAUCUGUAGGAUUUCUGCAGCAGAAAUGGUAUUUAUAGAGAGGGGCAUGCUGGUAUGUGUCGUAGGCACAUUUGGGGUGGAGGAUGGGUACCUGGCCCAGGUUGUCUGCGGCAUAGGAUAAAAGCAGGAAGGAAAGAAGUGAAAGACAAGACUCACAGCCACAUUCUAGUGUAAGGGUCCUUGAAUUGCUCAUCUCUAUCUGGUAUGUGCUCUGACUUGUCGUAUUUGUUUUAAUUUUUCUUAAUGUUUAUUUAUUUUUGAGACAGAGAGAGACAGAGCAUGAGCAGGGGAGGGGCAGAGAGAGAGGGAGACACAGAAUCUGAAGCAGGCUCCAGGCUCUGAGCUGUCAGCACAGAGCCUGACGUGGGGCUCGAACCCACAAACCGUGAGAUCAUGACCUGAGCCAAAGUCGGAUGCUUAACCGACUGAGCCACCCAGGCGCCCCUGACUUGUCAUAUUUUUGAAGGCAGAGACAUCAAUCCCUUCUUUCCCUAAUCCAUAGUAUUGCCUCAAUGAGUCUGUGAGUUUGACUUGAUCUGACUUUAGAUAUCCAGCUCUCAAAAGGGUUUUUGUAAGUACCUACUUAUUAGAGUCAAACAAAUUUUAGUACCAUAAGCUCCCACCCAACCUUUCCAUAUGAAUUAACUCUUUUGGAAGAGUUAGGAUGAAAGUGUUAGGCUUUCCAUAUCUUUAACCACGUGGAGAUAUAACUCAUCUUGACAUUUGGAUUUUAAGUGAUAACAACAUGUACAAUUGGAUUUAAGAUCUGAUGUUAGGAAAUCACAAAGGAAGGAUUUUAUAAGACUUUUAAGUUUUAUCUGCCUGUUGUUUUGAAGGAAGAUAGCUAAAAAGAAGGAUCAGAUCGUGCGUGUUUAAAGCUUUUGGACUUGAGGCAUCUGUGGUCCAUAUUGUUCAUAUGUUACGGAAUUUAAUAAAAUUAGAUGUAACAGUGUUCACAUGUAACCAUCAGGAUGCAAAUGGGGAACAAUUUAUUGUCUAAGAAGAUCAAAUGUAAGAUAACUUCAGUCUUUCAUUUCAAAUUCUAUCAUUCUUCGUGAUCUCAUUGCACAACACUCGAUUCGGAAAACUUUUAGUUUAUUUGUUUGUUUAAAGAUUUGUUUAUUUAUUCUUGAAAGAGAAAGCAUGGGUGGAGGAGGGGCAGAGACAGAGGGAGAGAGAGAGAAACCCAAGCAGGCUCUGCAUUGUCAGCACAGAGCCUGAUGCGGGGCUUGAACACACAAACCAUGAAAUUAUGACCCGAGCUGAGGUCGGACACUUAACCGACUGAGCCACCGAAGUGCCCCUGAUUCAGAGAAUGAAAGCAUAGACUGCAAUUCUCAAAGCUCUUGUGAAGCUUUAAGGAAAUUGAGGCAUUCUGAAUCUACCUGAGAGAUUUUGAUUCAAUAGGUUUUUAAAAGUUUCACAGGGGAUCCUGAUUUAUAGCAGAGUUGAAAGCCACCGAGCUGGAUAUUUAUUAAGUUUUGUAAAUUUAAUAAUGUUGAUACACUUUAAUUAAGGAACAUUUCAAUUUUAGUCUAAAAAUGAGUUUCAUAAUAAGAAAUCUUAGUGAGGUUUUUCCUCACUCUGAGUAAGGUUAUUGAAAAUACUCUGUAUCUUUUAAGACUGAUAAAUAGUAUUGAUUUCAGUAUAAAUCCUCUGGGACAAUUAUGCUGGCUUCCCCAGUUUUUCUGUUUAGUAUGUUUUCUGUGAAUGGUUGAAGUUUAGAUGUAUUUAUUAGCUUUAUUUUUGAAGAAAGAAAGAAAAUAAACCUUUGAUAAGCCAACUGUGAUAUUAGGACAUUGGAACAUGAUGCAGAUAGUUUUUUCUUCUCGUAUUUGACCCAUAGGUCUGGUGCUCUGUCAUUUGAUAACUUUAUCUAAUUUCCUACAAGUUAGUCUACUUUUUAAAAAGAAUUCAUGUGUUAAAUUUUUUAACGUUUAUUUUUGAGAGAGAGAGACAGAGCGUGAGCAGGGGAGGGGCAGAGAGAGAGGGAGACACAGAAUCCGAAGCAGGCUCCAGGCUCUGAGCUGUCAGCACAGAGCCUGACGUGGGGCUCAAACCCACAAACCAUGAGAUCAUGACCUGAGCUGAAGUCGGACGCUCAACAGACUGAGCCACCCAGGCGCCCUUAGAAUGGUUGUUAGAAAGAAUUCUUCCUGGAGCACCUGGGCUGGCUCAGUUGGUAGAGGAUGUGACUCUUGAGCCCCAUGUUGGGUAUGGAGCCUACUCAAUUAAAAAAAAAAAAGAAUUCUUGGAAACAUUGUGUGAUUAGUCACAAUUAGUAGCCUCAUUUGUCCAUUUUAUUUUCUGACUUCCUUGUAUGAAAUACCACAAUGUUAUUAGUCUUUUAUUUGGAGGGUACUGACCUUUUAUUACAGUAAAAUGACGGAGGGAGGUAUCGAUUUGCAUUUGAUUGUAUAAGCUUAGCUUUUGGCUAAUAAAUAUUUAUCAUUUAAUUACGUUUUAAAUCUUAAACUCCCUUUUCAGGUUCCCUGUAAAUAAUGUUAACUUAAAAACUUGCAUUUGUAUAUUGCUUUUAUAUAUGUUUACGUGUGUGACUUGGUAUUAUAAAAAGAAUUUAUUUGCUCUCCAGAUAUAUUAACCAGUCAUUCUUGAUCUGACCUCCAAAACAUAGGUCAGGAAAUAUUAAGUGCUCUUAUGCUUUUAUUGAGAAAUUCCAAUCAUCCGUGUGAAACUCACCCUGUGGAAUGCUUCACCUCUAAUGUGCUCUUUAUCUCUCCAUUUGUCUAUAUUAGGCUAGUUUUACAGUCUCUGGUCUUCAUUGCCAAACCACACCAUACGGAUGCCAGAUAGUUUUUUUUUUAUUGGACUAACAAAUGUGCUUAAAUUUCUUUUUAUCUUGUGAAGAAUGAAAGUUAUAAUUCAUAUUACACCAUGGAGCGCACAUAAUGCAGUAAUUGUAAGGCACGUAGAUGUAUUCUGCUCUGUACGUGACUUGUCUCCAUUGUUAAGUUAUAACACAGAUAACAUCCCAGGAGGAUGAAGGCUGUGUGAUCCUUUAGCCAAGAGAUCAUAAAUGAGGCCAGAAGCCACUUAUCUAUAAUGGCCCGAAAAGGGGAGUUUAUCUUACUCUUAUACUUCAUAAAACGUUUUUAUUUAAUGCCUGUGACGAUUUCAAUGAUGCUACCGUAAGAAAGUGUUGGGAUCACAGGAUUUGGACAUAGACUGUGUUUUUCCCAUUGCUGACUUCUGUUGAAGUUUGAAGCUUGACUGUGUUCAAUAACUUCGUGUUCUAGGCCGUGCAAAUCCUGAGAAAGUGACCUGGCCCGGUGCAUGUAAGUAGGGAGGUUCUGGGAAGUCAGUAAAUCAUCGUUUGCUUUCUUUCUCUGUGGCCGUUACUGCUGUUUUUUAGUUUACUUUGUUUCUUUAGAACAAACAUUGGAAGAGUGCGUAAUGAAGUUGUAUUAUGGCAAGCUUCACAUUUUUAUUUUUAAAAGACCAUCUUUGAAAAAUUAAAAAUAAAUAAAUGACUGCCUUAACAAUUGAGAAGACAAAGGUUUUGUAAUGACAAUAAGUUGUCUAUGAAAUACUUUGCCAAGAAUAAAACCCAUUUAAUGCAGGAAAGCAAGGGAUCACGUAGGACAGGUCAUUAUGGGACAGCUUUGCAUCUAAGGAAAUGUAAGUAUGAUAGGAGAGGAUAGGCCUCAAGAUCAGAAGGUGUUGGGGUGCCUGGCUGGCUCAGUCAGUAGAGCGUGCAACUCUUGAUCUCAGAGUCAUGAGUUCAAGCCCCACGUUGGGUGUAGAGCUUACUUUUAAAAAUAAAAUUAAAAAGAAGGCGUGGGUGCCAGUUCUGUUUGAUCUCCACUGAGUUGCGUAAGUUUCAUUUGAUCCUUGGUUUUCUUAUCUGUGACACAGAGAUAGCACUAUCGCUCUCAAAGGGCUGUAGGAGGACAAAGCGAAGUAAAGCAUGCUAGUCACCUGCAGGGCACCUGUACCUAGGGAACUCUUGGGAAAUGGAUUGAAAUUCCAAUUUAUUUCUUCCUCAGUGUUUCUUGAUCUUUUUAGGACACGUGUCAAAAAAAAAAUAGGUAUGGCAGGUGUGUACUGUUAAUCCUCAUAUUUUUGCAUUUAAAAGAAAAUCAUAUGCAAUCAAGAAGUUAAAACUCUCAUGAUUAUGAUAACUUGUUUAUGGAACACUUUGACUGGAAUAGCAGCUCUUUACCACAUACGCUCAAAGACCACCUGGAUUCCACUCAUCUGAAGGGAUCCAUUAACCACUUAGCCUGUGUCUAGGGUAGCACCCUGGUGGAGGAGGGUAGAGUCAGAAUGAGGAAGAAAUACAGUAUCAGAUCCCAGCUUUUGAGCCAUAUUUGGGGAAGCCAGGACAUUCAGUAAAACUAUUUAACAAUUAUUCAAUGUAUACUUGAGUGGACUUUUAUUGUAAACCAGUGUUACUAAAAGGUAGAGUCCAAAAAGAUUAUAAAGUAGGAUUAAAUUGGUAAAUUUAUAAAAAGCCUCAAUCAGAGUGACUGGCACAGGGCAGAAACCCAGUAAGUAGUAGGUUUAAAUUUUUUUUAUUGUUUAUUAUUUUUGAGAGAGAGACAGAGAGACAGAGAGCAAGCAGGGUAGGGGCAGAGAGAGAGGGAGACACAGAAUUGGAAGCAGCCUCUAGGCUCUGAGCACUCAGGACAGAGCCCGAUGUGGGGCUCGAACUCAUAGACCGUGAGAUCAUGACCUGAGCUGUAGUCGGCCGCCCAACUGACUGAGCCACCCAGGCACCCCUGUAAGUAGUAGGUUUAAAAAUUACAUAUAUUAUUGUGAUUUUUUUUUCCCCUAAGAAAUAGAAAAACAUUCAAGAAGAAAGCUUUGUAACUUCAGACCCAAUGCCUCUUUCUUUGUGAAACCAUAUUGAAUAUCCGGAGACUGUCGACCUAUUUCUCCACCAUGUAUCCACAGAUUUCAACCACACCUAUAUUAGUGCACUUACACAUAGUCUGACCAUUGGUGGGGGAUCCUGCUGAGUAGAAUAGGCAUUUCUCAGGGGAGCUGAUAAGAUCUCGUGUAACUGCAUAGUCCGUGACCUUGUAACACAGGACCCAGAACAUGAGAAUUCAUUAAUGAAUAUUUGUUGAAUUAAAUAACAGGUUUGAGCUGGGCCAUGAAGGAAAUACUCGAUUUUUGUUCAUGGCGGGAUUUUGUUCAUGGUGGUGGGGAUGGGUGAAGUCUCUUCAGGAAGGGGAACAAUCUUGGGACGCCUGGGUGCCUCAGUUGGUUAAACAUACGACUUUGCUCAGGUCACAAUCUCGCGGUUCAAGCCCCAAGUCAGGCUCUGUGCUGACAGCUUGGGGGAGCCUGGAGCCUGCUUUGGAUUCUGUGUCUCCUCUCUCUACCCCUUUCCCGCUCAUGCUCUGAAAAUAAAUAAACAUUAAAUAAAUAAAUAAAAUAAACAUUAAAUAAACAUAAAAAUAAACAUCAAAAAAAUAAAAAAGAAAAGAAUGGGAACAAUCUUUAAAGAUGCGGAUAUUGAAAUGAGCAUGCCAUUUCAUUCAUUCAUUCAACAAACAUCUAUUAAGCAGCUUUUUGGUGCCAAGCCCCUGAGUAAAAGCAGAUACAGCUUCUCCCUGUGGAACAUACAGACUAGUGGGAGAGAUGGGCAUUAAUCAAACGGUCAUGACAGUAAGUAGACGUUUGUAGCUGGGAUGAAUUCCGCAAAGGAAAGGUACCUGGAGCUCUAAGCGUCUGACCUAGUCGCAGAGGACAGAGUGUUAGGUGCAAUGUGGUGACAGGAGGAAGGGAGAGGACUCCUACGAAAAGGAGUGUUGCAUACACAACAUGAUGGUCUGAAGGAAGGCUGUGGGCCGGUACAAGGGGGUCGGUGGCGGGGGGAAGGUGUUGGCCUGAAGAAGGCAGUGGGUACCAGAUCAGAUAGACCUUGUGAGCCAUGUUAAGGAGCUUUGACUUUGUUGUAAGAACAGCCCAAACCGCUGAGAGGUCUUAAAUCUUGCGUGAGCAGUGAAGGAAUGGCAGAAAUCAUCAGACUUUCACUUUGACAUUUCGAAGAGCUGACUCUGCCUGCGGCCUGGGUGAUACUGUGGGGAAGGGCCAGAGUGGAUUCUGGUUGAGGGCCUGGAGGGCUGUUGCACUCCCUUGGAGGCUUGGCCACGAGUGCUUCUGAUGGAGACCGCACUUAGGAUAGAUGUACCUUGGAUAAGGAGGGAUUGGUAACGUCACUACAAGUGAUUUAGGAGUAACAGGAAUUAAGGUUGAAUAGGUAAUACUGAGACAGGUGCUGCAAGCUGAAACCUUAGGUCCAAUGGGUCAAACCCAAACCAAAUGACAUCUUUUAUUAGGUGAGUCGUUUACAUAUUCAUCCAUUCACUCAAUAAAUACUUAUUGUGUGCCUACUGUGUGUGCCACAAACAAAAGCAUGUACCCUUGCUAACCUCAGUCUCCCUUUGCUCUGUCUCUCAGUUUAUUGUAAUUUUUCUUACCCAAGUGCAACUCAAGCCUGUUCUCCCGAGACCACUUUGUGGGUCUUCCCAGUUAGAAAUAGCAGCUUUCCACUGGGUAGAAACAUCACAGCUCUCAAGCAGUAAGGCAUUCUGCUUGAUCAGUAGUGUGGUCAGAGUGCUGCUUUUUCAGAUUUGGUUCCUCCCACUGGAACAGAGACCCACAAAAUACAGGCACGUGGUAAAUGCUUAUUCAAUCAAGUUAAAAUAAACUGAGGAAAACAAAGGAGGGGAGUUUUCCAUGAAACGAAAUUAAAUUUUGUUUAAUUUGAACGAUGAUCAUUUAAAUCUAGUCAAAUGAUCAGAUUCUGAUGAUAUCCCUAACUGUAUGUGAUAUUUUUAUUAUUUCCCUGGCAAGUGACUGUUAAUCCACGUGAUUUUUCACGUAGAAUCUUCAAACACUCCAUUCCAUGCAAUUGUGUUCUUUCGGAAAUCUCUGAUGAGUUGGGGAAUCUAACCUUCCCUAUGUCAGACGUGCCUCUCAGUGUAUGCUGGACCAGCUCGUUCCAGCUCAGGAGAGCCCUGUCUGCUGGCUCCUAUUUACUGAUGUUGCCUUGGUAGCUUGAAAUUGGCAGUGAUGGCCGUAUUUUCAGCAUGGAAACUGCAAGUGCUACAGAUCAGAGCUUUGGCCUUUUCCCUCAGAAAGCUGAUUGUGAAUUACUUUCUAGCACACCACUGCUUUGAAUCCAAAACGCACACACACACAAAAAAAAACAAAGAAAAAAAUUAUGAUUCAUGGAUUACAUUAAUUCUGAAACACAUGUGUGCUGUGUGUGCGUGUGUGUGUGUGCACGCACGGGCACAUACAGAUUGAAAUGGUUCGGGACUAUUUCUAAGGCCUGUGGGAAAAGCGAAAUUUUGUUAUUCUCAUGUUCAGUUUGCACCUCACUCAUUCACUCACUCAAGCAAUGCAUUUAUUGACUGGAGACUCUAGCAAACAAGGGUCUUUUUCCUCAAAUUGAUCCCAACCUAGUUGGUGAGAGACGACAGGGAUUCCUGUACAAUAUAUUGAGGAUGGAAUCUGAACUGAAGUAGAAGCCAUGCAGUUGAAGAGAAGUAAGAGACUUAAGAACUAUGUAGGAGAUACAACCAAAAAUACUUGAUAACAGGCCAGAGAGAAUGAGAUAAUUGCCGGUUUUCCAGAUUAUGCAGGUAGGUGAAUGGUUGUCUGUCCCCAAAAUGAGAAUUACAGGCAGAACAAUGGCUUCAAGGGAGACGUGGGUAGGGCAGGCAGAGGUCCUUGAAGGAGAUGGAUUUAAUUUAGGGUGUGUUAAUCUGAAGUUAUUUUAGAAUACCUGGAAGGUGCUUUGAACUAUAUACUUGGAAAUUGGAAAGAGAUGGGUGAUGGUGAUUUAAAGUCAUUACCCUGUGGCGGCAGUCAAAGCUGAAUGAGAAUAAGAUGGGGUAUUAGUCAAGAUCCCAACAAGAAACAGAGGUCGUGUGCAAAUGGGGUAAUUAAGGGGAAUUCAAUGAUAAGAUGGUUCAUGGAGGUUAUGGGAAGGCUUAAGGAAGCCAACUGGAUUGAUAAAACACACUGGGACCAGCAACGGAAUAGAGCCAUUGUCCACAUUAGGUCUGGAGAGCCAGAGGGAAGGAGCACUUACCAGAACAUGGACAAGUAGAAGCGAAAUCUGUAGAUAUGGCUGUAGGAGAGAAAUGCCUAAUAGUAUUUAUAGCCUUCAGUAGAGGAAUUUGGCCCUUGCCAGACUUGGCCCAGCAGGACAACAGGCUGGGGAAUACAUAUUAUGACCUCUCUCCCUUCCCACUCUCUGACCUCUGGUCUUCCAUUGGCCAAAUCCACAGUGAAACCAAAGGGCAAGGAAAUGCUUUGAGGCUCUUUAGAGGUCAUCUUCCUUGGGCACAGAGCAGGAUAGGGAAAGGUAUAAUGAGAUUGUGGACUUGGAAUGGUGAGUGGAAGACAACAGGUGAGGUCAUCUGAAGAGGCUGGGGCAAGACAGAGCCUUGAGAAGCACCAACAUGAAAAGACAGGUAAGAAGGAGGAGCCUGAGUAAGGGCAUCAAGGGCUAGAUGGAAACCGAAGGGGACGGGUGGGGUGGUUUUGCUGGAAGGAAGGAGAACGUUGCAAGAAGGAGGAAACCAUCAACACUGUCAUAUACAGGAGAAAAAUCUAAUAACAAAACUCCAGAGAGUGUCCACCAAAUUAGUCACUGAGGGUCCUUGGUGACUCUUGUGACUUCACAUUGUGAUGUGCACAAAUGAGGUUGUGAAAUUGGUGGCGGCCACAGGAACAUAUUUGUAAAAUUCGGCACCUUGGUUCUUGCAUCAAACAUGAAGAGGAUGGAGAGUCCCUUAAGAGUGGGACUGUACCUGUGCCACCUGUGCCCCUGUCUCUCCAAGCAUACGCUCUGAAAGAUGUGUGAGGGAAGAUGGGUAAUGAUUAACUUUGGUGCACCAGGAUGCUGUGCAAGAAGGGAAGGCAGUGGUAACUGCCAGCAGCAAGAGAGGAGGGGCCUGCCGCUUUCCGAAACCCCCUGGAGUCUGACACGCGUCCUGGGGUGGCAGACACAGUGUUUUCCAUUUCAGAAAUGGCAGUAGACUAUUUCGCACAAGUGAUUAGUAGUUCUUGUCUUUGGCACAGUCUGAAGUGGUAUUUCAGAAUACAAAAUAUGACCUGGUUGUGAAUUGACAGGGAGUCAGAAAUCGUUACAUAGAACACGUUAAAGAAGAAAGGCAAAAGUCCUUGUAUUUAGUAUGAAAUGUCAGGAGACUGGCCCUUGGAGGUGUGAGUGAAAUGCAUAUAGGGAACAGCACAAUACAGAGCAAACAUUCCAUAAAUGUAUGUUGAAUGGAACAAAGGAAAACUUGGAGAGAUGCUACCAGAUUUAGUCCUAAGAAUACUUGGUAGAGGAAAAGUUCUCAUUUUGUAUUGUUCGACAUCUCACCAAAAGAUUAGCCAAAGUAACAUUUUCACUAUUUGUUUUAAGUUUAUUUUUCCUGUUACAAAAUAUAAAUCUGUUAACAGCACAACUACAACAGCAGUUUUUAACAUGCCAACAUAACCAUAUUUAUCACUUUAAGAAAUUUCUUUCUAGAUCGUUGUGUUAUGUCCUUUUUCUACUUACUGUAUACACAGUUACGGAUUAACUGCUUCCUGGGUCAGCUUUAUAUAAUGGGGAUUCUCCACCUCACUUCUAGUCAUCAUUUUUAGUGGCAGAAAAAUAGCCUAUUUGAAAGAUAAUAUAUAUUUGUAAGAGUGAAAAACGUGAAAAAAAAAAAAAACCCAGUAACAGGACAACAACUAAGAAUACAACUAAGAAUAACUAAGUAUUCUUAGUUGUUGUCCUGUUACUGGGUUUUUUUUUUUUUUCACGUUUUUCACUCUUACAAAUAUAUAUUAUAAUGAGGUUUUUGAACCCAGAAUUUUACCCACUGAGUUUUGGGUUUUUAGGAAUUUUUUUUUGAAUUUUCUGAAAUCAAAGAGCAGAAACAUUGUUAUGGAUCUUGAUGCAAUUUAAGGCACGUUGAUAUUACUGUUUCUUUUUUUUUUUUAAUUUUUUUUUUCAACGUUUAUUUAUUUUUUGGGACAGAGAGAGACAGAGCAUGAACGGGGGAGGGGCAGAGAGAGAGGGAGACACAGAAUCGGAAACAGGCUCCAGGCUCUGAGCCAUCAGCCCAGAGCCCGACGCGGGGCUCGAACUCACGGACCGCGAGAUCGUGACCUGGCUGAAGUCGGACGCUUAACCGACUGCGCCACCCAGGCGCCCCUNUUUUUUUUUUCAACGUUUAUUUAUUUUUGGGACAGAGAGAGACAGAGCAUGAACGGGGGAGGGGCAGAGAGAGAGGGAGACACAGAAUCGGAAACAGGCUCCAGGCUCUGAGCCAUCAGCCCAGAGCCUGACGCGGGGCUCGAACUCACGGACCGCGACAUCGUGACCUGGCUGAAGUCGGACGCUUAACCGACUGCGCCACCCAGGCGCCCCGAUAUUACUGUUUCUUAAGUUUACCUUUGAAUGAAUACAUUUUCAGUAUCUUUAAUAUCUAACAACUCCCUAAACUAAGUAAAAUCUAGUGGUUUGUGUGUGUAGGCCUGCAGAAUGCUUAACAGUGGUAGCUCUGUGUAAGAGGGAAGUUGACAAAAGGACUUAAAACCCUUCAUCCCUGAACGCAAGGACGGAUACUUAUUAAACUGGAUUAAAUCCAGUGAGUAAAUUUUAAUACAUGAUUCUUUUUUUUUAAUGUUUAUUUUUGAGAGAGAGAAUGAGAGAGAGAGAGAGAGAGAGAAUGAGCAUGGGAGAGUCAGAGAGAGGGAGACACAGAAUCUGAAGCAAGCUUCAGGCUAUGAGCUGUCAGCACAGAGCCCAACGCGGGGCUUGAACUCAGGAGCUGUGAGAUCAUGACCUGAGCCGAAGUCGGAUGCUUAAUCAACUGAGCCAGCCGGGUGCCCCAGGUUUUAAUACGUGACUCUUAAGUCAUUAUCUGUGAUUUAUUUCAGUCCAAUUACCAUCUGCUACAGUGCUUCAAACUAGAUCAAAAGGCUAGCUGUGACCUACUCAUACCCAGUGUAACAUAUGCUAUAAAACUAGGAUGUGAUUGUUAUAUACCAAUGCUUACUUAAUGUGUUUAACUCUUGCCCCGUGAUUUUACACUGCAGAACUCAAGUGGAUGGCACAUAUUUUCUGUGCUUUGCUCUUUUACGCUUCUGACAAUGUGUUGAUUUUUUCAUAUCUGGUGUUUUUAUCUGGUUAGUCUGAUUGCAUUUUUCUUCUCUUUGCAUUUAAUUAUUUUUCCCCUUCUGUCACUAUUUUCUGUUCAUCUUCAUUAUCAUGAGUUUUUCUCCUGUAACAUCUCAGUGGUAAUUCCUUUAUGUUUUCCCCAACUACCUACACAUGGGUUCUGCCUUCUUCAUACUUCUUAACUUAUUAAACCUUUCAUUGCAAUUAAAUAAAAUAUGUGCUCAAAUGGUAUAAAACCACUUGAUCAAGUAAAUAAACACCCAGACAGUCCUGUAAAUAUUUUGCACUCUAUAAAAAUAAGUAAAACCCAUAACUUAACACAUCUUUUAACUUUUCACUUUUGAUUCUAAAUUAAGUAAAUAAAUGCCUAAAAUACAUAUAAGCUUCACAGACUCUCACAAACUACCCCUAAAUGCAUCUGUUUAAGAUGAGUUCAACGUUUAUAAAUCAGCAGGUAUGAUUUUCAUGUGACUGCUGGAUAUUUUUCCACUCAUUGGCCAAAAUAAUCAGAAGAAAACCAUGUUUAGCUGAAUUUUUGGAAAAUACUACUAUCGAUAACUGGCUAAGCAUGAAACAUGGUAGACUCAAUGUUUUAAAAUUAAGACUUUUUUUUAGAGCAGUUGUAGGUUAACAGCAAAAGUGGGGAGAAAGAUACAGAGAUUUCCCAUAUAUCCCCUUGCCCCCAAAUAUGCAUAAUCUCCCCCACGAUCAACAUGUACCCACCAGAGGGGGGUAUGUUUGUUAUAGCUGAUGUGACAUUGACACAUCACUAGCACCCAGUCCAUAGUUUGUAUUAUGGUUCACUCUUGGUGUUUACUGUGUAUUGUAUGUAUUUGGACAAAUAAAGAUUACAUGUAUCCAUCGUUAUAGUGUCAUACCCUAUGUGCUCUAUCCAUUCACCCCUUGUCAUGCCCCCACCUCCUGGAAACCACUGGUCUUUUUACUCUCUCCACGUUUUUGCCUUUUCUAGAAUGUCCUAGAGAUGGAAUCGUAUAGUACUUAUCCACUUCAGGUUGACUUCUUUCACUUAAUAAUAUGCAUUUAAGUUUCUCCCAUGUCGUUUCGUGCUCUAAUAGCUCAUUUAUUGUUAUCGUUGAAUAAUAUUCCAUGUCUGGAUGGACCACAGCUCACUGAUUCAUUCAGCUACUGAAGGACAACUUGGUUGCUUCCAGAUUUUGACAAUUAUGACCAAAACUGUUAUAAACAUCCAUGUCUUCGUGAGGAAAUAAAUUUUUAGCUCUUUUGGGAAAAUUCCAUGGAGGUGGGUAAGAGGGAAGAGUAUCCUUCAUUUUGUAAGAAACCACCAAGCUGUCUUUCCAAGCGGCUGCACCAUAUUGUGUUCGCACUGGUCGUGAACAAGAGUCCCUAUUGCUCCACACCUUUGUCAGCAUUUGGCGUUGUCAUUGUACUGGGUUUUGCCCAUUAUAAUCAGUAUGUGAUGGUAGAUAUCUCAUUAUUGUUUGAAUUUACAUUUCCCUGAUGACAUGAUGUAGAGAGCAGAUUCAAUUAAAAAAAUAAUAAUUUUUAGGGGCGUCUGGGUGGUUCCGUUGGUUAAGUGUCAGACUCUUGAUCUCAGCUCAGGUCUUGAUCUCAGGGUCAUGAGUUCAAGCCCUGUGUUGGGCUCUGUGCUGGGCAUGGAGUCUACUUAAAAAAAGAAAAAAAAAACAGGACACAAUUUUCAUACCUAAAAUCAUACUGUCUUUUAAUCCCCCAUAUAUAAACAUACACACAGGUAAACAUGCGCACACACACACACACACACACACACACACACAUUUCCCCAAAACAUAUAUCAAAUGGCUGAUAGGAGUUUAACUUUUUGCUGUUUUGGUUUUCUGUUAACAUUUUUUUUUUGCUUGACACGUUGUCUGGUAUAUUGAUUUCUCUAUAAGUAGAUUUUUUGUUAUAUAAGAGUUUUCAGAGCCUGAGAGAAAGAUAACAGCUAAGAAUAUCUUUGUUACUUCUAAUAUUAAGUGAAUAAUAGAAAAGUAUUUUCAACAUAUUGAAAAUCAUAACAUCUGUUAACUUUAGUUGACCUUAGAGCUUCUUGUUUCUUUGUUUUAUUUAUUUAUUUAUUUAUUUAUUUAUUUAUUUAUUUAUUUAUUGUAAUCUCCAUUGAUUUAUUUGUAAUCUCUACACCCAACAUGGGACUUGUUGAACCCGUGACCCCAAGAUCAAGAGUCAUAUGUUCUACUGAUUGAGCCAGCCAGCUGCCCCCCGAAACUGCUUUUAAACCAAUCCCUCUGAACCACACAUUGUACUACUGUGCCAGACUUUCACUAUGAAUGAUAGAAUGUGACCUUCAUAAUCCUUCCAUAUUGAAAAAUUCUAAUGAAAUUAACUCAUUUAUUCACUGGUGCAUGACAUAUUGAUAGGUACCUACUAUGCCUAUAAAAUGCUCUGGGAUACAGAAGGAGAAAGAUUAAUUUACAUAAUAAAUCUAUGCAACCUAGUUAAUUUUCCCUCUGAAAUAAAUUUAUAAGGAACAUAAGGAUCACACAACAGUUUUUUGUUCUAUCAACCCACCACAGAUUAUCAAAUCUGCUUCACUGAUUUUCAUUUUCAGGAAAAGGAUUUUUAAGGGCUAUAAAAUAGCAAUUAAAAUGCCUGAGGAUAUAACCGGGCAUGCCAAAUAAUGAAAUUAACAAGGUUCAGCGGAUCUGCAUGACACAAUAGUCUCUUUACCAACAGGGAAAUAAAUAUUAUCCCUCAAAGUUACUACAUGUGGACUUAGGUUGGAGCAAAAUAAACCCAGACAGAGUUCAAGGUCAGGCCCUGGCUUUUGAAGAGAAGACUGACUGUCAGUGUAAAUUGCCUGAAGUUCCCUGCCUUUGCCACGCUCUGUAAUUUACAGUCAAGGAUAGUGUUGGUUACCACUUGAGCGAUUCAUUUCAUUUAUUUAGUGCUUCGUAAGUACUGUGAGAGAUACAGAGAGGUAGAGAACAGUGUUUGGCAUCCUUUGAAGAAACUUUGCCAACAGGAGACCCCCCCCUCCCUCCAUUUUAGGGAUUUUUGAGGUGGGACUCUAGUCCUGAAUGACUUCCAUUUUGAUUUUACUGGGUCUAGAGACUUUCCCCCAAGAGUCAGGAAGUUGGUGCUUUGGGUCAAUCUGCUAGAGUGCUAAAAACUGUACUGUGAGCAGUUAUAAAAAUCCAGCAAGCCCCCGCUGUAGGGGAGAGCACACGUUUCUCUGUAACCCUCGACACUCCUUCUCUGUAACCAUCUCCCUCAUCCUUGAAGAAUGUGGCUAUCACAGUAGUUGUGCAUGGGGAACAUGCCACCCCAAGAUGGCUUAUAGAGGUUGACUGUCAAGGGGGGGAGGGGAGACAGAUAAACGACAUGUUCCAAUUCAAAAUCCCAUCUGGAAGUGUCUGUUUGGCGAUUACCUACUCAGUUUUCAUAAGCAGUUUUGUUACCUCCUGGGAAAUUCCUGGGAGCAUCUUUUAUUGGGUGGUAACGUCUCAGGGGCAUUCCAUUAGCUGGUCUGUGCACAUAUAAUUUGACAUGACAUUCAGACUCUGUAUUUAUAUCGAAAUAUAUUAAUCCUCCUCCUUAGUCACCUGGGUUUCACUUUUGUUUAAUCUUACCUAAUGAGCUGCUGCUGUGUGGCUGCUGUUUGCUAUAUGAAGAGUGAGUGGGGAAGAUGCUCUGUAGGUAGCUUGUGAGGAGAGCUGUCUUUGCACAAGUGGACUAAUUGGGGAUUACUUAUGCUGACCCCACGGUACGUCACCUGUAAGUGCUGUGCUGGGACGUCUGCGCUGUUUCCUUUGAAAAGUUGAUUUUGCUGUUCAUCCUGUGAAAACUGCAAUGUGAUAAACAACAAGAUAUGUUUGAAAAUAGAAUGUAUGAAAACCAAGCAUGGUAUUAUUUAAUAAUCUAGAGAGAAGAUUCAGUCUUCUCUGGUACUUCAGAACUGAAGAGAAACCGUCAAAUUCAGUCAAAUGCAUUUUUCUACCCAAAGAUAGUAAGUCUGUUAAUAUUCGAUUAUCACUUUCUCAGUCAAGUUUAUAGGCUCUUUUAUUUUCCAAUACUGGGGCUUCUUAGGAUAGGAUUCUUGGUCUUUCUAUUAAUUCAACAAUUAUUUAUCCGUCUCUGUCCCCUCCUUCAUCCCCUCUACCCACCACACUCUGGCCUAAACAAAUGUAAUUCAUCCUCACUUAGACGUUAGCCCUUCAGUCUUUACACAUUUCCUCCUCCCCACCCUCAAAACUGGCUUUUGAAGAUCACAAUCUGAUCAAAUUGCUUCUUUGUUUGAAAUUCUUCAGUGGUUUCCAUGAGUUACACUUGAGCCUUGACGCCUGAUAACUUUACUUUUCUUACCUCUACACAAGCCUCUCCUUAGUUGGGCAGGCAGUGCCCUGUGAUCUCAUAAUUCAUUCCUUUAUGUGCCCUAUUUCUUCUACCUGGAAGGCCCUUUCCUGCCUUGUUUGUGUAGCUAAUUCCUGCUUCUGUCUCCUAACUUAAGAUAAACAUCAUCUUCACUUGGAUAUUUCAUAGGACUACUCCAUCUAUAUAGAAAUAGAAUUACUAUAUAGAAAUAGAAUGCCCUUCUGCAUUCCAAGAACAUUUUGCGCAGUGCCUGCUAUAAUUUACCAUGUAACACAUGGUUUAUAUGAUCUUCUUGUCUGUUUCCUCAGCUAUAGAGUGACUUCCUUGAGAGCAGGAACUGUGUCUGAUUUACUGCUCUUGUCCCAGCAUAUCCAGUUCAAUGCAACAGAUACUUACUGAACACCUACUAUAUGCUAGGCGCUAAGUGCUCGUAACACAUCAGUGAACAAAACAGACAUCGCUGCACAUACGAAUUUCGAUUCUAGCUUAUAAUAUUUGCUUGGUAUUGAAAGAGAAGGAAAGAGAACAGAGAAAGAAGGAAGGGAGGAUGGAAGGAUACACAGAUUAAAUUAUGGGAUUGGAAUCGCUUUGAAAGGAAACAAUAAUGGGUAUUUUUGUUGGGAAUUUGAGAUUGCCGUCUGUCAGUCUGUGGUGUUUCUUAGUGUUUGUUUGUUUGCUUUGUUUUGUUUUGUUUUGUUUUGUUUUCUUUCAUGCUCUUUGUUGCUUUAGGACUUCAUUAUAGGACUCUACUGCCUAUGGAAGACAGUAUUGUUCCCAUUUCUUUCCUGUUAAUAAAUGUUAAAUGUUUCAUAAAACUGGGAGUAGCAAAAAUUAUAUGAACAGUUGCCCAAUUAAUUUUUUAGAAAUAAAAAUACUAGUUAAUAAUGCUCAGUGCUUUUAAGGGUGCAAUAAAAGUUUUUCUCACUAUUAUUGGUGUGAUCACCACUGGGUAUUAUCCCAAAGAAAUAGUGAGUAAGUGAAUGAAUGUAUCUGCAACUUUCCUACCAAUUAAUACCUAAGGUAGGCUAGGCAUUUAGAAGUUUCUUAUUUAUUUUUAGUAAGUGUCCAUACUGUAAAAAAUGUGUUCAGUGCUUUCCAUGUUUGACAGAUAAUGUUUAGAAGUAAUGAAUUCCACCAUGUUUAUAGACUAUGGAGAUUUAAUUUUGAGCUCAUAUGGACCUUUGAUUCUCCUAAAAAGCAUUUUAUGCCUUUAUUUUUCAACAUGUCCAUCGUGUGAUAGUUUGCACUGCAGAGGGCUUUAUGCAAGGCAUGGUUCAGAAGAUCACACUUCUCUGUUGAGAAUUAACGAGAUGUGGUAUAUUUUUAACGAUUUUAUUUUUAAGUAAUCUCUUUACUCGAGAGCAUGGGGCUCGAACUCACAACCCCAAGAUCGAGUCACAUGCUCUACCGAGUGAGCCAGCCAGGCGCCCUAAGAUAUGUGGUAUUUUUAAAAAAUAAUUUCGAAAGAUACUGUAAAUAAUAAUAUUUGACAAAUUUUUAAAAAAUGAAUCUGUGUAUGCACGUGUUAUGUGUAUGCUCAUGGGCAUAUAAGAAAGAAAGAGAAUUCUUGGCUAUUUAGCUUAGUAUUCGGAAAGGCAGGGAGGUUGGUUAGGAGGAGUUUUGUUGUUGUUUUUUGUUUUUUGUUUUUUUGACAUUGCCCAGCAGUUUGGAAACACAUUAAUUUCAAAUAGCUUGGCGGGUUAGGGCAUUUCUAACCUGGAGAGAUUGAGGACACAAGCCACGUGGAAGUCGGAGGUCUCGAUGUACAGUUGGUCCCCAGCAUUCUGGGGCAAGGACUGCACGACGCGAGCCUGUUCUCCUCCCAGUAAACCGAGCUGUGCUUCCAGUGCUGUUCUCACUAGACCAUUACGAGAUGAAUCGGCAGGAUGCCUCUGCCCGUUGGCAUUGACCGUGGGCAGCCUCUGCCCGUGGCAUUGACCGUGGUGUGUGCAAUCCCGAGAUAACACAGAUUUGUUUGUUCCUUUGCAUCCACUGCUGCUUUUGUUCAUCCAUCUCCCCAACCUGUCGGAACCAGCCAGGGGUUAGUCACUUGCCCUUAUUUUGAUCAAAAGUGGGAGAGCUUUAUGAAUGGCUCUCACAUUCAUUAAUUGCGCUCAGAUACCUUUUCUGGAUGCUGUUACUUUGUAACUUUCUGCCUUGAAAGGCUUCCUACUGAGAAACCUCAGAGUGAUACACAGUUAUUUUUUUAGGGCAAACAUAUUAAUUUUAGUAGCAAUGCAGGGUUUUAUCUGUAUGACUCGUUUGUUUCCCCCGCCCCAGUACCUCUGCCAGAUUAAACUUUGCCUUGAGUGUUGCUAUUAUUCCAUCUUUAUUGGGAGUUAGGCCUUUGCCUGCCCUUUUCUUGUUUGACCUUAUCAUGAAGGAUGCCCCAAUGAAGUGACCUCUCAUGGGAUUUCCAGUUCCAGAACCACACAUGAAUGCCUCGCUAGACACAACAUAUCUCACAUAUAAACUCUUUUGUUUUUUAAAUGAGUGGCCUCACACAGUUUACAACCUAGUGGGUAAGGAAAAUUUUUAUCUCUCUUCCAGUUAAGUAAUUGCUAAUGCUUGGUAACGCCCCUUUUAGAGCGUUGAAGUCACAUCACAGUCUCUGCUGUGGGAUUCUGCUCUGUCUGAAUGGCCUUCGGGAACCCCAGGCAGGUAGAGCUUUUCUUACUGGCCCUGUGCACCCCAUAGCAAUGGCAGAAGAUGAAAAUUGACAAAAUAAUCCCAAAGGUUCACCAAACAACUCAGGGAAUCUGGAAAGGAAAUCUGAAACCAGAGACCAUCAAGAGUCUAGCUGGUACUAAAAGAAUAAAGAUUAUCUGUUUAAAUAAAGCUAGAAGCAGUUUUGAAUAAUGUCAGCAAAUUUUUUUAAGUUUACUUAUUUUGAGAAAGAGAGAGAGAGAGUGUGCAAGCAGGGGAGGGGCAGAGAGAGAGGGAGAGAGAGAGAAUCCCAAGCAGGCUCUGCGCUGUCAGUGUGCAGAGCCCAGUGGGGGGCUUGAACUCAUGAACUGUGAGAUCAUGACUUGAGCUGAAAUCAAGAGUUGAACGUUUAACCGACUGAGCCACCCACGUACCCCAAUUACGUACCCUAAUUAGCAAAAUUUUAAGGUCUUCCUAACGUUCUUAAUGUUUUGCCUAGUGUGGAGUUGAGAUCUUCCUUGGGCUAAUUGAAAUGGAGACUGGAAGAAUCACAGGGUGAAGGUCACAUGGAGAGAAAUGGAACUUCUAACUCUAAUAGACCUUAAAGUUCAUUAAUGACUUCUCGCUCAUUGCAUUUCUUCUUCGGCAAACGCACGUUACAUUUUAAAAUAGAACAAAACAUGUUUCACGAUAUGGUAUCUUAAGUACAUUUACACUUAUUUCCACCCCAGGGUAUUUUUUUCUUUUUUUUUUAAAGAGUUUAAUACUAGUUUACUGAAUGAAUGAAAUGGCAAACAAUUGUUCAGAGACAAGUCACGAGGGAAGAUACCAACAAUUAUGUUUCUUUUCCCAAAUCUUGAUUUAGCAUCAACAAAGACCUCAGCCUGAAAGCAUUGAUAGGAUGUAGGUAAGUGGAGCCUAUUUUUUUAAAGAGGGGAGGCACAGAAAUGUACAAAAUGGAGCAAAGGUUUUGCAUAUAAAUAAUGUUUUAACAUAGCAGAGUACCUGCAAGCAAUGGGGACAAUAAAAAAAGAAUUUCUUGUUUGUAUUUAAUGUCAAUUUUAUUAAAAAAAAUUUUUUUUAAUGUUUAUUUAUCUUUGAGACAGAGACAGACAGACCAUGAACGGGGGAGGGUCAGAGAGAGAGGGAGACACAGAAUCUGAAACGGGCUCCAGGCUCUGAGCUGUCAGCACAGAGCCCGACACGGGGCUCAAACUCACGAACCAUGAGAUCAUGAUCUGAGCCGAAGUCGGAGGCUCAACCGACUGAGCCACCCAGGCGCCCCAAUGUCAAUUUUAAAUAUUAUGGGGACUCACUCAUGCCUCACAACCCAAGGCAAACUAACUCCAUUAANNNNNNNNNNNNNNNNNNNNNNNNNNNNNNNAGAAAGAGAGGGAGAUACAGAAUCCGAAGCAGGCUCUAGGCUCUGAGCUGUCAGCACAGAGCCCGACACGGGGCUCAAACUCACGAACCAUGAGAUCAUGAUCUGAGCCGAAGUCGGAGGCUCAACCGACUGAGCCACCCAGGCGCCCCAAUGUCAAUUUUAAAUAUUAUGGGGACUCACUCAUGCCUCACAACCCAAGGCAAACUAACUCCAUUAAAGGAUAGAAACUGAGACUCAGAGAGGUCAAGUGCUUAUCCAGCAUUACCCAACACUGAUGUUAGGUCUACCAGACAUCAGGACCUUGGACUCUAUGUCAGUGCUCUGGAUCUUAGGGGCACACUAGGGUGACCUCAAGUUUAGGGUACCACACAGCAGCAGCAAACUAUCCUGACUUUCCCCAGCUCAGCCCAGUUAAAGACUCCGAUUCUUGGCAGCAGAAAGGCUCAAAUGCUCUCAGCCUUAGGCUACCAAGAAUGGAGUCGGGUAGCAAUGGAGAGGCCCCAGCCCCAUGGGCAGAGGCAGUGUGGGAUUUAUCUACCUACUACAGUCCUAAGCCCAGACAAUCCUAGGUAUGUGGUAGUUGCAUGGCCACAGAGUAUACCCCUGGUCAUCCCACCCCUGAUAUUCAUUGCCUUGGCUUCUGUUCCAGCUCCCAGAAACUUGGUCCUGACCAGUCCCAUCUCCCCAAGGAUCAGAUGAGCUGUUCUCAGAGCACACCUAGCACCGGGGAUGUCAUGUUUCUCUGUGGCCCCCACACCAGGUCCCCAGGGUAUUUUCUUAAUAGGUAAGGAAGGUAUGUUUUCAGCAACUGUAGCCAAAGUCUUGAGAUGUGAAACUUUUACAGAAGUUAUCUAUAAAUGGUGCCGAUUUUCGACACACACGUAAAUACACAGAGACACAUUCAAGUAAGGCUAAUUCUAUAUGUGACUUCAAACCCAUAUGCAACUUAAAAAUGUAGUCGCACUUUAUAAGCUAACUAAUAAAGGACGAGAUUCUGCUUCGAUUUGGCCAAGCUAAACGUGGCAUUCUGCUGCCACAUCUUGGCAUGUUGACUUAGGUACAGUCUGUUUCUGUGUUUUACUUUUAUACACCAAAGCUUGUUACAUAAUCUCCUUCUUGUAUAUUGUCUAUAUGACGUGGAUUACAGUAAAUCUGUCAUUACAAUAAAUUUGGUAGAACUAUUGUGUCAGUCACAAUAGUGACUCAAUAUUUGAGAUUCGAGAAGCUUUCCUAAGCCACAAAAGCUUUAAGAGACCUCUGCAUUAGGAGAGAUGAUGUUUACUUUUGUAAGUUACAAAUCUCUUCUAAAGAACCUUGAGGCUUUCUGAUUAAGUAUGCGAUCUAAGAAAAAAAUAGUUGUUAUAUACAGUAUUUUUCAGUAGUGAUGUGCUUCUGAAACCUGUUUCAGAAUUUUGAUGUUAUCUAAGCAAAAGGUUGCACAAAUGUGCCCCAGUAAUCAAAGAAUAGAAAACCAAAUUGAUGUAACUUAGAGACUUGGAAGCAAAGAAUGUUCCAUACAAAAUCAAAGUGUAACCCUGACUCUGAUGAACAUAGUGACCCGCCCCCUCCCCCAACAGAUAGUUGUAUAAAUCGAGCCUAGUUGAAUACCCAGGUUCUUAAACAGCAGUACCUUCUCCUGGCAAACGUAGUGUGAAAAUUGACAGGUUCACAUAGGUUAAUGGCACUUACUGAAAAGGCACAUUUCCCUGGUUGUAUUAGCAAUUCCACUGAAGGCCACUAGUUAGUACAAGUACAAGUUCAAAACAUGCUCCUUGGGUUUACAUUGCACUGGAAGUCCUGGGAUUUCCUAGGUGGCCAGGUCAAAGUUGUGGCUGUCUUCUGUGACAUGAACAUGAAUGGCUCUGCUGAUGUUAAUAAUAAUAGUAAUAAUAGCACUUCGUAGCUUUUCUAUUUAGUCAUUCAUGGGAAAGGGUAAAGAGUAUUGGGGAAAGAGAACUAAUAUUAGCAUCUUUGGUACUUGUGAGGAGGGUAGCUGAUGGGGGGCUACAGUCAGCUUCAGACUGCACUGGGAGCAGCGAGAGGACACUAAACACCUGGAAGUCUGUAAGGGCAGUGAAAUGGAGAAUUCCAAAUAGGGUCCAAAGAAGGGUAAGAAAGGGCUUGUUGGACAAAUUCUAAUUAUUGUUAGUUUUUCUUAGAAUAAUGGAGAAGGCAGUCAACAUACUACAAAAAGUUGAUCUUAGAAAGAACACAAGUUGUUAAAACUCCUGAAAAUUUGGGCUUCGUGAGUUUAUUAUGAUCUAUUGUGGUCAUUUCAGUGUCACUGUGCCUGGGUCUUUGUACUGAAUGGUAUAGACUGCUUGUGUCUAGGACACAGAGUGGGGCCGUCUGUGUGGAGAACAUUCUGUAGGGAGCAGAAGUCAGUCCUUGUACCUUUCACUAGGGCAUGGCAUCAGCCUGUUCGAUUUUAGGAAAUAAUGAGCAAGAAGGUGAUAUCAGGAAGUUUAAAAGACCUCACUGCAGGGCUAGGAACCCGGUGGGUUUAGACAUUGAGUGUAAAGUGUAAAAGGUAGUUCUUUAAAAAAUUACUUUAAUGCUGAGCUGUCAACACAGAGCCCGCCAUAGAGCCUGAACUCACAAACUACAGAUCAUGACCUGAGCCGAAGUCAGAUGCUUAACCGAUUGAACCACCCAGGUGCCCCUAGAAGGUAGUUCUUGAAAGUGAGUCACAAAGAAAAGAAAAAGGGCAGAAGAUCAGAAAAUCCAACUAGGAAGCUGAACUGCUGACCUUGUACGAGGUAUGUAUCCUGUUUACGAUACAGGAUACAUACAUUAGUAUGCGAUGCGCAAUACUAACGUUAAGCGCAUGGCUAACUCUAUACUUGGGGGUUCAGUUCCAAUUUGGACGGUGGAGAAAUAUAAGGCGUAUUCAUCAUCAAAGCAAUGUUUAGCUCCAUCGCUCAGAAUAUUCCUAUCUCCUCAUCAAUAGCAGUAUUUCUUGACUGUAUUAUUUUUUGUCAGAGAACAGGUCUCAACGCCCUGUUGCUCUUCAACCAAUUAACAAAUGUAUCCUUUACAGGAGUACUAACAUGGCACACUAAUUAACGGCCCCAGAAUUGUACCUAAUUAAAUAAUCCCUUAAUCCUUGUCUGGAAACCUGUGAUACUAGCUCAGAUCUUUGUGGUUCAACUCCAUAAACAGCUCAGCCUCCCCUGGGCGGUCGAAUUUGCAUUUACUGUUCACUUGUGAGGCAGACGUUACUCUGGAUGGUGUUUUUCUUUGAUAGUCUUUUGGCUGCUUAGUACUCCUAGUGUCAACAGUUAAAUUCGUAAACCGGCAGAUUGAGGCCAGAAACAGAAAAAUAAGCAAAGUAAACUCUCCUGAUAAUGGUUCUUAACUGGUGGAAGGCUUCACACAGUUUUCCAGAAGUAUUGAUUAUUAUUUUAAGCAUGUGUCAUCAAUUGCUGAUGAAUAGAUCUGAAAUGGGAACGAAAAGGGGAAAGGACAUUUAUAACUGGAAAAGUUCACAUUAGAGCUGUUGGCUCUUGGGCAAGUUAAGCAAAAGUAAGACAAAACAGGGGUGCCUGGGUGGCUCAGUGGGUUAAGCGUCCGACUUCAGCUCAGGUCAUGAUCUCACAGUCUGUGAGUUUGAGCCCUGCGUCGGGCUCUGUGCUGACAGCUCAGAGCCUGAAGCCUGCUUCAGAUUCUGUGUCUCCCCCUCUCUCUGCCCUUCCCCUGCUCAUGCUCUGUCUCUCUCUGUCUCAAAAAUAAAUAAAAACAUUAAAAAAAUUAAAAAAAAAACGUAAGUCAAAACAGAAAAGCAAACAAAAACACAACUGUUACCUAAAUUGGAGCAAGUUGCAUGACUUUCUGUGUCUUUUUUUUUUUUUUAAGUUUCUUUAUAUAGUUUGAGAGACAGUGCGAGAGAGCAUGGGGGAGGGGCAGAGAGAGGGAGAGAGAGAAUCCCAAGUGAGCUCUGCACUGUCAGCACACAGCCCGACGUGGGGCUUGAACUCAUGAACCGGGAAAUCGUGACCUGAGCCAAAGUCGGACACUCAACCGAGCCACCCUGCUGCCCCAAUGAGGGUCCUUUCAAAUAAGUCCUUCCAAGAAACUAGGGGAAGGCUUUCCCAGGUGGUUAAAGCUUUUGUUUAUUUUUCACAGUUGCAGCUAAUAAUUUUCAGUCAAACAGAAUUCUUCUUCAGAUUGUGCCAUGACCAAUUUGUUUCGAAAGCUGCUUGUAUGUUUAAGAAUUCAUACACUUGUCAUUAGUUGAACUCUUGCUGCCUGUUGCCAUGUACAGAUGAAGAAUCUUAAAAUCCUUGAUAACAAAUAAAUCUUUUUAACAGAAAUUAAGAAGUUAAGAAAAUUACAGAUAGAUCAUUUUUCUUAGCAUAAAAAUUCUAUUUGAAUUUUACUGUAUACCUAGAAGGAGACAGCCCGUAUAUGAAUCGCCAAAGGGCAUAGAAGUAUGUUGUCUCCGGUCCUUCCUUUCAGCUAGCAGGGGUUGAAUAUCAAGUUGUCUCAGAUUAUAUUUAGCUCUAAAAACAAGUAAUGCUAGUUCUCGAUGAAUGCAUGGAUAGAGACAUUUGUUUUUUCUUUUUGUGUUCUUGAGGUUAACGAAUUUUUCAGGUUGAGAGAUUAUGAACUGUCUUGGAAACAAAUGUGUGGGGCACACACCGGUUGUAUUUCCUUAGGGGUAACCUGAGCAGAAAUGGGGAAUGUGGCUCGGACCCUGUAAGAUGGCCCUAACAGCCUGCUCUCACUGUUGGCUUUUGCUCUGAUUACAGAAGAAGAAAAAGAAAAAAUAGAAGCAGGGAACUUUUAAAAAUUUUUUUUUUCAACGUUUAUUUAUUUUUGGGACAGAGAGAGACAGAGCAUGAACGGGGGAGGGGCAGAGAGAGAGGGAGACACAGAAUCGGAAACAGGCUCCAGGCUCCGAGCCCUCAGCCCAGAGCCCGACGCGGGGCUCGAACUCACGGACCGCGAGAUCGUGACCUGGCUGAAGUCGGACGCUUAACCGACUGCGCCACCCAGGCGCCCCAGCAGGGAACUUUUUAAAGUUAAUUAAACCUACAACAGGUUUUAUUUUUUUAGUUUAGAAAGGGACCAUAAGUGGCAGAGACUUAAACUUUCUCCCACGGCCAGCAGGCAUGGGAAGAGAAAAUCAGAAUACUUUUUUUUAUACUUAGAACUUGUGUCAUUUCUUUCCUGGUGAGUUCUGUGUGCUAGUUGCCUUUUUUCCCUGGCAAUAGGUAUAUGUGUUGUUAUUAUGCACAAAUCCUUGGGCUAUGGUUUUGUCAAGUCUGAGGUUCUCAAAAGUGUAUUUACAAAUAAGGAUAAAUAUCAAUUUUAAUUGACCCACCGAUCUUUAACAUUUUCAUUUGAUUGUACAGAGUAUUACUUCUUGAUGGUUUUAUGUGGUUAAUUUACUGUGAUAUAACACAGCUUAUUUUAUUUCAUUUAAUAGUGAAUUACAAAAGCCUGAGGUCAUUGCUGUCACUUAUAAAGAUAUUUUAGAAUGAAUUUACAGUAUUCUUCCACCCCCACGUGUGACUUGCAGUUUUUGGUGUUCAGAGAGGAUGAAAGUCAUUUAUGGAAUAGUCCUGUAUUUGAGGAAUAAUCUGAUGAUUGUAUAAUUUGUCACGAGUCAUGUAUCCUAAUAUGGUGUUAAAGUGAAUAUCUCGUACUGAAGUCUUCUGCAGUUUACUAAAGAAAGCUGAUUUUGUAGUGCUACGAACAUAAAAUUGAUAUCGGUUUUUCUAAACAAAUAAUUAUGAGAACAUCAAAUCUGGGGAAAAAAUUGCCGAUGGACUGCAGUUAUGUAAGCACAAAUGGAAUUGGAAUUGCAAAGAUCAUAUCAACGUGUCUGAGAAGAAAACCUGCUGUUAGAAUAAGAUUUUUCCGGCUGUUUAAGGUGACUGUCACGUUGAAAGCUGCCUAUAAUAAAUCCAGAGUAUUUUUUUAGAAAGUACUUACUUUAGUGAAGAAUCUGAAGAAAUGCUUAGAAAGUGAAAAAUGUGAAGAAAAAUAUUUUUCUUUGUUUGAGCAUUAGUCAUUGUAAUAUUUUGACUCAUCAGAGGCUAGAUACAUGCAAAAUUGCUUGAGUGAAAGAAGCUUCAGUCAUCACAGAGAAUUUGGGAGAGACUAAAAGAAGGUUCAGUUAAACCUUUGUGGAGGUCUUCCUGUCCUCCUAUUACUUGAGCUCUCUUGUGGGACAUAUGUGUUCUAUAUUUUAUAGUUGUCAAAACCCUCCUCCACUUAUUGUGUUAUGUAAUGCCUACCAAAAAAUAGCUUGUGUGGAAUUUGCUUUUAAUAAUUGCGAUUGUGACCUUGAAUACUAAGAGCCAGGCAUCACACGAGGCAUGUCUUAUGUUUUCUCCAGUUCUUAGGAGAAUCCUUCAAGCUAUUUAUCAGUAUUCUUGCUUUACUGAUGACUGAAGUUUCCUCAGGCUGGUUAUGGGUCUUCCUCAAGAGUCACACACUUUGUAUGUACCGAUGAAAAUACGAAAGCCCGUUAUUUUCUUACUCCACUUGGUUGCUCUCUAUGUGUAUCAAAUUGUUGUCUCUUUUUAAAAAAAGAAGAAAAUAAGGUCUAAAAGAGUUAAAUGACACUCUGUCAAUUUCCUCUCUCUCUCUCUCUCUCUCUCUGUCUCUCUCUCUCUCUCUCUCUCUCUUUCUCUCUCCUGGGUACAAUGGGUCCCACAAAGAUAAACAAGGAAUUUUACAAUAUGAUAGUAGAGACAGGCAUUUUCUAUACAACUGAAAUAAAAAUAAUGUUUUAGAUUAAUUGAGGAGUAUAAAAAUUACUAAGGAUUUAUAAAAGAUAAAGCACUUAAUUUGUGCUGGAAAGAAUACAAAAGAAAGACUUCAUUAGAGGCCCUGCUGUAGGAGCCGGGAUUUGAAAGGUGGGUAGAAAAAGAACUUUGUCAAGGAGAGAGGUGAGGGGUGAGGAACAGAUGGGGAAAGGAAAAAUGGAAGACUGGAAAAGGAGAUUGAAAUUAGAUCAUAGAAGACCUGGAGUGUUUUCAAUUUAGUUGAUUUCAGAGAAUUUGAGGGGAAAAGUCAAUUGGAUGAUGCAAUUAGAAUUAUAACUCUGAAUAUAUAUAUGUAUAUAUAUUUUUUUUCUUGGAGAAAAACACAGAUCAAAGAGAGCAGAGAAUAUUGCAUAUUUCCCAGUGGCCUCUAGGAGUGAUGGGAGCUAAGAGAGAGAAAGGAAGGAAGGGAAGCUCGCCAAGAUGGAAGGAUUGGAUUUGAUGGAUAUUUGUUUGAUGAUUAUUUACCUGUAGGGGCAGGUGGAAAGAGAAAGAACGAGAGUGGUUCUGAGGUCUCUGGCAUUAGUGAGAGGGAGGACAGAAGGUUUGGAAGGUUAAGGGCGAUCAAUGAUUCAUUUUGUGCAGCAGACCAGCAGAUUUAGCAAUAAGGAGAUGAUGGACACUGGAGGCAGUGUCUUCACAAAUGGAAAUCGGAUUGCAGUGUUGAAGAGCAUGUGAAAGUUGGGGAAGUUGAACUGUAUAGUCAUGAAAUAAUUAUUUUUCAGAAAUUUGUCUAGCUUGGCGGAGGAGAAGGAGUGACAACCUGGGUAAUGCUAGCUGAUCUGACAAUGAUGUUGAUGAUGAUGGCUAAAUGUUAUGGAGUUCUUGAAGGUGCCUGGCAUUGCCUUAAGUACUGUCCCAUUUACUCUCCAUAGCAACCUCGUGAAGGAGACGGCAUUAUUUUCUUUCUACUGAUGAAGGAAAGAAGAUGCCGGAAACUCAGUGGAGUGCGAUCAUCCAUAUGACAGACAUGUUUCUAAGACUAAAGCAUCUGAGCUUUAAGUGUGAGACAAUGCAUUCACAACAGAAGCUGUGGCACUUUGUACACCUUUAUUUUAUCGUUGCUAGUGGACAGUGCAGCCAUCAUCCAAGACACAGGGUGGAGGUAGAAGUUUGACAAGUGUUCUCUAAUGGCCCUUCGUUAGAAGAGCAGGCUCUUAGAGGUGGAUUUCAGUUUCUUUCUAAAAUUGUUACAUAAGUGUGGUUAAGACUAGAAACUUUAAUGCAUCGUGGAGUUAGUAUUUAUAAACAUGAUUGGAACAGUGCUUAAGAAGUCAAAUGACAUUAGCCGGUGUUAUUACCAUCCUCGUCCAUCCAUCCAUCCAUUCAUCCAUCUAUAAAACCAGGAAAUAGGGAGUUUUAUCUACUAGACACUGGGGAACUCAGAGAUGAAAGAAAGAGCCUGCCAGAAACAGUCCGGUGGGGGGAGGAAUGUAGAACAGCCAACUACAGGGUACUGAUCCAUUAAAAAAACAGUUGAGUUAAUUACCAAGCAUCUUAAGUGGCAAACACUCUCUAAGCCUUGAAGACAGAAAAAAAUAACAAAGGCAAAUAGAAUUGAAUGCUUUCAUAUUUAUAACCUUUAUGCAAAAUAAGAAAUCUCAUUUGGAGCUGAUUAAGCUAUGAAUGUAACUUGUAGCAAAAUAAAAGGAAACUGUAUUUAGUAUAUAAUGUCAGUUAAACUGUUAGGAAAUUAGUGGACAGCUCACAGAUUAGUGAUCAAUGUGGAUAGCCAGCCAUUUGCUAAAGAGUCGUCAACACAUCUAAACAAGAACAAAAAUACUACAUCUUAAACAGCAAUCAGAGAAAUGUAAGUUAAAGUCAUUAUGACCUAACUUUUCCUUUGCAGACUAGACACAAAAUUUUAAGACAUUUUCAGUGACUGUCAAUGUGCAGUAAAAUGAGCUCACUCAUGCAUUACCAAUGAGAGUAUAAAUGGUACAAUCCCUUGAAAAAACAGCCUGGCAAUGUGUAAGUCUGAAUGGACCAUUCUAGUGAAAUAUAAUAAAGUAUGGUGAGAGCAGUGUGCAUCUAAAUUUCAGCGUAUUUAAAGUAGGAGAAGACUGGAAUCAUCUAAAUGUUCAUUUAGAUAGGGGGAGUGACUAGGUACCAGUGGUUCUAAGGGGCCUUUUAGAAGGAUGUUAGUAAUCUUGUUUAACACCAUGGAAAUCACCCACAUAACAAUAAUGAAUAAGUAAAGAAAAAGCAGGUCACAAAAAUUAUGUACGUAAAAAUAUGGUCAUUAAAAAUGGAGAGGAUCUAUUUUUGUGGUUGUAUUGGGUCUUGGGGCACAGGUCUAUAAGUGACUUUUUUCGGGUUUUCCACAUUUUACAAAUUAUGUUUAAUUAGAAUCUAGUUUAUGAGUAUGUAUGCAUGCAAUCAUUUUCAUCACCAGAUUAACAUUAAUUAGUAUUUUAAAAUAUUCACUAAAUGAUUUCCAUUUGAUUUUUUAGGAUGACUUGUAAGUUAGAUAAGGCUGGCAAUAUAUUUUAGAGAUUAAACAAGAAGAUUUCAUGACUGCCCAAUAUUGAAAAUAUUAUUUUGGAAAAAGUCUUAACAAUCUUUUUUUAUUUUUUUUUUAAAUUUUUUUUUCAACGUUUAUUUAUUUUUGGGACAGAGAGAGACAGAGCAUGAACAGGGGAGGGGCAGAGAGAGAGGGAGACACAGAAUCGGAAAAAGGCUCCAGGCUCUGGGCCAUCAGCCCAGAGCCCGACGCGGGGCUCGAACUCACAGACCGCGAGAUCGUGACCUGGCUGAAGUCGGACGCUUAACCGACUGCGCCACCCAGGCGCCCCAUUCUUAAGAAUCUUUAUACAAAAAAAAAAAGAUGUGGAAGGAAAAGAUUAAGUAAAAGUAGUUUUCUAAGUUAGUUUCUAGAUAUAUUUCCUUACAAUAUUCUAAGAAUUUGGGGACAGAGAGAAGGAAGGUCAGAGAGGACGUUCUGGAGGGAAAAAAUUGCAUGCAUUUUUUUUCUUUGAAAGCAGCUAAGUGCCAGGAAAACAAAACAAAACAAAAUUUACAAAUGCUUCGUAUUAGACCAGGAGCUUUGUGUCCAAGUAGAAGGGCCUUAGAAUUGGAAUCUGUUUAUUGAGAUGACAUUAUUGGAGUUGACAGUGUGAAUUAGAGUGUUUUUCUUGGCAUCCUGCACUCCUUUUAAUAUACUCUUGUUUUUUCACUGGGUUUGGUGCGCCGUCGUUCAAUACUGGUUCCAUCCCCACCACACCAUUGGAGGUAGACCCAACCCACCACUUUGUUCUUGAAAAAAAGUGGCAGUUCCGGUCAUAUCUGGAUUCCAGUCCAGAUUUUGCUAUUCCACCAUUACAAGGUCCUGGGCAAAUGAAGCUCUCUAAGGCCCUGUGUCCUUGUGUUUAAACUGAAGAAGGUGCCUUGAAAAGUGAUUUGGGGGGACAAAAUGAAACGACAUGGAGUAAGAUUUAGCAAAGCAUUCACCACAUAAUACAUGUUCAAGAAAUGUAUCCUUCCUAAAGCAGCCACUGGCUACUCUGCUCUUGGUUCUGAAAGAUGGAUAUGAUGGUUCUGUGUAAUUCACUUGCUAGAUCAAAGUCGUAGGCAUUUUCGUCAAAGCAUUCACUUUAAUUUAAAAAUUAUAUUACACAUAGAGUAAUAUGUUUAGUAAAUUAUUAAUCGGUUGGAGCCUAGCAGGUAUUUCAUUAAAGGAUAUCUCAAAUUUAGUGAAUCAAAGGUAAUUGAUUUUUAGAACUUGAACACUUUAUCAAGUUUGUAACAAAUAUUGAGCCCAAUUUUACCUCAUACAAGAAAAGGUUACCUAAGUUGUCUACAAAGGAAAUAAAUGUUCCUUUAUAAACAUUCAAAAUGAUACACUCACAGAUUUCUUUGUCAUGAUUAAUAUAUCACUUUUGUUACAAGAUAAUUUUAAAAGAAGACAGAGGCAUUAGUAAUACUUAAUACUAUCAAACACCCGAAUAAUGUUAUUACAGGCAAAUCUUUAUUUUUUUUCAACCUGCUUACCACUCAGCUAAACCAUGAAAGAGACACUAAAGGAUAGACUAGUUUUAAAAAAAAUCUAGACCAACAUUCUCUAUGGAUCAAUAUCAGGAAUUUAGGGUCUUUUUCUAGUCUUAAAAUACUCUGGUCUGUGAGUCUUUAAUAUCACAAAUUAUAAAGUUGAGGAAUAUCCAAUCCUUUUCAACUACAGGAUGAACGCUGACCCUUCUAUUUGAUUUUUUAACACAACGGCUCUGUUUAUUAUAACCGUUUGUUACCAUAAAAGUAUAAACUGAAAGGUAGCAAUGAUGGGUGAGUGUAAUAUAUUACAUUAAAUAAACUUGUCCUGCGCGCAGUACAUGGAAAGUUCUGUUUACAUUACAGGAAGCUGUUUUCUGCUGCAUUUACAAUUCUGCUGGGCAAAUAAAUUAAGAGAGCUUAUGACAGCUCAAUUUAGUUUAUCUGGUCAACCCCCAAAGACAUUAUUAGUAUAAUUUUAGCAUAUUUAACUUUAUAUAGGUAUUUUAUAAUGCAAUCUCAACCAUCUUUUUUUUUAAGGAAAGGAUGUUUUCGCUGAUGAUGUAGAAAAAGAGAGCAAAAAAAUAAAAUUGCUGCACAAAAACCUGAACAAUACAAUUCAACAUACAGAAUCCUUGCAGAGGAGGUGAAUAUAAAGGUCAUUAUAUGAGCUUGAAGGAGAUUUUAAAAACAGAAAGACGUGUAAUGUAUUAAAAUAAUAUUUUUUCAUUCUCCUUCCUACAGGUUGAUCUAGGGUCCAAUGUUUAGACCCAAGAUAGAAAUGAAGGAGUUGGAGGGCGUAUGGUGUGGAAUUUUGCAGAUAGCUCCAGGUGCUCUUCUGUAGUCAUUUAAAAACAAUUUUUUUUAAUGUUUAUUUAUUUUUGAGACAGAGAGACAGAGCAUGAACAGGGGAGGGUCAGAGAGAGAGGGAGACACAGAAUACAAAGCAGGCUCCAGGCUCUGGGCUGUCAGCAUAGAGCCCAACACGGGGCUUGAAUCCACAGACUGUGAGAUCAUGACCUGAGCCGAAGUCGGACGCUCAACCGACUGAGCCACCCAGGCGCCCCCUUCUGUAGUAAUUUUUAAGAAAAUUUUUAAAUGUUUAUUUAUUUUUUGGGGGGGGAGGGGCAGAGACAGAGGGCGCCACAGAAUCCAAAGCAGGUUUCACGCUCUGAGCUGUCAGGACAGAGCCCAAAGUGGGGCUCAAACCCACAAACCGUGAAUGGGAUCUUGACCUGAGCUGAGGUCAGUUGCUUAACCGACUGAGCCACCCAGGUUCCCCUCUUUUGUAGUAAUUAGAAUAGAUGACCCCAAGACAAGAAAUUUAGUUCAUUAUACUAUUCACUUAACUAGACUUAAUUUUCUCAGCUUUCUGUUACUUAGGAUGAAUUUUCAUUUUCUGGGUGUGUAGGUCUGUCAGUGUGUGUGUGUGUGUGUGUGUGUGUGCGCGUGUGUGUGUGUGUAUGCGUGUGUGUGUGUAAAAUUGUAACAUAAAGAGGCAGGGUAGGAACACGGAAUGGAAAGAUUCAUGGGUUUGGAGUAAGAAGACCUAAAUUCAAGUCCCUGCUUAGCCAUGUGUUAGGUAGGUGACCACUUUCUUUAAUUACAUUUUUGUUUUAAUUCAACUGUAGUUAAUAUAUAGUGUUAGUGUCAUGUUACUUUCAGGUGUACAAUUUAGUGAUUCAGCACUUGCAUACAACACCCAAUGCUCAUCACAAGUGCCCUCCUUAAUUCCUAUUUCACCCAUUCCACUCACCCACUUCCCCUCUGGUGACCGCCAUUAUGUUCUCUAUAGUUAAGAGUCUGUUUCUUGGUUUGCCUCUCUCUUUAUUUCCCUUUGCUUGUUUGUUUUGUUUCUUAAAUUCCACAGAUGAGUGAACUCAUGUGGUAUUUGUCUUUCUCUGACUUAUUUUGGUUAGCAUAAUACUCUAUUUCCGACCACAUUGUUGAAAAUGGUAAGACUUCAUUCUUUUACAUGGCUGAGUAAUAUUCCAUUGUAAAUGUAUACCACAUCUUCUGUAGAUGACCACUUAAGCAAACUAAAUUACUGGGGGGCUUAGUUGAGGCUCUCAUCUCUGUUAACUCAGAGUUACAUGGUAAAUAUGGGUGCCCUGGACCUAUUAAUAAUACAGGAACCUUGGCAAAUUAUGCAUUUUAUGCCUUUUCAAGCCACUAUUCUUUACAUUUCCCUCCAACCAAGUAGGUCCCACUUGUCUAAAGCAUCUCAUGGCUCUGCAUUUGCACAAGUCCUUGACUUUGUCAAGGAUGCCUUCCUGCUCCCUCCUAGGUAAGCACUUGUCGUCCUUCUGGGCCCAUCUUAGACGCCCCCUCCAUUCUAAAGCUUUUCUUAUUACUUUUUACUUAUCUCUUCUUUUGUUUUAAAAACAUCUUUGGCUUCUAAAAUUAAUUUAAAGGGCAUCUGGGUGUCUCAGUCAGUUGAGCGUCUGACUUCAGCUCAGGUCACGAUCUCACAGCUCGUGAGUUCAAGCCCUGCAUUGGACUCUGCUAACAACUUGGAGCCUGGAGCCUGUUUCAGAUUCUGUGUCUCCCUCUUUCUCUGCCCACCCCCCCAACUGCUGGUGCUUUGUCUCUCUCUUUCAAAAGUAAAUAAACAUUACAAAAUUUUUUAAUUGAAAAAAUUAAUUUAAGUACAUUGCAUAAAAAUACAGAAACAAAAAAGUGAAAAUAAAUAUGAUCCAAUACUCCAUGAAAAGAGAUAAAUACCCCUAGUAUUUUAGUAUAAUUUUACCAACUUAACCUUAUACAAACCCACUUAAAUAAAUGAAUUAGUGGGGCGCCUGGGUGAUUCAGUCCAUUCAGCAUCUGAUUUCAGCUCCGGUUAUGAUCUCGCGGUUCAUGGGUUUGAGCCCUGCUUCGGGCUCUGUGCUGACAGCUCAGAGCCUGGAGCCUGCUUUGGAUUCUGUUUGUGUGUGUGUCUCUCUCUCAAAAAUAAACGUUUAAAAAAAAUAAUAAUAAAUGAAUAAAUAAAUAAGUUAGAAGAGUUUAUGACAGCUCAGUUUAGUUUAUCUUGUCAAAUCCCACAACAUUAUUAUUUUAGUGUACUCACCUUGUAUUUGACUCUAACCGCUCCAGAAUACACAACUGCAAGAAAACCAACUUGGGAACCGAUGUGCAUGUAUGUUUACAUUCUCUUUUCCACUUCUCCUUAGAUCGUGUCUUUCAGUGUUCUGAGAAAACAUGGUUGUAAUCCCUUUCCGAUAUUCCAUCACACAGGUUAGAGUGUGAUUAGUGUAAUGCUUCCUCUCUUUGUUGUGCAUUGAGGCCGUUUAGAAUAUUUUGCUUUGACAAGCAAAGCACUCUUGUGCGCAUCUAAUAUUCUUUCCGCAGGACAAAUUCCUAGAAAAGGAAUUCCGGGAUGUGUACACGUUUCAUACUCUGGAAACAUACUGCCAAACGGGCCCCUCGGGAGACGGCAGCAUUUUGCUCGUCUGCCAGUGAGCUCCGCUCUGGGGCCUGUUUUCACGGCUCCUCCUGUGACAGCGGCCCUCAUCACGCCGUCUUUUCACAAUUUAUUUACUCGUCUCGCUCACUCUGAGACUGCAGACUUCUAGGUGACGGGAGCCGUGUCUUGCUCAUUAUGAAUCCCAGGGUCUAGCUCAGAGCCUAACCUAGCACAGGAAAGUGAGUGGGGAGCUAAAAUUUGGAGAAUGAAUUAUGCAGUUCCGGUUUUUGUUUGCACUCUGUCACAGUUUUCUGUACUUGGUUCUAAUCGUCAGUGAUCUUAAAAAAUACGCAGAAGCUGCCUUUUCUGCCACUUCAUUGAACGACCCUGUGAUUUCGACGUGUUACAUUUCGGACGGGCUUUGUUACAUCCCGCAACAGGAGAUUUCCUCCCCUAGACAGUGUUAGCUGUGUCGAGAAUAAAUAUGGUCAUGAAAAGUGAGUUUGUUUCUAUUUCACUUCCUUUUUUGUUAUUAAAAAAAUUUUGUAAUGUUUAGUUUGGAGAGAGAGACGGAGACAGAGACAGACAGAGCGUGAGUGGGGGGAGGGGCAGAGAGAGGGAGACACAGAAUCCGAAGCAGGCUCCAGGCUCCGAGUCGUCAGCACGGAGCCCACGUGGGGCUUGAACUCACAAACUGCGAGAUCAUGACCUAGAGCCGAAGUCAGACGCUUAACUGACGGAGCCACUCAGGCGCCCCUGUUUCACUUUCGAUGAUGAGUGUUUAGCAGAAAGAUUCUGUGAAGCUAGAUAUAAACAUAUCUUUGGAGAAAAAGUAUAGACUUUCUCGACAAUGCAAGGGAAUCCCAUACAGCUGGUGUGACCGUCCCAGGUAACUCAGGCUUAUAAAUGUCCACGUUGGUUACACGUUUGGUUUGUAUCAAGUGGAAUUAUAAGAUGUAAUAAUUUAUCUGUGGUUAAGUGUCUCUUCUUAAAUCUUUUAAGGACACUUCUCAAGGCAGUAUUGAAGUAUUACUUAUAAAAUUAGAGUGUCUGUGGAUGUGAUCCUAAAAAUCGCAUUACAGUAGUGAAUUGAUAGAUGAAAUCAGUGUUCAGCCAUCAAUAUCAAUAUAUUAAAUGUGGGCUUUGUAAGUAUAGGGCCAGCAACUGCUCAGCGAGUCUAAGAAGCACACCACAGCAGUCUGAAUUUGACUUUUAUAAUUCUGCAGAAUUGAAUUUGUAAGUUAUAUGGUACAAUACCAACAUUGUUGCCAAGAAUGAGUGUGUGGGCAAGAAAAGAUCGAUUACGUCAGGAAUGUGGAGGGCUGGCCUCUCAGAGUAUCUAGAGACCGGGCUCAGGAGGACACGUCUCGGAUUGAGAUCCAGCUUCGUGUGGCCUCAGGCCACUUUCUUCAACCUGUGUACCCUUCUUUCCUCACUGGGGUACAGGGACAAGAAGAGUACCACUUCACAGAUCUCAUACAGAUUAAACGAAUUCACAGAUAUGGAGCGCUUUAAACAGUGCCUGGAACAUUUUCAAAAAUCAGAGAAUCUACUGAAGCAAGAUCGUUAACCUCAGGAAGAUAUUUUUUUUUAAGAUUUUAUUUUUAAGUAAUCUCUACACCCAACACGGGGCUCAAACUCACAACCCUGAGAUCAAGAGUCGCAGGCUCCGCUGACUUAGCCAGCCAGGCGCCCCAAGAAGAUAUUUUUAAUAAACUUGGUAACCAGUAGGAAAACACUGAGCAAAGGGAUGGAAAAAUGAAAUACGUUUCACACCGCAGAAUAUAUGACUAAGAGUGUUCAGAACGAACUCUAAAUACAUAAAAUAUUUUAUCUUGUUUUCCUAAAUUCUAUUGCCUAUUAAAAUUGAAUGUUACGUUUUAGGAUACUUAUUCUGUUAGAUUUUAGAAAUAAAAUUAUUCAUUGAUUAACAGGCAGUACAUUUUGAAAUAAGAGAAUGUGAAAUCUGAACACACUUUCCUGUACCUUUUUUGUUGUCACACGACAUCCUUGCUUAAAUAUACUUUCCAUACAAUAUUACGCCCAUCCUUUAAAAAAUGGUGUUUAUCCAUUUCCCAUAACUAUGCAACACAAACUGAUGCCCACGUAUUAUAAUUCAAAUACAUUACAUUCUACCCUGAUUUAGGCCAGAUGAAGGAAAGAAAAUUCACAUGUCAACAUAAUUGUGAAUACGUGCGUUUGAAUUAGUUUAGCGUGGGUUUGGAUUCCAUAAAUGUAGCAGAAGUCACUGGCCUUUUAUAGAAGCUGGUUACAAUUUGUUUCUUUACAAAGUUUAUAUAGUUUACUGUUAAAUAAUUAACAGUACUCUCAUUACCCAUCCAUGAAUAUCUGCAACAAUAAGUGACUGAUGCCAUUUCCAGGGGGUUGACACCAUAGUGAGAAAAAGACCUCAGGAAUUCUGGAAAUUAAUUGCUUCAUGAAGCCCAGAUUCGAAAGGUGGGCUUAUUUUAAGAAUCUCUUCCAGAAGAACCACCGAGCUACUAAAUAUAUUCCAAUAUUUCUAAUACUAAUUUCCACUGUAGCCAAGAUACAUCACUGAGGUAAGAUCCCCGUAAUAAUAUAGAAUCAAUCACAGUCCAGUGCCUGAUGUCAGCCAACAAAGAAUAAAUGCAUGUAUCAAAUUCGUUACCCAAAGGGAGUAUAAAUUGUAGCAGAACUCUAGAUUAAUACCUGACAGUUAUAUUUACAAAGAAAGUCAUUCCGAUUCCAGAAAGCAGUGAAAGUGAAAAAGCUGACACAGACUUCUUCUGUAUUUAGGCUUGCUUCUAAUUAACUGAUGCGGGGUAGUGUUGAUAAAAGAGACCAAGAGAACGAGGAAACAGCUCCAGAAGCCUGAAAAACUUCAGGCCCGCUAUGGUGUCAUCAAGAUAAUUUAACUUCUCCGUUUUAUUUCGGCAUUGCUUCUGAGAAACGAGAGAGAGAAAAUGGAAUUUUAACUAGUGAUCUUUUAUUCCUACCUCACGAUGUUUGUCAGUAUGAAAUUAUAGCGAAUUCAGAAUAAUAAAUGGAGACGGGUUUGUUGCUAUCCCAAGUGUUGUUGUAGCAAGAGCUAAGCUAAAAUGCCUACCUUGGGGAAUAGGUCGACUUCUUUAAUGUGGUUUCAUCCAAAUGUAUGCAAAUGUCUGCCACACCAUCCGGGUUCUCAUUUUAAAUGACAAAGGUGCAUCUUUAUACAAUUUUGCACAAAAUUGUCACACAGACACAUUAUGUCAUGUUAUAAACAAGAUUUGCUCACUUCUAUUUCCACACAAGGAACACAGAUAUCUUCCAAAAGGAAUGAACAAAUUUAGCCAUUAAAAACAGAAGGGUGCACAUAGGUAUAAAUUAUGCCUUAUACGAACUAACACAUUGAUUGUGCAUUCUAUUAAAUAAUCUUAGAUACUGUGAAGAUUCUAGAAGAGUUAAAGUAUUAUUACUCUCGUGAGAAAAUAUAUGUCCAUUUGGAAGCAGGCACCAAAAUGGAUUUAGAUGUAGGAGAGAUUCCCUGGGGGAGAAGCCAGUGAAGGUAAGGACAGAGGAGGGACGAGUGGGGAGAGCUUGAGACCACAGUGCAGGUCUGGCAUCUGUGAAGGGAGCAGGGAAGGAGUCUCAGGAUGGGGGAGCCUCAGAGGGCAGUGCGGUUUGGAGAAAGGCUCUGAGCCUAAGUGUCGGGCCGGAAUAGCUGAUUCUUAAUUUUUUUUUUAAUGUGUAUUUAUUUUUGAGAGAGAGAGAGAGAGAGACGGAGCACAAGCAGGGGAGGGGCAGAAAGAGAGGGAGACACAGAAUCUGUGCUGUCAGCACAGAGCCCAACACGGGGCUCGAACCCACGAACCGUGAGAUCAUAACCUGAGUCAAAGUUGGACGUUUAACCGACUGAGCCACCCAGGCGCCCCCAGAAUAGCUGAUUCUGUCUGGUAGUCUGCCAUUGCUCGAUUACUGGCUUGGAGCAGCUGGAGUGGGGGUAGGGGUUGGACCUGGGGGAAGGCCACGUGGCCUGCUAGAAACGCCACAGUGGAUCAAAAAGUACAAGGACUAGAGGCUGCCAGGUGACGACCCUCCACAAAGGGAGGUCUGCUGCGGGGAGCCCAGAGCAGAAUUCUGUGACUGUCUUGCUGACCACCAUGGAGAAAGUACAAAUUUGCCUUUACACACGCACAGCCCCUGCAAGUGUAUCUACCUCUACCUUGUUUUAUACCCAGUUACUGAUGCACGUCUUCACUUUGUGGUCUGGUCUCUAAGUUUCAGCCCUCCCUUUGCUGAGGACUGGGAGUAUGUUCAACAUGUUGUCUUGUUGUGUCUUUGGUUUGUGUCAUACUUUCGGAGUUCAAACCAAGGGGUCCUUCGGGUCUGGAUUUGGCUCUCUACCUGGUUUUCUUUGUAUGAUCAUAAGCAGCGUACUUAACUUCUUUUUUUUUUAAGUUUAUUUAUUUUGAGAGAGAGAGAGAGCAGGGAAGGGGCAGAGAAAGAGGGAGAGAGCGGAUCCCAAAUAGGCUCUGCGCUAACAGCUUGAACCCAACGCAGGGCUUGAACCCAUGAACAAUGAGGUCAUGACCUGAGCUGGAUGCUUAACCAACCGAGCCACCCAGGCCCCUUUCUGUGCCAUUCUAAGUAAGGUUGUAGGUACUUGUGUCUUCUGUCACUAUCUAUGAAGACAUUCAAAAAUCUCUUGGCCCUGGAAAGAGUCGGAGGGAUGAGAUGACAUUUCUGUUGCUUCAUUUUUCAUUCAGAGCUUCCAAUAUUUCUGUACUUACGAGCCACAAUCAAGAGUCAGACACUUAACCAACUGAGCCACCCAGAUGCCCCAUUUACUUAACUUUUUAACCCUCAGUUUUCUCAACUGUCAACUGGGAAGGAAAAUAUAAAGUAUUGAAAGAGAGGAUUUAAAGACAGAACACAUAGAAACCUCUCAAUAUGAUGCUUGGCUUACCUCGAGCAUCUGAAAACAUUAACAAUUUUCAUUGUAACUGUAAUUUUUGAGUAUCCUUCUGUUAUCUAUACGUUUCAUACUCUUAUCUGGAAAUAUCUGAGUUUCUGUAUGCUUCCAUUUGAGCUGACGAGCUUUGUUUUGAAAGCUCCAAUUGUAUCCUUCAGUUUAAUGGAAAAUGUAGAACAAAUGAUGUCAGAGAUCUACAAAAUGCCAAAUGAGGACCUUGUCUAAUGCUGUGGAUUUUCAAUGUGGUGUUUUGUCUAUUGGCAAGCCAAAUCAAAGUUCCGUGAUGAGUACUAUGAUUUCAUAUUUCUGAGGAACAAAAAUAAAUAUUGAGGGCUGUGAGGCUUACAGAUAAAAGGAACCCCAGUACUUGUCAGGACAGAGGGCAAGACAUCUGCAGCACAGAGGUGCUUGGUUUACUAAUGAAAAAAUGAUACAUGUCUUCUUACCUUUGUAGCGUUGUGAAAAAUGCUCACCAUAAAAUUAUCUACUUGGGAAUGCCCUUGAUAAAUAUAAGAAAAAUACAGUUGUUUGAGAAAGAGAUUAUAAAGAGUGGGUUUGAAUACAACAGCUUCUCAUGUGGACCCAACCCAAGUGACUGGUGAAGCUGUUUUAUCACUUGCCCCUGCCAUUGACAGAAAUUGCUUCUCAUUCGAUACAUUUGUGGGGGACAACUAAGGUCCGUUAUGCUCUCCUUGUGUUUUGUCCAGGAAAUUACAUAUUACAAUGGUAGUUGAAUAUUAGGGUCUCAGAAAUAAACCUGUUCUCAGGAAGCUUGCAUUGUAUUUGGGAAAAGAAAAAAAAAAGAGAAAAGAAAAGUAAGAAACUAUAUAAGGAAAGAGUAGCAUAUAUAGUAUGUUGGGUGGUGAUAAAUGUAUGGAGAAAAAUAAAGCUGAGAAGCCAUUGGGUUUAAGAAGACAAGACCUACCAUAGACUGUGACUAUUUUUCCAGGCACAUUCAAGCCAUUGGAUCCAAAGGCCCAUAUUUUUAAGAUGCCUGGCUGGGUAUAGGGAUGUUCUGUGUGGCUGGAAAGCAAAGCUAAAUGCAUGAUCCAGACUCUAUUGUUAUGGUUCUAACUAAUACAAUAAGCUGCAGAUAAAAAGAAAUAGAGUAAAACCUUGGAUUGUCAGUAACUUGUUCUGUGAGUAUUCUGUAAGAUGAGCAAACAUUUUUAAUAAAUUUUAACUUGAGGGGCGCCUGGGUGGCUCAGUCAGUUGAGUGUCCGACUUCAGCUCAGGUCAUGAUCUCACCACUCGUGAGUUCGAGCCCCGCGUCGGGCUCUGUGCUGACAGCUCAGAGCCUGGAGCCUGCUUCCGAUUCUGUAUCCUGCUCUCUGUCCCUCCCUCACUUAUGCUCUGUCUCUCUUUCUCUCAAGAAUAAAUAAAACAUUAAAAAAAUUUUUUAAAAAUAAAAAAUAAAUUUUAACUUGAUAAAUGGGCAGCAUCUUGCAAUACGAGUCAUACAUGACACUGAACAUCUCAUGAUCACAGCUGAGUCAAUGGUUUUUGAAAUUCACUUUGAUAGACAAGUGCUUUGGAUGGCAAGCAUGUUUCCAGAACGAAGUAUGCUAGAAAACCAAAGUUUUACUGUAUAUUGCUUUCCAAACAGAAGUCCCUACUAUGUUGGUACUAAACCAAUAUAUUUAAAAGCAUAGUAUUUAAAAUUAAACUGGAAGGAAAAUAAAUAAGGUGUAGCAUAAUAAUUAAAAUAAUAAGGCAUACAUAUUAUGUCUAAAUUACAUAAGGUAUCAUAAAUAUACAAGCCUUAAAACUCAAAGGGUUUUAUUCUUGAAUGUAUUUAAAGGAAUUUCCAAAUUUUUCAAACCCUUGAUUUAGACAAUGACUGCUUUUAGUCUGCAUUGUUAUUAUUUUAUUUUACUUUAUUUUAUUAUUUUAUUUUAUUUUUUUUUUUUGUAAGGUCCUCAUCACAUAGAGUCAGAAAUUACUUGGUACUGUCCUGGAAAUAAAGACCACAGACACAAAAAUUUUUAAUUGUACAACCUGAAAUUAACAUAAUAUUGUGUGUUAACUAAACUUCAAAAACAUAUGUAAAAUAAAAAAUAAAAUAAAAUAAAACAAUAAAAAUGAAGUGAGGUGAAGUGAAGUGAAAUGAAGUGAAAUAAAGAGACCCUGCAGAUAAUCUUCAUGCAAGAGGAAGAAAUGGGAGAAGUGCCAUCAAAGUCUUCUGGCUAUUUGGUACUUUGGGUAUAUGGGCCUUAUUUAUACCCUUUAUGCAGAAAUGGCACAUUAUGUUCAACAGAGCUGUCAAGAAUUUCUUUAAAAGAAUUGUUUUCCUGGGGCGCCUGGGUGGCUCAGUCAGUUAAACGUCCGACAUCGGCUCAGGUCAUGAUCUCACAGUUUGUGAGUUCGAGCCACGCAUCAGGCUCUGUGCUGACAGCUCAGAGCCUGGAGCCUGCUUCAGAUUCUGUGUCUCCUUCUCUCUCUGCCCCUCCCAUGCUCUCUCUCUCUCUCUGUCCCUCCCCCACUCACACUCUGUGUGUGUGUGUGUGUGUGUGUGUGUGUGUGUGNNNNNNNNNNNNNNNNNNNNNNNNNNNNNCACACACACACACACACACACACACACACAGAGUGUGAGUGGGGGAGGGACAGAGAGAGAGAGAGAGCAUGGGAGGGGCAGAGAGAGAAGGAGACACAGAAUCUGAAGCAGGCUCCAGGCUCUGAGCUGUCAGCACAAAGCCCGAUGCAGGGCUUGAAUUUAUUAACCGACAGAUAGUGACCUGAGCCACAGUGGGCACUUAAUCGACUUAGUCACCCAGGUGCCCCUCAAGUACUUUUUAAACAAUAACCUUUACACCUCCGGUUAUUUCAGACCCACCGUGUAUUUGGACUUACACAAGGAGAGUCUUCCUGACCAGGCGGCUGACAUCCCAGGACAGGGAGGGACUUGCCAGGGGGAUGGGGCAGCUUUCUAGCAGGAGGAAAGACUUUCAUGUAAUAUCCCGUUUUACUUGGCCAAAUUCUGAUGGUCUGUAACAUAGUCAGUAAGUUACACGCGGAACAGAAGUUUCUUGGAAGUGGGUAGAGCCUUAAAAAAGAAUAAGUCUUUUGAAUGGACUGAGGUUACUAGAAGAGAAUGUAAUGGGCUACGAGAACAGAAAAUAUUAAUUUUCUUCUCUCUGUUUCUGCAAGUACCUUAAAUGUUUUUUAUUAAAUGAGUUGAAUCUUUUCUAUUUCCCAUUAAUUCCAUAAGAUAGUCAUAAUUAAAACUAAGAAAGAAAUAAAGCUUACCAAGGAAAAAAAUCAUUGUAUUAGUUUCCCUUCAUUUUUCUACUUACUCAGAUUAUGAUAUAAUAUGGAUGAAAAUAAACUGUCUUUGAAAGUGUCUGUAAGAAUCUAUUUAAUCUUCUUAAACUUCUCUAUACCCUGUGGACAGGAACCUUUCCCUAGAAUAUAGAUAUUUUUUAUAUUUUGUUUAGUUUUUUAAAUUUUCUUUAAACAUUUAUUUAUUUUUGAGACAGAGCACGAGUUGGAGAAGGGCAGAGAGAGGGAGACGCAGAAGCUGAAGCAGGCUCCAGGCUCUGAGCUGUCAGCACAGAGCCCAACGUGGGGCUCGAGCCCAUGAUCCUUGAGAUCAUGACAUGAGUCGAAGUUGGACUGCUGUCACGUCAUGAAGCUUAACCGACUGAGCCACCCAGGUGCCCCUAUAUAUUUCAUUUAUUUUCCAUGUUCUUUUCCCCCUCUGUUCUCUCUUGGGCAUGGGCUUCUAACCCCCAUUUUUCAGUCAUAACUGAACCAUUGAUGCUUACUGGGGAGAAGCUCUGCAGUGGUAAGGAGAGAUCUCUGCCUGAACUUGCCAUCCUUGAUCGAAGCCAGUGAAAUCUUUUCAUGUUAGGGGAUGGAUUUCCUACCAAACUCCAUUCAAAAGUCAUUUGUAACCAAUGAAACUAGUGGUUGGUUUCAACUCAAGGUUAGAUCUUGUAUGGUCUUUUCUCUUCUUCAUUUCUGCUUUGGGCAAUUCUUCUCUGUGUUUAUAUAUUAUUGAUCCUUUCUUAUUCUAUAUUCCUUCACAGAAGAAAAAUUCUGUACACUUCCCCCAAAAAGAUCUAAGGUGAUUUCCAAAAGUACUUGCACUACAACACAAUAAAAUUAAAUGAAGUUGUUAAGGGAAGUAAAGAUAGAAAAAUAAAUGAGCAAAAACGGGCAAUAAGUUAACAUCAAUUCGGCUGUGCUUAAAAGUGAUGGGAUAGAAAUAGGAUUAUAGUCUCUCAUCAGUUGACACACAAAGGAAAAUAUAAAGUAAAAUGCAAUGGUCUUUGUGUUAAAGAAGACUCAUAGGAAGAGUGUAGUCAUCCCCAUGCGGCAUAGAGGACUUUCAUGGUUCCUUAUGCAGAGACAUCGUGUCAUGUGAUGAGUAGUAUCUGUGAUACUGAUAGUAAAGACAAAAAUGAAAUUCAUUGCUCUGUUUCUUUUUUUAAGUUCAUUUGUUUAUUUUGAGCGAGAGAGAGAGAGAAAGAGCAAGCAAGCGGGGGAGGGACAGAGAGAGAGGGAGACACAGAAUCCGAAGCAGGUUCCGGGCUCUGAGCUGUCAGCACAGAGCCCGACACAGGGCGUGAACCCAUGAACCACGAGAUUGUGACCUGAGCCAAAGUCGGAUGCUUAACCAACUGAGCCACCCCGGUGCCCCUGUUGUUUUUUUUAAAACAAAGUACACUGUGGGAGGAUUGGCUUCCCUCACCCUGUCGUACUUCCUUUACUUCUAUGCUCCUCUUGUUUUGUGUAUGUUAAAUGCAGAUUCUCUGCAAGCAAACCUUAGCGAAUGUGCUUGUCUCCAUAAACACACAGUAAAUAAUACAAUUCCCUUGACAAAGUGAGCUCUUCAGGUGGUAUUUCUGGUUGAAAUGUGGUGUGGUUCCAUCCAGCACUUGCAAACAUACACCCUUUGCCCAGGAAGGUAACUGAUACUAUUUUCUGCCCCUCUUCCGUCCCCCACUCCCGACUGCUGCCAAGACCCCACCCACGUAUGACACCUCCUCCUGUCUCCUCUGGGGACAUCUUCGUGGAUGACACCUUGACUUCAUUUUUUUUUUUUGUCAUCUUGCUUCCUGCAAGUUCUUUCUCCUCCACAUUCUCGAUUCUCUCCCAUUUUCAAAAGUUGAAUAAGUCAGGAAAAAAAGAACCUUAUGUUGAACCUGCCUUUUGGCCUCUCCACCCUCAGGUAAUACCACUUCUUUUCACAGAUGAGUAGAAAUUUUAAUUUUCAAAAUUGUGUUUGAUGUAGCUAUGAGUCGAACUUCUGUUUCUUGCAUGCAUUUAAACAAGUAAAUAAUUGUGAUUGGGGGUGGGGUGGGGAGAGGUUGUCCUCAAAUGUGAAAUGUAUGAAUGCUAAAUUUGCUUCAAAGGGAAAACAAAGGGAUUCAGGGGCAUUUACUAUAUUUGAGAACUGAGGGGCAUUUAUUUUAUUUUGCUUCAAGCAGGUUUAUGUGAGCAGAAGUGUUUAUUGUGUGUUAUGCCACUGGGUAGGUAAAUAAUGUACAUCUGGUAAUACAAGAACCCAUUUUUGUUACCCAAAGUUGAUCUGUUUCAAAAGUUGUGAUUUAGGAGCACCUGGGUGUCUCGGUCUGUUGAGCAUCCAACUUCGGCUCAGGUCAUUAUAUCACAGUUCGUGGGUUCGAGCCCCGCAUCGGGCUCUGUGCUGACAGCUCAGAGCCUGGAGCCGGCUUCAGGUUCUGUGUCUCCCUGUCUCCCUGCCCCUCCUCCACUCACAGUCUAUCUGUCUGUCUCCUUCUCUCUCUCAAAACUAAACAUUAAAUUAAAAAAACAAACAAACAAAAGUUGUAAUUCUGAAAUCCCAUAGUUGUCAAAAGAAAACCAAAAAACUUUUCUCAAUUUAUGCUCUUGUGCCAAAUCAUAAAUGCUUUUGUUUGGUUUUGUUUUUAUAAUACAAUGCAUCCCAGGGAUAUAAAAAACAGACUUUCAUUUUGUACAUUCACACUUUUACAGCUGCUUACAGGCUAUGUGUAAAAAUAACUUGACUAAGAGUUCACUUUUCUGGCAGAUUAAGAUAGCAAAAUAGAUGAUUGAUUUUCAGCUACUCAGACAUGCUCUAAUUAGAGAUAAUUUUUAAAUGUGUAAAAUACUUUUAGAUUAACUUUACAUAUAGUGUGUUUGACACCAAAAAUGAUUUUGCUAGCUUUUGAAUUUAUAUUUCAAGUUUAGUUGACAGCUAUUUCUCCAGCUUCCUUCCUUGAUAGUUAUAUUUUACUAGCAUAGUGUUUUGAAAUUCCAGACGACGAACGAAACUUACUCUUUUCAGACAUUUUAUGGAAUCGGUCGUAGACAGUGCUACAUCUCUUCGACUUCAGGUUGACAAAAUUAAUUUUCUGAUCGCCAGUCAGUAAAUACAUAAUGAGAGUAAUAGAGAAAAUGUAUGAGUCAUGAUUCCUAGAAAAAGCAGUUCACUUUUAGGCAGCCAAAAUACCUAACUCCCAUUUUGUAUUAUUCCGGACUAUGUAUAAUGACUUCAUUAACUGAACAGUGUAGUUCCCAGAGUGGAGACUAUUCACACUGUAGUGAUUGCAGUGAUGAGAUGAAAUGAUACCAGCCUUGGGAUGGUAUGUAACAGAGGAUAGUAUGCAAUUAGGAAGCAAAUAAACAAAUAGAUAAGUAACAGCCCAUUGCAUUCGUGUGGCAAUUUUGGGAGAAUUUAUUUUCCAACCAAAGUCAGAACUUGUUUCCACGUAUAAUCCAGUUUUCAUAAAUUUUGGGGUGUGCCCUGAGAGGCUUUCGUGACCACAUCCAUUCGGAUUCUCCUUGUUCCUCCUUGCCCGUUCCUUUGUUCUUUUCCUGGACCUGUGCUUCUCUACUCUCUGAUUCUGUGCGAGCACCCGAGCAGAGCUUUCUGAAUCUGUCACUGUCACAUUUAUCUUUCUUAAAUACUGCUCCCACGAUGACUCUUCUCUGCAAAUGUAAGUUUAGCUCUUACCUGUCUGCUCUUAGAGCUAGAAUCUAAAAACCCGUGUGUCUUCUUCCCCACUUGUCACUGGCAUGCAUUCUCUCUUUCCGUCUGACUUGUCUUCCUCUCGUGCUGGACUUCACUUCCCAGUCCUGUGAACUCAUUCCUUCCCUGCUUUCCGUGGGGGGUCUUUCUCCCUCUGCCCGGAACGUGCUCUUUUUCAUCCCCAAAGCUGUGCGAUGCUUUUAGCGGCAUGCUUGCGGUUGGGGUUUGUUUCUGGGUGUGAUGGAUUAAAGAUGACCACAAGUUAUUGCGCAUUCUUCCUGCCGAGAUGUGAUGACCGUGUCCCCUACCCCUGAACAUGGGCAGGUCCUGGACUGUUCUGACUAACACAGAAUGUCAGGAGGGACACUGUUGAUUUCCAUUCCUGAGGCUCAAGAGAUCGGUAGCUUAUGCUUCCUUUCUCCUGGAGCACUCACUGUCCACUCCCCCAGCCUCUAUUUAAAAAGUCUGACUACCCUAGGUGGUCCUGUUUCCUUUUACUAAAGAAGUGACUAUAGGGGCGCCUGGGUGGCGCAGUCGGAUAAGCGUCCGACUUCAGCCGGGUCACGAUCUCGCGGUCCGUGAGUUCGAGCCCCGCGUCGGGCUCUGGGCUGAUGGCUCGGAGCCUGGAGCCUGUUUCCGAUUCUGUGUCUCCCUCUCUUUCUGCCCCUCCCCCGUUCAUGCUCUGUCUCUCUCUGUCCCAAAAAUAAAAUAAAAACGUUGAAAAAAAAAAAAAAGAAGUGACUAUAAGGGUACCUGGGUGGCUCAGUUGGUUAAGCAUCCGACUCUUGAUUUGCGGCUCAGGUCACGAUCUUGAAGUUUCUGAGUUUGAGCUCCAUGUCGGGCUCUGUGCUGACAGUGCAGAGUCAGCUUGGGAAUCUCUCUCUCUCUCUCUCUCUCCCUCUCCCUCUCCCUCUCUCUCUGCCCCUCCCCUGUGUGCGUGCUCUCUGUUUUUCCAAAGUAAAUAAAUAAACAUAAAAAAAAAAUAAGUGACUAUAAUGGGUUCCUGACUCUAACUUAUGUUUAUAUUUGAGACUUUCCCCAAAACAGUGGUCUCCAAAGUACAAAAGACGAUCUACUUAGGUGUAGGAAGUAAAUAUUAUCAUUUGCAUUACUAUGUUUUUUUUUGUAGCAUAUUUUUAAAUUUCCCUUAGGUGCAUCAUUUCUAUUUUAGUGACAUUAUAAUGUGUAAUACAUGGUUGUGAUUUAUGUAUAAAUAUACACCUAUUUGAGGCAUGUGCAUAAAUAUUUUUUAAUGAAAAAGUUGAAUUGUUAACAAAAUCAAAGUCUAUGAAUCUGUAAACAUCAAAAUCAUCUUUGGGGCGCCUGGGUGGCUCAGUUGGGUAAGCGUCUGACUUCAGCCCAGGUCAUGAUUUCACGGUUUGUGGGUUCAAGCCCCAUGUCGGGCUCUGUGCUGACAGCUCAGAGCCUGAAGCUGCUUUGGAUUCUGUGUCUCCCUCUCUGCCUGCCCCUCCCCAGCUUGUGCUCUGUCUCUCCAUCUCUCAAAAAUAAGUAAAUGUUAAAAAAAAUUUUAAUCAUCUUUAACCUAUGUGUGUAUAUGCAUACUAGUGUUUCCUAAAAGAAGAGCAAUUAUUAACGGCUGAUGUAGCGUUGCAAGUCCCUGAAAGGGAGAACGCACAAAUAAAAGGCAGUGAGCCAAGGCCUCUCCUUGCAGAAUUCCAAAGUUAUGCCUCUAAUUUGAUUUAUUCCCCCAGAAUCGAAUUCAGUUUCUUUUUAGGUGCCUACAAAAUUUCUCUCCACGAAUGUUUCGUAAUAAUAUCAAAGCCUAUAAACGGAGAGGUGGUGUUUCCCAAGUUUUCUUUAUUUAUACGGUGACUGCUCAAUCCUUAACACCCAGGAUAAGCCAGUGCAGCUCUGUGCUGCUGUGUGCCGACCUUCCAGAAUCGGGGAAGGGGUGGCCCCGUCUCUCAGUUCACAGUGCGUUAGUGAAAGCUGUGCUCUGGGCUUUCUGGAGAGAAGUGACGUAACAAAAAGAACCUUGCAGGCUUACGGGAUGCCAUCAAGAAAAGCAAAAAUCUGGACGUGACCUAAGACAUCUGUAGGCCAGGGAGUUGUUCAUUCUGGCUACGGCACAGGGUAUGUGUAAGAGGAAAUGGGCCGUUGGAUGGGCGAGGUGUAGUAUCAGGUCUCGAAUGACAGGCCAGGAGUUUAAAUGUUACUCUGCGGCUGAGGAAAGUAGCUUUUGACGCAGGCAAGCAGGCGGUUGAGCAGGAUGGCAUUGACGGUGCUGUGCUCGGCAGGUUCCUUCCGUGGACUUCUUGCCUGUGUUUGCCAUUCGUAUGCAGCACUGCGCUUGCGUUUGCUUCCACAGCUAAGCCAGGAGGUGUGUAAGGUCAAGGGUCACUUUCGAUUCUUCUGGGUCCCCGCUGCCUUGGGGAGGGGCAGCGAACUUAGAUUCAGGUAACGCCCCGUCGUCCUGCGUAAUUGCAAACUUCCCAUCUGGGUGCUGAGAUACGUUUCUGAGAAAAAGGGGUCUUAAUUUCCAGAGUCAGUUUUGUAUUAUGUAGUAGUUAUUACUGUAAAUUGCAAGUUGCAAUUCUACUCCAGUCGUUUGGGUUCACGUACAUCUAAGAUGGACAGGAGGAUGCUAUCAUCUGUGCUAAUAACCGGGUGGAGAAACCGGACGCAGGCGGUUUCUAUCAGCUUCUCAUGGUCACUAACUGGAGCAGGUGCAGGCCUGAGACUAAUGUUCAGAUGUUUGGGUCUUUUUCUGUGCCUCUCCUAGUCUCUCUAGAAGGUAUUUACAAUCCUUGGAGAAAGAGUAAUGCAGUUUUUAAGGUACUAAACAAGUGCUUUAUUGUUGUCCUCUUUAAAUAGGUGAUUAAGUAUACCGAAUCUUUUCCUCUGGUUAUUUCAUUUUUCUUUUUUCUUCAACACAGUACACUUAGCAAUUAAGAAAGUGACCAUGUCACGUUGAACACUACAUCCCUCGGGACUUGAAACACAGAUUUCAUGCUUAGAUGUGCGUGCUUGUUUUCCUUUUGUUUUUUAAAAAGUUCUCUGUGAUGAACAGUUUCCAAUGAUGGGUGAAUGAGUUUAAAUGCCUUUAGAUCUUAAGAGAGCACAGACAGGAAGAAAAAAAUAUCUGGAGGCAUUGAAACAAGUUUUACCUGUUGGCUUCAUUUUAAAGUAUGCAGCUAUUGUGCUAAUAUUGAAUAGCACGUGACACCUUUGCUGAGAUAGGUUAUUGCUUGGGUUGAAGAGAAUUAUGAUUAAUGACAUACUCUUGCUUAGUGGGUUGGCUCACUUUUAUUUUCUGUAUUUCCCAGAAUGCCAUCCUUAAAAUAGAACUCAUCAUUUUCUCCACCAAUGUUUCCUACCCCCUCCCAACUUUAUUCCAAGAUGAAAAGAUGACAAAAUGUGAUCAUUUGUCUCCUCGAAGUCUGAGGGUGUUAAAGAGUUCUGAGUGGUAAAACAGAUGGAAUUGUGCUAAAAAGCACAUGGCCCCUUAUAAUUUUUUCUUUAAAAAGAUCCAAAACUUAGGCUUAGUAAUAGAAUAUACUUUGCUAUUCUUGAGUAACACAUAAAGAAAUCUUUGCUUCUCCCUAUUCUGACUCACUGCUCUUUUCCCAGAGUGCAAAAUGUCCAUUUUGGAUCAGUCAUUGAGAAAUGCUGAUUUAAUAGACUUCCAGAAAAGGCUGACCAUGGUGGGUAACUCUAUGGAUAUGGGAAAUAAAGUAUAUCAAAUUAUAAGAUUAUUACCAAAUUUUCUUCUGACUUUGGUGACCAAGAGAAGUCUUCAGAUGCUUUUACCCCUGCAAUGUAUUUUUACCGUUACAUAAACGUUAAAUAUAUUUUUUCUAUAAAUAGUGACUCAGUAUGAACUUAUUUUAAAGUAUGGUUUUUCUUUUUUGUAAAUUAAAUUCGUUGAAGUUCAUGUCUGGUAUGAUGGUUCUGGCAAACGUGAAAGUGAUAGGUGCCAAUUCUAUACGAUUGAAAUUUCCUGUUUUCGGAGGAAUUUUUGUCAACUCCUAGAAACCGCACUACGGUCUUUAUAUGAGGAUCUUUAAAUUCCUUGCUUUAGGUGGUGCACUCAACUAUUUGAAACAAAGCCAUCUUAGUAUUUAGCAUUUGACGUACUGAAAUUAGAAACAGGAAAAUUGGACAUCAUUCCUAUGACUUUAUCUUAGAAUUUAGUGCCAGAUAUGUUUUAAGCGAUUAAUGUGUAAUGACAAUAUAUUCUCAUGUGCAAAAUACAUUGAAACAGGCCUUCAGACACAGAUCUCAAAUAAGGAAACUCAUGUAUCUACUGUGUGGCUCCUUUUGUUUUCUUAGCCACUUUUUUUUUAAAUAUGAAAUUUAUUGUCAAAUUGGUUUCCAUACAACACCCAGUGCUCAUCCCAACAGGUGCCUCCUCAAUAUCCGUCACCCACCCUUACCUCCCUCCCACCCCCCGUCAACUUUCAGUUUAUUCUCAGUUUUUAAGAGACUCUUAUGGUUUGUCCCCCCCCUAACUUUUUUCCCCCUUUCCCUCCCCCAUGGUCUUCUGUUAAGUUUCUUAGGAUCCACAUAAGAGUGAAAAAAUAUGGUAUCUGUCUUUCUCUGUAUGACUUAUUUCACUUAGCAUAACACUCUCCAGUUCCAUCCACGUUGCUACAAAAGGCCAGAUUUCAUUCUUUCUCAUUGCCACGUAGUAUUCCAUUGUAUAUAUAACCCACAACUUCUUUAUCCAUUCAUCAGUUGAUGGACAUUUAGGCUCUUUCUAUAAUUUGGCUACUGUUGAAAGUGCUGCUAUCAACAUUGCGGUACAUGUGCCCCUAUGCAUCAGCACUCCCAUAUUCCUUGGGUAAAUUCCUAGCAGUGCUAUUGCUGGGUUAUAGGGUAGAUCUAUUUUUAAUUUUUUGAGGGACCUCCACACUGUUUUCCAGAGCGGCUGCACCAGUUUGUAUUCCCACCAACAGUGCAAGAGGGUUCCCGUUUCUCCACAUCCUCACCAGCAUCUAUAGUCUCCUUAUUUGUUAAUUUUAGCCACUCUGACUGGCAUGAGGUGAUAUCUCAGUGUGGUUUUGAUUUGUAUUUCCCUGAUGAGAAGUGACGUUGAACAUCUUUUCAUGUGCCUGUUGGCCAUCCGGAUGUCUUCUUUAGAGAAGUGUCUAUUCAUGUUUUCUGCCCAUUUCUUCACUGGAUUAUUUGUUUUUCGGGUGUGGAGUUUGGUGAGCUCUUUAUAGAUUUUGGAUACUAGCCCUUUGUCCGAUAUGUCAUUUGCAAAUAUCUUUUCCCAUUCCAUCGGUUGCCUUUUAGUUUUGUUGAUUGUUUCCUUUGCAGUGCAGAAGCUUUUUAUCUUCAUGAGGUCCCAGUAGUUCAUUUUUGCUUUUAAUUCCCUUGUCUUUGGGGAUGUGUCUUAGCCACUUUAAGAAAGAAAUGGCCAGAAGACAAAAUGAAGCAGGAGAUAACUGUAUACAAGUCCAGGAAAUUCAUUAACAGACCAUUAUUAGUAAAUGAUGUCAUCUAACUACCAUAUUCCUACAGAAGGAAAAGUUAUUCUGGGAUUACAAAAGCCAAGAUGAGUAAGGGAAGACCAGAGGUUGUUAAUUCCAAUGAAAGUCAGGCGUAAUGAGAAAUAGAAAUUAGACUCAGAGUCAAAAGGCCUGAGUACUAGACAGUACUUCUCAUUUAUCUUACACAGAAAUCUGGGUAAUUUUUUCAGCCUGGGUCUCAUGGUAUCCUUCCUUCAAACUAGCCUGUUUUGUAGCAUUUCUGUGGAGGGUCAGACAGAUACAGUAUAUGUUAAAGUGCUUUGCACUUUCCUGACUGUUUCUAGCUAAAACAGACGGUACCUUGGGUUCUGACCCGCUCCCUCCAAUACCUUGUGCAUGCAGUUAAUUCCGCCCAUUUAUUUGACAUGUCUCUCUCUUUGUUAGACUGUACGCUCUUGAAGGUCUAUAUCUGAAUCAUUUUGGUAUCUGUAGCUCCUGACACAGUGAACGUUCUUAAUAAACGUAUGAGUGAAGGAAUGAGCAUUAUUUGCACAAUCAUGACUACAUAAGCAAAUCUUCAGCCUGGAUGCUAAGUAAAUUUAGUGGAUGUUCUGGAUACAAACUCUGAGCACUUUCUUGGAUUCCUUCGAUGGCCUCCUUCUUUCCAAAAGCCCCACCUGUUCCUGGGACUGUGUCCACCCUCCCUUGUCAGGCUCCCUCUGUAGGCUGGAGUCUGAGGUGAUACCCAGGGGCUGUGUGGCUCUUACACCCACUGAGACUUACCUGUGCCAGUCACCCUGUGGAGGAUUGAAUAGUGAUGUCCACAUUCUAACCCAUGGUACCUGUGAUUGUGACCUUAUUUGGAAAUAGCAUCUUUGUGGAUGUGAUUUAGUUAAGGAUCUUGAGAUGGGAUCAUCUGUCUGAAUUCGUGACUGCUGUUCUUACAUGAAAAGAGGAGGGACAUUUGAGACACAUAGACACAGAGAAGAUGGUGAUGUGCAGGUGCAGGCCCAGAAUGGAGAAAUACAGCUACAAGCCAAGGAAUGCCAGGAGGUGCCAGCAGCCACCAAAAAUUCAGAACAGAUUCUCCCUCAGGAACCAACCUGCCAGCAUACCUUGAUUUCUGACUUUUGGCCUCCAGAGCUGUGAGAGAAUAAAUUUCUGUUGUUUCAAGCCACACAGUUUACGGUAGUCGUUCACGGAAGCCCCAGAAAACUAAUAAACAUCUCUCCAUUCUGGUAGAGGAAAUGUUACCCUACGGGCUUGGAUCUGGAUCCCAGAGUGGUCCUCAGGAAGCAUCUCAGAAGUGUGGAUGCAUGACACCCGUAUAGCUCGAACCAGCUGGAAAUAGGAGCAGCCAGUCAGAAAGUGCUCCCCUCUGUUCGUCCUUUCUUGGAACAUGCCACUAUGUGGUUUCUUCUUUCAUGCUUUCCAGGGAAGCGCCUCCCUAUCACACUCCCCAAGCUACCUACAGCGUUUCCCCCCAGUUCGUCGUGGAGGCCAGCACUGUAAUAACAUCACAUGGCAUUGUUUUGUGUUUUCACUUUGCCUCGCUUCCUUCCUUCCUCCCCAUCACCUCCACAGAAUUGCACCUCACAGAACAAAAGUAUCAGUAUUUUAAUACUUGCUUCAGGCUCUGCUUUGUAAAAGACUUAGCUAAGACAGUGUGUGUAUUAAGUUGAAGAAUUACAACAAGGCUUUCAUUUUUACUGAAUUCACUUCCUGAAAACCUCUUGGUGAAAUAGAAUAGUUUUUAGCAGAAACAAUCUUAGGGGCUGAAUUCCUCGCCUAGAAUCAAAUAUAUCAUUUAUAUAAACAAUAAGAUUUCCUAUAAUUAUAUGUAAAGGCUAUAUGUUUUUAAUUGUUUAAAUAGUCCUGUUUAGUUAGGAUAUAAACAGUCCUAAGAGGGGGCACCUGGGUGGCUCAGUUGGUUAAGCAUCCACCUUCAACUCAGGUCAUGAUCUCACGGUUUGGGGGUUCAAGCCCCGUGUCGGGCUCUGUGCUGACAGCUCAGAGCCUGGAACCUGCUUCGGAUUCUGUGUCUCCCUCUCUCUCUUCCCCACCCCUGCUUGUGCUCUGUCUCUCUUUGUCUCUCAAAACUGAAUAAAUGUUAAAAAAUUUUUUUAAAUAUCCCUAAGAAAUGGGCAUAAAUUCAUGACCAUGGAUUAUAUGAGAGAACUCAACGACUCAUUAAUUGCACUUUGAAGAAUUUCAAAAUAACUUCUGCAUUUACAAAACUAAAUUUUUGUUAAUGUUUCAUUGUUGCUAGACUUCCUUUCUCUAGCAAAUGGUUCAGGAGCUCAGCUGAGGGAGAGAGAAAGCUGGGCUGCCAAGUGUUGGAGGAGCUGGAAUAUUUGAUGAAGGCAAAAAGCCAAGCAUGAAAGAGUUAAACCUUUCAUCACUGAGGUGUCACUAUAAGCAACUGUCUAAUAUUGGAGGAGGUGCUGAACUUGCCCAUUGCAACCUUCCCCGUGAAAUGGUGCACCAGUUGACGGUCAGGUGGUUCAGCACAGAAGUCUCACUGUAGACAGAGCUUUGAUUGAAAGCCUCUGGCGGAUUUAUGGACCCUGGCAGGGGCAGGGACACAAAACAACAAGGCAGGCAAAAUCUAGUAGUGGAAAAGCACUGGAUACUGAGUCAGGGUGGGGGCAAGUUGUCUUCAUGUGUUUCCCUCCCCCCCUCCCCAUAAGGAGAUCCUGGCAGAGCCACCUGAGGAAAACUCUGCCUGGGGUCUUAGACAGAGAGACCUAGGAAUGAAGGCACCAGGGCUGGAUAUGCAAACGUGGGUAAGAGCAUGACCAGCAAGGGGCUGGGGGGCCCUGAGUUUUGACCGUAACUCCCCUCUUUUAGACAUUGAGCGCACCGUCUGUGCACGAAGUCUGGCGUGGAGAGGACAGCUUUCCCCCAUGACAUCUGCCAGAGAAAGCCUGCGUAACCGCCUGUGGUCAGUUCUGAAGAAAUCACACAUAGGUUUUCACUAAGAGCCCAGUUCCCCAAGUGGUGUUGUUUUGUUUUGUUGUUUCCAGGUAGGAAGGACACCCCGCCGAGUGGGGGCAGGUAACCAAAUAUUCUGCAAACAGCUCCUUGGAGUCGCAUGCAUUUAUCAUGCUGGGUCCAACAUCACUUCAGGGAGGAGCACGAGUGACUGGAAGCCUAUGAGCCACAUAUGCAAAGCUAGCUUUUUAUACAUCUCUGCUCUUCUCCUAAUGACACCAUUCCUGGCCCAUCCUCUUCCAGACAGGCCUGAAUGGCCUUUUCUUGUCCUCAGGUGUGGGCACUGAGAACUUUUCUUAGCACUCAUCUUAAAUGGUUCUAUACUGACUCUGUUUUUCUUACGGAUUCGGUGCUUGUGGUCACCUAAUAUUGUACAUUCUAUGAUUUUCUCCCUGCUUGCCAUAGCCUGCCUCUAUAGGAAACCCUCGUUGCUAGAAACUCCUGAAAAGAAUGAACAGACUGAUAGGCCAUAUUCAUUGACAGCAGGCAAAAUGCAGUGUCACAAAUAGGUCAGUUCUCUUCAAAUGGGGGAGGCCCAAGUGCCAAGACCAGACAGAUUUAUUUUAAAAAUAUAAAGCAGGUAACAUAUCAACCUAAGAAUCUAGACUAGUGAAAAUAUCAACGGCAUUGGUGCAGUUAUAAACAGUAAACCAAGGAAAUAACAAAGAUCAGAAAUAGUCUCACAUACGAAAACAUUCUUGAUGUAUGAUAAAUUGGCAUUUAAGAAGAACACAUAACUUUAUGAGGCACUGGGGUGGCUUCAGUUCAGGUCAUGAUCUCACCGCUUGUGAGUUCGAACCCCACGUCGUGCUCUGUGCGGACUUGCUCAGAGCCUGGAGCUUGCUUCUGAUUCUGUGUCUCCCUCUCUCGCUACCCUUCUCCCACUCACGCUCUGUCUCUUUCUCUUGAAAAUAAGUAAAUGUUAAAAAAAAUUUUAAUAAAAAUAAAAAGAAUACAUUUUUAAAAAAUGGUGGUGGAAUAAAUGGGUGUAUGUAAAGACAAAAAUAAACCAAUUUAAAAGUAAAUCUUUGGUCCAUUAAAUACUAAUUGUACAAUAUGAAAACAAUAUACAAGAAUCUUUUUGUGAAUGAAGGGAAAUACGUAAAUUCUUAAGUCGAAUGCAAAAACCAUCUCAUAAGCAAAAAGGCUGAAAAUUUUAAAUAGAAUGUAAGCAUAUCCAAGCAAAACUUUUAAAAAGAUGCAUGAAAAAAUUAAAAACAAGUCACAGAUUGGGGAAAUACAUCUGCAGCACACAUUAUCAAGCACGGAUGGAUAGUUAGACUCCAGUAUAUAGAAAAUUCUUUUUAUAAAAAAAAUUCUUACAUACAGCAAGAAAAAGAUAACUCAGUAAAAGAAAUAAAGAAAAGAGAAGAAUAGGCAGUUCACGUAGGAGAUGGUCCAAAUGGCUGCAAAAAUGUGAAGCAAGCAGAGCUCUCAUGAAAUGUUGGGUGAAUCAUUUGUGUAAUUAAUUUGGACUGUAAUUUUACAAUACAUAGUAAUGCAAUUUUAUUCCCAGAUGUUGAUCUAUUAUUGACCACAUUGUUUGUAGUAAUGAAAAAAAUGUUAACAAUCUACAUGAUAAUAACAAAACAGGUAAAUAAAUUAUGGUAUACUGAUGUUGUGGAAUAACAUAAAUGAAUGGACCUGUGUUCUGAAGUCAAUGUGGAUAAACGUACCUCCUAAAUACAUUUAGCAAAAGCAAGUUAAAUAAGUAAAGAAAUUUUCAGAGGUGUACCUACGGUAUUAUACCAUUUCAGUAUUGUUAAAACACUGGUAUUAUUUAUGUGUACAUAUGUUUGUAGUAAUACCAAAUUCGAGGUCAUGGUUCCUCUGAGAGAGUAACAAAGAAGAAAUGGUAUCAGAAAGGGCUUCAGUAGAAUCAUUAUCUUAUUAGAAAAGAACCCAAACCAGCAAAUAGUAAGAUUUGGAAAGGCUGUGUGUAAGAGAAUGAUUUGCCAAAGUAUUUCACAAUGCAAAACAAGAAAUAAAAAGUCUUUAUCCAUAUAAAGGCGUUCCAUUUUAUUUUAAAAGAUAACAUCUAAAUCUAAAGAUGUCAUUUUUACUUAAUGAAAUGACAAAAGCCUUUAAAAAAAAAAGAAAAAAGAACCAGCAAAAAUAUAUUGAAACAUAGCCCUCCUAAGCUUCAUUGUGACUAAAUUCAUAAAAGUCCUGGAAGUUAACAUGGUGGUACUUAAUGCCUCAUGCCUUUUGCCCUGUUAUUGUUUCCAAUUCCCUAAUUCUGUUAUAAAUAAAUAAUUAGAGAUGUAGUCCAAGAUAUAUGAGCAAUAUAUAAAAUCACAACAAUAAAAAGUGAAAAAGUGGCUAUUGCAUAUAUAUUGUAUGUGUAAGUAUAAAUUUAUAUAUACAUGUAAUUUUGUUUGUUGGUGUAUCUGUGAGUAGACUAUUACAUGUAUAUGUUUUUGCUGAUUUAUUUUGUUUACUCUUAUGUUACCAUGUCACCAGCACUGGGAAUACUGACUGAUGUCUAAUUGUGCUCACUGAAUUAUUGUAGAAUGAUAUAUUGAGGAAAUAUAAUGAUACAGUUUUUUCUUUUUUUUUUCAGAGAGAGAGAGAGAGAGAGAGAGAGAGCAUGCAUGCAUGUGAAUAGUGAAAGGGCAGAAAGACAGAGAGACUCUCAGGAUCCCGCAACCAUGAGAUCGUGACCUGAGUGGAAAUCAAGAGUUGGGCACUUAACCUACUGAGCCACUCAGGUGUCCUGUAGCAAAUAAUUUUUAAAAGAUAAAGACAGUGUUGAGAACUAAUGUAAUCAAUGGCAAUUUGCUUGCAGGGAUGGGCUAUGCCUACACAGAACCUAAUCAUUACAGAUAAAAGAUGUCUUCCAAAAAUGAUCUAAAAUUACUUUUAGUGAGAGUCUAAGAGGUAGUAAGCAUCAACUUUUUUUAAUAUCAUAAGCUGAUAAAAUGUUACAGUAUUAGACCACAUUUACAGCAAACAAGAUAAACUAGGCAUUUAAAUAAGUUGGUAAUACUUACUACUGGGGUUAUACUCAGAGACAGUGAUAUCACCCACUCACAAAAAUGAGGUUAAACCAUAUUUUUACUUACGUAUUUGUUUGGGGGCGCCAAAAUACCGGAUAGAAAUAUGCAGUUAAGAGGAAGUUAUGUGAAAAACAACAAAACAGGAAAAUGGGAUGAUGUAACUGGUAAGUAAAUUAAGUUGACAAAAUAGGGUACAGUGUGGUUAAGAAACAAUUAAGUUAAAACAAACCAUCCAUGUUGUGUCUGUGAGGAAUAUAUACAAGUGAAACAAAGAGCUGGCAGGAAAGUUAAUAAAGCAGAGAAACAUCUUCCACAGUGUGGAAACCAGGUGGCUGCUCUAUAAGUGAAAGUAAAUCUCUAGCCUGUUUCUGGUGUUAAGUUCUCAAGUCCUGGUGAAAGGAAAGUCUGAUUCUUCCCUCAAUGGUUAACUGAAUAAAGAUAUAAAAAGGCCAGACAAAGGUCAAAUUUAGACAAGAGCGACUUAUCUCCACACCAGCAGCCUGACAGAAGAAGGGGGCACUCUUUUCGGAAGAAUAUGCUGCUACCUUCAGUCCUGAUUGUUCUUUGCACAGAAUAUUCAGCAUAAAAUAAUGACAAAGUGUUGAGGAAGCAAGAAAAGGUCACUGGUAGUCAAAACAAGAACAGUCAAAUCGAUGCAGACCUAGAAACGCUAGUAUUAGUAGGCAAAGGAUUUAAAAAUACCUGUAAUGUGUAUUCCAAAAGAUGUAUCGUUCUAGAAAAGGUAGACAAUGUGAAUCACUAUGUGGAAUUUUAGCAGAACAAAUAGAGACUAUAUAUUAAAAAAAAAAACAGUGGAAAUGAUGAACUUGAAAACUAUAAGAUAAGGGGUGCCUGGGUGGCUCAGCAGGUUAAGCAACCAGCUCUUGGUUUGGCUUAGGUCAUGAUCUCUCGGUCUGUGGGUUCGAGCCCCGUAUCAGGCUCUGUGCUGACAGUGUGGAGCCUGCUUGGGAUGCUGUCUCUCCCUCUCUCUGGCCCUCCCCUGCUUGCACUUUAUGUCUCUCUCUCUCUCUCUCCCUCUCAAAAUAAAUGAAUUAACAUUUAAAAAUAAGAAAAAAAUAAGAUUUGAAGAAUUCCAUGGACUUAACAACAGAGUGGAUACAGCAGAAGAAAGAAUCAGUGAAUUUUAAGAUAGAUAAGUAGAAAUUAUGUAAACUUAAACAUAAAGAGAAAAUAAGGAGUGAAAACAUGUAAUAGAUACCUAAGAACUAUAGGACAAUAACAAUCUUAUGUUAGUGUAACUGGAAUCCCUCUAGGAAAGGAGAAACAGAUUGAGGCAGAGGAAAUAUUUGAAUAAGUAAUGGCCUUUUUUUUUUCAAAAUUAAAGAUUGCCAUUUACAAACCCAGUAAGCUCAGUAAAUCUAAAUGGGGUGAAUACAAGGAAAACCAUACUUAACAUGCAUUGUAGUCCAACUGCUGUAACCAACGAAAUGAAAGAAAUCUUAAAAGCUGCCAGACUAGAAGAUCUACAGGAGAGCACAGGUAAGAAAAACAGAUAACUAUUCAGAAGAUACAGUGGAGGCUGGAAAGAUGAUGGAAUGUUUCAAAGCACUGAAAAAAUACCAGUCAACCUAGGAUUCUACAGCAAGAAAGAAAAAUAUCCUUCAAACAUAAGGACUACAUAAAACAUUUCAGGCAGACAAAUGCUAAGAUAAUUUGAUGAAGACAACUUACACUAAAUUAAAUACUAAAGGAAAUGAUUUAGUCUGAAAGGUUUAUGAUUAGGUUAUAACAGAUGAGAGCCCAGAUUCAUAGAAAAGAAUGAAGAACAACAAGAAGGAUAAGUAUGUAGAUAAAACAGAGGACUGCUUUUGGUUUACAUAUACUUGUGUUUGUGUGUGUGUGCGUGUGUAUGUAUGUGUAUCUUUAAAACGUAUUAACUACUCAGAGCUUAUAUAUAGCAUUACACCAUGAGAUUUAUAACACGUGAACAGCAUCUCAUAAUACUUAAUACAAUCUUAUAAAAAUAAGAGAUGUAAUGUAUCGAGUGCAUCCUAUGUGCAAAGUAUUGUACUUUACACAUUUAAAGUCAGGUGUAUAUCCCUUACUUUAUAGACGAGGAAAUUCAGGCUCAGACGACUGAAGUAAUUUGCCUAACAUCCUACAGCCACGUAGUUGCAAAGCUCUUCUACACUCCAAAUGCAUGAACAAAGUUAUAAAAUUGUUUGUAUAAACAUAAUACAGAAAAUAACUCCAUUCUACCAGGAAGCAACUAAUAAAAAAACCAUGAUGUUUCCAUUCUUUUUUUAUGGUGUUUCCAUUCUGUGGAAUAUUAUACAGCUGUUAAAAAGGGUCAUAUAUCUCAAUGUGCUGACCUGGAACAAUAUCCAUGACAUAAUUUUAAGUGGGAAAAGUCAGAUUAAUGCAGUGAGAAUAGCAUGUUUUCCUAUGCACAUAUAUGUGUGUAUAUUUCUAUGCUUUUGUGCACAAACGCCCAUCUAUACAUAUACAUGUAGAGAGAGAAACUAGCCCUUAACAAAACAAAAGAACUGCUAAGAGAUUUUGAAUCUAAGAAGGACUUUAGAACUUGAGGGUGAGAACUGAAAGAGAGACUUACUUUUUCAACACUCUCUUUUGGUGGUGUUAAAAUUUUUGCUACAUACUUGCACUUUCCCUCCAAUUUUGAAAAGCCUAGUUUUUUAAACAAAUCCUAGUUUUGCUCGUUUCGCGGUAGUAAACUAGCAGAGGACUCACAACAUGAACUUAUUAGGGGCAGAGGCCAUUCUUUUAAUCUAGAUUUUUCCUUUGUACCCAGUAUAAUGGAUGCCCUGGCAUAAAGCCAUUACUAUUUGUUGAACUUUCCAUUUAAAGGAUGUUGGUAAUGAUAGAGUAAAAUUCUUUGAAAUAUUGGGAUGAGACAAGCCCAGAAAUACAUAGGACUGCGUAGAAGAAUAAUGUAGGAGGUAAUAGUUGAACAGAUACUGGAUGGGCAGUAUUUUGGGGGUUGAGGUCUGAGAUAUAUCACAUAUAUCACUGAGCUCCACCAUAUAUACCACCUUAGGCAAGAAUGAUACAGACGUAGGUGGGGGAGGCUGAGAAGUGCAGAUACGUGUUGGUGAAGCGCAGUCUUUUUUGGGAAAUAAUGAACAGGCGAAGGUAGGUUAGUGCUGUAUUGUGGGCUGAGGGGUGGGGGUGAGGGGUCAUUGAUGGGUUCUGAGCCUCAGACGUAACACUGCUUUAGGACAAUUAAUAUGGCAAGAAGUUCUUUCAGGUCANNNNNNNNNAGGAGGUAAUAGUUGAACAGAUACUGGAUGGGCAGUAUUUUGGGGGUUGAGGUCUGAGAUAUAUCACAUAUAUCACUGAGCUCCACCAUAUAUACCACCUUAGGCAAGAAUGAUACAGACGUAGGUGGGGGAGGCUGAGAAGUGCAGAUACGUGUUGGUGAAGCGCAGUCUUUUUUGGGAAAUAAUGAACAGGCGAAGGUAGGUUAGUGCUGUAUUGUGGGCUGAGGGGUGGGGGUGAGGGGUCAUUGAUGGGUUCUGAGCCUCAGACGUAACACUGCUUUAGGACAAUUAAUAUGGCAAGAAGUUCUUUCAGGUCACUUUUGAAGCCAGCCCUCUUUGCCAUUAUAAAGACUCUCUUCUUUCACAUUCUCUUCUCCUUUCUGUCCCAGCCCCCUCUCGCCCUGUCCUUGCAACGCUUCCCUUUUCUUUCCUCUCUCUUUUUCUGGCCCGUCUGUGCCGGCCUGGCCAUGGCAGUCACAGCCCAAGGACAGCCUCGUGCUUUUCACAGCUGCUCUGCUUACUCAUAGAAAAAGUAUUUUCGCACAUUGCUGAUGAUUGUAGCCUUUCUCUUCUUUUACAUGUCUGGUUUUUUUCUUAACCUCUGUCCGCGUGGACAUGUAACUGUGGUGGGGAACACUGGCCCCCUCAGGGAGAUAGACACCCACAGAGCUUAAGCCAAACAAGACCGUUUUCAUGUUUCUUUUCCACAAACGUGAACUUGUCUGAGCUUGGAAAGCUACGUACCCUACUUGAACUACGGGUUCUUUGCUCUGCAACGCAAGAGAACCUUUUUGCCUGAAGUACCCUUGUGGUCCCCCCUCUCCUCCUCACCCUCGAUUCCCCUGGCUAAACCUUGAUCCUUCAUAUAUCAGAUCAGAGAUCCCUUUCUCCAGGGAGCCUUCCUCUGACACCCCAGAUCCAGGCUGCUCCUACCCUGGGUAGGAGCUCCUGCUCCUAGCCCUGCACUGUGCCACUUUGUUGUGACACUGAGGUGCAGUUCCCUGUUUCUCUUCUCCACUGAGCCAUAAAUUUCGUUCUGCUUUGUAUCAUUUUUGUCAUAUUCAUCUUUUAUGGCCAGUACCUAGCUUAGUAGCUGGAACGUAGUAAACUCUCUUGUCAAAAUGAAUGAAUGAAUGAAUGAAUGAAUGAAUGGUGUGAUAGAAAAAACAGAGAAGUGCUUCAUGGUUGUUUUCAUGAAACUGAAACCCCCCCCAGAACUUUUUUGGUGUCCUCAAUAUUCUUUGUAUUCAUGCGAUUCUAAAACAUUGCUUCCCCCCCACCACCUUGAAAGAAGGUGAUUUCCUAAUCUGUGCUGACUUCAUAAUCAUGUUUGUAAAGGCUUUUUUUUGAAUCAAAUGGAUCUUUAAGGGUUCCUCUUUGGGUUUAUGGCCCUCGCAAAGUAAAUUUGAAGGACAUAAGAAGAGUACUUUGAGGAUGCUAGUGUUAACACAGCAGUAAUUCACAGCCUAAAGUGUUUGAAAAACCUACUUCAACAGCAAGUCAGUACCACAUGUCUUACAACUAUUACAUGUCUGUUCUACAUUUUCUAACUUCUAAUUAUCCUAAUCUUCAUUAUACAAGAAGGUAUUAAAGAUUUAUUUACUGACCAAGGGGCGCCUGGGUGGCUCAGUCGGUUAAGCAGCCGACUUCAGCUCAGGUCACAAUCUCGCAGUCCGUGAGUUCGAGCCCCGCGUCAGGCUCUGGGCUGAUGGCUCAGAGCCUGGAGCCUGCUUCCGAUUCUGUGUCUCCCUCUCUCUCUGCCCCUCCCCCGUUCAUGCUCUGUCUCUCUCUGUCUCAAAAACAAAUAAAACGUUAAAAAAAAAUUAAAAAAAAAAAAAGAUUUACUGACCAAGUUGAGACUUAAGAAUGUUGCCCCAGUAGAAAAAUGCACCUCUCCAGAAGCUGUUGAGAACUCUCAUUGUCAUAAGCUCUCAUUGUAAUGCUACACUGUACUUCCAUGGGCUUCUGUAGAAAUUAACUAAUCAUAUGCUGCUGGACUUCCCUAAUAAGACCGAGCCCAGUAAUCUGAGAUGGUCAGCCUCUCAAAAGAGUAAAUGGUGGUGGCAGCACAAACGGCUUUGCACAGGAGCAAGUGGGAGUGGUUUGCCCUCCUUUUGCAAAGCUUUCUUUAACUGUGAAAUUGUUUUUGACAAGAUGCUUUGUCACAUGCUUGACAUCUUUUUUCUUUUUUUAAUUGAGGGAGUGACUGGAAGAUAAUUUAAUCUGAAAUGCUGCCACCUACGUAGCGAGAGAUUAAUUGGAUACUGUCUGAAAAAUUAUGUGAGCACCUCAGAGACAGAGUCUAUGUAAACAGAAGGGGGUAUGAACAAAGUGGAGGCAAAUCAUGCCCCUUCCUUGGCUGAAUAAGAAGGCUCUGGGUAAACAAUUGUCCUUACUUUUUGUCCACCCUUACAUUAGCUGAAAAGAUGGUUUGGUAUCUUAGCAAGUGUAGGUUUUAACACAACCAGGAUAUGGUCUACUUCUAAUGCAGCUAUUAAUUUAACUUCUUUUUUUCUCGGAUGCUUAUUUUGUACAAGAAGGAAACCAAUUCACUGCAGUGGACGUUUUGUUGAUAACAUAACAUUACCAACAAAAUAAAUGUGUAGGCAUUUCAGCUCUGAAACAUCCUUUCAAGAUCUCCAAAAGAUCUUCAUUGGAAUAUGUUUCUAGGAUAUUAUUCCAACUUGAAGAACACAGCUAGUAGAAUGGAAGAAAGCCAGACAUGGGAGUAGGGGACAGGUGUGGACACCGUGUAGGGCUGGGAUUUUGCAUUAAGGAAGCAGAGAUAUGGUGUGAAACUCACAGUGUGAAGAUGAUAUAUCCUCAGGUUGCUGUGCUCUGAGAAAGCAAGGAUAAAGUCUAAAAGGAAUCUUAUGACAAAGACUUCUAGAACAUAAAACCUUAUAUAAAAGAAAAUAUCCGUAAACUCCCAAUGUAUACAUUUCUAGAAACCUGUACGUUCACCUGCCCCCUUUGCUGGACCUCCAUUAUGGCAAUCUUGAAAUUAAGUUGCUUUUGCUAAACAGGAUCCCUUUCAUGAUGACCUUCAGGUUCCUCAGUGGACCUUAGCAUUUUCUUAAUAUUCUGAAACAAAGCAUUAUUAGUUUUUAGCUAUUGCCUUGAUCUGUAUUAUCAAGCUAUGAAAACUUUAUAGAUUAGUUUAGCCAUCUUGGAAUGCCCGAGGACCCAGCUAUUGCCCAAUUUUUUGCUCUGUCUUGCACGAAUAGGAUUAGUGUACAAAGUCUCAACUGUCUCCAGGAGUCACAGAGUGGGCCAGGAGUUUGCUAUUAAAUUGGCAAGGCUUGUCUUUUCAGUGUCAGACAAUACGCUACCUCCCAAUUCUUUUCUUGAAAGGUGUAACAAUCUUGGUCUAUCUUUUAUUUUGUUAAGCUUGUUUAUUUUUGAGAGAUAAAGAGAGCAAGCAUGGGCAGAGGAAGGACAGAGAGAGAAUCUCAAGCAGGCUCCAUAUAGUCAGCACGGAGCCUGAUGCAGGGCUUGAACUCACGAACCAUGAGAUCAUGACCUGAGUGGAAAACAAGAGUUGGGUGUUCAAUCGACUGAGCCACCCAGGUGCUGCAAUCUUGGCCUUUUUCAUUCUUUCUUUUGAUGUAAGAAUGGAAUAGUGUGUCUCCAUGAAGGGAAAAUAUAAAUUCCAGUUCAACGAUUAAUUGAAAUGACACCUCAAUGUUGGGAAGCAUCAGGAACAGUGGAUUAUAACAUACCAGGGCCCAUGCUUAUACUGAGGGGGACCUCCUACACAUCUCCUACUUGUCACUACCAUGCAUGAACAGGGCCUCGUGUGGACCAUUCUUCCAAUUACUGCAAUAGAUUUUCUGUUUUUAUUCUCUCAAGGAGAGAAGUUUAAUUUACACUCUGUGUGUCAGACCCUGUGUGAGUUGCCUGGGACACAAAACCAUGUUCUCGGACUACGACGCUGGUUCUCGUUCAGCAUCCCUUUUUGCAAGUACUCCCGCACAGACAUCAGGUUUAUCUUUCUCAGUUUCUAUAUGGAUCAUGCCCCACCUUCCAGCAACAUCUAUAAAUCCCUCUUGCUACCAAAUACAUUCUGAACUGCUUAGCCUGGCGUUCAAGGCUCUACCCAGUCUGGCUGUGGUCUGUCCUUUACUUCAGCCUUCAUGCAUCACGGUGCCUACUGCAGACAUGAUGGCUCCCAACUUGCUUCUCUGUAAACCCAGUCUGCUCUCAGUCCUGUUUAGUUCCAGCCAUCCCCCACCCCCUCCCCCACACACAAACCACGGAAAAGAUCUAGUUCUGUUCUGUCUGUGGGAACUCGGUCAGGACAUGGUUUGGGAUAGGGGUUGGCAAACUCCAUCUGUAAAGGACCAGAAAGUAAAUGUUUUCGGCUUUGCAGGCCGUAUGGUCUUCCUUGGAACCGUUCACCUCAGUAGCUGUGGGGUGGAACCAGCCAGAUAACAUGUAAAGGAGAGCGCGUGUUCCAGUAGAACUUUAUUUACAAAACAGAAGGCUGAAAGGCUGUAGUUUACUAACCCUUGACUUAGAAUCUCCUCCCCUACCUCUGUGUGCCUGAACUUCCUGCUCUCUGAUGCUUUCUCAUCAUCACCCCUGGAAAAGAAUCCUGGCUUCUGAUCUGUGGACACCACUGCUACCACAUUUACUAAUUAAAAGUCUGGUAAUAGAAACUUUGGGCAAAGAUGUGAAGAAUCAGGAAUUCUUUCUUAUUCACCAUAAAUGGGGGAGUAAUUAGCAUGACCAUUCAGGACAACAACUUGUCAACACCUGGAAGGCUGUAGUCAACACCUCUUGUUGAGGUGUCCUCCUCAACAAGAUGGCAGCUUCCUGGGGGAGAGGGCCACGUGUCGUUCUUCUUUGGAUCUCCUGUACUGAAUAGCAUUUACGUGAAAAUAUGAAGAACCGUUUGCUCUAUGUCAUUGAAGUUUCUGGGUUUGGAUAUGUAUUACAAAUACCAACUUGUAGAUAGAACUUACUGAGAAAAGCAAUAAAGAACGAUGCAGGGGAGACCUAAUUCUUGUCAUAUUUAUGCUAAUCUUUUCUCCUUUCAAAUAUAAAAGUCAGUAAGGAAAAUUGAAACCAUCUAUAUAUUGAACUCCAUGAAGUCAAUAAACUCCAAGUAAAUGUGAGAAAAUGGCCCUAGUUUAAGACACUGAAGUAUAAAAGAAAGACAAAGCUAUUUCCUUUAAUUUUUGUGCAUGAUAAUUGAAGUCACAUUCAGAAUCCCUGUCAUAAUCUUGUUAGUCUUUCAAAUGACUAUAAUGUUACCAUUAUUUUCAGAUAACAUGGUCUCUAGUAAGCCUGAAAAUCUCACGGAAAAAUCAAAAAAAGAAGAGAAUUUAAUAAAGGUUCUGCUUUAAAGAAAUUGUACAUAACUCAAUCUAAGUAACUUUCCGUACACACAACAAAUACUUAAAUUUUGCAAGAAGAGGGGCUUUUGGGUGGCUCAGUCGGUUAAGUGUCUGACAUGUGGUUUCGGCUCAGGUCAUGAUCUCAUGGUUCAUGAGUUUAAGCCCCAUGUCGGGCUCUGCACUGACAGUGCAGAGCCUUGGGAUUCUCUCUCUCCCUCCCUCUCUGCCCCUCCCCCGCUUGCUCUCUGUCUCUCUCUCUCAAAAUAAACAAAUAAACUUAAAAUAAGUAAAAAAAAAAUUGGAAGAAGAGCCUCCAUGUAGAAUGUCAACAACAAAAAAAGCACGUCUAGGAAGAAAUUCAGUCAGAAACAUGUCAGACCAACACGAAGAACUUCAGACCCCACUCUUGGCAUACAGGAAUGGCUGAAUACGUGGCAUGGUUUUAGAUAGGAAGUUUUAGAAGUUUGGAAGAUAGGAAGUUUGGUUAUUGUGAAAAUGCCAGUUCUCCAUGAAUUAAUCUGUAACUACAUUGAAUUCCUUGUCAAAAUAACAAAAGAGACUAUCUCGGGAACACUUACAAGGAUACAAGAAACAUAAACCUAAGAUGAUAGCACAUUUAUCAAUCCUAUCAAACCUAUAAAUCUUAAUCUAGAAAACAGAAAUAUUAUCCUUUAAAAAAAACUGUACUACUAAAUAUACAAAACCAAAUGACCAAAACAUGAUUAUUUAAUAUUUGCAAAAAAAAAAAAAAAAAAAGAGCAAAGAGAAAAUAUCCUUAAAAUACAGAGAUAAAUACAAACCAUGCAGUAGAAAAGUUACCAAGAUAAGCAUAAAUAGACAGUGACCAUCUGGGAAAAAAGAAGCUCACCUCAUCACUAAGUGGAGAAAUGCACACUGAGACAAGGCAUGUUUUAGGGGUGCCUGGGUGGCUCAGUGGUUAAGCAUCCGACUUCAGCUCAGAUCAUGGUUCCCGGUCCAUGGGUUUGAGCUGCGCGUUGGGCUCUGUGCUGACAGCUCAGAGCCUAGAUGGAGCCUGCUUCAGAUUCUGUGUCUCCUUCUCUCUACCCCUCUCCCACUUGCACUCUGUCUCUCUCAAAAAUAAAUAAAUAUUAAGAAAAAAAAACGAGGCAUGUUUUAGCCUAUGAGGUUGGCAAAGAUUAAAGUUACAUAAUCUCAGGCACUCCCCCUGCCCUCUUGGCAAGAGUUUAAACUGGUGUGGAACCAUCAGUCUCCAUGAGGCUGACUUUCAAAAGGUGAAGUGCAUAGACUCUGACCCCUCUUAACAGCCAGAUUCCCCUUGUACGAAGAUUUUGUACUUACAAACUGGUAAAGGCGUGAAAGGUAUUAUUGACAUUACAGUGGUCGCACCUAAACAUUCAUUAAUAGGAGACCAUUAUUGAAUUAUGGUAAAUCCCUAUUUUGGGCUCCUGAGUAGCUGUUCAGACUAAUUAGCUAGUUUUGUAGAGGCUGAUAGAGGACAAUUUUCAAUACCUAGUGAGAAGAAAGCAAGCUGUAAGUUGUGUAUAGGUUCAUAAUUAGGUUUAUAAUUUCUCCUAUAUAAAUUGUUUUGCAGUUGAUGCUCGUAAAGGUUUCAGAAGAAUUGGUAAGGAAUUAGGCCUGUAGUUUCUUCUAGAUAUUAAAUUAGGAGGUCACAUGGGAAUUCAUAUUAUAUAUAUCUAAACUUAUACCUGCCUGUUUCCAACCUAAUGAUAUUUUUUGUAACAAAAAUCUGGUUGCAAAUAAAGAUCAUCACGUGUUGCCCAGAUACUUUGCUGCUGGAGAAAAGGCAGGCUCCAAUUUUUGACUACUCUUUUUUGAGCAAGAAAAAUACUUUGAUAAGUUAGAAACAACCCAGCUUCUCACACUGUCAUGACUGUAAUCGAAACCUUUAUGUGUUUACAGGACCUCCUGCUUUAUAUUUAUAGCUGGAUAUGUCUGGAAUCACAGCUUAGUUUUUUCAAGGAAAACGUUCCUAUUCCUGAUUUCCUGGAAGGCACUUUUGCCCAAAUACACCUGACCUCUGUGUCAUCCCUCACUCUUUCCUCCUUCCCAUGGUAAAAGUGUCGUAGCAGAAAUUGUGACAGAACAACUUGGAAUUUUCUGACUGGCAGUGCUGUCUUUUCUCUGCCAGCCUGCAGAGAGCAGGGCUGUUGUGGCCGUGGCCAGGCUGGGAAAAUGGGGGUGAGGUCCCUGCCCUGGGACGGGGGCGGGGGGCUGCCGGGUCCAGGGCUACCAGCAACGAGGUGAGUGAAGCUGAUCUCAGUCUGCCCCUUGGUCCAGGCCAACUUUGAUCAGACUCGGGGGAAUUUGCUGACCCUUUGGUCUUAACUCUUCAUUUGUCCGAAACCUGUUGGAGAAGCCCACUGGUUUAUAUGGAGUCUGCUCAGAACUCAGUAUCAACACUAUUUAGGCACCACACCAGCCUACCACUGCAGGCUCGCAGGUUAUGGGUAAAGAAGCUGAAGUUCCAGGAAAUGAAACUUGGACAGUUUGAGACAAUAGCUGGACUGAAGCUAGAGCACAGAGUUGCAAUCAAAAGAUUUUGCAAGGAAAAGCUGAUAUUAAAAACAAAGGACUCUUAGGGAUUAUGUUUACCUUAAUGUAAUUAAAUAUCAGAGAUACACAAGUGAUGAAGUUAUACACUGCAGAUGCAUCAGUAUUUUCAUGUAGAUUCAUGCCAGCUGACCAAUGCAGUUUCUCAGUAAGAACCAUGGGGUCCCCCUGGGAGACCCCAGUUACUAGCUGAGGAGCUGUGUUCUCACUGCUGGGCUUGCCCGUUGUCGCCUUUAAUCCCAACCCCGUCAGAUGUGUUUCAAAAAAAUUCAGUCCAUCCUGUACUGAAAACAUCUCGGCUAAAUUAAUCUCUGUGGGAAGUUGCUGUUAUCACAUAUUUAUAAGAUGGAAGUUUAUUUAUGGUUGAAGUUUCUUGAAAACUCUGCUCAAAAAUAGCUUUAAAAAUUAUUUGAAUACCAUGCCAAACACACAGUAGGGAUUUCAAAAGCAGUAAAGCUAAUGAUACACGUUAGAAGCUUUGUACUUUUCGUUAAUAGGUUCCCACUGAGUAGAAAAUUAAAAUUUCCGACCUGCAGUGUGGUUCAACUCUGUAACUGUGCGUAAGGAGGAAGAGGCAUUCAGACGCUGGACAUUAUUCAUGCCCAGCCAAAGUCCACUAGUCCAGGUACUGCUGUUCAAUACUGUCCAAGAGCAUCAUUUGGUUUUUUUUAAUGUUUAUUUAUACAUAUGAGAGAGAGCGCGAGCCAGGGAGGGGCAGAGAAAGAGGGAGACACAGAAUCUGAAACCGGCUCCAGGCUCUGAGCUAUCAGCAGACAGCCCGACGCAGGGCUUGAACUCAGAAAUGGCGAGAUCAUGACCUGAGCUGAAGUCGGUUGCUUAACCAACUGAGCCACCCAGGUGCCCCAAAAAAUCCUUCGUAACUUUUUGGUCAGACCUUAUUAGUAAUAUCCCCAAGGCUCAAUGAGGGCAAAUGGAAAUCAGGGAAGUUGUAUUUUCCACCUUGGAUAAUUAAAUGUAAACAAAGUGAUUCAAGUAAAAAGACGUGGGGGAAAGACACUGGGAAAUAACAUGGCAACACAGAACAUGAAACACACAAGCCAGAGCUGUCUAUAGGGGUUACAUUACAUAGUGGUUAUAACCAUGGACUCCAGCCAAUGUGCCACAGUUGAGUCCUGGCAAAUUUUUAGGCAAGUUACUUAACCUCUUUGUGUCCCAGAGUCACCAUUUCUUUCUUUUUAACUUUUUACUUUUUAUUUUUUAUUUUUGAGAGAUAGCCACAGAGCACGAGUAGGAGAGGGACAGAGAGAGAGGGAGACACAGAAUCCGAAGCAGCCUCCAGGCUCUGAGCUGUCAGCACAAACUGCGAGAUCAUGACCUGAGCCGAAGUCAGAUGCCCGACCGACUGAGCCACCCAAGACCGCCUGUCCAAGAGCAUUCUUAAAUACAAACUGCAUACUCAUGUUCACUUCGGUAGACAGUUAACUUGAUAGUGAAAAUGUGUGUGGAUAUUUAUAUACAUGCCACCUCAACAAGUUGCCAAAAAUAUUUGUAUAGUUUAUAUCUUUAGUCCUGUUUCCUUCUCCCAAGUAGAUAAAACAAUGCCUUUGUCCUGGUUCUCCUGGGUCUUCUUUGUAUCUAAGCAUUGAGCAUUUUUCAGUAUUUCAUUUUUCGUGUCUGUCCGGAUUGGGACACUCGCUUCUUAUGUGACAGCUGUUACUCUAAUGGAGACAAAAUUCUUAGUGCAUCUGCUGGCAGUUUUUCGAAAUUCAGUUACUAGGACCCGGACUCGACAUGUAUUUAUGUUGUUUCAGGUAUGGUUACUGGUUUGUCUACCAACCAGGAUACUCAUAGGAACUCCUACAUCAAUAUCUUUAGAAUGAAACUCAUUGGGAAUGCAUGUAGAUGGUUGGGUUUUCUCCACAUUAAACCAUGUAACCAGGGCGCCUGGGUGGCUAAGUCGGUUAAGUGUCCAACUUCGGCUCAGGUCAUAAUCCCACAGUCUGUGGGUUUGAGCCCCACAUCGGGCUCUGUGCUGACAGCUGUGAGCUUAGAACCUACUUCUGAUUCUGUGUCUCCCUCUCUCUCUCUGCCCCUCCCCCGCUCAUGCUCUGUCCCUCUGUGUCUCUCAAAAAUGAAUAAAAACAUUAAAAAAAUGCAAACCAUCAACUGCUACACCAAAGGGAAGAGCAAGAAAGCAGCCCAAGAAACAGGCAGACAGUGGACCUGUAGCCCUGUCUCUCUUCUAAUUAACUUUCUUUUUAGCUUCCUACCCUCUGUACCACUCCCUCCCAGGUACAAAUUUGGCUGGUUUUUCUGUGAACCAGUCUCUCCAUCCACCUGUGAAACACUUCUGCAUCUGAGGUUGGAUUUAUGUUCUCUGUGCUCACAGCGGAAUGGGGGAGAGGAUGUUGCAGGAACAGCAGGCAGGUUGCACUGAGAUCAGUCCACCUCCCUUUGACCACCGCUCUGCUCUCCACCAACCGUGAGCCCUCAGGAGGCUCAGCUUCAGAUCUUCACGUAUAAAAUGCGGAUGAUAAUUACAGUUGCGAUACUGAAGAAUGAAUGAACCUAUCUAUCAAGUUUCCUACACAUAGUAACAACUUAAUAAAUAUUAGCUAUUAUUAUUAUUUUUUAAUGUUUAUUUUUGAGAGAGACAGAGCACGAGCGGGGGAGAGGCAGAGCGAGAGGGAGACACAGAAUCCGAAGCAGGCUCCAGGCUCGUAUCUGUCAGCACACAGCCGGAUGCGGGGCUUGAACUCAUGAACCAUGAGACCAUGACCUGAGCCAAAGUUGGACGUUUAACCGACUGAGCCACCCAGGCACCCCAAUAUUAGCUAUUAUUAUUAUCACUGCCACUGUUCUUAUUAAUUCCUGCACACCCCAUCUUGGAGUUUCCUUCUCUGCUCAAAAGCAAGCAUAAUUUCUUCUGAUUUCUUAUCCUUUUGUCCCUAUUUUUGACAACCUAUACCAAAACUAGGAAUAAGAGGGCAAAGGGGUACGACGUGUAUAUACUGUCACUGGGAGCUGAGAGGGAGCGGGGAUUCUGUUCCAAUGUUUCCUGUCUACUGCUAACUAACGUCCGGGUCUGUGCUGUGUUGGAACCUGAGGACAUUCAUCAUCUUUCAUGCAGUCUGCAAAAUAAUACCUCAAGCACUCUAUUUUCAGAUGUCUGUCUACAUCACAAUCUCUCUCUUGGGUAUAUACAUGCAGAAAUCACCAAAGGGACAAGCUAGGUGAAAACACCAUGCAGAAUUGCAUCAUCUGGAGGUCAGCUAGCAGGAACUGGCUUCUGCAGGACAGGUAUUACUACUCCUGCUUUCCAUGUGGGAAUCACACUUAGCCAAGUACCAGUCCUACGUUUGCUAGUUUGACGAGCUUAUUUUCACUUUCCAAGCCUCAACAAAUAAGGGUACGAUGAGGAAUUUCCUGCAGUGACCACACUUGUCUCCUUUUAUCUCCAGAUCAUACCACCAAUGAAUUUUUGAAGCAGCUCCUUGUGUUGAUAUUCAGAAUUCUCCAACUUGGGUGACGUGUUUCGAAUAUAAUUUCACACAACUUUUCAUGUGUAUCAUAAUUAUACAGCCCAGAGGUUUUUAAAAAAUUUUUUUGUUUUGUUUGUUUUUAAUAAACAGGGCAGUCGGAACCCUGUUUGCAUGAAUCACCGAUGUUCUCUGCUGAAGAGAGGCUGCUAUGAAGUCCAUUUUCUGUGCCUCAUUGUCGCUUUAGAAUAAUUCCUCUUUCCCCAGCCAGUCUCCUCAUCUGCGUGUGUAAAUGCUUCUGUUUCUAGCGAGGGGUAUUUGGGGUUGGGCAUACGCUACAAUAACCAGGCAGACCAAGAAAGUAUCACUGCACUAACUUUCCCAAAUCUGGGAACUGGAUCAUGGCUUCGGAGAAUAAAUUUAGACAAAUGUUAUCCCAAGGAGUGUGAGGUGAUGAUAACACUUUUGGGCGAAUGUUGGUGAUCACCAUGGUCGUUCUUUUUAUGCUUUGGGGUAGGGGCUCAACACCCCAGUUUUUCAGACUUUCCAUUUUAUUCAGCUCUCCCAGGAUUGUAAAAAGACUGGUUAAUGUCAUCCCCACUGCGUCCCGACCAAACUGCAGACCUGUGAACAAAACGUGAGUUGUUAGUGCUUAAUAAUUCCACAUUAAAAGGGAGUUUAAGGGCACCUGGGUGGCUCAGUUGGCUCAGGUCCGACUUUGGCUCAGGUCAUAAUCUCACGGUUCAUGUGUUCCAGCCCACAUCAGGUUUGCUGCUAUCAGCAUAGAACCUGCUUCAGACCCUCUGUUGCCCCCUGCCACCUCUCUCUGACCCUUCCCCACUCACACACUCUCAAAAAUAAUUUUUUAAAAAUGGAGUUUAAUAAUGACUAGUUUUAGCUCUAUUGAUGAAUUAUAUUAUCAAUAUACAAAUAAUCAUGUAUAGUCUAUAUUCUAUACUUACAUAUAAUUCUGUACAUAAUUUAUACUGUAUAAUGGUUUCUUAUGUAACAUUACAUUAAUACACAGUUGAUGCUAAUACUGUAUCAUAAUUGAUAAUAUUAAUAAAUUAUAGCUUAAUAAUAACUAAAGACUUCACUGUUUACCAGUUCUGUUUUUUGGGGAAAAUUCUUCAUAUCUGUUGGCCUUGGUUUCUUCAGCCUUAAGACUAAGGAUCGCAUUAGUACUUACCUCUUAGUGUUGUGAGAAAUAAGUGGAAUUAACACCUAGAAAAGUGCCUGAGACAUAUAAAGACUCAGUAGCUAUUUGUUGUGAUAAUAACAAUGAAGCUGGUGAUGGUGGUUCUUGAUAAUGUUGAUGAGCAGGACAAAAACAUAAAGAGAUCACCUUUACUUGGGCUAAGUGCUUACUGUAUUAUAUUUUCCAUGAUGUAUUUAUGGGCCUGUUUAUGUGAAUAGACUGAAACUCACUGAAUUCAGGGAAUUGGUCUCAUUUAUUUUUGUAUGUCAAGCACAGCUGUGCUUGUUGGACUGUUGAAGAACAGACAUCCGAGUGAAAACGAGAAAUUCUAUUUUGGACCUUCUGGGGUUUAGGAUAUGAGGGGGAUAUCCCUAAAACUUAUAUAGAAGUCCCUGAAAAUAGGAGAUUUGUGCUUAUGAGAAAAGCAGAGAUUUGGGUGACUAUUGAAGACACAAUUGGCGAGAAUCUCUAUGGUAUGUGGCUGAUAAGAAUACAGGGCAGGAUGUAGUAAUUAUUUCAAGCACAAUGCUACAGAGCCCGAGGCUGAAAAUAUUCCCUCUGACGGCGGCAGGGUGCGGGGGGGACAGGAAGAGUUCACAGACACACUUCUCCUGUAAAUCUUGAAGUCAUUGGAAAUGACUAUUAAUCAUAUGUAAAUUUAUUUUCCAGAGAAAAGAAUUAGAUCGGCUCUCCCCAGGUUAGUAGUCAGAGAAAAAUGAGAAGUGAAGCGAUACAUCUUCGGUUUAAGAGUAGUUGACCGUUUAAUGUGGAAGGGCAAUUAUGAAGCUGGGCAGUUCUGUACAGUGAACUCAAACUGUAUAUAUACCUCAGUGUUUUCUGGAAUACCAGAAGUCUUCGCUAAAAUGUAAGUGUUUAAGCAGCAAAUAUGAAUGUAAGUGAAUUCUUCGCAUUUUGAAAACCUACAGCACCAGCUCUAUUUUGGCCAUGCUCUAAUUACUUUUGUUUUUGUCGUUUACAAUGUAACACGUGUGAUAUUCUUUCCUCUUCUAGGGUUUAGGGUAAAAGUGACUCUACAUCUUUGCUCUCUAUUCUCUUCCUCAACUCACUACAGUCUGGCUUCUGCCCUUACUUUUCUGCCUUAAGUAUAAUCACUAAUAACUUCCUAUUUAUAAUUCCAAUGGGUACAUUCUUAUGGAAAGGACUAGAAGCUUACAGAGAAGACUAGAAUGCUUCCCAUAUUGGUACUUAUUUCUAGAGCAUGAAAGUUAAACUGUAUGGAAUCUCUUAUGAACACAGGCAACAAGAAUUAUGUCAGUCAUCUUCUACAAUCAUCUAUCUCCUGUGCCCACCAUCCUCCAACAAAUAUUUAUGGAAUACUUCAGUGGAUGCCAGGAGAGUUGAGCGAUGUAACACUUGACAAGGUCGACAAGUUAAACAUUUUGGUGCCGUUAGAUUGGAUGUUUAUUAAAGUCACCUGGGCUGCUUGUUUAAAAUUCAGAUUUCUCAGCAUCGCUCCAGAUCUCCUGAAUCACAGCCUCAUGUUGAGGCCAAUAAGCAUAAUGGGCAAUUCUGACAUGGGACGUCCAGAAACAGUGCACACACGAAGGCUUUGAGGAUGCCCUUCCCCGCUCAGUAUAACCAGCUCAGACACUCCUCUUAUCUAUGUGUAUGUUACCCUUCUAGGCAUGCCUCACUGAACUUCUCCUUCCUGUGAACUCAGUUCUCUAAUCCAUAGAUACCUGUAAAUUUUUCGUACCUAAGGACUUCCAAACUCACGUAGCAAAUUAAUCCUGCGUGAAUUUCAGCUGGCUCCUUUAUUUAUUUUAAAAUACUUUUUCUUGUUUGUAUUCUUUCCAUAUUUACAUUGUAAACUCCUUAAAUACACAGACAGAUGUGUGAUGCUUCUAGAAUCAGCCCUAAACCUUAGCAAAGAGCUUCCAGCAUAGUUGGUGUUCAAUAUAUAAUUAUUAAUUAACCGAACCAUGAAUCAAGUGUCAAGCUAACUCUGUUCUAAAAAAAAUUUAUUUUUAUUUUUUUAAAUGUUUAUUUAUUAUUGGGAGACAGAGAGAGACAGAGAGUGAGCAGGGGAGGGUCAGAGAGAGAGGGAGACACAGAAUCUGAAGUAGACUCCGGGCUCUGAGCUAUCAGCACAGAGCCCGACGCGGGGCUCCAAUUCACCAACCACAAGAUCAUGACCUGAGUCGGACGCUUAACCAACUGAGCCACCCAGGCGCCCUGCAAGCUGCGUUCUAGUUCCAGCUCUCUGUGUGACUACUUGUGUUGUGACGUGGGACCAAGUCAUUGAGUCUCCUUCAAAUUAGGCUUUUGUAUCUACUGGACUAUCUUGAGGGCCCUUUCAGCUGUGUAUUGUGAGAUGAUGGUUUAGAAAAUGUGAAAAAACAUCAGCCUUUGCAUGAAUGGUAAGCAGUAGAGAAGACUAGGAGGAGCAGGACUUUAUUUCAAAUGAAAUGUUUCAAAUAAAUAUACUGGAUAAACAUUUGAAGGGCUAGGUCCACCUCACAUAGUGUGAAGUGUCUCCAGGCCUGCAAACAUUUACUACAUUAUCUAAACCAGGUAUUAUAAAGAGAGAGAAAUUUUCACUAUAGUCCCAGGACAAAUUCUUCAGACUCUAUCCAGUUUUAUACUUUUCUUAAUUUAACUCAUCCAUUCAGCAAAAAUGUGCAGGGGUGUGGAUAAAUACAUUUGAUGGAUAUUUUUUCUGGAGAAAUAUUCUUUCUUGUUACCUGCUCUUCCUGGAUAUGUUAUAACAAGAAUUUUUCAUUUUUACUGUUGAGUAAUUACACAUCCUGUUCAGGUCUUGAAGUGAUUUUAGAUAAAUUCCAUCAAAUUCCAUCAAUGGGAAUACCCAGUUAUAUGCCAUUUUCCUUUAUACAAAGAAGAAAUUAACCUGGAAUUUCUAUCCAGCAGCAUUCAUGCUUUUUACUCUGGUAAAAUCUGUGUUUGAAAUACUUGGAAAUGUUUUUCCCCAAGGUGUAGGUGGAGUUCAUUUCCAUGUAAUCUGGUUGGUUGGUUCCCAGCCAGCAACUCAAAAGCUUCUGGGAUCCUGUGAAACCAUCCAUGCCUGUUUACAUAGCAAUGUUGAUACUAUAGGUUCUGGAUAGAAACAGGUUUUUGUUUGUUUGUUUGUUUGUUUGUUGGUUUGUUUGUUUUUACAUGUUUUAGACUAAAUUCGGUGUGUAAAGAUGUUUAUCUGUGCCUUUUGAACAUCCCUUAGGAAUUGGUGUGUGUUUAUGAGUUUGGUUUUUUCGUUUGUUUGUUUGCUUAGUCAACAACUGAGAAGUUUUAGGAAGUAGAAGCUAUUUACCUUAUGUAAGCAAUCUGAGAUACCAUAGAAGAAGCUGUAUGUAGUUCUCAGGGAGGCUGAUGCCUCAAAAUAUAUCUUACUCCAAGAUUAUUAGUUUAAACCAAACAAAGUAACUCUGGGGUUUUUUGUUUUUGUUUUUUGUAGAUGUCGUAUCUCAAUUUUUUCCUAGCAAAUAUUGGUCUAGAAAGAGCAUGUGCAGUAAUCUGGGUCUGAGUCAUGAGCAGAAUCAGCUUGGGAAUUCUGCAGAGUUUUCUUGUUCAUUAGAAAGAGAAAUGAGCAAAAAUUGUUCCCUCUUCUUCCCCUGGAUGUUGAGGCAUGAAAAUGUGGCUGCCAUGUUGUGAUUAUCACUGAGAAGCUAAUGGCACAGCUGAGAGAUAGGAGAACUGGGAUCUUUCGUAGCAUCAUUGGAUUAGAAUGUGCCAGAAGCCCAAACUAACCCUCCAGACUUUUGUAUUAUGAGAUAAUAAGUUUUAGCUAGUUUGAGGUUUUUUCCUAUCUACAUUUGAAAUCUCUUAAGAGAUACAGAAUAGACAAUGAAACUCUAGGGGUGAGAUGGAAUUGUCCAGAAGAAAACAAUGCAACUACAGCAAUAAAGAGAAAUAAAAUAUUAGAGAAAGACAGAAACACCUUUACGUGAAAAGAGAAUGAAAUGUCCAAGGGCUUUAAAGAAAAGUACCAGAUGCAAAGAACUAAGCAGUAUUCAUCAAUCACAUCUAUGUGGCUAUAGGUUAUGCACUCUUAUACAAGAAAUCAGAGAGAGAGAUUAAUCAGAUUGAUUGCAUACAGUUUUAUUAACUGUGAAGACUGGCUAGAACCAUGGAUGUUACUUUCCAAUACUGCUGAUAAUAUCUUUUCAAAAUUAAUUAAACACAGAGUAAAUAAUCUGUAGAUGUGUUAUGGGUUACUGUUUCCAGUUUUCUCUAAGUUGUUGUCUUGUAGAUACAUUUAAUAUCAAGUUAUUAUAAAGGUGAGGUCUAUUAUUUGUUGUAAUUUUGUUACACUGCAACUUAAAGUAAAUGUUCACUUUCUUCUGCUAGAAUUAAGUGUUUUAAAAGAUUCAAAAAAUGAAAGUGUCAAAUCUGAUUUCUAUGGUUAUUUUUCUCCUUAAAAAUAACUUUCCAAAAAUAUUAGAUAUGUCUAUUCCAUUUUUGUCAUGAAUUUGUUAAAUGAUUUCAACUCUAUGGGAUUUAAAAAAUAAAUCAGGCUCAAUUAGUUGGAAGUUGCACCACAUUAUUUUAGGAGAAGAGUUUGGAGACUUUUUGCCUGACAUGUAACAAAUUAAAACUUUAUUUUUUGAUUAAGUUUAAUUCCAUGAAGCACAGGCUGAUACUUAUUUUCAGAUUUACUUCUUGAUCAGAAUGAAACGUGUUUCAUGGGAAAUUAAGGGGAAGAGAACAAACGUGAAAAUCCUACCGUUGCCAAACCAAUAGAUCGAGGAAGCAAAAUAAGCUUUUUGUAAGGUAAUUGAAAUUGUAAUGAAUGAGCACUUUACAUUAUUAUUGCAAGUGCAUGUUGAACUCAUUUAUGCAGAGAGAGGAAUAUUAUUGGGCUAUUAACUGGUUAUGAUAUGUACACGGAUUGGAGGGUUAAGACUGAAAGAAGAAAGAUGGAAGGAGCCACUUACUCUAGUUAAGGGCUUGGGCGAGUACGUUGGCAUGGCAGCUGGAUGGAAGGAACCAGAGUGAGAGGUGAAAGAUUGAGUUUGCAGAAGGAGGAGUUAACAGAGAAAGAUGAAUCCAGAAAAAGGGCAGUCCAGUAGGGGUACGCUUUGGGUGGAAACCCCAAUUCACUCUUAGACAGCCAUUGAUGUAAAAGUGGGAUAGUCAAGUCUAGGUUCUCAGGCUAAGCGUAGAAUUCAGGCCUUCAGUCAGGUGAGUGCUCAGAGAAAUGGGGGAGCUAUCUGAGCUCUGGGUGAUCCCUGAAGGAUUUUAACUCCAUUCAACUAAUUUUACCUGAAUGAAAGCCUCAUCUAUGUAGAUCUCAUGGGAAAGUGGCUAAAGGUGAAAGGCACAGGAAGCAGCAGAGCCUGAGCAUCAUGACUGUAUCCCUGAGUUCCUGUCCCAGUCUCUUUUGUUGACUUCACCACAGUUUGAUAUUAACUUCAGGGUGUUAUUGUCUUUUAGGAGCACUUGGCCUGUUUAUUGUAUCUGGAAGCUUGUGAUUGCUUCCUCCAUUCCUCCCUCCUAUCCCUCUCUCCCUCCCUCCCUUCCUCCCUUCCUUCCUCCCUUUCUUCCUUCUUCCCUUUCUUCCAUCCUUCUACCCUUCUUCCCUCCCUUCCUUCCUUCCUUCCUUCCUUCCUUCCUUCCUUCCUUCCUUCCUUCCUUCCUUCUUGUCAUAACCCUUUGCUGAUGGAUAUUCUCUUUUGUUGCUCUGGUUUCUUGAUGGGUAACCAUCCUCUAAGGACCUAGCUGUAUGUGAAACUUUCAGUUCCAUAUUUUGUGUGAGUCCAAGUCCUUAUCUCUUUCCCUUGGAAAAACCGUAAGAAUCAAGACCUUAGUUUGGGCAUCUGGCAGAUGGCCCAGAGUAUCUAUGGGUUCUGUGCCAACUCCCCAGUCCACCUGGUCAGCUUCGCCUUCACUCGUAGCUCACUCUGGCGAUUUCUCUCUUGUUGUUUUGGGGUAUGCCAUGCCUACAGGAAUGCCUGUUCUCAUGCCCCUCACCUCGAUAUUGAUAAACAUUUUAUAGUGAAACGUUUUAUACUGAAAUGUUUUUCAUAACGGCUUUUACAUUUUAGGUCUUAUUUCUAAUAUUAGAAACCUAGAUUUUGGCUAUUAGCCCAAUGCCAACUGGGUGUCCAAUAAUAUAUCUUAAAUGUUUUUAUAGGUAUUGUAAAGACAUAAUAAUAGAAGAGAGAAAAAGGACAUACUAUUAGUCUUUUGGCAUCUUAACCUGAUCCCUUUUGGGGGGGUGUUGAUUUAGUUAGUUUAAAUCUGUAUAUUUUAAUUUUGUCAUUUUUCAAAAUAACAUUUUGGUUUAUUUAUAUAUGCAUUGGUUUGAUUUUUUUCUCCUACAAACUUGAUAAACAUUCUAACAAUUGGAAAUAAAACAUUUUCUCUAAAUUAGAUAUAUCAAAUUCUAAGCUUUUUAAUUACCUUUUUAUAAGCCAUGCUCCUAAUAUUUGAAAGGUUAAUUAGCUAAUUCAGUCAGAUAAUUAGUCAUUUAACAAGUGACCAGUUCAUGGCAGGGACCAGACACUGUUCCAGGCACUGGAAAGUCAGUUAUCAGUAAACUUCCUGAUAUCAUAGGGCUUACUUUCUUUUGGAAAAAAAACACAUUCUUUACUUGUUUCAACUAGAGUCUGUUUUGUGAACUAAAAUAAUACUGUUUUUAGUGUUAGAAAACUGUUGGAUACUGUUAGAAACUGUACCUUAAAGUACAGCUUAUGUACAGAGUGCCUGUUUUUAUAGUUGGGCAUUAGUUUUUUGAGAAGUUUCAAGUUUAGAGUAAAAUUGAAGGGAAAGUCCCUAUAUGCCCCCACCCCCUCCACAUUCCCCACCAGGGAGGUAUAUUUGUUACAAUCCAUGAAACUACAUUGAACUUCAUUGUCUCCCCAAGUCCUUAGUUUACAUUAGGGUUUACUCUUAGGGUUAUACAUUCUAUGGUUUUUGACAAAUACAUAAUUUAUCCACCAUUAUGGUAUCAUAUAGAGUAGUUUUACUGUCCUAAAAAUCUUCUGUGCUCUGCCUAUCCAUCUUUCACUCCCUUCUAACCACUGACAUCCUUCUAACCACUGACAUCUUAACCACUGACAACCAAUAAUCUUUUCACUGUGUCCGUUGUUCUCCUGUUUCGAGACCGUCUUAACAGUUGGAAUCAUGUAGGAUAUAGCUUUUUCAGGUUGCCUCCUGCACUUAGAAAUAUAUAGUUUAGGUCCCUCCAUGCAUUUUCAUAGCUUAAUAGCUCUUGUCUUUCUACCACUGAAUUCCAUUGACAGGAUAGACCACAGUUUAUUGAUGCAUUUUCCUACUGAAGGACCUCUUCACUGCUUCCAGGUUUUAGAAAUUAUGAAUAAAGCUGCUGUAAACAUCUGCGUGCAGAUUUUUGUAUGGACUUAAGUUUUCCACUGAUUUGGAUCAGAUACCAAGGAGGGCAAUUACUGAAUUAUGUGGUAUGAGUAUGUUCAGUUCUGUAAGAAACUACUUAACUGUCUUCCAAAGUGGCUGUAUCAUUGUAUACUCUCAUCAAUAAUGAAUGAGAGUUCCUGUUCCUCCAUAUCCUUACCAUCAGUCAGCAUUGCCAGUGUUUUUGGAUUUUGACUAUUCAUAUAGGUGUGUAUCUUGUUUUGAUUUUCAGUUCCCUAAUCAUAUGAGAUGUUGAGUAUCUUUGCAUAUGCUUACUUGCCAUCUGUAUAUCAUCUUUGGUGAGGAGUCACUUAAGUCUUUCAUCCAUUUUUAUUUACUAUUUAUUUAUUAUUAGGAAGCUAGGGUUUUUUUUUUUUUUUUGCCUUUUUAAAAAUAUAUUUAUUGUCAAACUGGCUUACAUGCAACACCCAGUGCUCCUCCCAACAAGUGCCCUCCUCAAUGCCCAUGACCCAUUUUUCCUUUCCCCAACCCCACCCCCCCAUAUACCCUCAGUUUGUUCUCUGUAUUUAAGAGUCUCUUGUGGUUUCCAUUUUUAAAUUGGUUGUUCAUUGUCCUAGUCUUGAGCUUUAAGACUUCUUUAUAUAUUUCAGAUAACAGUCCUUUAUCAGACAUGGCUUUUGUAAAUAUUUUCCCCCAGUCUGUAGCUUGUCUUUUCAUACUCUUGACAGUCUUUCACAGAGCAGAAGUCUUUAAUUUUAAUGAAGUGUCCAGCAUAUCAAUCAUUUCUUUUAUGGAUCAUGCCACUGGUGUUUUAUCUAAAAAAAUUAUUACCCUAUUCAAGGUCAUUUAGAUUUUCUCUCUUGUGUUAACUUUUCAGAAUUUUAUAGUUCUGCAUUUUGCAUUUAGGUCUGUGAUCCAUUUUGAGUUCAUGAAGGGUUUAGGUCUAUGUCUAGACUUUUUUCUUUUCUUUUCUUUUCUUUUUUUUUUUUUGCAUUAGUUCAAGAGUUAAGUUAAUCUUUCAGGUUUCUAUAUAGACAUUCAUGUUCUCUGUAAACAAACACAAUUUUAUUUCUUCCUUCCCUUUUCUUCUCUUUUCUUUCCUCUUUCUUUCUUUCUUUCUUUCUUCUUUUCUUCUUCUCUCUUUUCUUCCUUCUUUUUUCUUCUCUUCUCUUCUCUUCUCUUCUCUUCUCUUCUCUUCUCUUCUCUUCUCUUCUCUUUACUAAUUGCAUUAGCUAGGACUUCCAGCAGAAUGUUGAAAAGGCAUGGUCAGAGGGGACUUCCUUGGCUUGUUCUUGAUCUAAUUAGGGAAGCUUCUAGUUUCUCCUCUGAGUGCCCUUUUUAAGCUUACUGGUUUUGAAUGGUUUUUUUCUGUGCAGAAUUUAAGUGUUUUACAUGCAUCACUUACUUCAGUCCCCCACCUUGACUACUGUCCACUGAACUUGAGCAAAAAGAAAAUUUACAGGUGGAAGCAUUUCAUUGUUAGGUGUUUGACCAUAGCAGAAAGAAAUUUUUAAAAAUUUGGGAUUCAAUCCAUCAUAAAAUCCUCUCUAAAUCAAAACAUCACUACAGAAGUGAAAAUUAAAAUUACUUAGUUGAAUAUUUAAGAACUUAAAAAUAUUUUCCCUUGCUAAUAACUUUCCCUACGUUUGUAGAAAGAAGAGAAAUGUAACUAAAUGUGAUGCUGAACUAUACAAGAAAAAAUACACUGAUUUUCUCUGUCAAUUCGUGUAUUUAUUGGUCAUGUUUUUAAAGCUUAACAUGUUGCCACUGCUUGAUAACUAUAUAUAUUUACCUAUAAAUAAACUAGAUAUUCAAACUCAAAGUCUUUUAAAAUGCUUAUUAAAACAAUACAUGCGAUUUUUUUCUAAAAACCCAUAAAGAUUCCCUGUGACUUUCAUAUAUAUAUAUAAAUGUUAAUAUAUAUUAUUAUUAGUCCCUGGAGAAAAAUAAAAAAUAAUUUAAACAUUUUUAUUUAAAAAUAAUUUAAACAUAUAUAUAACGUUUAUUUAUUAUUGAGAGACAGAGAAACACAGAGCGUGAGCAGGGGAGGGGCAGAGAGAGGGAGAGACACAGAAUCCGAAGCAGGCUCCAGGCUCUGAGCUGUCAGCACAGAGCCCUACGCGGGGCUCGAACCCACAAACUGCGAGAUCACGACCUGAGCUUAAGUUGGGCACUUAACUGACUGAGCCAGGCAGGCACCCCACCCUGUGACUUUAAAAAUCUCACAUUGACUUUACAAGUAAGCAUUGAGUAAGUUAAAAAUAGAUAUACAAAUGAAAAGCAGAAAAUAUGCCAUAUAAUUGCAACUAUUAAUGGGACAUCUAGAAUAAUUUAUAAUUAUUUGUAGGUCUUUUUAAAAUUCUAGAAUAAGGAUGGGGUAGGGGAAAUACUUUAUCUUAAGUUAAAAUUUUUCGCAAUAUUUAUACUUGAACAAGAGCAGUGUCUGUUGCAAACCUGUUUUCUGCCAGAAACAAAGAGGGAAUUAUUUCUCUGGACUUUAAAUUAUUGACUUUUCUAAAACCAUGUUGCAUGGCUUCAAAAGCACGGCAGACGAACAACGAUUGUGAGAAAUGAAAAGUGACAAUGUAUUUAACUCCUUGCAUCAUAUUUUUGGGCAGGCAGCAAUCUGCAUCCGAAAUGAGUAAAAUGUGAUGGAAUACACUGAACUGUCAUCUUUUUGCCAAGGAAGUGCAGAAUGACUUUUAGGGACUUUUGGGAGUAUGAAUUAUGAAAUUAAGAGUGCUGCUCUUUGGUUUGGUUGUUGAAUGGGACCAUGGUAAUCUGACCCCUAGUAAUCUUCCUUUUAAUAGCCAUUAAGAGCUGGCUAACUCAUUGCUUUCCCCCCUUUUCUGUCUAGAUUGCCAGAAAACUGAGAGCUUAUUUUUUGCUUGUUAACAAGAACCAUUUGUAGGUUAGUCCUUCUGGUGCAAUACUUUCUUCUCUUUUUUUGAGGGACUUUUCACCAUAUGAAAGAGUGGCCUUGCUAACAGGGGAAGCAUUGUAAGCAAUUAUGCAAACAUAUCAAAUAAAGGGAAGAAGCUGAAAGAAUUAUGCUAUUUGCAAGUAGUUCUUACAACCUUGAAAAUAUAUCACUUAAAACCUCAGACCCUGGCUUUUGGGUUAGGAUUUGUUCUUUAUCUCCAUUCCUGGGUGUGAGAGCUGAGGUAAAAAGAGACAAAUAACUUGUCCAAGUUUGCUCAGCUGAUAAGCAAAGAGUUUGUCUCCCCACUUCAAAAAUCUUCACUUUCCCAUUGAUUUGACAUCUGUUGCCUUUGUUGUGCUUUGCAUUUAGACCAUAAAUAAACAACAUGAGUUUAUCAUUGACAUAAUAUACCUUAUAAAGUAGUUCCCGAAUUCAGUGAAGUAUAAUACAUUAGGUGGCCAAUUAUCAGCAGCAUUAACGACAGCUAGGCACAGCAUCAUUCAGAUCUUCUAGGAGAGUCAUGGGUUUAAGAAAAUGUAAUGUUUAAAUUAUUUUUUAUGUUUCUCCAGGGACUACUUGUAUCUUUAGGAACGAGCAUUUUCAAAGGGCACAUUUUAGGAAGCACUAUUUUGAUUGUCUUUGUUUUAUAUAUUCUGCUUUAAAAUUAACUAUGGCAGACUGGGGAUAAAUAAUCAAUAUAUCUGAUGAGAUAAAGACACUUUCCCCACAUUUUAAUUUUAUUGCUUUAAAAAAAAUCUUUAUACUUCUUUUUUUGAAAGUAAUCUCUACACCUACUCUAUACCCAGUGUGGGGCUCUAACUCACGACCCUGAGAUCAAGAGUCACAUGCUCUACUCACUGAGCCAGCCAGGUGUCCCUGAUGUAAUUGCUUUUUUUUUUCUUUUUUAAUUUUUUUUUUCAACGUUUAUUUAUUUUUGGGACAGAGAGAGACAGAGCAUGAACGGGGGAGGGGCAGAGAGAGAGGGAGACACAGAAUCGGAAACAGGCUCCAGUCUCUGAGCCAUCAGCCCAGAGCCUGACGCGGGGCUCGAACUCCCGGACCGCGAGAUCGUGACCUGGCUGAAGUCGGACGCUUAACCGACUGCGCCACCCAGGCGCCCCUGUAAUUGCUUUUUAAAGAGCACAAGGGAAGACUAAACAGUCAUAUAAAUUUCCCAGGCUACCUCUAAUAAGCAGAAGUAAUCAGUUCCUUAAAUAUAUGCAGGGGAAUACUAAAUAUAGGUGAAAACAUUCUCCCAUGUAUCAGAGACAAUCAAGUGAAUGUGCAUUGGAACCUGUCUCAAUUCAGUCAUCAAUGAACCCCACUACCCCCUUCUGUUAUCCCAAGUCAUUCUCAACUUUACACCCGGACUGGAUGCAUAAUAUAAAUAGAAGGACAGGUGAUUGGUGUCAGUGACAUUACGCUGUGUAGUCUUCCAAACUGAGGUCCACAAAAGGUGCUUCCCAUGAGGUUCUCAUGGUGGGUGAUGGAGAAAGCACGUGUGGCCAAAUGUAAAUUGCCACCCUGAGUGAAGGCCCUUUCAAUUUGCUAUAGGUUUGAAGGUUUCCAAAAUCAGAAGUGUGGAUGUGGUGGAGGGAACACAGAAAGCAGAAGCUGUUUCCAGGAAGGUAACUGGUGUUAGAGAUUAACUUAAAUACAGUGAAGGCAAUAGCAUGAUUUAGGGUCAUGAUGGGAAAACCUAUAUACUGGUGCUUAUGAGGAGAAACUUUAUGUGCAUUUAUUCCACAUUUAUCUCCCUUUAAAAAAUGUUUUAAUGUUUGUUUAUUUAUUUUUUCUUCAACUUUUUUUUUUUUUUUUUUUUUUUAUUUUUGGGACAGAGAGAGACAGAGCACGAACAGGGGAGGGGCAGAGAGAGAGAGGGAGACACAGAAUCAGAAACAGGCUCCAGGCUCUGAGCCAUCAGCCCAGAGCCCGACGCGGGGCUCGAACUCACGGACCGCGAGAUCGUGACCUGGCUGAAGUCGGACGCUCUAACCGACUGCGCCACCCAGGCGCCCCUAUUUAUUUUUUAUAAUAUAAUUUAUUGUCAAAUAGCUAACAUACAGUGUAUACAGUGUGCUCUUGGUUUGGGGGUAGAUUCCCAUGAUUCAUCACUUAAAUACAACACCCAGUGCUCAUCGCAACUGGUGCCCUCCUCAAUGCCCAUCACCCAUUUUCCCCCCUUUCACCCCCCCACAUCACCCCUCAGUUUGUUCUCUGUAUUUAGGAGUCUCUUUUGACUUGCUCCCCCACCCUGUUUGUAAAUAUUUUUCCCCUCUUCCAUCCCCCAUGGUCUUCUGUUAAGCUUCUGAAGAUCCGUAUAUGAGUGAAAACAUAAGAUUUCUGUCUCUCUCUGACUGACUUAUUUCAUUCAGCAUAAUACCUUCCAGUUCCAUCCACAUUGCUGCAAAUGGCAUGAUUUCAUUCUUUCUCAUUGCCAAGUAGUAUUCCAUCAUAUAUAUAAAACGAGAACCCUCUUGCACUGUUGGUGGGAAUGCAAACUGGUGCAGCCGCUCUGGAAAAGUGUGGAGGUUCCUCAAAAAAUUAAAAAUAGAUCUACCCUAUGACCCAGCAAUAGCACUAGUAGGAAUUUAUCCAGGAGUGCUGAUUCACAGGGGCACAUGCACUCCAAUGUUUAUAGCAGUGCUUUCAGCAAUAGCUAAAUUAUGGAAAGAGCCUAAAUGUCCGUCAACUGAUAAACAGAUAAAGAAGGUGUGGUUUAUGUAUACAAUGGAAUACUACUUGGCAAUGAGAAAUAAUGUUUGUUUAUUUUUGAGAGUGUGAGAGAGAGUGAGAGAGAGCUAAAGAGAGAGAGUCUGAGCAGGGAAGGGGCAGAGAGUGGGGAGUACAGAGGAUUUGAAGCAGGCUCCGAGCUAACAGCAGAGAGCCUGAUAUGGGGCUUAAACUCAUGAACGUGAGAUCAUGACCUGAGCCAAACUGAUUGAGCCACCUAGGUGCCCCCACACGUAUCUCCUUAUCUAAAAGACAGAGGACUGGUGGUUGAGCUGCUAAGGCACAGCCUUCCUGUCUAUGGUGAUCUGUUGUAUUCAUUCCUUCUCCCCCUGAAUUUAGCCCGGUGCAUAUUUGAUACAAAUGUUUCUAUGGCCACAGAAUAAUGGACUGAUGAUUUUUGCAUCGUAACAACUUGACUUUGGGAGGUCAUCAACAUACGUUUUUCUUUGAGUAUAAUCUAGAGAUACUUUGAAUGCAAUUUUUUCAGUGUGAAUAGUAUAAACAUUUAGCAUGUGGUACACACAUUUAUUUACAUAAGUAAAAAUUUAUACAGAUUUUCCUUUGUAGUAAUUUAAACUCAGGUUUUAAGAUUGUAUAUCGCAGUUCAAAUAAAGCCAUCCCUUGUAAGACAAUAUUAACAAAUAUAGUGUCUUCUGUAUGUUUUUUUUUUUUAACGUUUAUUUAUUUUUGAGACAGAGAGAGACAGAGCAUGAAUGGGGGAGGGGCAGAGAGAGAGGGAGACACAGAAUCCGAAGCAGGCUCCAGGCUCUGAGCCAUCAGCCCAGAGCCCAACGCGGGGCUCGAACUCACGAACCGCGAGAUCAUGACCUGAGCCGAAGUCAGACGCUUAACUGACUGAACCACCCAGGCGCCCCAUGUAUGUUCUAAGACCUACCAAAAUUAAGCAGAUAUUUUUGUGAUUUUUUUCAUUGAUAUUAGGAAUAUCAAUUUUCUGUGUUUCACAUGUGAAUUGUUAGUGAUUCGUAAAUUAAGCAGUUCAUUCAUUGGGUUCAGGUAAGCACAAAUACUCUUUUUAUCAUCAAAACAACACCUAUUUUGAAAUGUCUAAAUAGUUGUUAGCAGAGAGAUUUUUAACAGAGAGAAUAUUUGGUGUUUAUCAACUUUAUUUUGAUUUCUUGAAUAUCCUUCCAUAAGAGAAUUGUUCUCCCAUGUUCCUUGCCAUUUGAACUCACUUGCCAUAUUCACAUGGUUAAAAACUAGCUCCUCGGUUCUUAUUCUUUUGCUUUCCCUGUCUCUUAAAGUUCAAAACAUAUUGUCUCCCAUCCGAAUACCAAAUGUUUAACUCUAAGUGUGCUCACUUAUUGCUGAGAAAAAAAAUUAUUUUGCUUAAUCCCCAUGGUGUAUUUAAUAUUCUAGCAUCUAAGAAAUGCAUACAGGAAAUUAAAUUGAAAUCAGGACUAUUUGGGGCAUGGGAAUGUUUUACGGUCAUCUAGAACUCCGGUUCAUAACAGCAAGGCAGGUAUGUCGUAACGCAAGUCAAAUCAGUAACUGAAACAAUUUCCCAGCCAGGUUCUUCUGGUUCUUCUAAGCUUUGCAGGAUUCAGCUCCUUUGAACAGAUGUAAUAUUGACCUCGUUUUAGGGACACUUUCAUGUAUUUGCUGAGGCGUUUGUUGACUUUCAAAAGGCAACUUCAAUCCAAAGCAUUCGUACAUACAUGGCACACUGUUAGUACAGUCUUAAAAAGGGUUUCAAAUGUAUCCUAAUAAAACUCCUGUCUCUUUGGAGUUACAUAAUUAUAAAGCACAGAAAAGACAGAGAUUUGACCCGAUAAGAACUUAAAGGAAUCAAGGUUGGCAGUGAGAGUGCAAAAAUAGACUUGCAGGAAAUCCUUUAGAAUUUUUUUCAUUAUUCAGAUUAGUAUUAAAAAUAAUUGGAUUAGAUGUUCCUCCCACAUUGCCGUAGCACCAUCCAGAAGUCUGUUAUCUUUAAUUCCAAUCACAGUAACUAACCUAGACCUCAUCUGUCAGCCAAAGACUAAAGAGCCUCCUUUGUAGUUGUCAGUACAUAGUGCAGUUUGAAGCUCUCUGGUGGUCAGCAGAUGGUCAUUGCUAAGGUCAGCAUUGCCCUGUUCCUACUUCCCUUAGGACAUGCACACAAACUAUUUUCCUGGUCAUUAGGCUUUUAGAAGAGUUACAGCUCCAAUGAAGGCAUGGGUGUCUUUGUGAAAACAUUGGGUCCCUGAGCAAUACAAGACAAUGGGUCUUUCUCAUCCUCGUGGAAGGCAGCUUAGGAAUUAUUCACUGAAGAUUUGUGCUUUCCAUAAUUCUCUGAAAUUCUCCAGUAUUGACAUAGUUACAAUGGUUUCCCAUAAGUAGAAUGUAUAUGCACUAUGCCCUUUUUGGUUAUUCACUAAAUGAAGUCAUUUCUGAAAUUGAAAUAAUAUGCCAUGUGAAUUAUACUGAAUUGCCAAAUGAUUAUUUUCACUGCAUCAGUUUUAAAGAAAGAUAGUGAAAUUCCCUUGCACAGCUGGACGUACAGGUUUAGUCUGUGCUUUGUUUGAGGAAGGGAUGUGUAUUGUUUUGGUCAUAGUACUAGCAUUACAGUGUGACACAGAAAAUUUCCAAUCCAAAGAUAAGAAAAUGCACUCAUUCCUUGAACACGGGCAGAUGGUCGUUGCUACCUCAGGUCUUAGAAUAAGAUUGUUGACUUGAAGCCACGUCCUGAAAGGCUUUACAGCAUCCAUCUUGGUCUCUUGGAUUGUUUCAGUUGGGGAGGCGGGCACCCUGUCAUGAAGACCUUGAAACCACCCUGUGGAGGUGGGGGGGCCAUAUGGAUGGAGGCCCUCAGCCCCCAGCCUGCACUGGCUUGCCAGCCUUUUGAAUGAGCCUCCUGGGAAGCUAAUGCCUAAGCCUCACUCAAACCCUUACUGGAUCCUUCAGGCUUACCCAACGCAUGACUACAGCUACAUGAAAAACCCGAAAGUGGACCUACCCAGCCAAACCUUUCCCAAGUUCUCAUCCAGCAGAAACCACAUGAAGAAUAAUAACCACUAAUAUUGUUUGGAGCCACCUGGUUUCGAGGUGAUUACUUUAUAGCAGUAGAUUGCAGAUACUGAUUUGGGUUGGGCAUAUGGGUUCAUUAUAUGUUCUGCUUUUGUGCAUGAGGGGUAGUGAGCUUUCUGGUUGCUGAAAAUCAGGUUGUAGGGACAUUCUGGAUAGAGACCUUUAGGCUUUGAAACCACUUUUUCCUUCCAAGAAAUACGUGGCCUUGCAGACGCUGAGCUUGAUUUAAGCAGUAGGAACUCUCAGUGUUUCUAAACACUUCCAUACAAAAGUUCAUACAUUAUUAGAUUAAGUCCUUCUGAAAAGGUCAUAUAAGCCCAUAGAAGAAGAAGUAGUGGGCUAGCAAAAAAUUUGAGUUUCUCACACCUGGCAAAAUCCUUUCUUGGGUGUAAAAUGUUAUUCCCCCUGUAGGUUUGUACGGACUCCUGGGUCCAGGGAGUCCCUGCUUUAAGGGACUGAGUCAGCUCCAGCCUUGCCUUGUAAGAUCAGACGUCAUAAUUAAUCUACCCCCCGUGGCUGGUGUUGUGUGGGCUCUUCCCACCUAUCUAACUCACGUGGAGAGCAGCAGUGAAAGAAAAAAAAAUGACAAAAAUCAAGUUGAUUGCAUCUGUAGAUGUAUUAAUCAGGGUUCUCCAGAGAAACAGGAAGUAAUUUAUAAUAAGAAAUUUGCUCAUGCAGUUCUAGAAGCUGAGAAGUCCCAAGAUCUGCAGCUGGCAAGCUGGAGACCCAGGAGAGCCCAUGGUGUAAGUUCUAGUCUGGAUCCAAAGGCAGGAAGACACUGAUGUCCCAGCUCAAGACCUUCAAGGAGGGAGAGGAAAUUCUCACUCUUCGUUUUCCUCUUCUAGUCUGGUCCCAAUGGAUUGGAUGAGGCUUCCUAUACUGGGGAGAGCAAUUGACUUCACUAAGUCUGCUGAUUCAAAUGUUAGUCUCGUGGGGCGCCUGGGUGGCGCAGUCGGUUAAGCGUCCGACUUCAGCCAGGUCACGAUCUCGCGGUCUGUGAGUUCGAGCCCCGCGUCGGGCUCUGGGCUGAUGGCUCAGAGCCUGGAGCCUGUUUCUGAUUCUGUGUCUCCCUCUCUCUCUGCCCCUCCCUCAUUCAUGCUCUGUCUCUCUCUGUCCCAAAAAUAAAAUAAAUGUUGGAAAAAAAAAUUAAAAAAAAAAUGUUAGUCUCGAGAAACAUCCUCACAGACACACGUAGAAUAAUGUUUAGUCAAAUAUCUGGCACCUUGUAAUCAGUCAAGUUGAUAAAACCUUAACCAUCACAGUACAUAAUAUAUAUGUUGUAUGUACAGGCAUAUAAUGGUUUUCUUUUUUUUAUUUUUUUUAAUGUUUAAUUUAUUUUUGAGAGAGAGAGAGAGACAGAGUAUGAGCUGGGGAGGGGCAGAGAGAGAGGGAGACACAGAAUCCAAAGCAGGCUACAAGCUCUGAGCUGUCAUCACGGAGCCCGUUGUGGGGCUUGAACUCAUGAACCAAGAGAUCAUGACCUGAGCCAAAGUCGGAUGCUCAACCGACUGCACCCAGGCACCCCUCUUUUUGACAAUAUAUACACAACAUAUAGGUACACAGCAUAUACAAUACAUAUAUACUUGCAUGUAUCUAAACCAUUUUUUGACCCCUUACAAUAUUCAAUAAAUAACCAUUUUCAAAUCAGAGAAUAAUAGCAUGCUACCUACUUAAAUUCUUUCAAAAAUCUUGAUGACGACUAUUUACAUAUGUUAUAGAUGAAGAAACUUAAGAUAAAGAAGUUAUUUGCAGUAGGCUCAUCCCUCAACUAAUUUCAGAGCUACAAUUUGAAACCAGUCUGAUUUUAAAAUCUUCCCAUUAUGCCUCAGAAAUGUGUAUCGUGUGACCUCAAGAAAUAAUUGUAUUUGUUAGUUUCUUCUAAGACUUAAAAAACUCCAUAGUAUAAGUGUGCCUAGCACCUAAUGGUCUUGAGUCAGAGUAUACCAGUGGAGGGACUGACCACAUUUCAAAAUUACGUAAUGAAAAGUUCUGUGGCAAAGUAAUUCCAAAACCUAGGCUUAACUUUUAGAGAGCGAAUCACAGGCAACAUCUUAUUCCACAGCUGUGCCUGUUAUCUGAGCAGAAAUUGGUAAUGACAUUCUAAAUGAUGACCUGAAGUUCAUGCAGAAUUAUCAAAGGAUUUAUGCCAUGGAGUUAUUGGAAAAUAGGGUAUCUCUCUAUAAAUGCCCGUUUGGCUAUUAGUGCGUUAUUUGAUCAAAAACAAUUCAUUCUGUAGUGAUUCCAAAUAAGAGUAAGUACUGUCAACUUUUUUAAUAUCAAAAACAGGGAUAGUCUACACGGUGCAAUGCAAACACUGCCCAGACAUUUGUCACAGCGAUCUUACGUGCAUUCUGUGGUGGAAGAACCGGGAUGUUGUUGAGUGAUGUGUCCCGCUGUUUGAUGGGCAGACCAUCGUGACUGCUUUCUGUGGUCUCAUAAUUUACCUUCCCAGGUGUAUCAGAAGAUAAUGUUUAGAAGAGUUAGGAGUUGUACAUUAUGCUUACAUUUGGAGUUUCUCACUCUCUUUACACAUUCAGCAUAAUCAAAUGCAAUCAGCUAAUUCUACUGAGAAAUCGUGAACAAUUCUUCUGACCCAGUUGUGUUUCCUUAUUGCUCACAUGUAUGAGACUUUCGACCUGGGGCCUUCCGUGAGGUCUUGUAGUAAAAGGACAGUGGCGUGAAUGUAGAACCAGAGACACAGAUACAUGGGCGUGUGUACUUGUCCAAGUUCCCAUUGCUGGAAAGCUUAACCUCCACCUCUGCACUUUACUAAAUGGCAUCCUCAGUAUCCCACACAGAUGCUCUGCCCCCUCGAAAGGCUGUCCUAACUAUCCACCUGAAGCCACCCCAUCCCCCAUUGCUUAAUUGCAUCUUCCUGUUUAUUUUCUUCGUAGUGGUUGUCAUUGUGUGAUUCCCUGUUGAUGUAUUUGUUCACUUGGGUGUUGUCUGUCUUCCCUGCGAGCAUGUCAACUCCAUGUGCUUUGUAUUCAGUGACCCAUCCAGGGCUCUUAGCAGAGGGCUUGGCGCACAGUAGGCAUUCAUUAGAUAUUUGGUGAAUUAAUGAAUGAUUGGCUUUUAUUUGAGCCUAGUGUUUCAUCAGCUAUAGAAUUAUUAAUAUUCCAUAAUAAACCUAGUACUUUUAUUUAUCUAUUUUUUUGGUAUAUCCUGUUCCUUGUCACCGAGGAAGGUGCGGCACAGUGAGACUUCUUGAAUCCUAGAAUCCUGAAGACGAAAGUAGCCUUAUCAUCUUGUGAGUCCUGCUCUGUCAUUUAAUAGCUGAAGUUACAAAUCUUAAAGGCAAAGCUAAGUCCAGGUUAACCAGCAUUAGUAGCACUUGUCCAAACUAGGCAUCUGGCUCAUAAGCCACUACUCUAGAUACUUGCAGUGCAAUAAAAAAUUAAUUUCUCAGCAGUGAUGCUUUGCAAAUGAAAAUAUCAUUUAAAAAUUACAGAUAAGCUGAUGAAUGCAGAUAGUCGGAGUGACAGAUGUGGUUGAAGACAAAAAUAAAAUCUGAAUCCUUUGUCCCCCAUAUGUGGAAAUGUUUUGUUAGCUUAGCUUUUUUUUUUUUUUUUUACAUUCCCAUUUGGUGUCUCUCUGUUAUUAUCAUAUUAUAGUUCAGAAAUUCUGAUUUCAGCUUAUUUUCUUGAUCAAAAUAGAGCCAGGACCAGAAACUAAGGUGCCAUAGAGGCCCCCAGUGACAAUUAGCAAGUGACUAUUGUGUGUUAGGUAGAACAGUAUGUUUCAGAAGGACUGAAUGCAAAAACGAGAUGACAGAAAGUAAGAUGGAAUUAAUGGGAAGAAGCAGUGUGGUGUCAAAUAAAACAUUGUUGUUUGGCUUUUUUUGUGUGAUUUUGUACAGAAGUUACAAUCAGAAAAGGCAUGCUCAACUCAGGAAAUAGAAGAAAUAAAAGAAUAAAUUAAUAAGUGCAAUAUUUGCACUAUAUAUAUAUAUAUAUAUGUUUCUCAUAAAAUUAUUUGCCUCCCCCCCCAAAACAGGCCUUCUGUGAUUUUCUAAAUAAAUGCAAAUUUUACUGACAGCAUAUAUUUUUAUCUCUUCAAGAAGACAGUUCCUUGUCAUUGUUCUUUUCAACAAUCUGUCAUUUGAUUUAAGCAACUUAUUCUCCACUUUGUAGUACUUGAGGUAUCACCCCAAUGAAAUUGCUCUGUAUCUCUGCAGUGGGUGUUUUCUUGAAAACAUGGACAAAGCAUUCCAUUAUUUAUUACCAAGUCCUUCAGCACGGUUGGCAAACCACAUGCCAGGCUAAAAUGGGAUAAAUGUAGCUAAGAACGUUGUUAUCGUAGGGGAUUUUCUGUUAAAUCCAAUCAGUGAAUUCCACAGAUUGAAUUUAUAACCUGAGCAUGAAAAUCAGGUUUCCUUUCCAUUUUUUUUUAAGAUUUUAUUUUUAAGUAAUCUCUACACCCAACACGGGGCUUGAACUCACAACCCCGAGAUCAAAGAGUCGCACGCUCCACCGACUGAGCCAGCCAGGUGUCCCCUCUUCCGUUUUUAAAUUCAUAUCAAAGUGAACCAUGUCUUACCUCAAUAAUAAAUAUACAUAAAAUUAAAUGACUAAACAAACAAAAAAAUGUGAAAAAAGACAGUGGUAAAAUCAAAGUGGAUUCUUUUUUUUUUUCAAUAUAUGAAGUUUAUUGUCAAAUUGGUUUCCAUACAACACCCAGUGCUCAUCCCAAAAGGUGCCCUCCUCAAUACCCAUCACCCAUCCUCCCCUCCCUCCCACCCCGCAUCAACCCUCAGUUUGUUCUCAGUUUUUAAGAGUCUCUUAUGCUUUGGCUCUCUUCCUCUCUAACCUCUUUUUUUUUUUUCCUUCCCCUCCCCCAUGGGUUUCUGUUAAGUUUCUCAGGAUCCACAUAAGAGUGAAACCAUAUGGUAUCUGUCUUUCUCUGAAUGGCUUAUUUCACUUAGCAUCACACUCUCCAGUUCCAUCCACGUUGCUACAAAGGGCCAUAUUUCAUUCUUUCUCAUUGCCAUGUAGUACUCCAUCGUGUAUAUAAACCACAAUUUCUUUAUCCAUUCAUCGGUUGAUGGACAUUUAGGCUAUUUCCAUAAUAUGGCUGUUGUUGAAAGUUCUGCUAUCAACAUUGGGGUACAUGUGCCCCUAUGCAUCAGUACUCCUGUAUCCCUUGGGUAAAUUCCUAGCAGUGCUAUUGCUGGGUCAUAGGGUAGGUCUAUUUUUAAUUUUCUGAGGAACCUCCACACUGCUUUCCAGAAGUGGCUGCACCAGUUUGCAUUCCCACCAACAGUGCAAGAGCAAUUUCUUACUUGACACAUCCCCAAAGGCAAGGGAAUUAAAAGCAAAGUGGAUUCUUUGAGCUAUCGUCUCUUCACCCUUCUGUGUAAGCCUGGCACAGGUCAGAGGCCUGAUCAACAAAGAUUACUUCCAGUACUACCCUUUGUUCUGAAACCUGUUAUUGUUUAGGGAAAAAAAUUAAUUAUUCCCUCUCUAGUUGGAGAAAUUAAGAAUUUUUCAUAUUGGGUUUUGCAAAGUGAAAAACUGAGCACAUUCAAGCAUUCCAGUCUGUUCACAUGCACAUCCUUAUAUAACACUAUCCAGAAUAUAUUAUUGUGCAUUUUGCUUCAUUUUUCUUACACAAGUUUUUGUGUUUUGAGAUAGUCCACCUAAUUUUUACUUUCUUAGCCACGUAAUACCGUGUUGCUGUGUCCUAACUUGAUUAUCAGCUAUUGUCUUGCUAAGCAUUUUGAUUUCCUUUUCUCUCUCUUUUUAAAAACCUUUAAAUCACAUACAGUAUAAGCACUUAUAUACAGAUUAGGCUAUUUAUUUGGGGUUGAAUAGAAAAGUUCAGCUGAAGUUGAAUAAUACAAAUUACAACACAUUCCCAGAUUUUUUUUUUUUUUUUUUUUUUUUUUACAGAGAGGGGAGAGGGCAGAAGGAGGGAGAGAGAGAGAGAAAGAAUCCCAAGCAGACUCCACACCCAGUGCACAGCCCAACACGGGGGUUUGUUCCCGUCACUCCAGGAUCAUAACCUGAGCCGAAAUCAAGAGUAAACACUCAACCAGCGGGGCCACCCAGGAUCCCCUCCCAGAUUUUUCUUAGAGAAAAUGAACAGAUUAACUGACAACAUACGUGUCUAUACCACCCCACCUUCCCUCAUCCACUAUCUCACGACAGCUUACAUUUUUUGUUUUAAUGCCUAAAAGAUUAAAUUUAUGGCUUUUUAAUUAUGGCAAGAAAUGAGAUACUGUUCAUAACAUACUGUCAGGCCCAGUGGUUCUCCACCUUGGUUGCAUAUUACAAUUAACUUGGGGGACUUUUAGAAACCCUGAUGCUCAGGACACCCCAAUUCCAAUUCCACUUAAGUCAGAGUCCUUACCAGUGGAACUCAGGCAUCAGUACAUUUUUUUUAAGUUCAUUUAUUUAUUUCAAGUAGGCUCCACACUGUCUGCACACAGAGCCCGAGGUGGGGCUCGAUCUCAUGAACGGUGACAUCAUGACCUGAGCUGGAAAUCAAGAGUCAGACGCUUAACCAACGGAGCCCAGUCAUCCCUACAUUUUAAAUCUGCUUAAGUGAUUCUGUUGGAAUCAGGUUUGGCUGGGUUUGGGGAGCACUGGACUAAGCUGGUGGUGACGUUGUCUCUGGGUUUGACAGGGGACUGGAAAAAGAGAAAUCGCCUUAGUUCCAUCUUCUGGGGCAAUCAGAAUGAAGCAGAGUUGCUUGUCUUACUUGGUUCCAUUCUGCUGAAGCAAACCCUACCUUGACCCUGAAUCUCCUCGUAUUGCUUACAUCCUUGCCUGGCUGGUCUCUCCAUAUUGAGUAUCCUUCCCUAUAAUAGUCCCUCCUUACUGUUGUCAGCCCCACUGGUACCGCAUCUGACUGCUUGCACACUUUUCUCUGACUCUUUGCCUGCAGAGCUACAUCUUGCUUCCUGAACCUCCAAACCCUGGCUGAAGUUGUAUUCCCAGAGGAUACUUGAUAUUUUUAUAUUAAUCAGGAGCCACAACAAUCCUACUUCAUCCCAGUAGUUUUAGGGCAUACCUUCUUACAGGAUUUGACCUUUGCAAUGAAUAUGAAUGCUACUGGCCUGGGCACCACUACUUGCUAGAGGCACGUGGCUGGGUUGGACUCCCAGUAGCUUUAAUGAGUAAGACGUUUUCUGGCCUCAGCAAACACACUCCUACUCUGAUUCCUUUACCACAAUUAAGUGCAAGUGAAAUCCAGCAGCUUUUGCCGUAUUUAAUAGGACCAGCUCGCAGAGCAGGGAAGAAAAGCCCAUUUCCAUUUAUUAGGCUUUCCUUUUUUUACUUUUAUUUUCCACCAGCUGCAAACUAAGUCUGUCUCAUCCGUAAUGACAAGAACCACAAUGAUGAAAAUAACUCACUUUCAUCAGAUUCUUUCUACAUCUACACACCCUGAUAAGCCUUUUACACCUUUUAUAUCUCAUUUGCUGCUGUAACAGCUUACAAAAUAAAUUACUUUACUCAGUCCCAUUUUGCAGAUGAGGAAACAAAUUUUCUUGACCAAGGUAACAUAUUUGAUAAAUGACAGAGCUAAGAGGAUCCAACCUAGGAGUGAUGAGUUCCCAGAGCCUGAGAAUUACCCGUGGUCUUGUGAAACCUGGGCUUCUUAAAAAAUAUGCAAGAUCCUCAAAAAAUCGACUCUCCAACUUCUGUGUUCUCACGGUCAUCUUCACUUAUCGUUUCCUCAAGUCCUACCGACCUACUGGUUGACCCCAACUGUGACAACGGCUUGUCUUUCCACGUCUUGUUUCUUAAGCCAGAAACUUUUGCUCCCUCCUUCAAGGUGGACGCCCACUCACAAUUUCAAACCUCGGUUCAAGUGUCAAACGACUCUAUGUGAAGCUUCAACUGAGCUCCCACAUUGGUUAUUUGCUCUUUUCUCUGUGUUCUUACAGCAUAUGGUAAAUGUCUCAAUCACAGCAUUCAUCACUGACUAGCUAAUUACUUUUUUUAAUAUUUAUUUAUUUGAGAGAAAGAGAGAGAGAGAACGCACGAGCAGGGGGGAGGCAGAGAGAGAGAUGGAGAGAGCAAUUUCAGGCAGGCUCCACACUGUCAGUGCACAACCCAACGUGGGCCUCGAUCCCAGGAACCAUGAGGCCGUGACCUGAGCUGAAAUCAAGUGUCAGAUGCUUAACCGACUGACCCACCCAGGCACCUCUAGCUAAUGACUUUUGCUGAUUCAUUUGUCAGACUCCGUUUCCUCAGUUAAUCAGAGGGUUCACCUCAGAGUCUUAUGUGGAUAAAAGGAGAUAGAAUUUAAGAUAUUAACAACAUGUUGUAUAGUAAGCAUUUUAAAAAAUAUGAACUAUUAUUAUUAUUUUAUUUUAGAAAGAGAGAGAGCAUGAGAAGGGGACGGUCAGAGAGAGAGGGAGAGAGACAACCUCUUUUUUUUUUUAAGUUUAUUUAUUUUGAGAGAGAGAGAGAGAGCACGUGAGCAGGGGGUUGGGGCAGAGAGAGAAGGAAAGAAAAAAAUCCCAAGCAGGCGCUAUGCAGCGCAUGGAGCCCACUGUGGGACUCAAUCUCAUGAACCAUGAGAUCAUGACCUGAGCUGAAAUCACGAGUUGGUCACUGAACUGACUGAGCCACCCAGGUGCCCCUCACUAUAUUUUUUAUUAUUAACCAUCUCUUCAUAGCACAAUUUCUUUCUGUUUUUAAUAUGAAAUUUAUUGUCAAAUUGGUUUCCAUAUAACACCCAGUGCUCACCCCACAGGUGCCCUCCUCAAUACCCAUCACCCACCCUCCCCUCCCUCCCACCCCCCAUCAACCCUCAUUUUGUUCUCAGUUUUUAAGAGUCUCUUAUGGUUUGCCCCCCUCCCUCUCUAACUUUUUUUUCCUUCCCCUCCGCCCGUGGGUUCCUGUUAAGUUUCUCAGGAUCCACAUAAGAGUGAAAGCAUAUGGUAUGGGUCUUUCUCUGUAUGACUUAUCUCACUUAGCAUAACACUCUCCAGUUCCAUCCACGUUGCUACAAAAGGCCAUAUUUCAUUCUUUCUCCUUGCCAAGUAGUAUUCCACUGUGUAUAUAAACCACAGUUUCUUUAUCCAUUCAUCAGUUGAUGGAUCAGGCUCUUUCCAUAAUUUGGCUAUUGUUGAAAGUGUUCAUAGCACAAUUUCUUAAAAAACUAUUUUCUCUUUCUACGUGAUUACUUUCUGUGAGGAUGGGCACAGUGAUUUAUAUUUGGUAUUUCCAUAAUAUGUAAAGUGCUCAGCACACAGUAGAAAGUUAUGAGCUCUUGCAAGUUACCUAACUCCUCCAGCUGUCAAUAAUGAGGACCCCAUGAGGUUAUAUGUGGAUUAAGAGAGAAUGUUAAACUGAUUAGCAUGGAAAUAUUUUAAUAAGUGUCAGCAACUAUCAUUAUGUAAUAAGUUUGAAUAAAUGGAUGGAUGAAUUCAGGAGCGAGUAAAACUUUCUUAUGCUGCUGGUUUCUAUUUAUUAUACUGAGAUGAUGGCAAAUCACAGCUGUCUGUGUCAGCUGUCUCCUAGAUAGACCUCAUUGUGUGAUGGGAUACGACCAGUCUUUAGACUUUGUCUUACCAAUAUGCGGCAGGACUGAGUUCUGCAGUCGUCCAGGGAGUAAGUAUUGUAUUGAUCAGCGAGAGACCUGGCAAGUCUUGCCGAAUGUCUCUUUUGACAAUAAGAUAAACCCUUUCCAUAGAUUCUUUCUAUUCUGCCCUGGAAUUUUGGUAGACCAUUUGCUUGAAGGUGCAGGAAAUAAGGUACUUUCCUGUAAAUUCUAGUAAUUCAUCUACAGUAAAUUCCAAAACAUGACUUGAAGAGAGUACCUGGUAAUCUCUGUUAUAAGUAAGCCUACACAUUCUGGAGCAGCAGAGGUUGGAGAUGGAACUAAAAGGACAUUCAUUUAAUUUGGGAUGCAGGCAACCAUAACAAAAUCUUUUCUUCUGGAAUAACUCCCCGAAACAGUAUGAAUAUUCCUCUUCCUAUUCAAGUUUAAAAGAGCAGUCUUGGGGCGCCCGGGUGGUUCGGUCGGUUAAGCGUCUGACUUCAGCUAAGGUCAUGAUCUCGCUGUCCGUGGGUUCCAGCCACGCGUCAGGCUCUGUGCUGACGGCUCGGAGCCUGGAGCCCGCUUCGGAUUCUGUGUCUCCCUCUCUCUCUGCCCCUCCCCUGCUCAUGCUCUGCCUCUCUCUCUCUCUAUCUCAAAAAUAAAUAAACAUUAACACACAUUUUUUUAAAAAGAGCAGUCUUUAUUUGUUGGAUCCUCUUCCCCACCUUCCGUUCACUUCUCAUACACUCAUGCCUUUUUGAGCAAUUUGCUUGGCCGUAGUUGCCUGUAGAGAAAGAAAAUAUGACUGGAAAAUUGUUACUGAAGAAACACUUGCAGGUCUUGGCUUUGUUUGUGGAGAAUAUUCCAUGUCAUAGAAUAUAGCAGAUCAUCAGUUUAGUGAUUAUCAGCUGCUUUGAUGUGGUAGUUUGAAAAGUAAAUAUAUGAAGUUCUAAUUCCAAAUGUCUUUCAUUUUUUAAAUUUAAAUAGCUAGUAUAUUAGGAGAUGUCUUGUUAAUUAUUUGUCACUUUUCUUGAUUAAUUGCGCAUUUUCUCAUUUUUGUCCAUUUAUCAUUCAUCUUUACAUCAACCCAGUCGUCAUUUGGGUCAGAGAUUACCCCAUGCAGGUUCAGUGGUAGCUGCUUCGGGUGCUGGUCUCACCCCUAUUCUUCUAAUAAAAACACUUUUAAAUUAUGAACAAGUUCCUUUCUUAGCCCUACCCUCCAACCCUACCGAGCUAUCAUGUCUUUCAUUACUUUUGAUAAUAAACUUCUCCAGCAAGUUAAAUAAUUGCACACUUGAAUUAGCUACUAAGUUCCUAAUUCCUCAAAUUCAAAUUUCUAUCCCAACAUCUGAGCAAAAACUAACUUGAUGUAUUUUUUAUCUAUAUUGGUUGUUCCAGUACAAUUUAUAUUGACCUUAAGACAGGGAACAGCUCUAAGUAGUGUGCCUAUAAAAAUUAAUAAUUACAAAUUUUAAGGAAAGUGGGACUUUAAGAGUGUGGUCCAUACUGAAAGAAAGAAAGAAAGAAAGAAAGAAAGAAAGAAAGAAAGAAAGAAAGAAAAGAAAGAAAGAAAGAGUCAUUUAAUAGAUGCUGUCAAUAUGAGGGCCAGGUGUGGAAUUUAGCAUAUAGCGACUUCAGUGGAGCUAUGAUAAAUAUGUUCAAAGAAUGAAAGGACUCUAUGCUUUAAAGAAGUAAAGGGAAAUAUGUGAAUAACAUAUCACAAAAUAAAGAAUAUCAGAAAAAAAGGAAGAAAUUAUAUAAUAAAGCCCAAUGAAAAUUUACUAGACAAACUAAAAAAUAGACUUGGAUGGUAGAAGAAAGAAUCAGUGAACAUGAAGAUUUACGAAUAGGAAGGAAUAAGUCAUGAAAAACAGGAAGAGUGAAGGAAUGAACAGAGCCACAGGAACUGUGGUACAACAUCAGAUGUACCAACAUUAGGCGUUCCAGAAAAAGGCAGAAAACAUAGAAAAAAAUAUUUGCAAAAGUAAUGGCCAUACUUUCCAAGUUUUAUGAAGAAUAUCAAUCUACAUAUCCAGGAAUCACCACAAACUCCAAGUCAGAUCAAUAGAAAGAGAUCCAUGCCUGAACACAUCAUCAUCAGACUGUUGAAGGCCAAAAACAAAGAUAAAAACUUGAAAACAGACUAACAGAAAGACCAUAGACAUUUACUAGAGACAAAGAUAUUUAUAAUGCCAAAAGUGUCUAUUAAGGAAGAUAAGAAAUUUGAAAACAUAUAGACACCUAACAAUAGAACCCUAAAAUAUAGGAAGUGAAAGCUGACAAAAUUGAAAUGAGAUACAAGUAGUUCAAAAAAAAUAGUUUGAGACUUCUGCCCUUAAUAAUUGAUAGAAUAAUGAGACCAAAUCAACAAGUAUAUAAAUACUUGAACAACGCUAUCAACUAACUUAAAAUAAAAGAACAAGUGGAGUGUAGAACACUCCACCCCAGAACAUGAAAAUAUAUAUUAUUGUCAAGUGCAGAUGGGGAAUUUUCAGAAAAAAACAUAUGCUAGGCCCAUAAAACAAGAUUCAAUAAACUUAAAAGGGCUCAAGUCACAUAACCUGUGUUCCCUCACCCUAACAAAAUUAAAUUAGAAAUCAACAAUACAAAAAUUGGGGAAAUCUCCAAAAAUUAAAAAUUGAACAAAAUACUUUUCAAAUAACCCAGGAGUCACAGAAGAAUUCACAAAGGAAAUUUAAAAAUAUUUUGAAAUGACUGAAAAAGAAAAUAUAGCUUAUCCAAAUUUGUGAGAUGCAGCUAAUACAGUGCUAUAGGAAAUUUUUGUUUUUAUGUGCCCAAAACAUAGUAAAAUGCAAUUGAAAAUUAAUAAUCUAAACUUCAUCAUAACAUACUAGAAAAAGAGGAGCAAACUAAAAUAAAAUAUGAAAGAAAAUAAUAAAGAUUGCAGUGGAUAUCAAUGAAAUGAAAGGCAGUAAAGAAAACCAAUAAAAACAUAGAGAAAAUAAAAUCAAAGUUUGGUUCUUUGAAAAAAUCAAAACAAGGGACAAACUUUUAGCUAGAAUGACCAAGAAAAAAGAGAAAAGAUACAAAUUGUCAAAAUCAGGAACAUAAGAGACACCACUACCAAUCCUAUAGAAGUUAAAGGGAUUAUAAGAAAAAACUUUGAACUAUUUUCUGCCAUCAAUGGACAAUUUUGAUGAAAUAGACAAAUACCUACAAAGAUAGAAAUCCAUAACUGACUCAAAAGAAAUAGAAAAUCUGGAUGGGUGAUAAGUUAAAAAAAAAUAGAAUUAACAAUUUAAAAUCUUCACAUAAAGGAAAAUCCAGGCCUACGUGGCUUCCUUGUUGAAUUGUCAGAUAUUUUAGGAAGAAAUAAUACUAUUCUUUUACAAACACUUCAAGAUUUAAAGAGAAUAUUUUCCAUAUAAUUCCUUGAGUCCAGUAUCACUGUCAUACCAAAGCCAGAUAAGACAUCACAAGAAAACUAGACCAAUAUCUCUCAUAGAUACAGAUGCAAAAAUCAUCAACAAAAUAACAAACCAAAUCAAUGUGUCAGUUGACCAACAUGUAUAAAUUAAUUGCGAUUUGUCAUUUUAAAACAAAAUCAGUUUAAUAUUCAAAAUCAAUUAAUGUAGUGCACCAAAAUAAUAGAAUAAAAGGGAAAACACAUGAUCAUCUUAAAAGAUACAAAAAAGCACUUGACAAAAUCCUAUAUCCUUUCCUGAUUUAAAUUUUAAAAAAAUUUAAUGUUUAUUUCAGAGAGAGAGAGAGAGAGAGCAUGAGCAGGGGAAGGGCAGAGAGAUAGAGGGAGUUACAGAAUCUGAAACAGGCUCCAGGCUGUCAGCACAGAGCCUGACACAGGGCUCAACUCACAAACCAUGAGAUCAUGAUGUGAGCCAAAGUCAGACACUUAACUGAGCCACCCAGGCACCCCCACAUUCCUAAUUUAAAAAUGAAAAUGAAGGGGCACCCGUGUGCCUCAGUCAGUUAAGCUUCGGACUCUUGAUUUUGACUUAGAUCAUAAUCUCAUGGUCAUGAGAUUGAGCCCCAGGUCAAGCUUUGUGCUAAGCAUGGAGCCUGCUUGGGAUUCUCUCUCUCUCUCUCUCUCUCUCUCUCCUUCUCUGUCUCUCUCUACCCUCUCCUCACUUGUGCUCUCUCUCUCUCUCUCUCUCUCAAAAAUAAAAUAAAAACAAAAAUGAAAACAAAAAACUUUCAACAAACUAGAAAUAAAAGGGAACUUUCUUAGUCUAUUAAAGGGCAUCUACAAAAAACAUACAGCUAACAUUAUACAAAAGGAUGAGAAAUUGAUACUUGCUCCUUAUGACAGGGAACAAGUCGAGACAUCCAAUCUCAGUGUUCUCCUCAUCAUUGUAUAGAACAUGCUGAUCACUUGCAGUAAGAUAAAAAAUUAAAUUUAAGUAAAAUAAAUAAAUGCAUCCAGAUUAGAAGAGAAGUAAACUGCUUUAUUGGCAGACGAUUGAGCCUGUGUGUAGAAAAUCCUAAGAAAUCGACAAAAAUACUGUUAGAGCUAAUAAAAGUGUUCAGCAAUACCAGAGAAUAUAUUAUCAACAAGCACAAUCAAUUGCAUAUCUAUUUACUGUCAAUGAAUUUUCUGAAAAUGAAAUUAAAAUAAUUUCAUCCCCCCAUAAAUAUGUAGGAAUAAAUUUAACAAUGAAGUACAAUACUUAAACAACAAAAAUUACAAAGCGCUGCUAAGAAAAAGAAACUUUCUGAGAGAAAGAACAGGUUAGCUGAGAGAAAUUAAUGAAGAUUAAAUAAAUGGAGAGACAUUUUAUGGUCAUAGAUAGAAAGACUCACUAUUGCUAAUAUGGCAGUUCUUGCCAACUUUAUCAAUAAAUUCAAAAGUCCUAUCAACUUCCCUCUAGAAUCUUUGCAAAAAGGAUAAACUGAUCCAAAAAUUUAUGUGGGAAUUCUGAGCAUUGAAAGUAAUCCAGUGAUUUUGGAAGAGAAGAACAAAGUUGGAGGACUUAAUAUUUCCUGAUUUUAGAAUGUAAUGUAAACUACAUUAAUCAUAGCAGUGUGAUAGCAUUAAAGACAGAUGCGUAGAGCAUUGAUUUUACUUAAUAUAUGCUAAGUACAAGAAGCUGGAUACAAAACGCUUUUUUAUCUCUAUGAUUUCAUUUGUAUAGCCUUCUGGAAAAACUUAAAGAAUAGAAAUCAGAGCAGGGGUGCCUGGGUGGCUCAGUCAGGUAAACGUCUGACUCUUGGUUUUGGUGUAGGUCAUGGUCUCAUGGUUUGUGGAAUCAAGCCCUGCAUCAGGCUCCAUGCUGAGAGCCCAGAACCUGUUUGGGAUUUUCUCUCUCUCUCUCGCUCUCAAAAUAAAUAAACUUAAGAACAAAAAAAAAAGAAUAUAAAUCAGAGCAGAAGUUGUCAGGACUGGAGUGGGAGAAGGGCACUGACUACGAAGAGGCACAGGUAACUGGCUAGCGUAAUGGAAAUGUAUUUUGUGAUAUUAGGCAUGGCUGCUGUACCAUGAACAUUUAUAAAAACUCAACAUGCCAUAUGAUAAAAAAGGGGUGAAUUUUACUCUUUGAAAAUUAUUUCUAAACAAAUCCAACUUUAAAACUGAAGAGAAAACAUCCUGAAUUUAUUUAUAAUUACAUUUUAGCAAAUAUUGACAAUUUCGUGAAAAGGGCAUGAGCCUUUGAAUCAAAGCACAGUGAUGCAUGUGCACUUAGGCUUUGCCACCUACUGAGAAACUUAUUUUCUCUUCAUUAAAAUGCAAUAGCAAUAUUUGCCAUGUAAUAAAUUUGGUACUUUUUCUCAGUUAUUGGAAAUGACACAUCUAGAACAGUUAUGUGACUGCCUCAUAAUUUUGUAUUAAUUUUCUUUAUCCUUUAUCUUAAAAUAUUGAAAGUAUCAACUGAAAGUGGAGGGCUUUUUCAUUUCUUUCUUUUCUGUUUUUGCCAUUUCCAAGAUACAAAACUGGAAUGAAGUACAUUUCUCUUCCCUUCGCCUAUCCUGUUCAACAAACUUUAUUUUCUAGUGCAGGGAAUUUGGUUCCCGACACCAGACUAGCUGACAAAGACCUUUCUCCCAUGCUCAGAACAGGCCAUCAUUUCUUGUGUUUCUCUGCUGUUCAGUCCAAGCGCAGACAGAUGUAUUGUGGGAAGUUUUUACCAAUCAAACCAGUUUGGCAUGCAUGUCAUGUCAGUAUCUUCAAUAACCUCUCUCAUUAAAAGGUACACAAAUUUGGAUACAUGUUAUUUCUUUUAUAUAUUGAAUUAUUUGUCUUACUUGUUCACAUUGUAAAGUUAAAUCAAGACUUAUCUCUUUGCAUUGCUAAAUAUGCUCUUGAAGGAGUAAGAUUUUCUGCAGCCAAAGCCUGUGAGCCUCAUGGUGCUUAGAAUCAUGGUUUGUACCAAGCUCAACCUGUUAAUGUGUUUGAUAGUGAUAAUAAAAGAAUAGGACUCAUUUAAGAACUUGUUUUAUGCCAUUGCUGUUGACCACUAUUUUUUUAAGAGUUUUGAGGUCCAAAACAAGUUUGAAAAAACUACGUAUAUGUGAUAGAGAUGAUGAAUUACAUGAGGAAAAUUGCAUUUAAAAAUGUUGGAGGAUCAUGAGAACAUCUGAUCAGAAACUUUUAAAAGUAGUUUAAUGGCAACCAAUAAUUGUAUUUAGGGACUGAACAUAAAUCAUAUAGUUAGAUGAUGUCAGUACUCCUAAAAUGUUAGAGAGCAGCAUUCUUUGUCAUUCUACUUAAAAUGGAUUUAUUAUGAAUUAAGUAUUUCAAGAUAUCAUGAACUUGGUUAAUUCUAAGAAAAAAAUAUCUGUUAUUCACUUUGUGUUGUAGAAAAGAACAUUUCUAGAAUUGGUUUCUAAGAUGAAGAAGUCGUCUUACAAGAUAUGUAGGAGUUCCACUCUAUUUGAUAAAGUUUAACAUUAAGACCUUGAAACAAAAGCAGUGUAAUGAAAAGUGAGAGGUUAAUAAGCAUGGAAGUAGUAGAGAUUAUACUAAGCCAGAAGGGAGUGGCAUGAUAUAUUCUAAGUGCUCAAUGGGAAAUAUUUGCAGCUAAGAAUACUCUAUCCAGCAAGUCUAUCAUUCAAAAUAGAAAGAGAGAUAAAGAGUUUCCCAGAUAAACAAAAACUAAGAGUCUGUGACCACUAAGCUAGCUCUGCAAUAUUAAAUAUUAAAGGGGAUUCGUUGAGUGGAAAGGAAAACCAAAAGUGACAGUAUAAAGGUAGAAGACACAAAAGUAGGAAAAAUGAAUAUUUCUAUAAAAAUCAAAUAACUCACAAAAUAAAAGGAUAUAAAAUAUAAUAACAUAUACCUAAAAUGUGGGGAGGAGAGGAGUAAAGAAUGGGUUCAAACCUAAAUGACCAUCAACUUAAUACACACUGCUAUAUGCAGAAGAGGUUAGAUGCUAACUUAAUGGUAACUACAAAUCAGAAACUAUUAAUAAAUAUUCAAAGAAUAAAGGGAAAGAAGUAGCAAAUACAUCACUAAAUAAAACCAGCAAACUGUGAAAGAGAAAGACAAGGAUGAGAGAAAAGCUUCAGAAAUGACCACAAAGCAAGUAAUGAAGUGACAAUAAAUACAUAUUCCUCAAUAAUUACUUCAAAUGUAAAUGGACUAAAUGCUCCAGUGAAAAGAAAUAAGGUGGCAGAAUGGAUAGAAAAGUCAAGAGACUCAUUCAGACCUAAAGACACCUGCAGACUGAAAGUGUAGGGAUGGAAAAACAUCUAUAACGGAUUGCAAAAGAAAGCCAGAGGAGCAAUUCUUAUAUAAGACAAAAUAGACUUUAAGACAAAGAGUGUAACAAGAAACAAUGAAGGACACAAUAUAAUCACAAAGGAGACAAUUCAACAAGAAGCUAUAACAGUUGUAAGUAUUUAUGCACCCAACAUAGGACACUCAAAUACAUUAAACAAUUAAUAACAAACAUAAAAGAACUAAUAGUAAUACAAUAAUAGUAGAGGACUUUAACACAUCACUUACAACAAUGGACAGAUCAUCUAAACAGAAAAUCAACAAGGAAACAAUGGCUUGGAAUGACACACUGGAACAGGCGGAUUUAAAUUUUUUUUUUUUUUUCAACGUUUAUUUUUUAUUUUUUUUGGGACAGAGAGAGACAGAGCAUGAACGGGGGAGGGGCAGAGAGAGAGGGAGACACAGAAUCGGAAACAGGCUCCAGGCUCUGAGCCAUCAGCCCAGAGCCUGACGCGGGGCUCAAACUCACGGACCGCGAGAUCGUGACCUGGCUGAAGUCGGACGCUUAACCGACUGCGCCACCCAGGCGCCCCUGGAACAGGCGGAUUUAAAGAGAUACAUUUAGAACCUUGCAUCCUAAAACAGCAGAAUACACAUUCUUUUGCACAUACAACAUUCUCCAGAAUAGAUCACACAUUAGCCCACAAAACAAAUCUUUACAAAUUCAAGGAGAUCAAAGUUAUGUUAUGCAUCUUUUCUGACCAUGAAGCUAUAAUAAUAGAAGUAAACCACACACACAUUAUCACACACACACACACACACACACACACACGAAACAAAAUUUGGAAAAGUCACAAAUAAAUGGGGAUUAAAUAACAUGCUACUAGACAAUAAAUGGAUCAACCAGGAAAUAAAAGAUGAAAUACAAAAGUACAUGGAAACAAAUGAAAAUGAAAACACAAUGGGACAAAACUUCUGGUAUGCAGCAAAAGCAGUUGUAAGAGGGAAGUGUAUAGCAAUAUAGGCUUACUUCAAGAAGCAAGAAAAGUCUCAAAUGUAUAACCCAUGCUUACACCUAAAGGAGCUAGAAAAAAAAAAAACAAAAAACACAAAAACAAGCAAACCCUAAGACCAGCACAAAGAAGGAAAUAAUAAAGAUUAGAGAUGAAAUAAAUGAUUUAGAAACUAAAAAUCAAUAGAACAGCUCAGUGAAACCAAGAACUGGUUCUCAUUAUGAAAAAAAGAGAAAGGACUCAAAUAACAUCACAAAUGAGAGAGGAGGAAUAACAACACCACAGAAAUACAAACAACUAUAAGAGAAUAUUAUGAAAAUCCAUAUGCCAACAAAUUGGACAAUCUAGAAGAAAUGGAUAAAUUCCUAGAAACAUAUGACCUACCAAAACUAAAUCAGGAAGAAAUAGAAAAUUUGAACAGAAUGAUAACCAGCAAAGAAAUUGAAUCAGUAAUCAAAAAACUACCAACAAACCAAAGUCCAAGACUAGAUGGCUUCACAUGUGAAUCUUAUUUUGAAGAAGAGUUAAUACUUAUUUUUCUCAAACUAUUCCAAAAAAAUAGAAAAGGAAGGAAAACUUCCAUAUUUAUUCUAUGAGGCCAGCAUUACCCUGAUACAAAAACCAAGUAAAUACACCACUAAGAAAGAGAACUAUAGGCCAAUAUCUCUGAUGAACAUGGUUGCAAAAAUCCUCAACAAAAUGCUAGCAAACCAAGUUCAACAAUACAUUUUAAAAAAUAUCACCACUAUCAAGUGGGAUUUAUCCCUGGUUUACAAAAGUGGUUCAAUAUUUACAAAUCAAUCAAUGUGAUACACCACAUCAAUAAGAAGAAGGAAAAGAACCAUAUGAUCAUUUCAGUAGAUUCAGGUAAAGCAGUUGACAAAAUACAACAUUCAUUCAUGAUACAAACCCUCAAGAAAGUAGGUUUAGAGGGAACAUUCCUCAACAUAAAACCCAUUGCUAACAUCAUCCUCAAUGGUGAAAGACUGAGAGCUUUUCCCCUAAGUUCAGGAACAAGAUAAGGCUGUCCACUCGCACCAUUUUCAUUCAACAUAGCACUGGAGGUCCUAGCCACAACAAUCAAACAACAAAAAGGAUUGAAAGGCAUCCAAGUAUGUAAGGAAGGAGUAAAGAUUUCACUAUUUGCAGAAGACAUGAUAAUAUACGUAAAAAACGCAAAGACUCCACCAAAAAACUACUAGAACUGGUAAAUGAAGUCUGUAAAAUUGCAGGAUACAAAAUCAACACACAGAAUCUGUUGCAUUUCUACACAACAAUAGCGAAGCAUCAGAAAGAAAAAUUAAGGAAUCAAUCCCAUUUACAAUUGCACCAAAACCAUUAAGAUAGCUGGAAAUAAACUUAACCAAAGAGGUGAACGACUUGUACUCUGAAAACUAUAAAACAACAAUAAAAGAAAUUGAAGACAACACGAAGAAAUGGAAAACAUUCCAUGCUUAUUGAUUGGAAGGACAAAUAUUGUUAAAAUGUCUAUACUACCUAAAGCAAUCUACACAUUCAAUGCAAUCCCAUCAAAAUACCUCCAGCAUUUUUCACAGAACUAGAACAAACAAUUCUAAAAUUGAAACCACAAAAGACCCUGAAUAGCCAAAACAAUUUUGAAAAAAAAAAACAAAACUGGAGGCUUCACAAUUCUGGACUUCCAGUUAUAUUACAAAGCUUUAGUAAUCGAAACCAUACAGUACUGGCACAAAAAUAGACACAUAGAUCAAUAGAACAGAGUAGAAGACCCAGGAGCAAACCCACAAUUAUAUGGUCAAUUAAUCUUCAACCAAGCAAGAAAGAAUAUCCAAUAGGAAAAGGACAGUCUUGGGGCACGUUGGUGGCUUGGUUGGUUGAGCGUCUGACUUCAGCUCAGGUCAUAUCUGACAGUUUGUGAGUUCAAGCCCUGGAUUGGGCUCACUGCUGUCAGUGCAGAGCCCGCUUUGGAUUCUGUGUCCCUCUGUCUGUGUCCCUUUCCCACUUAUGCUGUUCUCUCUCAAAAAUAAAUAAACCUUUAAAAAAAGCACAGUCUCUUCAACAAAUGGUGUUGAGAAAACUGGACAGCAACAAAAGAAAUAAACUGGACCACUUUCUUAUACCAUGCAUGAAAAUAAAUUCAAAAUGGAUUUACGACCUAAACGGGAGACCUGAAGCCAUAAAAAUACUAGAAGAGAACACAGGCAGUAACUUCUUUCUAGAUAUGUCUCCUGAGGCAAGGGAAACAAAAGCAAAAACAAACUAUUGGAACUUCAUCAAAAUUAAAAGCUUCUGCACAGCUAAGGAAACAAUCAACAAAACUAAAGGCAACCUACAGAAUAGGAGAAGAUAUUUGCAAAUGACAUAUCUGAUAAAGAGUUAGUAUCCAACAUGUAUAACGAACUUACAAAACUCAACACUCAAAGAAACAAUCCAAUUAAAAAUGGGCAGAAGACAUGAAUAGAUAUUUCUCCAAAGAAGAAAGGCAGAUGGCCAACAGACACAUGAAAAGAUGUUCAACGUCAUUCAUCAUCAGGGAAAUGCAAAUCAAAACUACAGUGAGAUACCAUAGCACACCUGUCAAAAUGGCUAAAACCAAAAACAGAAGAAACAGCAAGUGUUGGCGAGGAUGUGGAGAAAAAGGAACCCUUGUGCACUGUUGGUGGGAAGGCAAACUGGUGCAGCCACUGUGGAAGACCAUAUAGAGGUUCCUCAACAAGUUAAAAAUAGGUCUACCCUACAAUCCAGCAGUUGCACUUCUAUUUACCCAAAUAGUACAAAAGUACCAGUUCAAAGGGUUACACGCACCUAUGUGUUUAUAGCAGCAUUAUUUACAAUAUGGAAGCAGCCCAAGUGUCCAUCAAUUAAUGAAUGGAUAAAGAAGAGGUGGUGUAUAUCUAUGUACCUAUGGGUAUAGAUCUAUAUAGAGAGAUAGAUAUAUAGAAUAUUACUCAGCCAUGAAAAAGAAUGAAAUCUUGCCAUUUGCAAUGACAUGGAUGAAGCUAGAAAUUAUAAUGCUAAGUGAAAUGAGUCAGACAAAGACAAAUGCCAUACAAUUUCACUCAUAUUGAAUUUACAAAACAAAAAAAGCAAAGGUAAAAGAUAGAUGAUGAUGAUGAUGAUAUAGAUAGAUAGAUAGAUAGUAGAUAGAUGAUAGAUAGAUAGAUAAAGAAACAGACUCUUAAUUGUAGAGAACAAAAUUGGUAGUUACCAGAGGAGGGUUGGGAGAUGGAUGCCAUAGGUGAUGGAGAUUAAGGAGUGCACUUGUUGUGAUGAGCACUGGGUGAUUUAUGGAAUUGUCUCUAUAUUGUACACAUGAAAGUAGUAUAACACUGUAUGUUAACUAACUGGAAUUAAAAUAGAAACUUAAAAAAAACACAAUAUGCUAAAAGAAGGUAAUUAAGAAAGAAGACUGGUGAAGUUUAAUAUAAUCUUUGCUACAAACUUAGACAUAAUCACCUGUAAGAAAAUGAGAACAAAAAUGACCGAAGCAGAUUACUUUAAAAUAUUAUUUAUGGUUUUAAGCUGAUUUUCACUUGAAUUCAUUUGUUUCAUGAUUUUUUUUUUUAGUUUUGCAAAAGGCCCCAUAAUCAAAACCUUAAAUAAUUCUGGAGUAUCCUUUAACUAUUUGUGGAACUCUGAUGGAAAUAACAUAUUUUGAUGUAUUAUCAUUCUCCUUUAGGGGAGGGAACAAAAGGUCAAAUUAUUCCAAGUUUUUAGAAAAGAAAAGCAUUGUAUUCCUUCCAUUCCUCAAUUUUUGUGGGAACAUGAUAAGAAAAUAUACUAAGCAUGAUAAGAAAAUAUACUAAGGUCCCCAUGACUAGGCCAAACUUUCCAUGUUGGUAAAUGGGUACAUCAACGAUGAGGCUAAUCUGGUUGUCACCUGUGCUGCCCCACUGAACAUGGGGCUGACUCAGUAGCCUUGACUACUCCUUCAGCGCCAUUACACGCACAUCAAAAUGACGAUGCGCAUUUCAGGUGAACGCACACACUGAUUUGCAUUUCUAGGUCUUUAACUUUCAGAACUUUUUCACAUGCAUGUUACUUUAUUGGAUCCCACGUAAUGGAUUGGGAAAGGGGUCCCAGGCUAGAUCACUAUCAUAUGUCUAGGUGCUGAGGGCAGAAUUAGCUACCACCUCUCACAUCUAGAAGUCUACCAAUCAUUUCCAGCUUCAGGGACAUUCUCUGAAACAGAAAAUAAACAAAAACUUAAGUCCUCAUAAGGUGGAGGGUCAAUGGGAUUUGGCAUAAUCCAACCUAAGUUUGAAUCACCAGUUUUCCCAUCUGUAGAAGGGGGCCAAUAUACAUUUUCAAGGUAGUAAGGAAGACUCAAUGGCACAGUCCGUAUUUGGAACAAUUAGCAUUUGGUCUAGUUCCUGGGAGAACCUCAGUAACUAAUAGUGUAUAAUAAAAGCAAUAAACUCUGAUUGCAGUAAGGUUCUCAUUAACUGAAGGGUCCUACCACUGCUGGUGGCUGCUGAACUUGAGUAAUGGCUUAUUUUGAAGAUAGCAUCUUUCUGUAAGGAUGCUCCUCCAUCGAGAGCUGUCCCACUACGUGUCAGACUCCGUGCCAGGCACUGGAGAUGCAGCAGUGAGAAAGAGCCUCUGCUCUCCUGCAGCUUACCGUGUCUCUUAGCAUGUGCACAUUGCUCUGCCUCUGCAACUUUCUUGCACCAAGUGAUUGCACUUUUAACAGAACCUCAGUCCUGGAAUUCAUUCAGCACCAAGUAUUCAUUGAGGGAAGGAAGACGGACAGAUUAAAACUUGGCAUUGAUGAGGAUGCCCACCCGUCGGUGCCAGUGGUCCAGAGUCUGCAUGCUGUGGGCUUAAACUCAGUUGGGAACAGUCUUCUAAUAGUUAAUAUUGGCACUAUGCACUCAUCGCAUCUGGGGCAAAAAGCUCUUUGUAAUGCAUUUUGUCUCCUCUCUCCAAAGGGGAGAGUUCACCAUAUUGCUGCCAUGUUACCAGGUUGAGAACUUUGAGUGGAACCCAUUUAGUAUAUAUUUAUUUCCCAUUUAGGGUAUAUUUUAAGCCCUUUACAUUUCUUUUUUCCCAUUUGGGCCCCAUGUUUCCAGCACCCCAGACCAUAUGGAAUGUGGGAUCUGCCUUGUGAAAAUGCUUUCACAUUCUGGUCAGGCAAUUCUUCAGGCGCCUGUGUUGCCCUUGGCUUUGGCUUAGGUUAAAGUAGCCUGUCUAAUUGGGAAGAUUAUUUCUCCCUCUCCUGCCUGCGUUUGUUUUUCUGUUUGGGGAUCUCUCCCAUCAGAUUCGUGGCCUGGAGCUGCUGUCGAUACUUGUGAAGCAUGUUCCCCAGCAUCAAGGAGUCAAUGUCAUGGAGGUCAGUCGGCUGUUGAGAGCAGGGCUAUUGUGAGGCCUGAGUAAAGGUGAGGACUGUGAAACUGGCUGUCACCUGGGCCUUUGGGCACAGGCUGCUGCAGCUUGACCUUGACCCAGAGAGAUCCCACCUACCCUGGAAUUGCUAAUGAAGGAGACUGAGUAUUUUAAGCAGGAUAGGUGAAUAGUGUUCAGUGCUUUCAAGCUGCAAGCCUGCUGCGCACGUGAAGAAACACUGUUGAGACUCCAUCUUCACAUUACUGGGUCUGAGAAUGGUGUGAGCAUCUGGAGGUCUGUUGCUUCCAAUUCCACUCUACGCUUGGGGUCCAGGAGGCGGGACUAACACUGGACUUAUACGGUGUAUUCUCAUGGUUUCAAGUUUGCUUUGGUUGGAUUAAUUACCAAAAUUCUCACCGUGGCUUUGGUUUUCCAAUUCCCACAAUGCAGAGUAUUUGAGGAGCCGGUGGUUUGUGUGCCCUCCAUUCAAUCUCAAUCAUUUAUUUCCACGUUCUAACUGGAGGACGUGGUUACUAGUUUUCUCUUGGCCAAAGCCAUCGUCCUCCUAUGGCAAGCAGUCUCUAUUGAGAUGGAGACCAUAGUUUUGAGAUUGAUACUCAGGAGCUAUGGACUGGGGAAAAGGCGAUGUGUAAAAGGUGCAUUCGACCCACUGGCCCUGGCGGUUAGUGGUGAGGCUUCCAACUAGCGUGUUUCUGCAUUCAUCAACCAGCUGUAUGCUUGUGGAAUUCAGCGGAUCCCUGCCCAGAGGUUGAUAAUCUUAAUGAGUGUAUUCAUUGUAUAAAUGCAUAGCUUAAGAGCAGCUUAAUAAUAUGCACAUAUGGUGCAUUUUUAUAUGGGGGGAGGUUCCUUUCCAAAGCUUGUAUGCCCCAUACCACAGGACUGUUGCUUGUCCUUAGUUUCUUAAUCCUGUCCUCGAUAUCAAUUUGUAGGUGGACUGGAAACCUACUUUCUCUAAUAUACUGGAAGUCCCUCCUAUUCCACAUUUUGAGUGAUACUUUCCUUGCUUAAAUGUGUAGGGUAGAGAGGGGCUUUGCCCAGAGACAUCUGCGUGAAGCCACACACUGAAAUCCUGAAUACAUUUUGCCAUAAGCAAACCUUGCUGCCACUUUAAGCCAUGAGGACGUCCUCUUUCUGCCCCAAGAGCGCAGUAUCCUAUUGCCCUCAACGUUUGCUGUAGUCUUCCUUACUUAGUCAAGAGAAUGCUGAGUAUCAGCACUAAGGAAUGCUUAUGCAUUUGUCUUUCCGUGACAUUAAGGGAAGUGUUAUCACUUCCAAAGACUUCAAGAGCAUUUGUGAAAUGUGUAAAUGUUCUGACUGCAAAAUGUACCUGAGACGUCUCUUCACCCAAAAUACUAGUAAACCGUCAUCAUUUUGAAAACUGUAAUAUCCAUGUGAGGUAACUGUGUGAUUUCAGAGUCCUAAAUCACUUCCUUUCAAGCGCAAAACUAGGAAAGUGUCCAAAGGCAUUCAUGAUGAUAGCCAUCUAACUAUCCAGGCUGGUAAGGCGAAAAGAGAAAACCCCAACUUUAAUCAUUUCUGUGUUCUCUUGGCUGCCUUCCUCAUUACCGUGCCUCCAGGAAACCAAGGCCUUUCCAGGUUUCAGGAAAAUUUGUGCACUGGCUUCUCAGUCCUGGAAAGUUACCAUGCACUCCAGCAGACGGCAUUAGAAGUCCUAAGGAAGCCUUUCUUAUUUAGAUAGAGAUGCAGAUUUUGUCUCUGUUGAUCUAUUCCAGUCGAAAGCUUCCGCAUUCCAGUAGUAGGUUCUAUGAGGUUUUAAGAGGACAAUGAAGCUUGUUUUGUUUUUUUUUUUUUUCUUUUCUUUUGUUUCUUGGGCUUCAAAGAUGACUUUGAAGUUUGCUUUCCUUGGGCUUUAUGUCUGGAAUCCUUAGCAGAUAUCAAAUGACUGAGAUAUUCAUAGAUUGCUAAUUUUGUUGUAGUUUGGUAAAAAAAAAAAAAAAUACCCUAAAUUUUAGCCACUCCUUCCAGUCUAGACACCUCUUGGUCUGGUAACCAUUAUUUUAUUUUUGUUUCCUUUUAUCAUCCGUAAAUUAACUGGAACGUUGGUAGUGAUCAUGGUCCUUUUUAACGUGAAGAUUCAGACAUUAAUUCCAUUUGCUCUGGAAGUACCUAUUCUGUUGCUGUGAUUUAAGAAUGUUUAAUUGAGUAGCUCUCUGAUGUGGAAGUAGGUUCUGAAGGAUAACAAUCCAGCUGCCAGUUUCCAUCAUGAUUCCUUACAUGCUCAGGGGCUGCAGUGUCGCAGUGAGUUCUGCAUUUACACAGCUCUUAACUUUUCUCACUCAAAGAAUCCGUUCAGCUGGGGUUUGGUUUCUACCUUUGCCACUCAGUGGCUCUUUGGCUGUGAAAUUCAGUCUGGAAGAAGCUCAGCUUCUGUGAAAUACCAGUAGCAACAGUUUUGGAAAACUGAAAAAGAAAACAAAGAUGCACGUAAAGUACCCAUCAAUGUGCUUGGCACAGAAGUAGGCUCGUGAGUAAUGACUGAUAUUGCUCCUGCUAAAAAGGACCGGGAGAAAGACGAGAAAAGAGAGGAGAAGGAGAGGAAGGAUGGAAGAGAGAGGAGAGGAGGAGCUUGGAAUGGCCCAAAUAAGGAGAUUCUGCAUUGUUCGAUAGCCUUUGGGGAGGGUUUUCCCAAGUAUCUCUUUCUUCAGUUUACCUUAGCUCUCGUCUUCAGUGUGAUUACAAAGGGCGAUGAGAGUCUCUGAAAGGCUUUUUCUUUCCAGGAAGAUGCCCAUAGAAAAUGCUUCCCACCUCCCCUCUAUUGGUGCUUUGCCCCAACUUUAGAUCGCCUUUCUGCAUUAGCUAACCUCCACAGCACCCCUCCUUCAAAAGGCUUGGUCACUUCUCUACCAUCAUGACAGCUUUGAUUCAUAAGAGAGCCCUUUAUCCACAGCUUGCCAAACUGGAUGUCUCCACCCAAUCAGAUAAUAUUGGAGUCAGAUUUAAAAUUUAAAUAGAGUUAGAAGCUGCUGUCUGUUUUGUAAAUGGCAUAUGAGAAAAUCUACUGAUUUUUGUCUAGCUAAUUUAACAGUCCUUACUUAAAAUUAAUAUAAAGACUAAUUGGCACAUCAGGAAAGCAAAUGUCGAAUAAGCAUGGAAGUUAAUUUUCAGUGCAACUAGUCUUUAAAGUUUAAUAGCCAAUAAAUAUAAACAUGAAGUGACAGUUACCUCAUUACAAAUGUAAACACAUAUAAACCUACCCAGUUGCAAGUUAAAACAAACUUAGAAAUAAAAAUAUAACUCCUACUUUGGCUAUGCCUGAGCCUUUCUUGCCAAGGCUAUCAUUCUUUUUGAUUUAUUAUUUCCUACCUUAACACUGUAGCUGUCCACAGCAGUUACUAAAAUAGUUAAUUCGUGCACCUGGGUGGCUCAGUCGGUUAAGCAUCCGACUCAAUGUUCCGGCUCAGGUCAUGAUCUCAUGGUUGAUGGGUUUGAGCCCUGCAUCGGGCUCUGCACUGAGUGUGGAACCUGCUUGGGAUUCUCCCUCUCCCUCUGUCCCUGCCCCUUCUCUGCUUGCUCUCUCUUUCUCUCUCUCUCUCUCUCUCUCUCUCUCCCUCUCUCAAAAUAAAUAAAUGAACACUGAAAAAUAAAAUAGUUCCCAUGAAAAUUAAUUUUAGAGUCUUAACAGAGAAGGAAAAAUACCCAUCAGAUUAUCCUUUAUAUAGUGGGAAACCUAGCUAAAAUGUGUAUUUUCAUCCAGAAUAUCACCAUGUACGCUGGGUGUAACCAUUAGUGUGCUUAAACCAUGUAUAUAUCACAUGUAGGUCUCUGGGCAUAAUCAUUUGUAUGGGAGAAAAGCCACCCACUCACACAGAAGAAGCUGCUCCUGAUUCCUGGAUGAUUAGGUUUCAUGGUUGUGUAAUCAAGAUCACUUUUCUGUACUUUCUUUGGUAGAAGAUGCCUUUUUUAAAAAAAUGUUUAAUGUUUAUUUAUUUUUUGAGACAGAGAGAGACCGAGCGCCAACAGAGGAAGGGCAGAGAGAAAGGGAGACACAGAAUCUGAAACAAGCUCCAGGCUCCGAGCUGUCAGCACAGAACUUGACUCGGGGCUUGACCUCACGAACAGUGAGAUCAUGACCUGAGCUGAAGUUGGGCGCUUAACCAACUGAGACACCCAGGAGCCUCCUAGAAGAUGCUUUUGAUUAAACAGACUUCUUUACAGCCACCUGGGUGGCUCAGUCAGUUAAGCGUCCAACUUCAGCUCAGGUCAUAAUCUCGCAGUUUGUGAGUUCAAGCCCCGCAUUGGCUCUGUGCUGACAACUCGGAGCCUGGAGCCUGCUUCAGAUUCUGUCUCUCCUGCUCCCUCUGCCCCCUCCCCUCUUUCUAUCAAAAAUUAGUAAACAAACAGAUUUCUUUAAGUCUUUGUGACUUUCUUCUGUUGUAAUGCAAUGACCAUAAGAGAAUACUAAUUGUUUCAUGAGUAAGUGACACAGGUUAGAACUGCCUUCAGAUGAAAGUUGGAGAUGCAGAUGGUCUGUGACCUGGGCAUCUGCUGGCGUGGAUAUCAGGUCCUGUCUGAGCACGCGUCAACAUGUUUUUGAGCCUCAGCUGUUGCUCUUGUCCAAUACUGUCUCCCUUUUUGGGUAAGAACUUUCAUCAUUAUCUUUGCUGUGGUUCUGUUAAAAUAGCAUGCUCCCUAUAUGUGGUAUGCAUACACACACACACACACACACACACACACACACACACAUUUGUGUGUGUGUGUGUGUGUGUGUGUGUGUGUGUGGUGUAUAUUUUUUUUUUUUUUUGCAGGAGUACCAUAGUGAGUAUCAUCUUGUGUUGAUUGCUUAUCCUAAUUGGCAAAUGUGAAGGUAAACUCUAUUUUAAGUCGAGUAGAUAGUUUAAAUGACUCCAUUUCAGAGAGAACUUAGCUCCAGUAAUCCUUGUUUUUUAAAUCCGCCUCUAAAUGUUUCCAUUUCCAAUAGCAAAAUAAAUAGACAAACUAAUAGCUCUUACUAAAAUGGCAGUAAGUAUUUUCCUGCUCAGGGAAAAAGUGAGAUUUCAAAUGUGGAUAAGUCUGACAUGUUACCACCACUCUUAGAAAUGUAUACAUGUCAGCUUUUUUAAAAUAUAAAUUUGAACUCAUGCAUGUUUGCACUUUUCUCAAAUAAAUGGAUGAAUUUCAAAUAAGUUACCUAUAAUCACACGGUCUUGCUUUCACCGUACUGUCUUCCAAUAUUUAUUAUUUAUUCUACAUGAAAUUGCUCAUAAUUUUGAUGAGCCUUCUUAGCUUUUCGUAUUCUGCAUUUAUGGACACAGAUCCUUAUGUUAGCAUAACUUCGAUACUUACAGCAAACAAAGCAUAAUAUAAGUUUCACAUUAUAACAUUGCAUAGUGAUAAACUGUUUCCCUUUUGUUGGGUUAUAAUAAUUGUAGUAACAACAACUAUCACUUAUUGACUGUUUAUACAAGAAGUCUUCCGUUAAGAGCAUCUUUUAACAAAGUAGAGACCAAAAAGGAGUUUUAAUGUGGAAAUGCCUAGACUUUGAUAUACUUAAGUUUCCACUCACUGUGUGACUUUAGUCAAGAAAAAGCUUCCCACUCUUUGCUCCCCUUCAACUUCCUCCUCUGAAAAAGAAUAAAAAUGGAAAUAGCUGACUUAGAGGCUGUACCCACUGGAGUCUGGUACAUAGUAGAUGUUUGGGAAAUUGGGAAGAUUGUCAUUGAAAUCUACUUCGAAAGCUCUUUUGCCCAAAUCUAUAAGAUGAAGAGAUGUAUACUACUUUGUGUCUAUUUCCAGAUGGAUUUCCAGGGUAAUUAAGCAGUCAGUGUCACUGAGAACUUGCUAAGUGUCCAUUUCUUACAUAUCAGAUCCUUAUUAGGUUUGCUGUUGCAUUCUUCCUGCACUCAUUCUUCACUUACUCUUUCAACAAAUAACCAGUGUUUGGGCACCAGACAUUUCUGAAGUCGCCAUUACACUCAGGUUGCAGCUGGCAUGAGGAAGGUGAUGUCUAUUCAGUAAGUGUCAGAUGACUCGGAUGUGGUCUCCAACACUAGGCCAGUAAUAGGCAGGCAGGAAUGUAUGUGGUGUGUGUGUGUGUGUGUGUGUGUGUGUGUGUGUGUGUGUGUGUGUUUACAUGUCUGUGUUCCCCAGGAGGCUAUAGUUGGUCAUUUUGCUAUCACAUCAUAUCUUACCAAUGAAAAUGACCAAGAUACAGUGUCCUGGGCAAGACAGAUGUUAACAGAUAAUACACUAUGACUUAAUAAUAACAGAUUUUUGCACAAAAAGGUUGUGCCUGUAUAUUUCUGCCCAAGGGAUUAAGAAUGGUUACAAAAUUCACUUCUGAAUUAAACAUUUUUUUUAAGUGAAUAGCAGUUUACCAGUGAGAUGAGAAAAGAUUCAAUGUUAUAAAGCAUAGUCUAUGCAAAGAAAGCAGAAAAUGCAAAGGCAGGUGAGACUUACAUGUCCAGCAACGUUUUCCUAUGGUCGUAAUUGUCAUGGUGGAUGGAUGAGUUUUAGAACAGGAGGGUGGGAAGGUGAACAGGGCUAGACCAGAAGGAAGGUAGCAAGCUAGUAAAUAUCAUACUUCCCAUGUAACAGGCAAUAUCCUGGACAUUUUAGGCGUAUUUUGUCUCACAACUUUCAAAAUAACCCUGUUUCAGAGGUAAUGGAAAUGAGACUUUGAUUAUGAGGUUGUUCAAGGUCAUACAGCAAGAAUAUGGUGGAUUUGGUGUUCAGAGCCAUGUCUUUGAGAUCAGAACCUCUCUUUUCUUCACCAAGAUGCAAUUAGUAGUUAAAUGGGAAGCCACUUAAAUGUCUUCUCAUUUAUUUGGGUUUAAUUAAUUUCUGCAAAGAUAAAACUGUGGGAUUUUGUUCUGUGUUGUCUCAAACUUCACUGAGAGUCCAAAGAAUGUUCUACAACACUUUAACUUUCUUUGGUGUCUUUCAGAUGUAAAUGUUUCCUCUUCAUAAAGACGGCAUGGUUUCCUUGUGCUUUGUAGCAGAUUUUUUUUUUUUUUGGUUUUUAAAUAGGAUUUUUAAAUUAUGUUUUACUUUUUUUAAAGUUUUUAUUUAAAUUGCAGUUCGUUAACAUACAGUGUAAUAUUAGUUUCUGGUGUACAGGUUAGUGAUUCAACACUUCUGUGCAACACCUGGUGCUCAUCACAGCAGAUUCUUGUUGACAGGCUUUAUGCUUUUUUGUCUGUUUAUUUCCGUCGCCCCUUAAUCCAUCCUUAGACAAGGCCAGUUGAGAACACUGUGGCCCGUUUAUCCUGGCGGCCGGAUUUCUUCAUCCAUCCUCAUUGGCACGACCUGUAUGCCAGAUUGAGUGUGGCUGAGUAUAACCUUUUCAGUGCCUCCUCCAAGGAAAAGCCCCACUGUCCCCAGAGGGGCCUGGCCAUACUCAGUGCAGCCGUUGCAUUGCCCCUGGGGUUCUGCAUCCUCUGCGAGGAUUGGAUUCCCACCCCCUACCUCUAGUUUGCCUGAAAACACCCAUCUUUCUCUAAUAUCAUCCCCGCCCAAAAAGGAGAGCGAUUCUUUAGAUCGGAAGCCAACCGACCAUUUCAAUAAAAGGUCAGAUAGUCUGUGUUUUAGACGUUGGGAGUCAUGCUGUUUGUCACAACCUCUUGACUCUGCCCUUGUGGCACCCAAGCCGCCAGAGACGAUAUGUAAAUGAAUGGCUGUGGCUGUGUUCCAAUAAAACUUUAUUUAUAGACUCUGAAAUUUGAAUUUCAAAUAAUCUGCAUGCUUCUUUUGAUUCCUUUCAGCGAUUUAAAAAUGUAAGACCCAUUCUUAGCUCAAAAACAGGCGGCAGGCUGAACUUCGCCAGGCCCUGCUCUAGACAGACAUCAGCCACAGCACUCACUGCUUCUUCAGUGGGGUAAAUUGGGUCUGACCAUCGGGGUCUUUGACGUAGCUCUUUCUCUAUAGCUUCUCCAGCUUUUCCUAGUUCCUUGUGGUCAUGCAGUUUCUUCCGAGGGUCUUUAGCCAUUUCUGUUUGCCCCCGUCUUUGUGCAAGGGAAGGACUGCAUGAAGAGAUCUGGCCACAGGGGAAGGUGGUUAAGUUCUGUUAGCACGCUGAUAUCUGAUCUAGGAGUGAAAGCCGAAUUCUUUUUCCGUCUCUGGAAAAUUUCUUUGUUAUUGACCUUUUGCUGUUCUUCAGGAACCUCUCCAAUUGAAGCAAAUUGAACUGACUCCUAAUGAAUUUGUAAUUCUUUGAAUGAGGGCUAUUUGACCUUAGCUCACUUGAUGUUUCAGAUUAUGUAUUCUGCUUUUUUUUCUCCUGAGACUGUGUUGCAGACAGGAAGGUAAUGUCGGCAAGUAAAUGAAAGAAAGGGUUGAUCAAACAAAAGUGUGAACUCAGACAAAAAAUAUGUGCCAGUUCCUACUUUUGUUGCCAUUUAUUCAUUCGUUUACUCAGCAAAUAUUUACAUGUGCCAGACUCUGCAUCCCCACACGAGAUCUCUCGCUUUGCAGGUCUACAUACAGUGAUGAGCAGAGGACCACGUUUGUCUCCCAAGAACCCCAGGGGAGGCAGAGAUCAAGGAGACCCAUCUUUCCUUGAAUCUCUUGGUAUCUGUCACUCAUAUUGUAGGACGUAGGGGGCACAGGAAGCAUAGGACGACACGUGUUCCUACACGUUGCCCAUGAUAAGUGAAAGGACAUGGCUCUAGAGGUCAGAGUCUGGAGCCAGCUGCUGUACUAUUCUGAACCCUAAAUGCUGUAAACGAGGAGACUACCUGUGUUGGAGCUUUGUUAGGAGGACUAAGAGAAAUGUCAUACACGGGCAAGAUAUAAAUGUUUAGCACAUAGGCCCUAAAAAAACCACCCACAUCCAAGGAUGUCAAAUUUGCCUUUUGUUUGUUUUGUUCUUUAUUGAUAAAUUUAUAGCCUUCCAGUAAAGUCCUACCGAUUUACUGCUAAAUGUACUACUAAAUCAGACUUAUUUAUUGACCGCACAGUGCGGUCCCACUAUGCAUUGUGGGAGAAAUCAGAAAAGUGUGAUGUAUCACCAAACAUUUUUUCAAGCUGGAGGUUGGAAACAUACUCUUAUAUGAAUGAUACGAAAUACUCUUUACUGACGUUGCUAUCUCUUUGUGUGUCUUUUUUAGAUCUGAACAGUGAUGGCACACAUUUCAGUUAUGAGUCGCUCAGUGAGCUGUGGAUCGACGGAACGAUAAGCAUGCCUGUCGUGAUGUAUGCCGCUAAGCCUCUUCACUAGUAGGUAUUUUCUAUUCAGUAUUGUUUACGUGGCUAUAUAUGGAGAUUGUCAACAGAGUCUACAUUUAUAAUGAAAGAGAAGCAGAAUACUUGUGUUUGUGUUGUGGUUAUGAACAUGGCUAGAUUUAUUCUGGUUAUGUGGCAGCCAGUUGCAAAAUGAAAGAACAGGUUAAAAUGUACCUGUUGCGUAUGUGUGUGUAUAUUAGUAUGGAAGCGUAUAUGUAUCCCUAUAGCAGAGUUUAGAAGUAUAGAACUUUACCUCUCUUUUAACUGAGUAAAAAUAAUGUCACCGGAAAUGUUCACUGUCCUUUGGCUCUUUAAAAUCAUAUAUCAUAUAUCAUAUAUCUUAUAUCAUCAUAUAAAUCUGGCAGUGAAAGCCUAAAAAAUUUUACCUAAUGUGAUGUUUUGAAACGGUUCAAUUUUAUUGCCGUUUUAACUAACAAGAUAUCUGAUCAUGUGUCCACUUACACAAGUAUCAUGUGGUAAUUGACUUGUCAUAUUUAUGGUGUCAUGGAAAAGGAAUUAUACUGUGUCAGAAAACCCUAAUUGGAUCAUCCGACCAGACCCUCAGGUCUCCAGGCAUCAGUUUCCUCAUCUGCAAAAUGAGAGAGAAUUUCUGUUUUACCUAAUUCAUAAGAUUACUUUAUAGGUCCAGUGAGAUAAUAACAUGAAGUUAUUAUUUAACUACAAACCCCAUAAAAAUGAUAUUAUCUGUGGCUGAUUAAUAUUUCAAGGAGGGAGUUGGACAAGAGUUGUGAUCAUACUUUGCUUUUUCUUUAGUUUUUUUUUUUUUAUUUCAAUUCUAAUUAGUUAACAUACAGUGUAAUAUUAAAUUCAGGUCUACAAUUUAGUGAUUCAGGACUUCCAUACAUUUGGUGCUCAGCUUUUUAAAUUGGUCAAUACUGUUUGAUAUCUUGUGUGUUAUUCACUCAAAAUAUAAAUGAUAAAAUCAUACUUAACUUUAAUUCAUGAACCAAAUAAAUUUCUCAUAUUUGAGAAAAUUGUGUGUAAAUUAAACAUGAAAAAAAAAAACAACCAACCAUGUUUCUCACACAUAUUGUACACACCAGUCCCCACCAACUAUGGGUGUUGGAUGUCUGCUUCUGUUCUCCUGGAUACACUUUAUUAGACUACGUUUGGGUAUUUACACUCGGAGGAGAAAAGAUACAUUAGAUACUUUUUGUAUACAGUUUAAUUUCAGGACAUUAAGAGAUAAUGGAGAAAUUCAACCAGAUAUUGUUCAUUUAGCUUAAUAUAUUAAAUUCCUUUUUACCGAAACCUCUUCAGUGCCUCAUAUAGCCAUUCUUUUUUUUUGCUAAUGGAAUACAGUUAGUGUGUUUAAAAGAUUGAAAAUGAGAAUCUUAACGAAUAUAUUUAGUAAGAUGGAAAAAGACCUUUUCACUAAAAUUUUAAAAGUUGUUAUAUAACCAAGACCAUGCAAUGACACUGGUUUGCAGAUUAUUCUCCAGGAAUUGGAUAUGAUUAUUUUUGAAGGGGCAAUGGCUUAUUACAUGAAUAAAGUGUUUGCAUUUAGGUGAAACAAAAUCUUUAAUAACAGGUAAUAUAUAUUCACUUGCUAAUAUUGUCGCAUAGUCCCUAAGUGGGGGUGGGGGUGGGGGGGGAGGAGCUGUCUAAAGUCAGAUUUAUGGGGUUGCAACCAACCCAGUUGUUUCAUUUUCCAGCUUUGCACUGUUGGACAGGUCCUUUAACCUCUCUGUGCCUUAGUUUGCUCAUCUGUAAAAUGGGUCUAAUAAUAAGAAUGAUUUCUUUUUCUAAAAUAAGAGAGAGAGAGAGAAAGUAAGAAAAGAGGUGGAAAGGCAGAAUGUAUGUCACAAAACGAUGUGGAGGAUGGUUUGCUUUUCACUUCCCCCGAUCAUUUUGUCUAAACCAUAUUGUAUACUUAUUCCUGUUAUAAAUAAACUUAAGGUAUUGUCCAUUGGGCUCACAUUGGACAAAGUUCAGUGGUUGCAACUGGGUGGUAUAUUUCAAAUGAGUCAUCAUUUGUUCCCAAGAUGGGAAAUACUGAUAAUCUGGGGCGGUGAUCUGAGCCAAGAGCCAAUUGCCUGGCUGCUGUGUAUGACUCAGAACAGAAAACCAAGUCUCUUUCUGUCACGUGUUAGUUAUAACCCAUUUGGAACAGUGACAGUGCUUGGUCACCGCAUCUCUGUGUCCAUCUGUAUAUCAGCACCCAGGAUUAUCUCAUAGGGUUUUUGCGUGGAUUACAUGAGUUAAUAGGGUCAAGUGCUUAGGAGCGCUGUGUGAUGCUUCGUAACUAAUCAACAUUUAUGGUUAUUAUUCACUGGACAGAGUGAGGGAUUAUGGUAACCACCACAGAUUUUGGAAUCAGAAAGCCCUAAGUCCAAAACCAUUCAUUACGUUACGGUGGAAGCUAAAGUAGUUACUGAACCUUUCGAAGUCUCAGUUUCUGAAAAAAAAAAAAAGAAAGAAUUUAAAAAUACUCCAUACUGCUUUUGUUAGGAUGAUUUAACACAACAUCUGGCAAGCAGUGGUAGCCAACACCUGAAUCGAGAGUUGUGAAAAUAUAGUCACAAAUUAUUAUAGAAUGCAUUUUUAAAGUAAUGUAAAUCAGAGAUACUCUGAUUCUGAAAAUGUCCUUCUUGCCAUAUGUUAUAUUUAGGGGACUUUUAGAAAUGUGCCCAAUUAUAUGAUUUACUUUGUGAGAUCCAGAAUUUCAAAAAAGACAAACGAAUAACUUAACUCAAAUUAAAAAAUGCAAACAUAACUUAAAUAUGGUAUCCUGAUUAAAAAAAAAAUCUGUUGCCUUUUUUAAGCCUAUCAGGGAAUAUCAACUCAGUGUUUAUUUUGUUAUAACGAUUGGGCUGUUACCACAUUUAAAAUGAUUUGUUUUCUAAAAAAAAAAAAAGUGGGGGAGAGGAAAGAGGUGGAAAUGCAGAAUGUAUGUCACAAAACGAUGUGGAGGACGGUUUGCUUUUUCACUUCCAUGAACAUUUCGUCUAAACCAUAUUGCAUACUUAUUCUUGUUAUAAAUAAACUUAAUGUAUUGUCCUCUGGGAGCAUACUGGACAAAAUUCAGUGCUUGUACUGGGUGGUAUAUUUCAAAUGAGUCAUUAUUUGUUCCCAAGGUGGGAAAUGCUGAUAAUCUGGGGCAGUGAUCUGAGCCAAGAGCCAAUUGCCUGGCUGCUGUGUACGACUCAGAACAGAAAACCAAGUCUCUUUCCAUCACGUGUUAAUUAUAAACCGUCCGGAACAGUGACAGUGCUUGGUCACUUCAUCUCUGUCCCUCGGUAUCACCACCCAGAGACUCUUUCACAUGCAAAUUUAACCUGACUUGUUGAGAAUUCAGAUAAUGAUAUUAUCAACAGUUGCUUUCUACACACCUGUUAUUCUUCUUGUUUAUUUUUGCAGCAGCGUUAGCCUUUAAGAGUUUGCCCACGAUGAGGACAGUCAUGGUUGUAGAGGAGGUUUUUGGGUGUAAACGUUUGGGAAGUGCAUUUUUUUUUAAUGUUUAUUCAUUUCUGAGAGACAGAGAGAGACAGAGUGUGAGUGGGGGAAGGGCAGAGAGAGAGGGAGACACAGAAUCCGGAGCGGGCUCCAGGCUCUGAGCUGUCAGCACAGAGCCCGAUGCAGGGCUCAAACUCAGACUGUGACAUCAUGACCUGAGCUGAAGUCCGACGCUUAAGCGACUGAGCCCCCCCCCCCCCAGGCGCCCCGGGGAAGUGCAUUCUUAUGUCCACCUAUGCAGACAUAGGCUUUGCUGUCCCUGCUUGGGGCCCUUGGUGAGAGAUGACCUUGGUCAUUCUGACCUCCUUCCGGAGGGCCCUGCAUUGCUGCAUGCUUCAGGCCUUCGGUAUGGUCACCAUUCACGUUUUGAAGUCUCGUAUUAGGAGUUAGAGUGUAAUAAAAAGAAGCAGAGUCGUCGUGCUCAUCCAAACAAGUGGAUUCUCACAUCGCCCCCCUUCCGCCCUCCUUCUUGCCGCGGCCAUUGCGCACUCGCGAUGUUUGUCUCAAAAGUGAUUUGUGGCUUUAGAAGUGUCCUUUUAAAGGGGUCUGAUCUAGUCGGUUAUCACGCUAAUACUUCAUCAAAUCGUGUCUCUGAAAACGAAGAGACAUUUCAUUCCCUGUCACAGGGCCAGAGUUUGGAAGAGGUAGGGGGCAUCCAGAACCAAAGUCGGCUGUCGUUCGGAGACAGACGUGAAAUGAAAUCUGUCUUGGUGGGACUUUCAAGAAGAGGUUGUGACUGUAAGCGUAACACACUCAUGGGAGGGAGCGGGAGAAGCUCGGAGCGGUUGCGGGUGACAGGCGGAAGAGGAGCUCAUGAACAGCGAGCGUCUGCUGCCCAGUGACCAGAAGUAGCCUCAGGUGAGCCGCAGACGCCCCGGACGUGACGAGGCCCCCUCUCUUUUGUCGGCUUCAGAUCUCAGCCUCGGCGCUGACCGCCCACCCGGAGGCACCCCCGUCUCACCUGCCCGUCGCCAUCUCCUCGUGCCCGCCGUCCAUCAGACUCCAGUUCUUCCUUCCAGACUCAUUUGGCAUUCGCUGCCGUCUGUGGAAGCUGCCCCCAUCCUCCUCUUAAAGUGGACCGUCCCCUGCUGUCCUUCCACCUCUGUACUGCGGACGCGCCCUAGUGAGAGACCACAUUCUUCACUUCUUCUGCAAUACUUGUCUUCCAUUUCACCAUCAACCGAGUGGCUUGUGAACAACAGAAAUUGAUUCCUCACUGUUCUGGAGCCUGGGCACUCUGAGAUCAAGGCACCAGCAGACUUCACGUAGGGUAAGGGUCUGCUCUUUAGAAAGCCAUGUUUUCCGUGUCCUCACAUGGUGGAAGAGGCAAAGGAGUUUUCUGGGGCACCUUUUAUAAGUUUCCCACGUAUUCUUGUAUAACUAUAAUCCCAUUCAUGAGGGCUUCACCCUCGUGGCUUAAUCACCUCCCCAAAGACCCCGCCCCGCUCCACAUGCCACCACACUGGACAUUUGCAUGUGACGUCUGAGUUUUGGGUGAGAGGUCCACAGUCAGUCUAUCACAAGUAUCCAUCUACCCCGUUGCAGUCUUGUUGAGGGCAUUCCUCGUCUUACUCAGUCUCUUAUGUCCAGGGUCUAGUGCUCAACAGCUAAUUCCUGAUUAAAUUAAUGGUAGCAACAAUACCAUUCUCUGUCCUCAGACUGAAGAGGCAAUAAUUGCAUUUGCCACAUCAAAAGAUUUCUACGAAAUGUUAUUCAAUAUGGAUAUUACUUCAAAUUGUUAUUAAUAUAAAUCUGCAGGGGCACCUAAUGGCUCAGUCGGUUCAGAGUCCGACUUGAGCUCAGGUCGUGAUCUUACAAUUCAUGAGAUCGAGCCCCGCAUCGGGCUCUGUGCUGACAGCUCUGAGCCUCGAGCCUGCUUGGGAUUCUGUGUCUCCCUUUCUCACUGCCCCUCCCCUGCUCGUGCUCUGUCUCUCUCUGUCUCUCAAAAAAUAAAAUAAGACAUUAAAAAGUAUAUAUACACAUAUAUAUAUAUAUAAUUUUAUAUUAUAAUAUAUUAUACAUUAUAUAAUUUUAUAUUAUAUAUUACAAUAUUAUAUAUUAUAUAUAGAUCUGCAAAAAGUAUAACCAGAAAAAUGAAAACUGGCAACUUUUAACAUAUUAUGAGAUUUGUAUCAUUUUUAACACUUUUAGAAAAACAGAACACAGUUUUGAAAACGUAAAACUGAUUCUACUAACUUCCUUAUGGGUUUACUAUUAAAUGUAUUAUUUUUAGAACAGCAUUUCAACAAUAAUGAGAAUUAUUUGACCUUUUCUUGACUGAGAUGGAAAUGAUUUUUUCCAUGUAAGUUAAUAUGUAAGAAAUUAUUUAUAUAUUAAUUAAGGAAUUAAUAGAUUAAUUGUUUACUAAUAUAUAAAAAAAAUUAAAGAGUUCUUAAGGUUUUGUUUUAUUAUAGUAAUUAUUACAUAUAUUUAAAAUUGAUUUUGUUCAAUUCAUUAUAAAAUAUAUUAAAAUGUGUAAGAUAUUUUAACAUAGUUUACCCAUGGAAACCAUGGAAGAUACCUACUAUUAAUCUGAAUGGGGAAAGGUGGAAUGUAUAUAUUGUGUAAGUCACCAUUCCUAUAGGUUUGAGCUGUUUUUGAAGAAAUACAGAGAAAAACAACCAAACCAAAAAAUUCCCUCCAAGUCAAUAAACGAAACCCUCAUGAUGUAGUCGCGUGAAGUUCUAUCUGAAACUUAACUUUGGUGGCCAUAUACGACACAGUAGUGGACUUACAAUUGUUUAGUUUAAUAUUUAUACUUGAAUAGUACCAUGUUAACAGGGAAGAUCGUCAAAUCCGCUAAACUAGUAUUUUCACACUCGACAUUUAUCUUUGUUACUUCGUGUACAUCACUCUUACACAGAGGAGUCACUACAGGCUAACGUAGAAUUGUGACACACUGUAUCUUAAGCCAUUCAGCUUUCCAGAUGGCUGUAGAUAGGUAAGCGGAAGGCAUUGAGCCAGUAAAGACGUAUUUCAGAGAGGAAAAUGGGCUGACAGUUUUCAGUGCAUGAGCUAUUUUAGAUUGACAUGCUUCUGGCAAAAAGGGAUAAUGUUUGAAUGAAUCAUGUAUCAAGAAUAUUCAUCCAGUUGUGUAAGCAGAAAUACAGGACUAAUGUAGGAGUGAUGAAUAUUCAUCCAGUUGCAUAAGCAGAAAUAUACGACUAAUGUAGAAAUACAGGGCUCGGGUAAUCACAAUAUUAAAGCUUUGGUGUGCUCCAAUAAGUAGAUCAUGGUAUGCCAAGAAUAACAUAUUAUCGGAAGAAGUAGGGGUUUUUAUUUUGUUGUUGUUAUUCCCAGAGGCAACACUUGAAAAUUUUCGAGAUUGUUUCCUGGUAACUUUUUGUCUUUAUUUUAUGUAUUUGAAGAUUCGACUAUCUUUUUUUUUUUUUUUUUUUUUUUUUAAUUUUUUUUUUCAACGUUUAUUUAUUUUUGGGACAGAGAGAGACAGAGCAUGAACGGGGGAGGGGCAGAGAGAGAGGGAGACACAGAAUCGGAAACAGGCUCCAGGCUCGGAGCCAUCAGCCCAGAGCCCGACGUGGGGCUCGAACUCACGGACCGCGAGAUCGUGACCUGGCUGAAGUCGGAUGCUUAACCGACUGCGCCACCCAGGCGCCCCAAGAUUCGACUAUCUUAGUGACUAUUUCCUGACAUUCUUUUUAGCUAAUGAACUGACAGGCGUGUGGUGAAACUUGGCAAUGACAGUGAAGACUGCCAUGUACUGAGCUAGUAAGUGUGCAGUAGGCUUUGGUCUCAUGUUGUGUCACAUCAUUGUGUCAUCCUCACAAAACUCUGCAACAAUGGCCUCAUCAUCUUCCUUUCGCAAAGGAGAUGAGUACUGUACCCUGUACCCCACUGAUUCACAUCCAUACUUACAUAACCUAAAUUUGUAACAGCCUCAUCCCUACAGGGGGGCACAUAUGUGUGGAGGCAUAUCAUAUCUUAUGAAAUUAGAAAACUAAUUUGAUUUUUAAAAUAAAAUUAGUGUUGAAAAUAUAAUGUGCUUCGGGUUUUGAGCCAUGCUUCUCUCAUAUCCUGGAGAAUCAAUAGCUUAUAAAAUUAUAAUUAAAGAUUUCCCCUUCUAUCCUUCUGCAGCAACCGAUAUGAAUAAAAAUGAGAAUCUGCAGUUAUUUUAGUCAUGUCUUCAGUAACAGAUACAAGCAGGUGUCUUCCAGGAAAAUGCAUCAGAAAUGCAUUUUUAAGACUGGACAGUUUAUCCACAAAGUUCAACGACAUCCUUAUUCAACAUGUUUUCUUAUAUCUUUUUUUUUUUUCAUAUUAACAGUCAGUGUAAGUGCCAUGAAAUCAGCAUGUGUUUCAUACUAUAAUUAAUUGCUCCCACAAAAUUCAGACUAAAAUUCUUAUUCUCAACAACUGUCUUCUGUACACCAGUCACCUCACCAAAUGCUUUCACAUUAAUUCCCUCCUUUCAGCUCAGUUAUGCUUGAAAAGAAUUUUGUGGAUUCAUGUCAUAUGCUGCCUCUCUCUCUCUGAUGGAGAGAUAUUAACAGUGUUUUACUGUCCCUUAGAUGCGCACUCAGCGGAUCUGUUAACCCCAGCAAGCAACACCUAAAUGGAAUUAAAAAAAUACAAUAAAAUAAGCCUGGGAAGCAGAGAGAGUUUUGAAGAAACACUUGCUUUUAAAUAAAGGAGAUAAUUAUAAUAUUUUGAAGUCAUUUAAAAUUCGAGGGGAUUAAACUAUCUGGAAAGAAUAUCAUGCCCUACAUGACAUUAGUUAAAUAUUUGAAGCUGGAGAACUAAGGUAUUCUGUUUAUUCAUUCAGCAAAUAUUUCUAGACCUCCUUCUAUGCAGCCCUGCCUGCCGCUGUGAACAACAGACAAAAUCCUUGUCCUCAUAGUUUUUCCAGGUAGCCACUGGUGAGCACGAGGCAUGGAGGACGAGAAUAGAGUGUGUGUGUGUGUGUGUGUGUGUGUGUGUGUGUAUACAUAUAUAUAAAGUCCUUUUCUAUAGUGACAUAGAUCAUUAAAUAUAUGUAUAUACAAAUAGUAAUGAAUUUAAGCUUACAUAAAAGCAGUUGCUUUUUGUACCAGCAAAAACUUUCUUCAAAGCAUAAUUUUAUUUAUGUGUUUAUAAUGUUUAUUUAUUUUUUUAAAAAAUUUUUAAUGUUUAUUUCUUUUUGAGAGAGAGAGUCAGAGCAUGAGUGGGGGAGGAGCAGAGAGAAAGGGAGACACAGAAUCUGAAGCAGGCUCCAGGCUCUGAGCUGUUAGCACACAGCCCAACACAGGGCUCGAACCCACAAACUGUGGGAUCAUGACCUGAGCUGAAGAUGGACGCUUAACCAACUGAGCCACCCAGGCGCCCCUGUUUACUUAUUUUUGAGAGAGAGAGAGAGAAAGAGCAUGAGUGGGGGAGGAGCAGAGAGAGAGGGAGACACAGAAUCCAAAGUAGGUUCCAGGCUCUGAGCUGUCAGCGCAGAGCCCGAUGUGGGACCUGAACCCAUGAACCGUGAGAUCAUGACCUGAGCCGAGGUCGGACGCUCAACCGACUGAGCCACCCAGACGCCUCUCCAAAGCAUAAUUUUAGAUUACAAACUUGGAAAUUCUUACUCACCAAAACUUCCUAUUUUGAUUGCUUCCAGAAACGAAAAUUUUGAUAAUCUAUCUCAGUCUUCAUUGGAAAAUGAUUCAUGUGUCUUCUGCCUUGUUUUCUUUACUCACUGUAAGAUAAUUUUGUAGGUGCUCCAGAACCUAAAGGAGAAAACUUCAAGACUAUUGUGUACAUCAUCAGAUUACACCGAGAGUGGCUAAAAGCGACUGAGGGGGACAGAUAGCUUGCACACCAUGAGGCCCAAAAGGGAAAAAAUAACAGAGAGAAGAGAAGCAAUUCCAGUGUUUUGGAACUUCGGUCGGAGUUCAAGUUCUUUCUCUGCUGAAGCACGGAGUGGCAUGGAUGUGUUGCCCUUGUAUCACCUAAUCCCAUGGAAGUUGGGUAUAGAACCAGAACCAUUCAUUGAUUGAUAUCCAUCACCUAAUUAGAAAUGUAGUAUCUGAUGUAGAGCUGGUGACAAAAGGAAAACUAAAAAAAAAAUGGGUAAAGUGGCAGCCAUGCACUGUGCUGAACCAGCUUUCCAACAGGAAAGUGAGUCAGACAUUUUUAGUGAUUUUUGGAUGCCAUAUAAUGACCUCUUAAGCUCAGCAAGUAAGUAGAUAUUAAACUCUGUUUACUUAGAUUGCGGUGAUAAAUAAAAUAGCCCAUUCCUCUUGGGGGAGAUGAUAAACAUCAUAACUGCAUUCAUUUUAAAAAAAAUAUUUCUUUUCUUUGCAUGAAGCCCAGUUGCAUGUUUGACAACUUAGUCUACUUUCUAGGUUUUCUGAAUACGUGGUUUUGGUGGCUCUCCCAACUCCAGAUCACUUAACUCUCAUGCCACUGAUGUGAAAAUCAAUGCUUGGUGCAAAAAGUGCUACACAAGACUUUGCAGCCAUUCUUGAGAGUGCAUUUUUAAAUUUAGCUCUUUAAAAUAACCUAGAUUAAAAAAUAAUGUAGUCAAAUGGUAAUGUCUAAUGGCUUUUAGACGAUGGGGCAAAAACAGUGCCGAGGUGGAGGGCCAUGAGUAGCUCAUCAGUGCUAUUUUGCCUUUUCCCUACUACUCCGUAUAGAGAACAAAACUAAAAAAUUUCCGCCAAAGUGAAAAUUGUUGACAAAGUGAUUAUCACCAAGUUCCCAUCCUGUGUGCUAACAGCCUGCAAAGUGUAGCAGUCUAAUAAGGAGAGUAAUUAAAACUGCAUUUCAGUGUCUCAUACUCCUAGCAUUUGUCUAUUAAAAUACAUUAGACACGUUAUAGAAACGUCAGUCUUCCUUAAGCUGGAGAUGUGUCUCCAGCUUCCUCGGGGAGGAGGUAUGUAAGAUAAGUUGCAAGAUACAACUAGUAAGCCCAAGACAAGGAAAAACUCAUUGUGUAGAAGGAGUUCCAGGUUGUUUUUUUCAGUUUUGUUGUAACUCUCAGGGGGAAAUUCACACCAAGUGGGGCUCAUAGGAGGAAGCAAAUAAAUGUUAGUUGAAUCGAAUGAUGCCCCUGCUUUUCAGUUUCUUUAAGAGAUCGGCUACAAGCUCAGACUAUAUUACUAAAGGUGUUUAUUUAUUUUUUUUUUAACUUUAAAAAGUAAUUGGAUCAUGGACUUUAAUCUCAUUCUUUCAUUUAUGCCUUGGGCUAGGAGAUCCUCAGGGGCUGUGCAGAUUAAGGAAAAGCCACUUAAUUAGUGGAGAGAGCCCUCUCCCUUUGUUCAGAUUCUUUGUUGCCUGCUAAUGAGAAAGGCAACUCAAUCACAUCUCUUCUGACACUAAAACUUCUUUGUUCAGCUAGCUGCUGAACAAAACUGGUCUUUCCAUCUGAGUUCUCUGUCAGCCUUGCUCAUACUUCAAGGCUGACCUGCGAAUCAAUCAUAAAAUCAGGUUGGUAGAUUGCCACCAGCAUUUUAAAAUGCAACACAGCAAAGGAAAAAGUGUCAGAGUGUAUCCCAUAAUGACUUUCUAUAAAGUCUUUGUUUCAUUUAUAUCUGUAUGUAUAUGUGCCAGGUCAAAGGUACAAUGUGUUUAUUGGGGGUCACAGUGGAAAAAAAAAAGUUAGAAAACCCCUGUUAUUUAUCUAAUCCCCUCCCCUCUCUUCUUAGCUCUGUCUUCUUAAUUUGUCUUUUCUAACUCAUACAUUUUCAAAAUUUUCAUUUCAUUAACUCUUUUUUUGUCAGUGUAGACAGCUCCUUAGUUCCUCAGUAUCUCUGUCAUGAUAGCCAACACUUAGUAUAGAGAUCACUGGAGUGAUCUCGUAAUGUUGUUUGAAGUAAUGAGUUACUGGCAUUCUUAAAAGCAGUUACGAUUUUGUAAGUCCAACUGUGAAUUUAGUUUUUAAUCCCACCCUCCUUUUCCUCCUUUAAUCCCUAUUAUGACCAGUGGUAAUCACCACCAACCAUGCACUUACCCAGUGGAAUUUCUGAGUCAUUUUCUAAGUUCCCUGGCCUCUUUAAUCAAAAUGAGUGAUCAAUCCAGAUGAUUCUAUCACCUAACAUCCUUUAAAACAAUCCUAUUCUUUACCUUGUCAGGACUACUAUUUGGCCCUGUGAUUUUAUACCUAAGCUAUUACAGUAAACAUUGCAGUAGUCUAUUUGACUCCCUUCUGGUAUGUCAUUGCUCUUGCCGUUGGAAUCUUUUCUAACACACAAACCUGAAUAUUUCACUCUUUGCAUAAACAUUUCCCAUAGCCGCAUUCCCUUUGCCUUGAGAUUAAAAUCCAGACACAUUUCAGUGAGAAUAAGAGGCCCUCCAAUAUGUGACUUCAGGAAAUUCUCCAAACAUAUCCAGCCCUACCCACUUCUACACCUAACAUUUGAACUCAGGUCGGUAUUCUCAGCUAUUAAGCACGUUAAAAUCUUUUGUGUGACUGGACCAUCGGGCUCGCCCAUGCUUUCCUUGCCUACAAUGCCUUCACCUUCUAUUAUGCCUGGAAAAUGCCUACACAUCCAUUAACAUAUUGGUCCAGGUUUUUUGCCUUAUGUAAGAAUUCCGAGUCACCUGAGUCAGCUUCUCUGCCAUUACUUGCUAACUAUUUACGAAACUGAAAUCCCUCAAUGUCUGUAUGUUCGUCUUCCUAUCCCUGAUUAGACUCAGAGCUUCCCUUGCAUACGUAUUGCCAGUUUCCCUUUGUAACCAGAGAUAGAAGCUGUCACAGUGCGGAACACUAGAAGGAUGCUCAGGGAAUAUGGGCUGAGUGAACUCUUGUGCCAGAAUCAUUGAAGAUAUUUGCCAGUCCUCUUUUACUGGUACGGCCUUCCUUAUCCUCUCACUCCCACUAUACCACUGACACAGAUUCUUGCUAGACUCGUAAGUAUGGCACAAAAUAAUAUUCACCAUAGCCAUUCUCCAUCACUUUCCCUAUAUCUGUGAGUUUUUUUUUUUUAAUUUAUUUAUUUAUUUUGAGAGAGUCAGAGGCAAUGCAAGUAGGGGAGGAGCAGAGAGAGAAAGAGAGAGAGAGAGAAUCCUAACUAAGCAGGCUCUGCACCAACAGCAUGGAGCCCGAUGUGGGGCUCAAAUCUGUGGACUGUGAGAUCAUGACCUGAGCUGAAAUCAGGAGUUGGAUGCUUAACCAACUGAGCCACCCAAGCACCCCAUCUAUGAUUUUAUAAUCUUUGAAAAGGUCAUAUAAGCAAAGCAAUAUGUCUCCAUUAUUCACGUUAUUCCAUUGAUACUCUGGACUUGGGUUAAGAUCAUCUUACAUGGAUUCACCAGUUUAUGCUUUUACAGUGUGUAUCCUAAAGUAAUGUUCCAAUGUGGGCACAAAUACUUAUUUCAACACGAGAAUUUAAAAUCAAAUCUUGGGUUUCAGCUUACCCUUGACCUUACCCUUCAUCUUGAACAGUGUUAUACAACACAUUUUCCCUGAUUGUUUUAUUAUAGUCAAAUUUUUUUUCAUUGAAUGUCAACAACUGACCGUUUAACCACCGCAUCAGAUUUAAACAUCUAAUUCUGAGGGGCCGAUUGCUUUAAGUAUAAUAUUUUCUUCAUAAGACUUCAGGGAAAGUGAGGAAGAAUUUCAAGAGAGAACACUGAUUGGUUUAAUUUAGUAAAGAAGACAUUCCUGUUAGUUGCAGGAAGCUAAUCAGCAUUUCUCGUGCAUGAAUUGAUUACCUUGUUACAUUUCACUGGCCAUGAUAGGAUAUGUUUAAUAAGGGAAAAUAUUGCAUUGAUUCUAUAAUUAUAAAUAUAUAUAACAUUGUCCCAGUGACUAUGAAAUGUCUUAUGCACACUUUCCCCCUUUUUUGUCAUUGCAGAGCUCACACAAUUGAUCACACAAUUGAUCAUUUCCCAUGCUUCAUCCAAAUCAACCGUUAAGGGGAAACAAAACAUUUCAUGGCCUUUUUGUUUUGGAAUGAAUAGCAAUGGAUGUCACAAUUUGUUUUUCCAAGUAGAUUUAAGAGUGAUGGAUAGACUAACUAUAUACCAUUUAUUUGUAAGAAAAGAUACAAAUGGUGAAGUGUAUUAACUGGUGUGCAACAAUUCUCUGGGACCAAAAAUUUAUGUAUACAAAGAAUAGGGAAAAGAUACAGAGAAAUGUUUUGUGUUGUAAAAACAAAAUUUUAAACAAUAGCAUUAUAUAAGCACAUUAAUUAGAAAAUAGAUCAAUAUGCUACUUCUCAAUUAAUAAAUUUAUAGUAAUGUUAAGAAAUGAAAUACCGUUAAACUGGUUUUGCUAAAUCUUUCUUUAAUAUAUUCUGCUGUUUUCUUGUAACUCAUAGGCUAACUGAAGUUUUUAUGGUCCUUAUUUUUUCCAGAUUUUAUAAAAUAUAAAAAUAUAAAAUAUAAAAAAUAUAAAAAGAGAUACAAAAAGUAAUAUAAAACACCUCAAACCGUACCACUGAAAAACUACAAAGUAACUCUUCAAAUAUUUUUUAUAUUCUAGACUUCUAAAGUUUACAUACUUUUACAGAACCGGUGGGAUUACAAAACUCCUCCCUUUUUCCUCUUAGUAGUAUAACAAUACAUUCCUAUGUAACAAACAUGCCAUCAUCACGUGAGGGCCUAAUAGAUAGUUAGUGAUAAAUUAACAUGUGCAGAAUUGGACUAUGGAUUUUCCCCCAUUCCACCUCAAACAUGCUUCUCCACAAUGUCUUGUUUCCCUUUUCAAACUUUACUGCUUUUUUUUUUUUAAGUUUAUUUAUGCAUUUUUUUUUUAAUUUUUUUUUUCAACGUUUAUUUAUUUUUGGGACAGAGAGAGACAGAGCAUGAACGGGGGAGGGGCAGAGAGAGAGGGAGACACAGAAUCGGAAACAGGCUCCAGGCCCCGAGCCGUCAGCCCAGAGCCUGACGCGGGGCUCGAACUCACGGACCGCGAGAUCGUGACCUGGCUGAAGUCGGACGCAUAUUUAUGCAUUUUGAGAGAGAGAAAGAGAAUGCCCACAAGCACAGGAGGGGCUGAGAGAGACAGAAUCCCAAGCAGGCUCCACACUGUCAGCAUGGAUCCAGAUGGGAGGCCCGAUCUCCUGACCUGUGAGACUGCGACCCGAGUCGAAAUCAAGAGUUGGACACUUAACUGACUGAGCCACCCAGGGGCCCCCAAACUUUACUUCUUUCCCAGGAGAACCAGGCAAAGCCCAGGUGUUAUUUUUCUUCUUUCUUCAUUUCCCACAUGUAAUUCACCAGUACAUUUUACUAAACCAGCCUUCAUGACACAUCCCGGAUGUGCUCUCCUCCAGCACUGCCGCGUCCAUCUGGUCUCACCUGAGCUGGUACCUGGCGCUUCCCAUCAGCUCUCCCUGAGCCCACUCUUGGCCCCUGUCACAUCUCUCCUUCGCUCGCAAUCGUGCAGGGGCUUUCGGUAUACCCAGAUAAAAUCCAGACUCUUCCACAGCUGCCAGGACCCCAUGUGACCAUCACCAGGCGUGCUUUCCCUCAUCUUUCACCACCUUCUUCCUCCUUCCUGCUUUCUCUACUGGCUUCUUUCUGCCUCGUAGAAAAUCCCUUCCCCUCACACUCCCGCUACCUCUUCCUUUUUGUUCAGGAUUCGGCAGACAUGCCAUUGCCCUCCGUGGCUUCCUGCCCAACGAGUAGGAAAGAAGGCCUCCAACAGACCUGCACAUUUUGUUUCCUGUGUAUGUACAUUAUUUCUUAAAUACUCCUAUGUUUGUUUAUCAUACAUCCACUCAUUAGAAUGUAAGCUCUGUGGAAGCAGAGAGAAAACUCAGUCUUACUCCCAGCUCUAUCCCCAGAACCAAGAAUAGUGCUGUGUGGAGGAGACUAAAUAUUUACCAAGUGAACAAAUAAAUCCAUGAAGAUUUACUACUAUAAUUUGUAUUAAAUAGAAUUUCUCAGUCAAAAAAUUUUUUCUUAACCUUUUGCUUCUCAGUCUUUAGUCCCCGCCCAUUAUGUGGCAGGGCUAAAUUUACCACACCGCCUUCCCCAUCCAACACUGCAUGAAUAAUAUUGUUUUGCCAGCUCAGUGCACAACAUUUAACCAAUGGUUUUCAUUUUCACAUUAGUGUCUGCUAAUGGGGCCCAAAGAAGUUUGGAAAUCUUUCUCAUUUGAAGCUCACUCACUUCUGACCCAAUCCAAGCUUCUGAUCCAAUCUGAAGACUUCCAGAAGGAAAGGAUAAAGCAAAUGGGGACACAUUUAUUGAGAGUCUGUUAGGGACCAUAUACUUGCUGUUUUUCAUUGAAGUAUUUACAUUUAAGUCAUUUGACCCUCAUAGUAACCCUAGAAAAUAGAUAUUAUCCCUUUUUGAAAUUUUCAUAUGAAGAGAUGUUCUCUGAGCGAUUAUGGUUCAUGGAAACUAACAGGUUGUAUAGUUUAAAUCUGUACCCAAGUCUGGCUGAUACCAAAGUCUGAAGUGUUAAUGCGACAUCAUAAACAUAAAGGUUUAUAUCCAUCACCACACAAGCUUUCUGAGCCAUAGCCAUUAAGUUUUAGUGUGGAUUCUGGAUAUUAGUGCUUUAUUCAGAACAUUUUUUAAAGAAACAGGUGUCAUUCCUUUAGGAGAUUUCCACAGACUCACAUAUCUGUUUUACUACGUAAAGGGAAAUUUCACGGGUAGAGACCUGGAAGUGACUGGAAUCCAUCAUUUAUAUAAGCAAAGAAAUGGUAAGCUGCUGUUGGAGAGUUCAGCAAACCUUUUAUUUACGCAUUAAUAAAAUCAUGUCAUCAGAAUUGGUGCCGAUGAGAUUUCUAUCAUAUUCUAGACAUGCUUACAGGCACAGAGAUUUGCCUUCCUUCCUAUGAAGGUUAAGAUGUCCUUUACUCCAAGGUUGGCGUGGAGCGACAUAUAAGAAACCAGGAAGGGAUCCAUCCAGGUGCAAACUCUUUCUCUCAGAUGAUAUAAUCACAAUUAUGAAUAUUUAUUUGUUUCUAAGAAUAAGCAGAUCAUCACAGAGGUGGCUUAGUUCAAAUCAGGAAGAUGAGGUCAGUGUGGCGUGUGCAUGCAAUUGUUCAAGUUCCCCAGAUAGCUAACUUCUAAGGAGUCCUCAGAAUGUCACUAACAUAACGAAUGUUUGGGUAAAUAAAAUGAGAACAGUUAAGAAUGGCUUAAGCUAAAAAUAAAAAUUAAAAAAAAGGAAGAGGCCGAAUUACUUUUAGACUAGUUCUUCAGAUAUAUGAAUGACCUUUUCAUUUUUGUUCUUUUUUAAUCCCAAACAUUUCACAGUAUAAUUCAAUAAUCAUGAAGAAUUCCAGAUGGGUUCGCAGAAUUUGAAGUUUUUAUAUUAUAGAAGUGAUCUAUCUCAAGGCAGGGAGGAGGCAACACUUUAAUGAAAGGGAGGUGGGCAUUGUGGACUAGAGUGUCUUUAUUUAUGGUAACUCUGUGCAGAUUGCUCAGUACACAUUUGACAAGAGGCUAUUUGUAGGAAGCUAAUUUAAAGUAGAAACAAAUAGUUGUGAAAAAUGAGGAAAUCCUGCUGGAAAAAAAAAAAGUGUGACAGGAUCACAUCAAAUAGGAGUGUUAGAGUAAUUUACUAUUCUAGGCAAUCCAGCAGCUGGUUUAUCUAAAGCGUUCCUCUUUUUCAUGAGCACUGGAACAAGGACAGGAAAUCGUUCAAAAAGCAUGCUGCCUUUUCCUCUAACAGAUUUCUGUAAAACUUUAAUAGCAAAAAAAUGAGUUUUAGAAGCUCAGUUCUUAGCCAUUUGGGGGACUCUUUAAUGAGACAAUGCAUGUAUUUCUAAUUUUAGUUACUCAGAAAUUAUACUAGAAUGGAGAUUUUUCGAAUAGCAUAAAGAUAAGAGGAAAGAACUCUCUGCUUAUGUCAUUCAUAGAAAGUGUUCUGUAUUGAACUCAACACUGAGAAUCAGUUUUACAGAAUAAUGAGUAUUUUAGCUAACCAUUGAGAAAACGAUCCAGAGACCUAACAUUUUAUAGAACUGCACUUAAUUGUUCCAAAUAAAGAAAUAUUAGGACUGGUAUAAUUAGGAGUUGGAAUCCCGAAGACACAAGGACUGAAGGAAACAUAUAAAUCAUACAAUGUAAAAAUGUAUUUGGAAAAAUAUUUUAAUGCAACUAAUAACCUAUAGGUAGGAUUAUAUUUUUAAAAAUGAUUCCAAAAGAUUUGAGUGGAAUCUCUUUAUGAAUUCCCUGCCCUUCUCUCCCACAACAACAACAACAAAAGAAUAAAAAAUAUUUCCUUACUAGGGGCUGGGGGAGGGGGAUACUAGGAAAGGGUUGGUUAAAAGGUACAAACUUCCAGUUAUAAGAUGAAUAUAUGAAAUAUAUAUAUUUCAUAUAUGGAAUACAUAUAUUCAUAUAUGAAUAUAUGAAAUAUAUAUAAUAUAUAUGAUAUAUAUAUAUAGAUAUAUAUAUAUAUCUUAGGAUAUACGGUUCUAUUGCAGUAGUUAGCCACCGCAACUAUAUUUCUAAGUAACAAAAUGCAUUUUUCACUGGAGUUGUUGUCUUCUUGACUCUAGAUUUUAUUUGGGUUGUGGGCGACAAAAAUCAAAUUCUGUGUAUUAGUUUCGUAAUGCCAGCGUAAAAAAAUUACCACCAACUUGUUUAUUCUCUCACAGUUGUGAAGGACAUAAGUCCAAAAUCAAGAUGGUGGUAAGGUUUCAUCCCCCAUGGGAGGCUCUGGGGGAGAAUUCUUGACUCUUCCAGUUUCUGGUGGCUGCAGGCAUUCCUUGGCUUGUUGCCACAUCACUCUUAUCUCUGUCUGGAUCUUCACAUCACCUCUUCUUCCAAAUGGGUCAGAUCUCGUGUGACCUUCCUCUUAACACAUGUAACACAUUCAGGACUCACCUAGAUAAUCCAGGAUAAUCUUCCCAUCUCAAGAUCCUUGACUUCAUCACAUCUGCAGAGACUCUUUUUCCAAAUAAGGUCACAUUUGCAGGGUCCAGGGAUUAGGGCCUGACAUCUCUGUAAUAAAGGGAGGCAUGAUUUAUCUACUACAAGCUGAGACAUGGAGUUUCCGAUUCUCAAGUAGCUUUAAAUCUAAUGUAGUCUGUGGAAUAUAUUAAAAUGUAUUUGUUAACUAGAACUUUCAGUUAAAUAAAACUAAUCAAAGCUAUCAUAGCUGUAAUAGGGUGAAAAAAAAACUAGCUUUGUACCCAGAGUAUUUUUUACCCCCUGUACUUCAUCUGUUCUCAAUCACUGAGGUCAUGCCAUAAGGCUCUAUUGUUCUGUGCCAAUUAAAUAUGAUAGAAAUCAAGUUUUAAAUGUUCGAGUCACAUUUAUUUCAUCUAUUAGAAAUUUAUUUCCCAAAGUUCCUCGACCCAUUUUGCCUUACUGGUCCUUGGUGAUGUAUAUUAGAAGCAGAUUAGAAUACCUGCCGUUAGGCCUUUUUUAAAUUCCACAGUUAGGUGGUUAACUCUCCCUUUUUCUUGUUCUGUUUUCCAAUGACAAUCUCCUCACAUUCAGGCAAUUUGUGAUCACGGUAAAGGAAUUAAGAAGACAACAUAACAGCUCUGAUCUGGUCUUGUUUUUAUAGCACGUCCCACUGAGAAAAUGAUAUAUGUUAAAACACCACCUUCGCCAAACACUGUUUUCAUUCCAAGCAUCUUUGAUUUUGAUUCAGCAUUGUGUCUGCCGGAGCAGACCAAGCUAUAGAUAAUAACGCGAAUCCGGAGGUUAGGUCAUCGUAUCUGUUAUUAUGUUAAUUAGCUUAAGUGAAUUACCCAUGUCCAGCAAGACAUUACUCACUUUGGAAUGCAUUUCACUAACAAUUUAUCAUAGUAAUAAGAGCUCGAAGAGACAUAUGAGUUCCCUAAGUGGCAACAAUUAUACCUGCUAAUGGAAAGGGAAGCUGUUUAUUAAAACACACUCUAUCUUUUGCAUCAGAGUUGUUCAUCUUUACUUGGAUGCCUGGUUUCAGUCCCUUUUAAUUCGAGUUCUUCUGUGGAUGUUUAUUACCUUGAAGGAUUCGUUGCUCCCAGAUUAUUUACUUUUAAUUCUAAAUUGCUGUCAAAUACAAUGGGACAUGAAUUCCUUGUGGGACAUGAACAUUUCUCCUAGGAGUGUGGAUUUGCAGGGUGCUUUGAGGAGUCUCGUUUGCUCCCACUUGACCCAAAUUUCACAGAGAAAUGUUGGUGAUUCAGUUAGGACGUUUCAGGCUCUUCAGAGCAAGCCGGGCUCCUCGCUUACGAAACAGUAAGGGUCUGGUGUCAGAGAGGCGGUCAGAGAAGGAAGGUCCCCAAAAAGCACAACUGCACUUGGUAACAAAUGCGAUCCCUUUCACUAAACACAAAUAGGAAUUGUGUCCGAUGCGAGUGCAUUCACAAUGAUAGAUUAAAAAGUCUCUGCAGAAAUGUACCAAAUUUGUGCAAGGUGAAAUUACCUAGAUCGAGAUCUUUAUUCCAGGGUGACCGGAAGAGCUUAUUCUAAGGAAAGCAUCAUUGUAUUAGGAUGAUUAUGUGCUAUAGUUACACAUUUCAUAGGUAUCUCAGGAACUUAAAAUUAAUUCUUUGCUGGGGUGCCUGGGUGGCUCAGUGGGUUAAGCGUCCGACUUCGGCUCAGGUCAUGAUCUCACAGUCCGUGAGUUCGAGCCCCGCAUCAGGCUCUGUGCUGACAGCUCAGAGCAUGGAGCCUGCUUCGGAUUCUGUGUCUCCCUCUCUCUGCCUCUCCCCCACUCAUGCUCUGUCUCAGAAAUAAAUAAACAUUAAAAAAAAUUUUUUUAAGAACUACUGUUAGGGGCUUCCAGCCUACCUAUGACCUCAUUAAAACUGAUUGCUCUCACUGUUUCCGAUUCUGUGUCUCCCUCUCUCUCUGCCCCUCCCCCGUUCAUGCUCUGUCUCUCUCUGUCCCAAAAAUAAAUAAAAAACGUUGAAAAAAAAAAAUUUAAAAAAAAAAAAACUGAUUGCUCUCUAAUUUAAAUAAAGAACUUGGUGACAUCCUCUUGGUGCUUUAGUUAAAAUUUUCAUUCUCACUGCAACGCAGAUAUGCAGAAAAAAAUACAUUUUAUUUAUUUUAAUCCUAAACUACUGAUUAAAACAUUUUCAGGAUUUAUUUUGGGGCCAUAAUUUAGGCAGUGCCUUAGAUACUGCCCAUUGUCUAGGGGACGUGAUCUUUAAGUUGUCCGCUGGUGAGGAUUACUUCUGUGAGCGAAGGUGAAUGUGGGGCUUCCGUUAUAUCACGGAGCGUGUGAUGCCCAUCUGUGGGCACAGGGCGGUCUGCUUUGGGCUCCAGGAUGCUGACCCCCCAUCCCCACUUGUCCUGUGGCAUCUAUGAAACCUGGAUAAGUAGUAACAUAGAGGCUGGUCUGUUUUGGCACAGGGUCUGUUUUUCCCCGGCUCACUCCCCAUCUCCCUGGCACCCGCUGGUGGCUUCUCCCUCAGCCCGCAUGGGGUCUUCACUUUAUCCCCUUCGGCCCCAGCUGGGCUGGCACUUAGCUCUGAUUGGCCAUCUUCAGGCAGCCCCUCAGCCACCUCUGAGCCUGUCUCCGUCUCUAGGAACCGAGCCAGGCCGUGAAAUGGAAUUUGCCUGGUCUCCCCCACCCAGCCAUGCUGGACAGCCAAAUUCCCAUUCGUGGGACUGUACCCCAGGCUGGUGUGGGCAGCCUCUUUCCAGGUAAGGAAGUGGGUCAAAAGCCCUACUUUGCUUUGCUUUAGCUCUCUUCUUUAACCUGCUCUCCCAACCCAUGGACAACAUAGAGAGAAGAGCAGAAUGGGAGAGUAAACACCCCUCACUCUUAGCCUUUUCUCUUCUGGGCUCGGCCUCCUUUCUUACUCCACUCUUCCCUAGGAACCACAGAAGGCAGAUUUUCUGGGAUCACAUACUUCUUCUGGAUACAAGCCUAAUCAUUAAUCCCUGAGGAGGAAUAGGGGUGUUCUCUCUACUCUCCGGGGUACCUGGGAUCCAAGUACCCCUCUGCUUAGCUCUUGAUGAACUAAAUGAGAGCAGCUGGAAUUCAGCAAUUCAGACCAAUACGUCUGGUCUCCACGUAUCAGGCCUGGCUCCCAUUGCCUCUUGCUAAAGAGAAUCGGGUUCUUUGCCUUUUGCACCCUUGACAGAAAGGAGAAAGCGAGGAAGACGUUGGUUUAAUAUUUACAGUCAUUAUCUCCAAUAUUUAUAUAUGUGAUGUGUGUAUAUAUAUAUAUACAUAUGUAAAUGUAACAGUCUUGUCACCUGCCAGCUAUAUGAUUGUAAGAAAUUUGCUUUACUCUGUAAGCUUCGGUUUGCACUAAGAUGUAGCUAUAAAAGCCGAUAACUCUGUAAGGCUUUGUUUUUAAUGUUUAUUUAUUUUUGAGAGACAGAAAGAGAGAGAGAGCAGAAGAGGGGCAGACUGAGAGGGAGACACAGAAUCCAAAGCAGGCUCCAGGCUCUGAGCUGUCAGCACAGAGCCCGAUGUGGGGCUGAAACUCACAAACAGUGAAAUCAUGACCUGAGCCGAAGUCAGACACCUAACCAACUGAGCCACCCACGUGCCCCUGUAAGGUUUUUUUUUUUAAAGUCGUAAACAGGGUUUAGUAGGUGAAAUGACAGGUAAGGGCUUUAAGAACCUUAAAUUCAGAUCUAAUGAUCUUUGACUCUAUACUCAGAGACACUUCAAACAGGCACAGUUAACUCAUUGUGUAAUAACUCAGAUGGCUGCUGUGGAAAUCUAUCAAAAGGGCCCUUGUACUUAUUUUAAACUAAGAAAAUGUAAAUAUGAUAGUAAUGCAGAUUAUUAGGCAGUACAUGUAUGUAUUGGCGGUAGGUUAGUGAUUUCAAUCAGUUUGUCAAAGCUGUGCCUUUGGAAAGUGAUUGUAUCCAUUGUUGUUUAAGAAAUCCACUUUCCAAAGCACCUGCAUGGCUCAGUCAGUUAAGUGUCUGAUUCUUGAUUUCUGCUUAGUUCAUGAUCUCAUGGUUCAUGGGUUCGAGCCCCACAUCGGGUUCUCCAUGGACAGCUCAGAGCCUGCUUGGGAUUCUCUGUCUCCCUCCCUCCCUCUCUCUCUCUCUCCCUCUUUCUCUGCCCCUCCCCUGCUUACACUGUCUCUCUGUCAAAAUAAAUAAUAAAAAUAAACAUUAAAAGAAAAGAAAUCUACUUUCCUUCAUACUAUGAGUCCUGAUUUUAAUGAGAAAUAAAGAAUAAUUGAGAGGAGGCAGAACAAGACAUCAUCUUGACCUGUCUUUUCCCAUCUUUGCGAUCAGAGAGAAUCCCAAAUCCCAAAGCCAAAGCAGAGGAACGUUGGUUGAUGUGGGUACUGAAGAGGGUUUCCCGAUACUGACAGUCAGAAAUAGAUGGCAGGGCUGGAUGAGUCCGGUGCCCCCCCCCCCACCCCGCGGUGGUGGAAUCGUUCAUAUGAACAUUAAGAGAGGAAGGACGGAGAGGUGGCUCACUUGAGCCCUAAGAGGUUUGUAUUUUAAGAUGACUUCUGUAGGUUUACGAUUUCCCCCACUGUGUGUUAUUUCAGUAGUUUAACUGAAUUCUGAAGAUCCGUCUAAAAUUGGCUACCUUCCUAGGAAAUCAAAGAGGACAUUUAUGUUUUACGUUUAAAAAAAACAAGAACAAAAGAAAGAGAGGUCAGGGGGACGCUUCUCGAAUGGACUCGUCAGAAACUCCCACUGUCCCCGGGAGAGGGGAGAGGGGCUGACACAGACAUGGAAAAUCUCCUCCUUUCACUUCCUUUGGGUUUCUACCAAUGUCAAAUGGUGCAGCGAUUUGCCAAGGGCCAGCUUUUCAGGCAUACGUGAAUCUCUAGUAACACUUGAAGAUCAGUUUUAUUUUCUUGAGGCCAAACAUUGAUAGGCUCAUUCUUUCCAAUAAUUGAUAGUUGAGGGCGCUUUUUAAAUAAAAAUGGUGAACCAGAGAUAAAGGAUGUUCCCUUCAAUCAUAUAGUUUGCUCAAAAAUGUGAGGUAGGUUAAUAUGAAAUACACUCUGGAGGGAAGUAAGUGACUCGGCUGGAGGUCACCUUAGCGAUAAGUGACUCGGCUGGAGGUCACUGUAACGAACAGGGCAUAUUCAGAUUAUGGCAACCUCUAGCUUUGAGAUGGAGUGAAGAUGUUUUCAAUCCUUCUCAUCUUAAAUAAAGAAAAUAACAAGAUAAACUCAAAAUAACAAGAAAUAAACCCAAACUCCAUCUUCUCUGACAGUAGGAGGUACGACUACCAAUAAUACUCGGAAAAUGGCAAGAGGGGCAGGGGCUGGAUAAAAUUCAGGGAUAUACACGAAAGUCUGCAGUGAAUGGAGACCCUGGGGCCAAACCUCUUGUCUGCCCAGUUCUAGUUGACAAGCAGCUGCCUGAACAGGGCAGGACCUUUCUCUGGAUAUACUGAUUCUACCCAGAGAAAUCACCUAAAGAUCGUAACAAUUAAAGGGCCACCAGUUAAAAAUCUCUGUACCAUGAAGUGGACAAGCCGUCCCCUAUGUACCAGACCUUCCAAUGAGCUUGUUAGGGUUUUGCAUGUUAAUAAGGACAGACAGCCACAGAGCACAAGCUAUUUGAGGAAAGCUUCGAACAGAAGUGUUCCAGAAACAUAGUGUAGAGAAAAUCGCAGGGAAAAUUUUUAACAAAGAAACAAUGCAAAAACAUUUCUCAAAACUAAAGGACAAGAGUCUCCAGUUUUUCUUUCUCUUUCUUUCUUUCUUUCUUUCUUUCUUUCUUUCUUUCUUUCUUUCUUCCUUUCUUUCUUUUUAAUUUUGAGAGAGAAAAAAAAAGAACACGUUAGUGGGGGAGGAUGGGAGAGAAUCCCAAGCAGACUUUGUAAUGUUAGCAUGGAGCCCAAUGUGGGGCUCGAACUCAUAAACCAUGAGAUCAUGACCUGAGCCAAAGUUGGACACUUAACAGAUUGAGCCACCCAGGCACUCCGAGAGUCUCCAGUUUGAAGAGGCAUGCCCUUGCCCUGCACCAGAACGAAUUAAGAUCGACACUGAGGCACAUGACUGUGAAAUUUCAGAGCAUCUGGGAACCCUGCUCUUUGGUACAGAGAAACCUCAGAGACAUGUCCUCCAUUACAUCCCUAGGAACCGCCAUGGACACAUGCCCGUUUGGGGGUGGCUGGGUGAAGACCAGGUCACCAUCAGUUGUCCCUUUCCAUGGUAACAUUCCCUGUGGCCCCUUCUGCUUCAGACUUCUUUUAUUCUCCAUGAUUUCCAUCAACCACAAUCCCUUACUCUCUCCUGCUCUGUCAGGGCAAUCUCAGGCCAUCAGAGAGGUCUCAAAAAUGCUCAACUCCAAAUGGAAGUGGCCAAAGCUCCAGUUACCUUUCUCUUGAAAGUUAUCAGUGCACUAAUACAUAAAUUCAUAAAUACAUGUAGAUAUGUGGGCAUUGGGCAAUAGCACCUUUCUUCCCACUAGAAUUCAACCUUUCCAUACUGAGCAAUGCAUUGCAACAGGGCUGACUUCUUGAACUUCUUUUCCCAAGCCCUGGCUCAGCCAGUGUGUCCCGCCAGCCACCAUUUAAUUAUAAAACUAUUAUGUGCCAGGCAUGCAAAGUAACUUACAUAUGAUGUCAAAUUAUUUUUACAAGCACCCUAUAUGGAGGUUACAGCGUUUUGCAUUUUAACUGGGAUUUGACCUAAGGCUGUAUGAUUAGCCAUUUCGUGACCAAAUCUCCUGCAAGUUGCCACCUGGGACUUAGACUUGUGCGUGCAGGAGUACAGGUACAGGGGCUGGGGGUAAUGUUCCUUUACCCAGAAUGAUUCUGAGCCCUUGGGGAUUCCCACAGUGACUGCUGAAGAUCCUGGACCAUCUUGAUGAAGUGGAGAAGAGAUCCCAAUGAAUAAGCUUUUCAUAAAUUCAGUCCUGUCUUCCAGACUCUUAGGUGGAUCAGAGAUACUGCUAAUUUUCUGUCUGAAAUGUAGAAGCUUAUCAUUUCUAGACAGUAUAUCAGUAAAUUAUUGUUAGAAAUGUGAUGUUGACGAAGGUCAGGUUGAAUGAGAUUUCCUAAUUCAGUAUAAAGUUGUAUCAGGAGAAUAUACGUGUUUUUCAGCCAGCAUGCAUCGUACUUAAUCAUCAUCAGCAAUGGGCAAAUUCAUCCAUUUUUAUUUGUCUACACUGCUCUUGUAAACCAGUUUAUUUAAAUGAAGCCUUCUAUUUCCAUUAGGUACUUAAUACAUCAAAUCUUUCUUCUCAAGAAUUGUUUGAUUUUUAUGCAUCGUUUUGAUGUCCUGCUGUGCCCCUGAUCACUAAGUAGUGACAAUGAAUGCCAUUCCUUUAAUGGAUGUGAUCUGGGAUGUUUGUGACAUACCCAUAUCCAUUGUUUCAUAUUUCCUUUAAAGUAACUAUUUUUAUUUAAGAGAAAUGAAAUCAUGUUGUUAAGGACUACACAAAACAUGCGAAAUACAGAGAAAGUAACAAGCUGGCAUACUUUAUACUGAGCCCUUCCUUGUCUGUGAUUCUUCAUAUCCCCUUUGAGUUUACCUUUCACUUCCAAUACUCUUUCUUCUCCAGAACAUUCUUACCUUCUGCUUCACUUAACAGGUGGUGCUUACCCCUCCCAUUCCUGCCAGGUUUCCGGGGGUUCUCUGGCAUUCUGAGGGCUUUGACGCGAUCCUCACUACUCCAUGGGCAUAUAGAGCACAGACUCCCCCUCCCCAUACUUUUUCUUCUUCUCUGUAUCUCUUUUCAUUACCAGAUUUGUCUCGUCCGGCAUCCCUUCUCUGACUACCCUUCACUGCCAGUUUCUCCCAACAUUGGACUUCACUUUCCCUUUUCCCUUCCAAUCUCUGCUUUCCCCCUUCCAGCGUUGUGCUGAUCAGCUAGUCAGGCAGUUUUGCUAAGUGCCUUCUGUGAGAUGAAACUCAAAAAGAUGAGGCUUCUGGGUAAUAUUAUAUUGAAAUAUCAUCAAGAAAACAUUCUCUAUAGAAAAUUACUCUGAUUAAUUUAACACCGAUACAUCCCAGGGCCAAAACUUGGCCGUGGCUUUCUGGCAUGUCCCGGAAAUUCUCUUCUCUAAGCCGUAUUCUUCCCCCAAGUGAUUGCUAAAGUCCUUUAAUGAUUUUACUACGUAGGGAAGAGUUAUUGGGUAAGAACAAAAUUAUAUUAAAUGCACAUAACCUAUAUUGAAAACAGUAGCUUGUCAAAGCCCGUAAUCUCAUAGAGCAAUGCAGUAGAGGUCCCCAUAAACCAUGCUUUUUAUCUGCUUUAAUUCUCCUGUGGGUAAGAGCUCUUCUGGCCGAGGAUCUCCUUUUCCUGGCCCGCAGUCCCCGGUGAAAUCUCCUCCUUCUGUAAUUGUCCUGUUCUCUUCUAAACAAUGUCUCUGAGUUUUGCUCAAAGCAUAUCUCUGAGCUGAAAUCCCCAUUUUAUAGAUAUAUUAAUCUUGUCCUUCUUUUAACUUUCUCCUUUCUGAACACAGUUUUCAUAUAACCCUUCACCAGAGCAUUAACAUUCUUCACCUCGUCUUCCACUCCAGGUCACCACCACCCCCUAGAAUGACUCCUACCUAGUUAGAGGUUCGGUGAGUGGUGGAGGCUGGGUCUCGUCUCUUGUCUCCUGAUCUAACACUCGUUGCAAAAUGCCAGGACUUCCCUGCUGUCAUCAUAUCUGAGAGCAGUCCACACCAGCCCACCCUGACGGUCCAUCAAGAGUUAGUCUUGGGAGGCACCUGGGUGGCUCAGUCGGUUAAGCAUCCAACUUCGGCUCAUGUCAUGAUCCCAUGGUUUGUGAGUUCGAGCCCCACAUCAGGCUAUAUGCUGACAGCUCAGAACCUGGAGCCUGCUUCUGAUUCUGUGUAUGUCUCUCUCUGCCCCUCCCCUACUCACACUCUGUCUCCCUCUGUCUCUCAAAAAUGAAUAAACGUUAAAAAUUAAAAAAAAAAAAAAAGUCUUGCAUUCCUACACAACUAGUUUUGGGUAUGGGGGAGAGAUUAUUUGAUCUUCCUAUUCCUUGCCCCAUUUUAGCUGAUGCUCAGCAGAGCAGUUGAAGUGUUUCUGUAAAACAAGCCAGAGCACACUACUUCUCUGCUCAUCACCUUGCUGUGGCUCCCCAUGUCACUCAGAGUCAAAGCCGCAGUCUUUACAGAGUCUGAAAGGCCCAGCGUGGCUGGAUGUCAGUUUCCCAUCUACUUCCCCUCCUGCUUCGGCCUCUCAUGACUUUCUAGCUCAUGGGCCCCGCCGGUCCUCGUACAUGCAACACAUACUUCCCCCUUGGGACCAUGCUCCAGCUUUCGGCCCGGAACACUCUUACCCAGAUACGCACGGAGACAACCCCUUCACUCCCUUCCAGUCGUUGAUGAAAUGUCACUUCCUCUACCAGCCCUGCCCAGACUGUCCUGUGGAAUAGAACAGGCUAUCCCCCCUCCCCCACCCCAAAGCCGCAACGGACACUUCCUGUCACUCUCAGCUCACUCUACUUAUGCCUUUUUUUUUUGCCAUGUUCCUAUCACUUUCUGGCACUCUAAAUAAUUUACUUUUUUUUUUUAAUGUUUUAAACUUUUUUGACGUUUAUUUAUUUUUGAGAGAGAGAGAGUGCGAGUUGAGGAGAAAGAGAGGGAAACACAGAAUCUGAAGCAGGCUCCAGGCUCUGAGCUGUCAGCACAGAGCCCGACACAGGGCUCGAACUCACAAACUGUGAGAUCAUGACCUGAGCUGAAGUCAGAUGCUUAACCAAUUGAGCCACCCAGGUGCCCCAAUAAUUUACUUUUUUUAAUAAAAUGUUUCUGUUUAUUUUUGAGAGAAAGAGAGAGCGCGUGCACGUGGUGGAGGGACAGAAAGAGAGGGAGACAGGAUCUGAAGCAGGCUCUGUGCUGACAGCAGAGAGCCUGACAAGGGCGAACUGCAAGAUCAUGACCUGAGCAAAAGUCGGACGCCUAACCAAUUGAGCCACCCAAGCACCCUGAUAAUUAACUUUUUUUAUUUGAUUUCUCAUUUAUUUUCUUAUUCCCUCUGCCAUAAUUUAUGUCCAGUAAGUGUAGUGAUUUUCAUCUUGUGAUUAUGAUUAUGACAGUUGCCAGCAGCAGCAACAGCAUCACCUCGACCAAUGCCUGGCACAUAAUGUGUAUUCAAAAAUAUUUGUUGAAUGGAAGUACCCAUCUCACCAAUUGACAACUUGGCCCUAAUGUUAUCCUUAGACUACAGGACACUAUUUCAGAGUUUACAAUGCUAAUUUUAUAGUGUCAGAAACUAUGCCUUGAUUCUGAUGUCAAAUAAAUGUCAGUAUAAUGAAACUCUUUACUUUCUUAAUGUUUAUUUAUUUAUUUUUGAGACAGACAGAGAGAGGGAGAGAGAGAGAGAGAGAGAGAGGGAGAGAACAUUAAGUGGAGGAGGAGCAAAGAGAGAGAGAAUACACACACACAGAAUCUGAAACAGGCUCCAAGCUCUGAGCUGUCAGCACAGAGCCCGAUAUAGGACUCAAACUCACGGACCAUGACAUCAUGACUUGAGCUGAAGUCAGAUGCUCAACCUAACUGAGCCACGCAGGAGCCCCGAAACUCUUUAAUGCCCUCAUUAUGUCCAAAGAUAAGAAUUAAGGGAUUUAAAUUAAGUAGAGCUAAGGUUUUGGGUUUUUUUUUUCCAACUGGGAUAUUAUUAAAUCUCUCCUUUUAUAAAAACAGAUUAAAACAUAUAGAUUCCCUAUGUUUAUUAGCAUUCAUUCUUUUAAAAAGGUAGAGGGGUGCCUGCGUGGCUCAUUUGGUUAAGCUUCUGGCUCUUGAUUUCGGCUCAGGUCACAAUCUCACAGUAGGAUUGACCUUCAUAUCGGGCUCUGCGCUGACAACAUGGAGACUGCAUGGGAUUCUUUCUCUCUCUCUCUCUGUCCCUCCCCUGCUCAUGCUCCAACUCUCUCUCUCUCUCUCUCUCUCUCUCUCUCGAAGAAAGAAAGAAAGAAAGAAAGAAAGAAAGAAAGAAAGAAAGAAAAAAAGAAAGAAAGAAAGAAAAAGAGAGAGAGAAAGAAAGAAAAAGAAAGAAAGAAAGAAAGAAAGAAAGAAAGAAAGAAACUAAACAAACUUAAAAAAAUUGUUUAAAAAAGGUGGAAUACUUUGAAUAAAGAACAGAAAGCGGGAACGGUUCUUACACCUCUGGUUCACCAAAGUCAUCAUCAGUCUGUUGUGAAUGAAGAGAGAGAAAUUACAAGUCUUAAUAAUGCCCAGGGGCAACUGAAAUAAUUCAUAUUAUUGUAAUCCUAAUCUUUUAUAAGAAUGUCAGAGGAGGAAACCAGAGUAUUUUUGACUUACUGGGUUUCUGAAUUUGUUGGAUCUCACCACAUCUCAUUUUCUAGAGAAAGUAGAACACCUUUGAGAGUAAUGAUCAGCUUUGCAUCACACCCAGGACACAGAGUUAAUUCUGACUUCUGAUUUAGGUCACUGUAGACAUAGGCGUGCGUUACAAGUCCUGGAUGCUUUGUGGUGUCUUGUAAAGGGAUUUGUGUUUUCUCUUAGGGUGAGCCAGUCGUUUGGGUUCUAAGCUAAAAUCAUCCUUUCUAGAGACUGGAAAAACUAUAGGCUGUCAGAGCCAGAAAGGUGGCUGGUCUGACUCAGACAGCUGUGCUCAGUGACACCCAUGUACAGUCACUAGUCACCAGCCGCAUGAUAACAUCCUGAAUCAGGAGAGGGUGUGCAGUCCCACAGGCUGUGUACAAUUUACAGUUUUUAAACACACACACACACACACACACACACAUUUUAAUGAUUUUUGUUGUGACAAAAAACCCACAUAAUAAUAAAUUUACCACCUUAACUAUUUUCAUGUGAUGGUUCAGUUUUUUAAAAAUGUUUAUUUAUUUAUUUUGAGAGAGAGUGUGUGAGCAGGGGAAGGGCAGAGACAGAGAGAGAGAGAGAGAGAGAGAGAAUCCCAGAGAGAGAGAAUCCCAAGCAGGCUCCAUGCUGUCUGUGCAGAGCCCCACACGGGGCUUGAUCCCCAAACCGUGAGAUCAUGAUCUGAGCUGUAACCGAGAGUCAGAAUUUUAGCUGACCAAGCCCCCAUGGAGCCCCCAGUUGAGUUUUAUUCAGUACAGUCACAUUGUUUUUCCACCCACCUCUAGAACUUUUCAUCCUGCAAAACUGUAGCUCCAUACCCCUUGAACAGUGACUCCCCAUCCCCUCCUCCUCCUAGCCCCUGGCAACCACCAUUCCACUCUCUGCAUCUCUGAAUUUGGCUUGUCUAAGUACCUCAUAAAAAUGGAAACAUACAGGUUUUGUCCUUUUUGUGAUGGGAUUAUUCUACUCAGCUUAAUGUCCUUUCCGUUCAUCCAUGUAGCCUGUUUCAGAAGUUCCUUCCUUUUUUAGAGCUGAGUAGUAUUCCGUUGUAUGGAUAUACCACAUUUUCUUUAUCCGUUCAUUCUGGGAGACUAGACUUCUCCCCUCAUCCUACGCCCCUCCUCCCAGGGUCUGUAGUUAGUGGCAAUUAUAAGUGAAAUUGUGAUGGUUAGAAGAGGUACUUGAGAUUAUUUUGGGAAGUGUUACCAGAAAGAACAUUGGAAUGACCCUUAUUUUAAAGCAAGGUUGAGAGAAGUAGCUGGUGAGAGGUUUGGUCCACGAUGAGGGAAUAAUGAAAGUACACAGUGUCUGCACAGUUACUGUGGGCCACACGUGCUUUGACUCAUCAAAGAGACCAACAGGGCACCUGGGCGGCUCAGGCAGUUAAGCGUCCAACUCUUGAUUUUGGCUCAGGCCAUGAUCUCACAAUUCGUGAGUUCGAGCCCCAAGUCAGGCCCUGCCCCGGCCGGGCAGCGNUGAGGGAAUAAUGAAAGUACACAGUGUCUGCACAGUUACUGUGGGCCACACGUGCUUUGACUCAUCAAAGAGACCAACAGGGCACCUGGGCGGCUCAGGCAGUUAAGCGUCCAACUCUUGAUUUUGGCUCAGGCCAUGAUCUCACAAUUCGUGAGUUCGAGCCCCAAGUCAGGCUCUGCACUGGCAGUGCAGAGCCUCUUUGGGAUUCUCUCUCUCCCUUUCUGCCCCUCCUGUGAAUAUUCCCUCUCUAAAUAAAUAAAUAAACAAUAAAAAAAAAAGACCAACACCUCCUCUUUGUGACCCUCUGAACAACACGCCUUGUGCUCUCAAACACGCACCAGCAAAGAGUAAAGAGUAAACACAUAGAGAUUUUACCUUUAAAGAUAAGUUACUUAUUUCUCGAUAUAAAAACAUUUCUAGGGGGAAAAAUUAUCACAAACAGUUCAGAAUUUUCAAGACCAUUUGAGAUCUUUAAAUUGAAACUGACAUAUUAGAAACUUCAUUGGUUUGUGAUUCCUCCUCUAAAUUAUUUUUUAAUGUUUAUUUUUGAAUCAAAGAGAGCAUUCAGGUGGGGGAGGGGCAGAGAGAGAGAAGGUCAGAGGAUCCAAAGAGGGCUCUGCACUGACAGCAAGGAGCCUGAUGUAGGGCUCCAAUUCAUGAACUGUGAAAUCAUGACCUGAGCCAAAGACAGACACUUAAGCCACCGAGGUGCCCCCUUUUAAUUUAAUCUUAUUUUUAAAAUUUUUUUUAACGUUUUUUUUUAUUUUUGAGAGAGAGAGAAUGAGAGGCAGAGGAGCAGAGAGAGGAGACACAGAAUCGAAACAGACUCCAGGCUCUGAGCUGUCAGCACAGAGCCCAACGUGGGGCUCGAACUCACAAACCACAAGAUCAUGACCUGAGCCGAAGUCAGAGGCUUAAUUGACUGAGCCACCCAGGUGCCCCAAUUUUAUUUUAAAAUGAGAAACCGUUCCCUGUUCAUCUACAUCUUGAAAAACAUAGUGGAAAACAAGCUGUUUAGAGAAUAUUCAUAAUGAAUGCAGUUCUCACAUCUGAGAUAAGGAUGGGCCAAACCUGCAGGCCAGCUCCGUUGGGAUUGAUGCACGAUCUUCUCAUGCAAGGGGGUCACGUUCCGAGUGUUGUCACCACCACAUGCACCACCCUCUCCCCUGCCUCACAGUUAAAGAGCGACGGGUUAUACAAAUUCUUAAAACUGUUAACAACGUGCACUUGGGUUUUGCAAUAAUGAUUGCUUCUGAGUACAAACUGUUUACUAACUUUGGCAUUGGUACCUAUUCUGUUAUAAAAUUCUGCAUAAAAUUCACCACGUUUGAAUGUUACAUUCUAAAUUUUUUUUGCCCAAAGCGUGCUUCCUGUCGGAUUUAUGUAUUGGUUGCCAUUUCCAACGUGCCCUAGCCAUGCAUCAUCCCGAAGGAGGCAGGUCUCGUUUACAGCAUCCGCACUUUCCUGUCAACGGCACUCACCUAAAGUGCCCAUCACGGGUAUUCUGACCCCUCAGGAGAAUCAUUACAGUUCUAGCAAAACCCUGUUCAUGAAGGAAAUGACAGACUUAUUAAUGUGAAGACAUUAAUAUGUGAGAAGGCUUAUUAUGUCAUUCUUCCCAAGGGUAUGUGCAUUUUUAUAACGAUCAAUGCUUUCGGCCUGAGGAAUAGAACGCUUAUGGUUGGAUUUUGGGUAUCUGCAAGGGACCAAAGAAAUGAGAUUUUUCUUUUAAGAUGUAAACUCUGGAAUACCCCUGAAAUCAGAUCACAAAGAUGGUUGUCCUUACGGAAGACCAGCUAAUUCUUUUGACAAGUUACAGUAUCUUACGGUCGCAUCUAUGGGUGCAAUUAUAGUAAAUACAUUUCUGACUCUGUGUCUUGUGGCUUUGCAGUUCCUGGUACAAGAAAUGUUUGUGCACAUUUUUGUAUGUUUUCAAUUAAAUUUCAUAUUUUUAUAUUUACCAGAAACAUUCCCUGAGUUUCACUGAUAUAUAUAUAUCAAUAUCAAUAUAUAUAUCAAUAUACAUCAAUAUCAAUAUAUAUAUCAAUAUAUAUCAAUAUCAAUAUAUAUCUAUAUAUAUAAAUAUCAAUAUAUAUAUAUCAAUAUAUAUCAAUAUCAAUAUAUAUCAACAUGUACCAAUAUCAAUAUAUAUAUCAGUAUAUAUCAAUAUCAAUAUAUAUCAAUAUCAAUAUAUAUAUCAAUAUAUACCAAUAUCAAUAUAUACCAAUAUCAAUAUAUAUAUCAAUAUAUACCAAUAUCAAUAUAUAUAUCAAUAUAUACCAAUAUCAAUAUAUAUAUCAAUAUAUACCAGUAUCAAUAUAUAUAUCAAUAUAUAUAUCAAUAUCAAUAUACAUAUAUCAAUAUAUAUCAAUAUCUAUCUAUCUAUAUAUAUAUAUAUCAGUAAAACUCAGAGAAUGUUUCUGGUAUAUAUAUAUAUCGUGCAUCUACCUCAGUGAUACCACUUUGUUCCAAAAAAUAAAGUCAAUGAUGCACCUUACUGGUAUUAUUUAACUCUGAAUAACUGGACUUUUUCCAAAAGUCAAAUCCAUCAAUAAAGGUCAGAAUCUACUAGCAUGGUCAACAUUCAAAUGAUGAUGCUGCGGAAUCAGAAGGACAUUCAGCAGAAGCAGUCUUUCAUAUUUUAAUUCAAUGAUACUGUUUUUGUCAUUAGUAUAUGACUUCUUAUGUGACUAUCUUGAAAAUGACCUGAAUUACCAGAAUGGAUAGGGAGGGGUGUGUAGGGUUUUAUAAAACGAAUCUCAUUAUCCUGGGUUAAGCUCUUUACUAAAUACCAUCUUUUCAGCAGUUCCAAAGCCCAGAUAAAUUUCAGAACCACCUCAAGAGCAUUUUACACGAAGAGACCACCAGGACUCAGCCUGGAGACCUGACCCAGAAUUUCCUGGUCUCCCACCCAGAAUGCAUGGUUGAAAUUGGUUCCCUAAGUGAUUCCCAUGCUUCCAGAUCAACACCAGUGGGGGCUACUGAGAACCAUUGAUGUACAGCUACCCCCAUUCAGGAAACCUGAAGAGACUUUGAUGUUUUCAUCCCCGUUUUCUUGAGUAAUAUUGACUUUGCAUUUUAAAUAUCUCACUGUCUCUCUAUUAUAUUUAUGAGCAUGAAUGUCUCACCACUUGUCUCCAGUAAGAGACUUGAAUUCUAUUCUGGCAUAAUUUGAGCAUUUAUGAAAUAGCUGUUGAAUGAAUGAUGAAGUGGCUGAAUGAAGGCAUCAAGACAGACCUUACUAAAUGCUUUUCUGGCCCCAGGUUUUAUUUUAUCCCACAUUUCGUUAAAUUACCAAUCUUCCAAGCCUAACAAAGAAAGUGUUGAAAUUAGUUUGACAUGUACUAUCUUAUUAAACCCAUAGUGGUCCUUAGGGAUUCCCCAGUCUCUUUUCAUGAUGUCCUUUACUAUGCUAAUCUGUUAUAGAAUCAUUUCUGGAAUAUCAAACAGAUUAGUCUCAAUAUUUGGAAAUGACACUGCUUUGGGGGAAUUGGAACAGCAUGUAUAAUUUUCCAGAGCCAUUGGAACUCUUGAUGUUCCGUAUAUGGUUUUAAAGGUCACCAGUCACAGCUAAAUAUUCUUACUUGUGGAUUCUUCAGUGCCUAUAAAGGUAUUUCACCGGAGGCAAGGACAGUAGAUUUCUCCCUUGGAGCAGCCUGUAUAAUCCCUGCUUUCGUGGAGCUGACUUUGAAUUUUUUUUUUUUUUUCAACAUUUAUUUAUUUUUGGGACAGAGAGAGACAGAGCAUGAACGGGGGAGGGGCAGAGAGAGAGGGAGACACAGAAUCGGAAACAGGCUCCAGGCUCUGAGCCAUCAGCCCAGAGCCUGACGCGGGGCUCGAACUCACGGACCGCGAGAUCGUGACCUGGCUGAAGUCGGACGCUUAACCGACUGCGCCACCCAGGCGCCCCUCGUGGAGCUGACUUUGAAUGUCAUCUUAGCAAUUUUCACAUACGCUUAGGAGCUCAUUUUCCUUGACAGAGAAGACAAAAAAAAAAUACGUUAAAAGCUGGGGAUGUUUUAGUCUCUUCCACUUUCACUUUCUCAUCCAGUAACACAACCCGAUUGUCCAGAAGCAGUCCGUGCGAGCUUUCUUACUCCCGAGAUAAUUCUUCUUGCCUUUAAUGAGAGUUGUGCCCUAUAACUUAUUUUGAAUUUUAGAUCUUCUAAAUUGUUUUUAUCAGUCUUUCCUAAUAGUUAAUACUUGGUCCUCACUCUACGGCAGGCAUUGCUGUAUUUUAUACUUCUGUAUGAACUUAUAUAUCUUCCCCAAAACACUAGGAGGUAGGCAACUGUGGUUAUCACCAUAUCGGUAGAGGAGGAAACCAAGGCACAGAGAUGUUAAGUGAUUUGUCCAGGGUCCUACAGCCCAAAGAUAUUUGAGUUGAGAUUUGAAUUCAAGCAGCCUACCUCCAGUAUUCCUUAAAAAAAAUUUUUUUUAAUGUUUAUUUAUUUUUGAGAGAGAGAGAGACAAUGUGCGAGCAGGGGGAGGGACAGAGAGAGAGGGAAACACAGAAUCCGAACCAGGCUCCAGGCUGAGAGCUGUCAGCACAGACCUCGAUGGGGGGGGGUCGAACCCACGAGCUGUGAGAUCAGGAUCUGAGCCGAAGUCAGACGCACAACCAACUGAGCCACUCAGGCACCCCACAAGCCCCAGUAUUCUUAACCACUAUGCUGAGGACACUAUGCUGUCCUCAGUUAUGUGCCCUUUGUCCAUAUAUUUUGUCCAUAGUUUUGUGCUGUAUGGAUUCAGUGAAGAUUAUUGGAUGCAUCCACAUCGCUUCUGUUAAUUACCUACCCCUCCUCUGUCACUAAGGGGAUUUAUGAAUACACAGAUGACAUUCUUUCUCCCCAUAUUUUAAACCCAAGUCUCUGAACCAGGAACUAGACUGUGCUCUUCAGGAAACAACAUGCACUCGUGCACACCAACACAUUGUUAGUUGAAACGAAAUUGACUAAAUAAAUAUAUUCAACUGAGUAUUAUGAUCAGUUUCCAUGUUUUCUUUUUUAAUCAAAUUAUUAAGAUGCUAUUAUCUAACAAGGAAGGAAACUAAAAUUCCUCCUUGCUGUUCUCACUUGGUGACUAUUUAUAUAAUAUUCUAUUUUGGCAAAGAGUUUAGUGACUGUUUAUGCCUUGUUGGAAAGUCACUCUUAGAUUCUCACUCAAUGAAAGAAAAAACUGUUAAAUGAUUGAUUUGUAGUCAUUGAGAGGUUAUCAAACCUGACAGCACAGUUGAAUGUUUCUGCUCUGAUUUUCAGACCCAGUGUCAGAAUAUCCACCUGUGCUCUCUCCCUGUUGUUACCUGUAUGUGAGAUUAGAUGCACCGCUUUGCCAAAUAUAUUUACUAUUUAUAUACUACAUACUAUAUAUAUAUACUAUGUAUAUAUAUACACUAUAUGUUUAUAUGUAUAUACUAUAUAUAUAUGUUCACAUUUGUUAUACACAAGUUAAGAACUUUGAUAUGAUUUUAACAUGUGGAGGUUUUCAGUGAAUGUGCUUCUUUGGAUUGGCUUUUUUAGAUGAACGUAUCUCUCUGUUGGAACAGAGUUCCUUACCUCUAGGGCAUUUCACUACCAAACAUAGGCCGUUGGGGUCAUACUCUGAGCACUUGGCAGUGACCCAGGGACAUGGCCCUUUACACAGACCUCACAGUACUCCAAAGUUGUGGUUUAUCACCUUUUUUUUAACCCUCUCAAGAUGGCCCUUGCUGUUCAUUUUAAUUAAGGAUUGUUUGGUAAGAAAUUAUUAUAGGAACCACGUAGUAACUCCACAGAACCUGUAGUUCUGUAUGUGUGGUUUUGUUUCUCGAACAAGAAUAUUAGUAAUGAGGAGGAAGAGGAAUAUGGUGAGGACUUACAAUGAAAAAGGUACCUUUACCAAAUAAACUGUACUGCUCAAAAAAAAAGUUCUUAUUUAAAUUUUAAAGCAUUGUUAUGAAGGAGAUAUGGUUAUCCUUCUGUUUCAGAGGGAGAAAUCAAAGCUUAGAGGGUUAGACGUUGCUUAACAUCACACAACUAGUCAGUGGCAAAGAUGGGAUUUGAAUCCAGGCCUGUCUGAUACCAACACUCUCUUCUUAAGGAGAGUUACUGCUGAGACUUGCCUGUUUGUGCGUGCGUGUGCAUGUGUAUAUGCGUGUGCAUGUGUGAGUGUGUGUAUCAAAUGCUUACUGAGUUUCCAUUGGGUAAAUAUUUAUUGAGCACCUGCAAAGCCAGACUCCCUGUACUGGUCACCUUGUGGAUACAGACAUGAUGAAGGCACAAUCAUUAACUGAACACAAUUCACCAUGGUUAACCAUGUGUUGAGUGACCAGCUCUAUGCUAAUGCUUUAAUUACAUGAUCUCAUUUAAAGCUCACAGUAACCCUAAAAGUUAGGUAAUAUCCCAUGCUAUAGAUGAUGGAACUGAGGUUUAGGAAAUUAAGUUAGGGCGUUAUUCAAGUUCAAGGCUUGGACUUAGGUUGCCUGAUUCCAAAGCCUGUGCAUCUAUUCUGUGCGUCUAUUCAGUUUGCUAUUCUGUAAAGAAAUUAGGAGAAACAUUUUGAUACUUUUCACUAUAUACAGUGCAGAGAAAAUAAAUUCUACAAGUGGUUUAUAAUAUCUUUCUUUUUAUCCUUUUUCAUCUCUGCCAUAAUGUUGUCACAAUAAUAUAAAAGCAUACAUAGAAAUGAAUACAUAUAACUAUCCAAUAUUUGUAGGACUUUUUAACCUAACCGCUUUGCAAGUAGAUGUCACUUAAAUAACUAAAAUUUUGAAUUUCUUGAGCGAGAGCACAGUAAAGGUAGAUUGUGUGCUGAGUGAAACCAUUUGUGUGCUACAAACAUAGGAUACUCUUGGGUAGUAUAAAUUAUGCCAGCCUGCCAACCUUUGUGACUUUUUCCUCUGUGCUCUAACUACCCUGAAAAUGUCAUACUAAAGAGGAUUUAGACUGCACCAUCAGCUUAGAGAAUUAGCAGGCUUACUUUGCUAAAAACACUUAUUUUUAAUCAAUAUAUUAUCUCAUUCAAAAAAAUGAACCAUCUCUGUGUAAAAUAAGGAGGUCCAUAGUACUUACCUUUUUAGUGUUUGAAUUUUUUUUUUAAGUUUAUUUAUUUACUUUGAGAGACCGAGAGCGGGAGAUGGGGCAGAGAGAGAGGGAGAAAGAGAAUAUCAAGCAGGCUCCACACUGUCAGUGCAGAGCCCGACACAGGUCUCGAACUCCGGCACCACAAGAUCAAGACCUGAGCCAAAAUCAAGAGUCGUCGGUCACUCAACCGACUGAGCCACCCAGGCGCCCGAGUAUUUGAGUUAUUUUAUCACAAACUCGGUUUUCUACCUGUAGAAUCAUUGUUCACUCAAGUGGAAAAUCUCCCAGUUGAGAGCCCAUGCACAGUGCGGCUUCGGUUACCAGCCACGUGCCCCUGGCUCUCAAACAAUUUCUCUGGAUAAUAAAGAUGUUCUGGGCUCCAGAAUAGUACAUCCUACAUUUUAUUGCACAUCACCCCUUGCAUUCUGCAGGCAUCUCAAACAUACCACCUCUCAGACUAAACAUGCUUUCCCCCUCCAGCCUCUGAAAUUCAUCUCCCCAAUGCCAUCACGGUCUGUCACCUGAGUUACUGAAACAGCACUGUAGCCUGCCCCCUAACUAAGUCAUUCCCCUCUAGAAUCUGUUCUUUACGCAGCAACUAAUGGGAACCUUUAAAAUCACAUGGAUCUUCCUGACGGGUUCAAGCUGUGAGUUCUCUCAGAAGUCUUGAGUGUCUUCCAUUGGGAUCAAGUCCUGUGGCUUUUAUUUGAUUUGCAAGACACCUUCUGAUACCUUACCUGGCGAGCUCUCCAGAGUCCCCAUAAGCCACUCUGUCUUUUCCUGCUACCUCUCGAGAGGCUGCAUGUCUCUGGGCUUCUCUGGCAUGAGAGCUCACUCACACCCACGCCUACACUCAAGCUGGCUCACUGGGCUGGCUAGCUUCUCCCCUGUCACCCUUUCAGCGAGCCUCUGCUCACUAUGGACCAUGUGACUUGCCCACACCACCACUCACCACACUUUAGUUCAUAGUUCAGUGCCUAUUUUUCCUGGGAGAGUGAAAUUCUAUGAGGGCAGGUCUCAUGUAUGUAUGAACCAUAUGGAAACCAGUAUGUUAAUACUAUUUGUAGUAUUUUAUAUUAAAUAUGCAUAUGUAUUUGUUUAUAGCUUAAUCAUGAAUGAUUCAUUGAGUUUAUAAAACAUGGAAGCAGUGGAAUAUAUCAUCAGUCUCAAAAAUGCUUAUAUUUACUAAGUCUUCCUGAAUGCUAGGCAUAAGAAAGAAUGCAUUUGUUCAAAAAGUAUUUAGUAAAUGCUCUGCUAUGCCUCAGACUGCGCUAAAUAUAGCAGGUAUAAGGCACAGUGUGUGUCUUCAAAGUUUUGGACGAUGUAGUUGAGAAGAUAGGACACAGACACAAAGAAAUGGUAAUGUAGGUCAAUUUAGUGUAGGGGUACUAAGUCUCAGUAUCUAUUUUUACUGGUUAAUUACUUAGCCAAGAAUUACUUUGAAAGUAAUUUCACAAUCUUUGAAUUGUUCUUCUCUCCCUUUCUCCUCCCUUUCACCCCCUUUUCUGAGCAGUAACGUAAGAUUUAUUUAAUUCCUCUCAUUUGGCAUCAUGACAGUAUAAAGUCAUCAGUGUAAUCACCAUAAGAGGACUUUGUUUUAAUUUUUAUCACCCAGCACAUUUUUAUUGUCAGAAUGGUUACUAAUCGUUCAUUUUUAUUUACUCUAGCUGGGGAAGUUUUGCAAAAAUCUUGUGACUAUUUAGAAAAUAAAAUGUUUGGGGCGCCUGGGUGACUCAGUCGGUUAAGCGUCCGGCUUUGGCUCAAGUCAUGAUCUCGUGGUUCGUGAGUUCGAGCCCCGCGUCGGGCUCUGUGCUGAUGGCUCAGAGCCUGGAGCCUGUUUCAGAUUCUGUGUCUCCCUCUCUCUGACCCUCCCCCGUUCAUGCUCUGUCUCUCUCUGUCUCAAAAAUAAAUAAACGUUAAAAAAAAUUUUUUUUAAAAGAAAAAAAAAUGUUUUAAAUUAUGGGUUCACUCCUAGCCUGCUGCCCAAUGGACACACCAUAGACUCAAACCUUAUGACUCCAUGAAGAUGAAGAAGCCUUGGGUAGUAUACAAGAUCUGCUUCUGCCCUUGCCAACUGGCCCCAGAGCCCUCCUUCCCCCUCCCAGACCAUGCUCAGCACCAGAAUGUCAAAGCCAAGCUGUGUUUCUCUCAGGUUUGAUUGGAAUAGCCAUCUGGGUAUCUGAUAUGGAAGACACAAAAAUACUGAUGAUUAGUGUCUAUUUCAAAUUCUUGGGCUCUUGAGAUUUUUAAAAAUAACCAUUAUUUUAUAGUUUUGUUAAGCUUAAUUGAAAUAUUUUAAUAGUAUGCUUCAGAGCCUCUAGAAGAAGAGAGAAGGUAAGGGUGAACAUGAAAUCGUCUAAAAAAAUGCUAUGAUAUACAUCAAAUCGGAAGCUGCUGAGAGGGGUAAAGCCUUGUGUUGAGAAGAGAGUCAGGAAGAUCUAGGUUUAGAGGAUUCUUGUUCCUGUUCAGAUUGAGCCCCACAAAGUGUCACCUGUAGUGACACCUUCUGUCCUCAGUUCAGGGUGCAUUCCUCAUAAUUCGUUCAAAAUGCCAGUUGGAAAAGCGUCUGUCAGUUGUGUGGGCAUUGUGUUGACCAGCAAUAUGUAAGUUGUCUUCUCUGAUAGUCUAGAAGCUCAUUAAGCCUAGAAUUCAUAUAUCAGAUACCAGUGUUAUAAUUCUAAGCUCAGAUUAUUUUGUGAACGUUUGCACUUGGUUCUGGUUAGAAUAAUUCAAAUAGGCCCAUGACUUACAGCCAUAAGAGGCGAUAGUUCUUCAUGAAAUCAACCCAAUAAAAGUUGAAAAAUGACCUACAUGAUUGGAGACACAGUGUACAUAUAUAGAUCUAUGCAUACUUUCAGGAAAAUGCCGAAAAUUAACAGGAAAAUGCCGAAAAACUUUGAUACUAAAAGGAUGAUAAACUGGACAUGUCAUUUGAGUAAGAGUCACUGUGGCUCCUGUCUCGUGACUAUCCAAAUGUGUUGUCUGGGAGAAAAAAACAGGUGUUCAGGACCUUUGUGAGGGUCAACCGGCUGGUCAGGACUAUAGGGUAUUUUGUUUGGUGAUAGGAGAAAGAGAUUGGAAGCUGAGGUCAAUAGGCAAAGAUUUUGAGCAGCAUAUCUAACAUUAGUAAAACAAAGACCAAGACGAUUACAGGAAGAUAAGAUGUGAUGUAUUCAUGGACUGGGACCCGGGCAGCCCUUAGUAGUUCGGAGGUAUGUAGGAGAAACACCUUGCCUUUGAUCAUGUUGUCAUCAAAAGCACCCAUGUCCGCCUUUCCCUAAGCAGCAAUAUUCAAGAGUAAACACUGAGCUCAAUGGGUCUAGUGUAGCCUGCAUCUAACGAUCACAGUUGAAGGUGGCUAUAAAUGCUUGGCAGGCCAAUCUUUCCUGAUUUGCAGGCUGAAUGUUAUGAAAGCCAGUGGAGAGUUGUAGUUCAAGAAGUCCUUGUACUUUAAGAGACAGAAUAUGAAUUCUAAACGGCCACAUCAAGAUUAACUCGGUCUGUAAACUGGUCACCACUUCCUUUUAAAUCUUGCACAGGAUGCAUGGAGAAAGGAAAAGAACUCAGUGUUCAUGUGCCCUUGCUUCCACUCUAAAAAAAAAAAAAAAAAGGUUUUCCUCCAUGAUGUUGGUUUUAUUUAUUAUUCCCAGUUUCGAGAUGGGAAUAGUUAAGCCCAGGGGCACAGUCUUGCUAGGGGAACUCAGCUAAUCAAUCGUGAUGCAAAUCUUGAUCUGAUGAAGCAGCGUUCCAUCCACUUUCCACCCUCCAUGCUCCAUAGGAAUCAUUUCUAUCUAAACUGCUGUGCCUCAGGAAGUAGACAGGCCCAGAGACCCUGUCUGUGAAUUGAUGUGAUAAGAUGUUUAGAUUGUUCAUAAAACAGUAUCUGAGGCCAAGCCGAGUCAGAACUGAUGGAAAGUUAUAUAGUUUUGUUUUUGUGGCCAUUUCUUAGUGGAUUUCAGCCCUGGAAUGACACCAAAGCCUAUUAAUAUAUAACUGUGGUCCACACAGCCACAAGGUCUUUAUGCAAAAACUGCCGAGGUGAACUCGGACUGCAGUCUAUUUUUUGCAGCAUGGAAGUUUCUCAAAGCAAAUGUCAGGGCUUUGGAUACUCAUACGAAUCAAAACACAGGCAGAAAUAAAAUUAUAGUUACCUCUUAGAACCAAAAUUCAAGGCCAGAAAAUAAUCCCCUUCCCAUUCUUCAAUGUCUCAGGGAGAUUAUUCUUAAAUUUGCCAUUAAUUUAUUUAGAAAUUAUUCAGGUGUUCUUUGAGAAACACUUCAACGCUUUUCAUUAUAUAUUUUGGGAUGUUAUAAAGCAGAUAUGCUUCAUGCUUCCUUCUUAUUUCUGUGUGAAGAUUAUAACUUUGGCACUCAAGGAAAAAAAAUGUGCUAGGAGGCUUCUUAAAUUUUUGGAGUAAGUUAAAAUCAUUUUCUUGCACUUUCUGAGAUACAUAAUGAGCUACAGCCAGUUCUACGAUUGGUCCUGGAGGUUUGUGGUGCUGGUAUAUUGCCUCUUCUUUCUAGAUUCUGUCUGGUAGACAGGAAGAGAAAAAGGAAGGUGAAAGCUUAAGUUUUGUUUAGGGUGGAUAUUGGCAUCUCCCAACACAGGUCUUUUUGGUGAAGUUGGAUUUGAAAAUAUGACUAAUGGAGAAAUCUGGGGCUCCUACUAACUUCUGAGGGCUGUACCUUUCUGGGCUUGUAGAGAAAGCUUGGAGCAUGUCCUCUCACCUGAACCAGGGGAGGAUUGACCUCAGCUCUACCCACCACGGUCUGUCACAGGAAGACCAGGGUCAAGCCCCCGAGCUCGGUGUGACCCUCCAGGCCCUCCCUCUGGCAGGUGUGCCCUCAGCCUUACCCACAGGUGUCCAACAGAGCAGCCAGUUAGGUCCCGGUUGCUUCCUGCAAGGCUGUGACACUCGCCACAGACAGACAUGGAUCGGAGGUCAGUUCCCACUUGCGCGGAGAGCUCAGCCCUCCGUCCUGUAAAUACCAUGCACCAGAGAGAUUAGCCUCUUACCAGUCGGUUUACUGCUGCUCUUUCCCUUUUGAUGGAAAAUAUGGUGGAAAGCGAGAUAGAAGGAUCUCCUCCUCCUACUUCACCCCACCCCCAAACAUACACACACACACACACACACACACACACACACACACACACACCAGAAAGAACUUUGCUUCUCAUCAAGAAAUUCCAUCAUUUACAGUCCAGGUUGGGACAUGAGGAAGCAGAGGGUGGCCUUGGAGUCAGUACCCUGGGGAAUUUUAAGCCAGCUAUGCAAUUAAAAUAGUGAGGUUGGCAGAACUGUUUAAAUUACCUACAGACACUAGUCUUUAUUUUAUUUUUCUGUUUAUCUGCCUGUCUCUCUGCCCUACACUCCUCCCUUCCUCUCUCCAUUUCUCUAACCCCUAAGCAGCAACAAAGUCAUUUUUCCAGGGCUUAAUUCAGGAAUUAUAGCCACAGUUACAAAAGCGUGUUCUGGCAAAGAGAAACAUUUUCUGAGAUUCAUUUAUAAAGAAACUUUCUCUGGGGCUAAACAACAAAAGAAGCUUCAUAUUGGCUUAAAUUUGACAUAUCUGAUCCACCAAUAUAGCUUUCUCACAGGUGCUAAGUAUACUUUUAGUAGACCGGUAAAACAAACUUCUACAUUCUGGUUUUAUUUUUUCCAUUUUUACUUAAGUACAAAGGUCUCUUGAAGUUUGGUUUUUGAACAUUCUAUUAGACCCAUAGACGAGCCACACAUCUCUGCUCUCUUAAUGCAAACCAUGUGGCAUAUUUUUAAUUCUAUGUGAAUACUGCAUAAAAACUUUUGAAUACAUUAUGCCAUUUUCUAAUUUUAAACAAACUUGAUUUAAGCAUGUAUGCAGAUUGGUUCAUUUGCUAGUUAGAAUACCAUUCCUGCAGCUCCCAAGGAGUGGAUGAGCCUGGAGACAAUAUUUAUGAAACUGUAAUCUAGAAUAUUGAUCAGCCCUCACACUGUCUGGUUGAAACUGGUCUUUGGAGAUGAAGGUCCUACGUCUGGAAGUGCUUAUAUACCAGAUGGAGGUAUUUUUAUUAUCCUUAACAGAGUGUUGUCUCUAGAAUUCAUAGACCUCCAAUAGGUAGCAUAGUGCAUAGUAUGAGAGAAGCUCAGUAAGCAAUUAUUGACUGAGUAAAGGAUCAUCUGUUCGAUGUGUGGCUAUAACCAGACCCCCACUAGGAGUGUUCAGUCGUGUCUUUUCAUUUUCCAUUUUCAGAUGUUCUGUUGCAGGGCGUGAGUAGACAAUCAUCUUACUUUUGCGAACAAAGGAUGAUUUUGAAAAUCAAAAGGAAAAUAAAAGGAAAAAAUCAAAAGGAAAAUAAAAGGAAAGGCACUGGGAUACUUAAAAAAAUACAUAUAUAUAUUUUUAGCUCUCUUGUGCUCGUCAUGCUCUGCGACAGAGGAACCAGAAGGCCAGCAGGGUACAAGCUGGGGGAAAUGCUUCUUAUAACAGCAUUUUACAAAAAAGAAAACACAAACAAACAAACAUACAGGCUUUAGCUGUGUAGAGAAGUGGAUUGCAUAUACCCACAUGUAUACGAUAGUUCACAAGUGCCCAUACAACUUUGUAGUAAAGGAAGUGGGUUUAUAAAGCCAUCAUAGACCUUCAGGUGUUACAAAAAAGCAAAACACUUACUUUAUUGAGUUUUUGAAGCACCAUUAUAAGAGAACCAAACAGUGUAUUAACUUACGAAUAGUUAAUGUACUGAUUUCAAUGAGGAACCAAAUUUAGUAUCUACUAACUCACUCAACUGAGUGAAAAUAGCCUCCUACAUUUGUAGACCUCUCUCUGCCAAAGAUGAUUCAAGGUACCAAAUGCAAGCACCGUUCAUGAAAAAAAAAUCAUAUAUUAGUACAUGAAAAUUACAUAAAACUAUAUAUUUCUGACUUUGUGUCUGAAGUUCUAUAGAAGUCCCUGUGAAGUCCAUGACUUCAGAAGUAAGACCAUUCAUUUACAAGUGCCAUAAAAUACCUUAGUGAUAAAUAUAAAAUAAUAGGGUCUUUGAUUUUUAUAUGAAAACCUACAUUUUAGGCAUCACUAAUUUUUUUUAAAUCUUCUAUUAUUUUAUAUUUCUCUCUGAGGCAUGUUAUAAUAUUUGUAUGUAAAUGGCCUUAGACCUAAAUUCGUGGGUAUGAUGGAUCCACAAGACUCAAGGUCACCUUCAUAGAUUAUCUGGUCUGUCUGACUCACUUCCUCGGGUCAAGCAGUGGCCUUGUCCCUAAGGAUCUCAAGCUCAGUCAGAGAUGCUGAAUGUUUGUAGAUGAAAUGACUGAUUCCUUUUACCUCAUACUUUGCCUUCAGUUCAUUCAGUGAUUUAUUAAGUCAAUCAUUAAAAAUCUAGGGGAGCCUGGGUGGCUCAGUUGGUUAAGCAUCCGACCUCAGCUCAGGUCAUAAUUCCAUGGUUCGUGAGUUUGAGCCCCGCAUCGGGCUCUGUGCCGACAGCUCGGAGCCUGGAGCCUGCUUCGGAUUCUGUGUCUCCCUCUCUCUCUGCCUCUCCCCCGCUCGUGCUCUCUCUUUCUCUCUCUCUCUCUCGCUCUCAAAAAUAAAUAAACAUUAAAAAAAAUCUUUCAAAUGCCCAUUAUACGUCUAGGGAUUUCAAGACCAAUACAAUAUCCCCAAGACCUCACAGUUGAGCAUAAAAAGUAGACCAAUGGGCAAAAUGGGCAAUACAUCUUACCAGUAUUAUGACCUACAUAUAAAACAAGAUACAUUUGGGACACAAAGAAAGGGUGGCCAAUUCUCCUUGAGACAGGGAUACAAGUUUACUUAAAGAACUAUGUUUUAACCAUUUUGCAUAAGAUGAAACUUUAUAAUAAAAAAAAUGUCUUUAGGGGUGCCUAGGUGUCUCAGUGGGUUGAGUGUCCAACUCUUGGUCUCAUCUCAGGUCAUGACCUCACGGUUCUUGAGUUCAAGCCCCGUGUCAAGUUCUGUGCUAACAACAUGGAGUCUGCUUGGGAUUCUCUCUCCCCACCUCUCUCUCUUUCUGCUCCUCCCCUGCUCUGUCUUAAAUAAACUUUAAAAAAAUGUCUUGAUAAUUUCAUUUUUUACAAAGCAGAGACCAAAAACUUUCCCUGUAUCUAUUCUGCCUCUCUGACCCUUCUUUUAAGAAAUUCUUUAUAUCUUACUAAAAUUUUUCAGGAUGCAUUUUUAACUUGAAGUUCCUUAGUUUCUCCAGGGAAGAUGGAAAACUGCUGAUUGGUAUCCCUUAUUUAGCAAUCUGAAUUUUUGGCAGGCUGAAUUUGAAUUGCUGGAUCAAAACCAAAAAGAUUAAAUAUAACAGGAAUAAACAUAAAAUCCUAUAUUUAAAUUAAAAAUGUUAUCACAGAUAAAAGACAGGAGAAGCACUGACUUAAAUGAAAAGGUCUGAAGAUUUUAGCUGACCGCAAACUUCAGUAUAAGCCCAUUGUACGAUGUAGCUGCUGAAAUCCCAACUCAACCUCUUGUCCACAGUUACUGUUUAUGGAAACAGGCUUCAUAUCACAGUAAGUAUUAAGCUCAUUAUCCCAGGCACUGGUCAGAGCACAGCUGGAAAAUAAUCCAUUUGGUUUUGUGUGUCACAUUUAAAAUAACAGAAAACCUGAAAGCUCUGUAUGGAGAAGACCUCCCCACGUAUGUCUCUGGAGUAACCUUGGCCUCCAUCUUGAAUUUCAGUUUCAACCAACUGCCAAGCUUCGGAGUGUGUAGCAUCUCGUACUACCCAGUGAUACAUGGCCUGGUUUGUAACAACUCUCCAUUGUUCGGUCAGUUCUUCACUCCCAGCAAUUUUCAGUCACUUCUCUAAAACUGAAUCACUCUUCCUUCCCUGUGACACACUCCUCUCCUUCUAAGGCAUGCAUCCAUUUUAGACACCACUGCUCGAACAUCCACCCAGAUGGAAAAUGUGGUGGUUGUUGUUUUAAAAACACUUUCCCCUGGGCCUCUGCUUUUCUGAUAUCCCCCGGUCCCCGAGACAGGCGGCUUACACACUUCACUGUCUUGCCCAUGGUGUUAAUCAUCCUGUCCUUUUGUCUCCAAUAGAUAGUUCACAGCAGAGGUGAAAGAAUAUGGUUAUACCAUCUUAGUGGGAGAAAACAGAGACUUACAUUUACUACUUAAGAUGUGUUCUUUCUUUUCAUUUUAAAGUGCCGUAGCAACAUUUACCAUGCUAGUCUUUAUUGAAACAAAUGAACAGAAAGAUUACUCUGAAUGAAUAUUCUGGAGUUUUCAUAACCUCUUAAGUAAAUGUAUGGACCAUCAGCUCUGAGUUCAGAAUAAAUAAACAUUAAUUUUUUUUUAAUUAAACGAAAAGAAAAAGAAAAUUUUUUCUCAGAAAGCAUCAUUGCGGUGAAGAGGUUUUGGCCUUUUUCUCGCAAAAAUAUAGCUAAUCUAGAAACGUGCUCUUUAUAAUUAUCUGAGCACAAAGUGAUCUACCAUGAUUGAUUGACCUUAAAACUAACAUUUUAUUCUUCAUCCAUAAUAUACCUGCCACUUUUUUUUCCUUACCAGAAACUGUCAAGUUUUUUGUUUUUGUUUGUGUUUGGAUCUUCAUUCUAAUGCCUGAAGGCCUUGAUUUCUCCUUUGGUCUCCAAAAUCGGUUUGGGUGUCAAACAAAAGUAAUAAUUGGAUUUGCUUGAGUUAUUUCUUACUUUAGUCCAUUCCUUUAAAAACAUAAUAAAGCUCAUAAAAUUUAUUUCAUUUGCCUGAGAUCAAUUCUAUGAUCUGUUUAGUAGGUUGUUAUAAUUCAAUAUUGAAUUCAUACUACCUAGGAAAACUGUGUUAACUUAUAUUAGAAAGUAUAAUAACUAUGUUAAUAUCAGUAGCUGCCCCAGCCUUUUCCCCUGUCCAUUUUCAAAGACAAAUGGCCAGGUUUUUAUCUGUUCUCUUAUUUCUGUUGAUUUCUCUCAAAGAGUGUACUUAUGGACCAACUUCUAUGCAGAAGGUAACAAUUUCAAACUUGUUGCCUCUUUGUAAACUCAUCCAAGAGAAUAUACACACUUCUUUAUCAGGCUCAGAAUUUUACCAGAAGCACAACCUGCAGUGAUUUGAGGUUAAAGACGAAGAACGCUAUGACUAGGCCAGCAAGGUAGCAUUUCUCCACCAGAAGAUACAGUGUCAAACACUCAGGGAACCGCCAGGUUAAGCAAGCAUCACUGAAAGGGAGACCUUCAUCCAGGCCCAAGGAAAGCAGAAGUCAUUAAUGCAUCUGAUAUAUCACCGCAGUUGAUUAUAAUCUUAUUCAAAAGCGAUUCUUAGCACCUAUAAUCCUUACUUAGCGGCACUUGCCAUUAAGUUGUAAAUAAAUCUUCAGAAUUGUAAUUAAACCCUGACGUUCAAAUCCACUGAUAAGCAAGUUCCUCAUUUACUGCUCUAUAUAACCACUUUAAUUGUGCUCUUAGGUAUUUUCCAUAUUAUUAAUAUGUUUCCCCCUUUUAAGCCGUAUUAACAGUUAUCCAGGCACAGGAUGUGUCAGAAAGUAUUGUAAAACAGGUAAGUGGAUCAGCUUUUUCUCCCUUUUCAUGUCUAAAUUAUUUUUGCCAGGCACAAACUAUUUCUGCAUUCUGUGUUAUGAUAUAACUUGAUAUUAUUAGCUUUAACAUUUGGAAAUCAGAGGUCACCUGGGUGGCUCAGUCAGUUGAGCGUCUGACUUCGGCUCAGGUCAUGAUCUCACAGUUUGUGAGUUCGAGCCCCCCAUCGGGCUCACUGCUGUCAGCACAGACCCCGCUUCAGAUCCUCUGCCCCCCUCUCUCUGCCCCUCCCCCCACUUGCACUCUCCCCCAAAAUAAACAAAUAUUUAAAAAAGAAAAGAAAGUAUUUGGAAAUCAGAAGCGAAAGACUUUUCAAUAUGACUCAUUUGAUUUACAAGCACGGGAAUAAAAAGUACAUUUCUAAAACCAGACAAAUUUGAUAAGCACAGUUGUACUACUUGGGGAGUUUGUUGACUUUUGUUUAAGGAGACUAAAAGUGGUAGCAACAAAGCUUUUCCCCAAAUGGUUGGAUUUUCUAUAUUUGGUAUGGAUCGUGAGAUGCAUUGGCAAAGAAUACAUUUUGCAAGAUGUUUGUGUUUAUAAGAAGCAGUGUUUGUAUCUAUACGGGCACAUCUCUGUUGUGAAUAUUAGCAGUGGUACUGUUGUACCUGUGAAUUUACUGUUGCAAAAUCAACUUGUCAUUGGUGUCAAGGUUCACUUAAGUUCAACUCAGUGUUUCAGACUUUUAAGGUGUUUUGAAAAUGUAUAACUUCAGAUACAUUUGUGGCCGUUUCUCAGUUUGAGCAAAUCCUCACUGUUUCAAUUUCAGUAGAUAGAAUUCCAGUAGCUUUUAAGAAAGACUUUUAAGAAAGGAAAUGGUAUUAUUUUUUUAACUUUUUUUUAACGUUUAUUUAUUUUUGAGACAGAGAGAGACAGAGCAUGAACGGGGGAGGGUCAGAGAGAGGGAGACAGAAUCUGAAACAGGCUCCAGGCUCUGAGCUGUCAGCACAGAGCCCAACGCGGGGCUCGAACUCAUGGACCAUGAGAUCACGACCUGAGCCGAAGUCGGCCGCCCAAUUGACUGAGCCACCCAGGCGCCCCAGGAAAUAGUAUUAUUUUGAUAACUGAGAGAAGAGUAUGUCUUCAGAAAUAUCUCCCAUAACUUAAGGUAUUCAACUGGACCUCUACUAUCUUAAUCAUUUAUUUAUAUUUUUAUAAGGCACAAAACCAUUGGAUUUAUUUAAGUAUUUGAAAACCAUGUAUUUCCAAGAUGUUUUGUUCAAUCAGAGCAUCUCUUUCUUUUUCUUUCUUUCUUUCUUUCUUUCUUUCUUUCUUUCAGAGAGAGCCAGCAUGAGUGGGGAGGGGUAGAGGGAGGGAGAGAAAAUCUUAAGGAGCCUCCAUGCCCAACGUGGAGCCUGAUGCGGGGCUCGAUUUCACAACCGUGAGACCACGACCUGAGCCAAAAUCAAGAGUCAGACACUUAAUUGUCUGAGCCACCCAGUCGCCCCUGUUGUAGCAUUUUCUAAACUUCCCUUUUCAAUUCUCCAAUGCUCUGAACAUUGUAGGCUUUUGAAACAAUGUUUAAUGUUUAUCCAUUUGGGUGGCAGAGAUUAGAAUUUUCUUUAGACAAACAAAUCUAAAUCUAUUUUAACCAUUUUACUCUAAAAUGGCCAAGUUAGUGCCAGGGUGUUUGAAAAUUGAAUUGUGUACCAGGGGAAAUAUGUUCUGAUAUAAACAUCAAUGCCAAAAUUUACUACUAUAUUCUUCUACUUUCUAUUUUCUUAAUUUUAGAGUUGGUUUUUAGAAUACUGAAAGUCUUUACAAGUAGUCCCAUGAUUUUGAAUACUAAGUUAUACCAGUCUGUUGUACUAUAUGUGACUCAUGUUAUGUUUAGGAAACAGAACAUUGCCCAAAACAUUCAGUGCCUUUAUACUAAGAAUCAGUGUUAGUUUAUGCUUCUUAGUUUUAAUUAGAAAAAAAAAAAAAAUCCUCCUCAAAGUUAUUUCACCUGGCUGGAUUUACAAAAUUCAAAGUUUGAAAUUUUUUAUGUGGGCUGUUUUUUCCAUCUCUCGUUUCGCUAGACUGUGAGAAGUCGCAGAGAAAUAAAACAAUGUUGAGAUAAUUCCUACCUUCUUCUUCAUUCUUUAAAUCCAGUAAUUUUCCAUCUCUGAUUCUACAUGAAAAGCGUUCGCAGUUCCUGGGACAUUUCAGCUGUUGACACUUUAGGAACUUCCAACUCUGUGUAGGUGUUUUCAAGUAAAUUUGAAACCUGGAGGUGGAAAAAAAGCCAUAUGUCCCUAAAAGUUUUAUUUUAUUUUUUUGAGUGAAAGAAUUGUUGCCAAUAUGAGAGACAGUCAGCAGCUCGUACGUAAGGAAGGUCGCUAAGAGAGCUGAAGUAGAAUGUCUAUUGUUUAAAAAAUUCUGAGCAAAACUAACAAACUCAGAGAAUACGACACAUUAAAAAAUAAAAAAAGCUACAUACCAAACUAUGCUGUUUCUUCUUCAUGGAUAAAAAUUGUACUAUCAAAGACAAGUGUAUCCCCUGAUAAAUUUUAAUUUCAAUUAAGAAGUUGAUUGAUCGUAAAUCGGAAGAUGGAUCCAGCCCGAAUCAUCCCAUUCUGAGAAGAAUCCUUUCUUGCAACAGUGCACACGCCGCUGUUCCAGAAUGUGAAGCAGUCUCUGAGGAAACGGAUGUCAUCUCUGUUGCUGAUUUUUUAAAGAGAUUAAAAUUUAAUGGAUAAGAGGCCCCUAAAUGGUUUUUCUUUGAGUGUCUGCACAUAUAUACAGAUACUUUGUGUGAGUGUAAGUGCUGCACAAGUGACCGGAAUUUUUUUUAAAGCAAGAUUCAGGACAGAGAAAGCCAAAGAGGCUUCAUUUCACUCUGUGCUUCUGUAGGAGGGAGUGAGGGGGAAUCCAAGAACACGAACCUUUUCACAAAGAAAUGAGCUAGGUUCUGAUUUUCCAGAGAGCUCACGGUUUAAAUGGAGGAGUCAAAACAAAACAAUAAAAUAAAAUAAACACAACUGAGUAAAUAAAAUCAAACCAAGAGACUUUAUGGAUGAAAAUUCAACUAUAAUUCGCUUCGGUUUAUUUGGGGGGAGGGGGUGGAAUAUUCCUGUCUUUCAUCAUCCUGCCAUCUUGUUAUCAUCAUCAAAAUGCAUCCUGGGACAUUUCCUAUGAGUGGACACCCUGCCUUUCCGUGAUUCCAACGUUUUGAUUUUUUUUGUGUGUUACAGAAAAAUAAUGGCACGUUCAGUUUCGUUUCACUGACUUUAUCAAGAGGGCGAUGUAUUUCAGAAAGCUAAAAUGGCAUACGAUAAAACUACCGUCAGUAGCUGACCUGUAGCGGAUUCUGAAGGAUCUCAUCCAACGUGCAAAGCGAAACCACUGUAAAAACAGUGGUCUCUAAAGCUUCUGAUCUAGUGGGGUGUUUUGUUGGGUUUUUUUUUUUUCAUGACAUGACUGAAGUUCCGUUUCUCAUCAUAAUUUGUUUCUAGCUGAUACCUUUUGAUUUGUUCUUUUUCAUGUCCUGUGAAAAUCAAGGCAAGGGACUGUAGUGUUGACUGUGUUUAUUCACCCAACUGUCCCUCACCUCACUUCGAGCAGAGAGCCAUUUAUACUUUAGCAUUUCCUUACAUCUCCUUCUGUUUGUGUAUUUUUUUUUUUUUUUGUCAGUAGCAUCUCGGGGCUUCUGUAAAAGCCUAAACUUGUUGAUGGGGUUUUUGCUACUGUAGGUCUCUGAGGGCAAUGGGAAGAGAGCACAAAUGAUUUGCCAGAGCCUCCCCUGCCCCUGAAAUACAACGUUGAGAGUUGGGAUCUCUGAGCAGAGGGGUCCCUUGAGUAAUUCAGUGGCAUUGCCUGGGGACACGGCAAGACUUCCGAGGAUGCUCUAGCAGGAGGCUGGACUCAGACCUGGGUUCUUAAUUGUAAAAUCAAUUCCUGUACCUCAUCAUGGCACAGAGCCAGGGGCUUUGAAGGCAAAAGCCAGUGUGGACAGCAGGCAGGACUCAGAGGUGGGGGGCUAGGGGCUCCCUCACGAUUUGGUUCUAUGGGAGACACCAGGACCUUGGAAAGGCCCCAGUCAUCAUUGAGAUUGGUAUGGUUGUGUUACUGUUAUUGCUUGAAUUUCCCUGCUGGGCUGGCAGGAUCAGCUGGAUCUUUGUUGAGCCAAAGAAAAUAAGAAGUGUGUUUUCCUUGGCUUCUUUGCAUCUUGAAUGUGCCCUGAGAUACAUCCGUACCCAGUACCUUCAUGUUCUUCGGAAACUGGUAUCAUGAAAAGGUUGCUGACCGAGCACUCGGGAGACGGAUUCUCAGCCUCUCGUCUCGGCUCUGUCUUUCGAUCGCACCUUUGUCUCAGGAGAACACGACACAUACGUGACUCCGAAACUCUGUUUUGGUUGAAGUGGCAUUAAACCAAGAUGCUUCAUCCAUGCCCCCCAAUUUAAAAUUUUUUUUUAUGUUUAUUUAUUUCUGAGACAGAGAGAGACAGAGCAUGAAUGCGGGAGGGACAGAGAGAGAGGGAGACACAGAAUCCAAAUCUCGAACUCGUGAACCGUGAGAUCAUGACCUGAGCCGAAGUUGGAUGCUUAACCGACUGAGCCACCCAGGCACCCCGAGGCAUAUUUUAUUUUAAACAGAGACAGGAAGUUUGAAAUGAUGGGUUACUCAUGGAAGCUCAAGACAGGUAUUUUCCCAUAUGUGCAGCGACCUCUGAACGUAUUAAAGGAACAUUUUCCCACAUUGUACGAAGUAUAUUUGAGAUUUUUGAACCCACUGAUUUUGAAGUAUGUGGGCUCAGGGAGUGGCGGGGGGGAGAGUGAUUUUAAAUCCCAGUGAUAGGAGGCUGAACUCAUCUUUCUCAUCUGAAAUAUUGCCUUUAAGAACCCAGUGGAGAGGAUUAUGUCAUUCCUUAAGUGAAACUUCAUAUUUCAGGAAAGCUAAUUAUUAAUUAUCCCAAGGGACUGAAUCCCAUGCUGGAACAGCUUUCCCUCAUCCUCCGCUCUCAAAUCUUAUGUUUUCCUCGGUUAAUUCGCUGAGGUCUGUGCUGUUUGGUGAUUGAUGGGAGACCGUAGAGAGGCCCGGGAUGUGAGUCAUGGUGACAUGACCGAUGGCACUGUGGGGUUGUUUCCUGAUCCAUAAAACAAGCAAAUAAUCUUUGUGACCUGAUUGAUCCUCUGUGAUGGAAGUGGUUUUUAAACUGUGUUUUCUUCAGGGAAAUGUCAAUAUGCAUGAGCUUACUGAGUAAUAAAGUGGGAAAGAGUAAGAGUGAGGUUAGAGCCAGAUCAAGUUACACGCAUUUCAGAGGAACGUCCAGCUCUAUCACAGUUUGAUAGACCCCAAGACCAAUUAGAAAAAGGGUGGUAGGCUCAUGGAUACCAACUGUGUGACAUUGGGCAAAUUACUUAAAUUCUCUGGUUGUCAGUUAUGCUUCUAGAACAUGGGGGCAACAGUCCCCCCACAUGUGCUUAUUGUGAGGACUAAAUCAACGGAUAACCUAUCAAGUAUUGAAUACAGUGCAAAGCAUAAGGGCUCAAUAUAUGGAUAGAUGAUGACUUCUGUUGUGUUCCCGUGGCUGCUUUCAUUGCUGUUGCUUAGACAUUUCUAUGCUUUUUCAUGUGCUCCAUUGCUGUGCUGUUUAUGAAAUCCACUCACUAUCCUUCGGUCUUCAUUGUGCAAUAACUGUUUUCCACUAUGUUGAUCGGCAGCUUAUGACUUCCAUGGUAGCCUCCUUCCUUCUUUUGUUUCUCACAAAACUUUCAAUAUAUAAAUGCCCACAAUGCUACUAAAUUGGCCCUAUUUAAAAAAAAAAAAUUUUUUUAAGUGGGAGGAGUCACUUUGGACUUUAAGAAUAUGAUUUUAUAAUUAGAAAAAAAACCCCAUCCUGGUAACAAACCCAGACAAUUUGAGGUAUUGUUGGAGAUGAAGUACCCAUUUAAGAUCAUGGAUUUUGGUGUGAAAAGAAAGUGAGUAACUGAGAAUGUGAAAUGCUGAACUAAUGAAGAGUUUAGAUGAGAGAAAAUAGACAGUCUCUCUGUGCUGAAAAGCCCAUCCUGAACUCUAGAAAAAUUAAUGAAAGUGUCUAUUGAUAGCUCUUUAUGCAAUAAAAGUAACAUUUUCAACAACAGGCAAAUACUAGGAGCUGAAUAUGUAUUUUUUUAAUUAAUGCUUAGUGUGCAAAUAAUUAUUUUUGAAACCUGCUGGAAGUGUGUCCAUAUAAAACUAGAAGCAUUUCCCUAAACAUCUGUAGGACAAUUCAUUUUUAGAGCUGUUUGCAGUGGCAACGUGAGAAACAUUUACCCUUUGUAAGUACACAGUUCAGUUAUGUUGAGUACAUUCACAUUGCUGUGCAACCAAUCUCCGGAACUUUUCCACUUUGCAAAAUUGACCCCUAUACCCACUAAACAAAAAUUCCCUAUCACCCCCAACCCCUGGAAACCACCCUUCUACUUUCUGUCUCUGAUAAAGACUACUCUAGAUACCCCACCCAUAUAAGUGGGAUCACACAGCAUUUGUGUUUUGGUGACUAGUUUAUGUCACGAGCAUAGUGUCCUCAAGGUUCAUCCACAUUGUAGAUGUCAGAAGGCUGAACAGUACUCCAUCGCGUGUAUAUACCACAUCUGCUUUUCCAUUCAUCUAUCGAUGGGCACUUUGGUUGCUUCCAGAACUUCUGACUAUUGUGCACAGUGCUGCUGUGCACGUGGUAUGCAAAUAUCUUUUUGACAUUCUUCUUUCAAUUCUUUUUCAUAUAUAUGCCCAGGAGAGGGGUUGCUGGAUCAUAUGGCAAUUCUAUUUUUUUUAAUUUUUUGAAGAGCCUUCAUACUCUUUUCCAUGGUGGAUACACCAUUUUAUAUUCCCGCCAACAGCGCACUCCUAUUUCUCUACAUCCUCAGCAACUUUUGUUAUUUUCUUUUUUGAUAGUAGUCACCUUAAUGGGUGUCAAGUGAUAUUUCAUUGUGGUUUUGAUUUGCAUUUACUUAAUGAUUAGUGAUAUUGAGCAUCUUCUCAUAUGCUCGUUGGCCAUUUGUAUGUCCUCUUUGGAGAAAUACAUAUUCACGUCUUUUGCCCAUUUUAAAAUUUGUUUUGUUGUUGUUGUUGACUUGUAGUAGUUAUUUAUAUAUUCUGGACAUUAAUCUCCUAUUAGGUUAUGAAUUACAAAUAUUUUCUCCAUUCUUUUUCACUCUGUUGUUUAUGCUCUGUAAUGCACAGAAAUUUUAAAUGAGUCAUUAUAAUACUUUCAUUUGUUAUUAUUGUUUGUUGUUAAAAGCAGUAAGAAUAUUUAAUAAUCCCUUAUCAUAAAAACAAUGUUUUUUUAAAUUUUUUUAAUAAUUUUUUUAAUUUUUUAUUUUUGAGAGAGACAGAGCACGAGCAGGAGAGGAGCAGAGAGAGACAGGGAGGCACAGAAUGCAAAACAGGUUCCAGGCUCUGAGCUGUCAGCGCAGUGCCCAACAUGGGGCUCGAACUCACCAACCAUGAGAUCAUGACAUGAGCCGAAAUUGGACACUUAGCCGACUGAGCCACCUAGGCGCCCCAGAAAAUGUUUUUUUAAAAAUAUAAUGCUUCUUAUUUUCACCUCAAGUUUUUGUAGGGAAUUCCUACAAUCAAAGGCAAGAACUUAGACAAGUUAACUUUUUGGAAUGGAUAGGUAAAGGAAGAAUAAAUAACAUGGCAAUAUUUCAGAAAUAACUGAGUUUUUCUGGACAGAUGUGAAUGUUAUUACCAUUCAGUGAUAGGGGCAUUUAUCCUGUAUCCUGGUAGGCACUCUGUCUGCUUGGACAAAGAAGGCACAUGCUAUUGCCGUGUUCUACCGGAGUUGAUUGUUCAGACUUUCUCAGCCUUUGUUGGUAAGUUUACACUAGAGUAAGCAUGGAUCUUGAGAAACUUAACAGAAGACCAUGGGGGUGGGGAAGGGGAAAAAAAGUUACAAGCAGAGAGGGAGGGAGGCAAACCACAAGAGACUCUUGAAUACAGAGAACAAUCUGAGGGGGGAUGGGAGAGAGGUGAAAAUGGGUAAUGGGCAUUGAGGAGGGCACUCGUUGGGAUGAGCCCUGGGUGUUGUAUGUAACCAAUCUGACAAUGAAUUAUAUCAAUAAAUAAAUAAAUAAUUUAAGUAAGUAAGUAAGCAUGGAUAGUAAGCCAAUGAGCUCUGAGUUUGACCUUCUUAUAACCAAUGGUUUUUCUUUUGUUCUUUUUGAAUCUGCAUCUAGAAACUGACUUUCUUCUUUACCAGAGAAAAUAUAUUAAUUCCCCAUGAAAGAUAGCCUUAUAUGAUUAAUGUAGACAGACUGAUAGGGAACCUCAAAGGUAAGCUGAGUUAUGGGUGCAUGGGUGUUUUUCUUUUACCUUUAUGCACACGUACACACACACAUGUAAACACACAUGCAUGCACACAUACACACACACACAUGCACACACACACAUUAUAUAAACACAUUACGGACAGUCUAUAGAUACAAUAAAUUUCAUAAUAAAAAAUGAAUAGCUUUACAUUAAGUUCUGUUGGGAGUGAAAAUUAGAACUAUAAGUAAUUUUCUAUAACUUAGACAUUUGCUACUGGAGAUGGUAGUUUAUGGCCCAAAUUCUGUUUGAUUUUCCUCAAUGGUAUUAUGAAGCUUCAACAAUGUAGUAAAAGAUGAACUCAAAUAAGAACCACAGGUUACCUAGUUAUAUGUUAGUAAAAGUGAAGAAGAUCCAUAAUACGUAAAUUUUUAAAUUGAAAUACAGUGUUAAAAAUUUCUCUCCUUGGGAAAAUCCUUUUCCUUUGAAUUAAACAUUGUGAGGGGUGCCUGGGUGGUUCAGUCAGUUGAGCAUCCAACUCUUGGUUUCGGCUCAGGUCAUGGUCUCAUGGUUCAAGGCCCAUCUCGCACUGGUGGUGUUGAGCCUGCUUGGGAUUCUGUCUCCCUCUUUCUCUGUCCCUCCCCUGCUUGCUCUCUAUAUCUCUUAAAGUAAAUAAAAAUAAACUUUAAAAACAAACAAACAAACAAACAAACAUCUUUGUGGUUCAAGUUAGAGAUUCAGAUGAUGGAUUAAAUAUUUCCUGCCCGUGCUUUUGUGCUCUGUGCAUGAAAGAUGGUGAUUAUUUGCACCUUAAGAAGUAGCAUUUAUUAAAUUGGAAACUUAAUGAAAUUCAAGUGGAAUAGCAAACUCUUAGCCCAUCUGGGAAAACUGAGGCUAGUUGUUUUUUUCAAUCAAGGAAAAGCAACCAGAACAAAGUCAGUUUCACUAAUUACAACUUCAGAAUACUGUCAUGGUGUUUGUCCAUGACAUUCACUUCGUCUAGCCCCUUCCUGUAUUUCCCGGGCUUGAUGAAUUCUUGAACAUAUUUCCACCUCUCUUCAGAUAGGACUGAAAUGAUUGAAAAAUGGAAAGAUCCUCUCCAGUCUCUGACAAUAUGUCUAACAUUAUGCUUACUUGUCUAAGACUCCUGUCUAGAGCCACGUGCAUCUUGGCUGGCUCUCUGCAUGUCAGACAGCAACUGCCCUCUCAUGAAGUGACAGACUGUGGAUCUCCAGACAGAGGCUCGGUUUCUGUGGCUUACGAAUAGUCCCAGAGAAGUCGGUCCCAACGUAGAUGUCCUCUACGAUAUUUUAGCUUCAGAGUAUUCGGAUACAUUUAUUGUUCCUUUAAUCCAGGGAUUUGCAGCUCAUUUUCCUCUGAAAUGGUACAGUUGGGGAAAAUGGAAUGCCAAAUGAUAUUUUUAAAUUUUUGUGCCGUUUAAAGAUCGUUAGACUGUUUAAUUGCACAGUGAAUUCCUUCCGUUUUACCUUGUUAGUCUAUGAUUAUAUGCGUUAAUUUCAUUAAGGUCUCUUUAUUUUCAAUCAAAGUGCUCCCUUUAAUGACUAAGAUUUUUAAUAGAAAAAUUUGAUUUAAUACUAUUUUUAUAAAGUUAGGAUGAAUUCUGUAUCUCAAGAGAUCAUAUAUAGGUUGAGUAACACUGGUUUUUAUGCCAGGAAGAGCUACAUGAGUAAUCCAAAAUUUUAUCAGGUAUGAGUUUAAAUACUUGUACGUUUGUAUAGUCCAGAUAAUGUGGAUGAAUGAAUUAUUUUCAAAUUCAAAGGUCCUUAGGUAAGAAGACAUUUACAUAGCUUAAGAUCCAGUCGUAUUCAAAAUCCAAUCAAGCCACCAGCCUGUGUGAGAGUAUUAGACUUUUCAGUAGAAGGAAAAAAUAGGUCAUGCCCAUGUAGGGUUAUGGGCUACAUUCUUUCUCCUUCUUGAUGGUACAGAGCCAUUGAUAUAUUGACCAUGUGGAGUCUAGUACCUCUCAUAAGAUCAGCUAACAAAAUCCCAUGAAAACAUUGGCCAAAGGAACAUGUCAAAGGGAAUCCCAAUGAGACUGAGAAGAUGGUUGCCUUCCCUAGAAAGCAAGCACUUUUCACCUCUGAGAAGAUAGGGAAUUAAAAUAUAAAUGUUUAAGAGAAUCAAAACCAUAAUGCUAAUAUUUUUGUUUAAAGGAGAAUCUGUGAACAACUGGUAACUUACAGACAUGUAAUUUUAAGGUCACCCUAGUAUAAUUACAGACUGAUAAUUCCAGUUUAAAAUAUAUAAUCAUUUAAACUUGGGAUUUGGGUCAGAAAUCUCAACCAAGUUUAUGUUCUUCAUUAGAAUGUUUAAGAUAACUUAAGGUUUGUGGCAUUUAUAAGGUUAACUUAUUAAAUGCAUGAGAACUACUUAUGUGCUUAGGGAAGUUUCUCAUCUGGGCAUUUGUGACACUUAAAAAAGAUUAGACAUAUCAGGUGGUAACAAACAGCAUUCAAGGUCAUCACUACUGUGAGUUUCCAAGGCGUGCCUUGGGAUUCUGUGGGGUCCCCAGGUCCAUUAGGGAUUUCACAUGGUCCAAACUAUUUUCAUAACACUGCUAAAAUUUUAGACUAUUUGCCUUUUCACUCUUGCUGCCUCAGCACGUCCAGUGGACUCGCCCAGAGGCUUCCCCAAGUGCGAUACUGCAACAGACAAAAUUCGGAAGCAAAUAGGAGAAUCCAGCUGUCUUCUGUUAAGCCAGGCAUUAAAGAGAUUUGCAAAAAUGUAAAACAAUGCCACUUCUUUACUGAAAUUUUUUUUGCUUUGGAAAGUCUAGUUAUUUUUCACCGAAAGAUAAAUCAUUCAUGCUAAUUUGGGGGGUCGAUUUAGUUUUUAAGUGAAUUAAUUUUUUUAAUUUCUAGUUUUUAUUUCUAAUACAGUAAAUAUUUAUAGGUAUAAUUAACAUAAAGAACAGCUGAUUGGUGUUAUUUUUGAGCAUGUAAACGCAUCCUGAAACCUACAACCUUGAGACUACUCUAAAUUAAUUGUUAAAGUUACCACAUUCAUGGGGUGUAGAGGUGGUGGCUAAGUAGAAUGCCUAAGAAAGCCAUGAUUUUGAUUUGUAACUCUAAUGAGUCAAAAAUUAAAUCUUGGGGUGCCUGAGUGUCUCAGUUUGCUAAGUGUCCAGCUUCAGCUCAGGUCAUGAUCUCACAGUCCGUGAGUUUGAGCCCACAAGCCCACGUCGGGCUCUGUGCUGACAGCUGAGAGGCUGGAGCCUGUGUCAGAUUCUGUGUCUCCCUCUCUCUCUGCCCUUCCCCCGCUCAUGCUCUGUCUCUCUCUGUCAGAAAUGAAUAACGUUAAAAAAAAAAAAGAAAAUUAAUUCUUAAAUCCAAAGUCAACCUCUAAGUAGUCUCUUCUAUGCACCCUAGAGGUCCUUAAGACCGUCAAACAAUGUACCAUUACAUAAACAGGAUUGCACCCAAAAAUGUGAGCCUCCUGACUGCAGUCCUAUCCCACACGCCCUCUGAGAAGGAACACUGGCUUCUUACUCUCAUCCACUUGGCCUCUCUUCCCUCUUGCCACUCAGGUUCCGUUUAGGUGGAAAUAUAUUAUUUUCUAAACUUAAACAGCAAAAAAAGGUUUCCAGAUCAGCAGAAUGAUAAAAAAAAAUAGUUCAUGUGCUAUGGGCCAGCCCAACAGGCUAAACUCAUUCUUUCCCUAGAGCCAGGGAUCACUCUGGGCCCCUGGCCUCACCUGUGCAAGGAGAAGAGUAAGGCAGUAAUCCUGCAUCAGGUGCUGGUGAGAGAUGAAUUCAUACAUUUAAGGAGCUGAGAAUAAUGCCUAGCAUAAGAUAGCUGUACAGCAAGUGCUAGAUCUAUUUUGAUUGUUAAAAAAGAGUUGUCUGGUUCCCUUUAACAAAUACAUAGGCAUCUGGCUGGAACAAUGGCUUCUUGGGGUGGAGGCUGCCUAUAUCCCUUGCUUUUAUGUCCCCAAGGAAAAGAGAAGUACCUGUAGGACCUGUAUUAAUGGUGGGAUCAGUUUCUUCAAUAACUUAGAAUGUUGGCAGAAAAAAAUAAAAUUCUGACUCAGCUUCUUUUUGUUACAAGAAAGUGAUUUUAUUUUUCCAUUUAAAUUAUUUAUCUCAGCGGAAUGCCACCAAUAUGAAAAACUAAAAUGAAAAAGACUCCGUUUAAAUCAACCUUUCUGUUAUAUGUGUGUGUAUCACAAAUUAAUUUUGGAAUUUAUUACUUGACCUGAAAAAUACACAAAAGUUAGCAUGCGUUCCUUAGAUUUAUUUGAAAUAUUUUUUUUUCACUGCAAGUCAUGGUUGUAAAAGUUAAAAGUAUAAGAUCAAGUGGAAUUUAUUCCAGGCAUGCAAGGAUGGUUCAACCUCAUCAACCCUCAAUGUGAUAUGCUACAUUAACAAACUGAAAUAUAAAAAUCAUAUGAUCAUAUCAAUAAAUGCAGAGCAAAAGCAUUUGACAAAACUCAAGAUCCAUUCUGAUAAAAACUCUCAACAAACUCAGUGUACAGGGAAGAUAUCAUAACAUGAUAAAGCCCAUAUAGGACAAGUCCACAGUUAGCAUCAUUCUCAACAUUGAAAAAAAACUGAAAGUUUUUCCUCGAAGAUCAGGAAGAAGAGGAAGACACCCACUCUCACCACUUCUACUCAACAUAGUACUGGAAGUCCUAGCCAAAACAGUUAGGCAAUAAAAAUAAAUAAGAGGAAUCCAAAUAAGAAAGGGAAAUAUAAAAUUGCCUCUAUUUGCAGAUGACAUGAUGUGAUAUACAGAAAACCCUAAAGAGUCCACCAAAAAAAAAGUCAGAACUAAUAACUCUAUCGGUAAAGCUGCAGGAUACAAAACCAGUGUACAAAACCCAGUUGCUUUUCUGUACACCAACAACAAACUAAGAGCGAAAUUAAGAAAAAAAAAUCCCAUUUAUAGUUGCAUUAAAAAAAUAAAAUACCUGGGAAUAAAUUUAACCAAGGAGGUGAAAGAUCUAUACACUGAAAACUAUAAGACAUUGAAUGAAAGAAAUUGUAGAAGACACAAGCAAAAGAUAUUCUGUGCUCAUGGGAUGGAACAAUUAAAAUUAUUAAAAUGUUCAUACUACCCAAAGCAAUUUGCAGAUUCAAUGCAAUCCCUAUUCGAAUUCCAAUGGCAUUUACCAAAAAUGGAACACACCAUGCUAAAAUUUGUGUGGAAUCACAAAAGACUCUGAAUAGCCAAAGCAAUCUGGAGACAGAAGACAAAGUUGGAGAGAUCACACUUUCAAAUUUCAGACUAUAUUGCAAAGCUAAGUUAUCGAAGCAAUAUGAUAUUGACAUAAAAACAUAGAUAUAGAUCUGGGGCACCUGGAUGGCUCAGCUGAUUAAGCGUCCUACUCUUGAUUUUGACUCAGGUCAUGAUCCAAUAGUUCAUGAGGUCAAGCACCAUGUCAGGCUUUGUGCAGCCAGUACAGAGCCCACUUGGGAUUCUCUCUCUCCCUCUUUCUGUGCCCCUUCCCUGCUUUCUUUCUCUCUUGCUCUCAAAAUAAAUAAAUAAACAUUAUAAACAUUAAAAAAAACACAGGCAUAGAUCAAUGGAAUAGAAUAUAGAACCGGGAAAUAAACCCAAGCAUAUGUGGUGAAUUAAUUUACAAAAAAGUAGCUGAGAAUGUACUGGAGAAAGGACAGUCUCAAUAAAUGGUGUUGGUAAACUGGACAGCCAUGUGCAAAAGAAUGAAACAGCCCUAUCAUAUAAACAAAAAUCAACUCAAAAUGGAUUAAAGAUUGCAUGUACGACUUGAAACCAUAAGACUUCUGGAAGAAAAACAUAGCUGGUGAGCUCCUUGACAUUGGUCUUGGCAAAGAUUUUUUGGAUUUGAUGCCAAAAGCAAAGGCAACAAAAGGAAAAAUAAACAAGUGGACCUACAUCAAACUACAUAUACAGCUUCUACACAGCAAAGGAAAGUAUCUAUUCUGUUAACUUGAUAAUGAAAACAUGCUUCACAUUAUUCCCUGCAUUCUGUUUUAAGAUUGUAACAUAAUUAUGCCUUCUUUUAUUUGUGUUUAGAAUUGGGGAAACCUUUCAUUAGGUGGCUUCCCAUGGGCUCCUAAGGGUUUAUGUAUUUACUUUUAAAGGAAGAUGCUUUUUCACUGGAAGAAAUGACCAAGUAUAUAUUAAUAAACAAAGUAGUUUUCAGACUUUCUGAGGUCCUGAGUUCCUUUAUUUAAUAAGCCCCACUCUGUAUGAUAAUAAACAGAAUAAACCGCACCUUAACUUAAAUAUAAUUUUUGUUGUGGAUAAACUUUGAAGUUUAUAUAUAAUUAUAUUUUGAAAUCAUUUAGUUAUAAAUGAAUCAAACUCAUUUAUCACUCACUGGCUGAAGUUUCUUGGUAAAUAUUAUGGUAAAUGCAGGAUUAAAUAAUUCUUCCAGCUUUACGUGCUUAUCACAUGUACCUACUUUGUUCAAAGGUUGUUUUGGAAAAUGUUCCCCACAUACUUAUUGUUUAAAUAAACUUCUGUGGACUUUAAUAAUUUUGAGCUUCAGAAAAGAGCGUCUCUGACAAAAUCCUUGCUGGCAAGAAUAUGUCCUUCUAAAUACUUCCAUCUGUUUUAAUUGUUCUGUACACUCUAAGAGAGCUAACAUAGAUACUUUCACCUGCAAGAAAGUGCCAGAACUGACUUGCCAAACCAUAAAAUAAUAAACCUUGAUAGUUCUGUGGUUUAGAAUAUGGACAGGUUCGUUUGGUACUUUAUUUUUUUUUUUUUUAAUGUUUCCUUUUUUUUUUUUUAAUUUUUUUUUCAACGUUUAUUUAUUUUUGGGACAGAGAGAGACAGAGCAUGAACGGGGGAGGGGCAGAGAGAGAGGGAGACACAGAAUCGGAAACAGGCUCCAGGCUCUGAGCCAUCGGCCCAGAGCCCGACGCGGGGCUCGAACUCACGGACCGUGAGAUCGUGACCUGGCUGAAGUCAGACGCUUAACGACUGCGCCACCCAGGCGCCCCAUAAUGUUUCCUUAUUUUUGAGAGAAAGACAGAGUGUGAGCAGGGGAGGGGCAGAGAGAGAGGGAGACACAGAAUCGGAAGCAGGCUCCAGGAUCUGGGCUGUCAGCACAGAGCCCCAUGCAGGGCUCGAACUCCAAUGGCGAGAUCAUGACCUGAGACGAAGUCACGACCCUUAACGGACUGAGCCACCCAGCCCCCCCCAUUUGGUACUUUAUAAUAUCAGCUUGCAAAUGCAGAUAGUGACCAUGGUACCAGUAAGCAGUAACACAUGGGCAGAAACAUUAAUGAAAGUCAAAGUUGAUUAGUCCCAUUACUCAGUUCUGGGGAAAAUGUGGCGAUUUUCACCAGGACAAAGGUUUUUAGUACAAAACUGUUAGGCAUAAGGUUUGCUUAAAGAAAAAUUUUAACCUCACAAAUAAAUUUGACAUACUACAUAGACAGGAGUUCAGCCAAAAUCAUUUUUCUUAUAGAGCCUCACUUUUUCUUUAUUUUCUAUUGCAUACAUUGCAGGACAUUGGAAAAUACAAUAAAUUGAAACAUACAGUGGACUUAUUAUUUUUUUCCAGCUGUAUUGAAACAUAAUUGAAUCUCCGAACUGCACAUAUUUAAAGCAACCAGGUUGAAGUUUUGACAUAAUAUAUACAUUUGUGAAGCCAUCAACAAAAACAAGACAAUGAGAAUGUUUUGUCACUUUGUAAUGUUUUGUAAUGUAAUUUUUUGCAAUCUUUCCGUUCUCCAUUCACCCUUAAUUCCCUGUCAUCAACCAACCACUGAUGUGCUUUCUGGCAGUAUAGCUCAGUUUGCAUUUUCUAGAAUUUUAUACACAUGGAAUCAUAUAAUGGGUACUCUGUUUUGAUCUAGCUUCUUUCACUCAGAAUAAUUAUUUUGAGAUUUCGUCAUACUUUUAUGUGCAUCAGUAGUUUCUUCUUUUCUGUUGCUUAUUAGUAUUCAAGUAUGCUGAUAUUCUACUAUUUAUCCAUUCACCUCUUAGUAGACAUUUGGGUUGUUUCCAGCAUUGAGCUAUUAAAAAAAAAAACUACUGUGAAUAGGUGUGUACAUAUUUGCAUAGAAAAUGCUUCCUUUUCUCUUAGGUUAAUACCCAGAAGCAAAAUGUCUGGAUCAUAUGGUAGGUAUAUAUUGAACUUCUUAGGAAAUUGACACACUGUUUUUCAAGGUGGUUAUAGGUUUUACAUUCCCAGUAGCAAAUGAAAGUCCCAGGUGCUCGACAUUUUUGCUAACGCUCACUGUGGUCAGUGUUUUUCAUUUUAGUCCUCCUAGCAGAUGGAUACUGGUAUUUAUUUUUAUUUGCAUUUCCCUAAUGGCUAAUGACCUUGGGCAUCUGUUCAUGUUGCUUAUGUGCCAUUCAUAUAUAUUUUUUUAGUGAAGUGUCUGAUAAAAUCUUUUUUAUCGUAUUGUUCAUAUUUUCUCUCGGGCUGUUCAUUCUAUUAUUGAGUGUUAAUAGUUCUUCAUAUAUUUCAUGUAAAGUUCUGUAAGCUAGAAUUUACAGCUAAUUUGAUGCUGUUUAAACUUUCAUCCAUAAAUUCAUCAAACUAAAGUUCUAUAACUUUUUUUAACGUGUAUUUAUUUUUGAGAGACAGAGAGAGACAGAGCAUGAGCAGGGGAGGGGCAGAGAGAGGGAGACACAGAAUCCGAAGCAGGCUGCAGGCUUCAGGCUCCGAGGUGUCAGCACAGAGCCCGACAUGGGGCUCAAACUCACAGACCGCGAGUUCAUGACCUGAGCCAAAGUUGGACACUUAACCAACUGAGCCACCCAGCUGCCCCAAAGUUCUAUAACUUUUAAAAUUAAUGCUUUUUAAAUUGAUUCAACGUAUGAAUCAUCUCAUUUUUUUUUUUUUAAUUUUUUUUUUCAACGUUUAUUUAUUUUUGGGACAGAGAGAGACAGAGCAUGAAUGGGGGAGGGGCAGAGAGAGAGGGAGACACAGAAUCGGAAACAGGCUCCAGGCUCUGAGCCAUCAGCCCAGAGCCCGACGCGGGGCUCGAACUCGCGGACCGCGAGAUCGUGACCUGGCUGAAGUCGGACGCUUAACCGACUGCGCCACCCAGGCGCCCCUUGUUUUACUGUGUAUGCUCCAAGCACUAUGGUAUCAGGAGGCACCUGGUGGCUCAGUCGGUUAAGCAUCUGACUCUUGAUUUCAGCUCAGGUCAUGUUCUCAGGAUUGUUAGAUCAAGCCCUGAGUCAACCUUUGUGCUGGGCAUGGAGCCUGCUUAAGAUUCUCUCUCUCUCUCUCUCUCUCCCUCUCUCUUUGCCCCUACCCUACUCAUGCAUUCUCUCUCUCUCUCUCUCUCUCUCUCAAUAUUAAAUGUGUGAUAUUGAUGUUGAUGAAAAAUGAAGAGAAAAUUCUCACAGAUUUAAAGAAUUCUAAGUACAAUUUAUAAAAUUCUAAUUUACAGGAUUGAGUUUAUACACAUGGAGUCAUUCGUAAAAUAACUUAAUCGUUGGGUCAUGGAGGUGGGAUUGCUCUCAUGGGUUUCUAAAUUGGUUCUUUCCCUUUACCAUGUCUUCAUGAAUCUGACAAUAAACUCUCUCUGCUUAAAGAUAUUCAGAGGUGGAAACACCAUGUCUUUAUUUUAAAUCAUAAAUCUGAGUGUUUUGUCGUAUCAGAGGGAUAAUCAUAAUUCCUACUGCUCUGACUUUCUUAGAAAGGAGACUCGUAGAAGACAUGGACCAGAUUUUUAAUUUUUAUUUUAAUUAGUAUGUCACGAGACAUAAUACCACAUCUAAUUUAGCAGUUCUUGCCUAAUUAUUAGGUGAUUUUAUUAAUUGGCAUAUAGCUGUAGAGAGCAUUUUUGUGUCUUGAACGGCCACUUCUGAUGAAUCAAGGGUAUCAACAUUUUCUGAAUUUUGCAUUUAGAACUCUUCCUUAAAGCAGAAAAUAUGUUUUUCCCUCUUCUAUAAAUUGCAUGCCGUCUUCCUCAGACAGAUAAGGAAAAAGCAAUCAAACCCACCGAUAACAGAAACCGGCCUAUUCCUCACUGCCUGCCAUCCCUACUCUUCAUUACACACUGAGAAAUGUCAGUCUGACAGGGUAUCAUUCACAAGCAGUUUGAUUUCUAGUUGUUUUACUUUUUCCUUCUCCAUCAUUUUUUUUUUCCAUUUCCUGCAGGAUGCACUUAAGGAAAUGCUGCCCGUUGUCUCACAUUAAAUGUCCGGAUCCACUAUGGAACUUUGUCCCCACUGAAUGUUUCCCUGUGUUGUGAGCUGGCAGUGGUGUGGAAUAGCACAGCGGUUGAGCGCCCCAGCCGUGGAGCCGCACGGUCCGGCUUCAAACUCGGCCACUGGCACUUACUACCUGGGUCAUCUUGAGUAAGCUUCCCUUCCAGACCUUGAUUUUCCCUUCUCAGGGGCAGGGAGGAUAAGAGCACCUUGGCAUAGAGUUUUUAUGAGAAUUAGAGGUAGUUCCUGAGGACCGUCUGGAGUACGUCAGAUGCUAUACGGCUAAGCUAAUCCACUUCUCUGACCAUGAACUCGAGACUAGGAGAAUGCGCCCUAAAAGCAUAGCACAAAAUAGGCCGAUGUGACUUGGGGUGUCCUCACCUCAUCCUCCCUGUGGCUGUCCCAGUGGUGCUGGGAGGACGUGACAGGCAACAAAGAGCUGAUGUGAUAGCUCAUCAAACACAAGUUUUUGCCAAGCUAGGUGCAGAUUACACCUCUGUGCACACAGGAAGCAAAGGCUGAAUGCGCUGUCAUUCUUAAGGCCAGUUUACUGAUCAUCGCUAAGGAGCCACGAGUGAGCUGGAGGAGAACGAGCCAUUUCAGAGCAACAAAGUGCUGUGAUUUUUUUUUAAGUAGAAUUAAGACAACAUAUAUCUUUAUGCAUAUUUAGACAUAGGGUUUGUAGUUAUAGAAAAAUGAGUAUCACACAGAUUAUAUAUUCUAAAAAUCUCCCAAUCUCAGGUACCACAUAAUACAGCACUAUGCACGGUCAGCCUCGUGCACGUGCACAAAAAGUUGAAGCCUAAGGAGUUACAGGUCUCAAAACAAGUAAUGUUAGUUGAUGAAAGAUCUGUAGGUAAAGAGAAAUGAAACUAAAGGGGCCGUAAGAGAAUAAAAACAAAUGUCAGUCAUUGGGUAUGUGUGCAUCUGUCUGUGUGUCAGUCUGUCUCUCUCCCUCUGUAGUCUUUCUGCUUGGGUGUUUCUUACUCUCUAUUGCUGUCUCUUUCUUUUACACAUACAUGCACACAGGCAAUGAGACCCACUCUCUCCACAUUAAUGACUCUAAUCACUAAUCAGAAAUGUAAAGUCAUGACAGCAGUAGUCAAGAAGUAUGCAGUAUCUCAUUUAAGAGAAAAAGAAGAGUAAGGUGGCUGCAAUACCUCUGUGUCUGGCCUGUACUUUCUUAAAGACCAAGUUUCUAAUUAUUUCAAAAGUAUGUGCAAUCUUACUGAUUUCUUACAACUAAGCAGAUAAAAAUAUCAAUUGGAUAACAUUAUUAGAAUGAAUAACCAAAAGAUACAAGACAACAGUAUUCUCUAUAAUGUGAAAUUUCAAAUAAAAAUCCAAGGUGGGGCCUGUGGGGCUCAGUCGGUUGAGCAUCCAACUGUCAAUUUUGGCUCAGGUUGUGAUCUCAUGGCUCAUGAGACGAAGCCUCUGCCCCUCUCCAUCGCCCAUGCUCUCUCGCUCUCUCUCUCUCUCUCUCUCAAAUAAAAAUACAAACAAAUAAAAAUCCAAGUUAAGGAUUCAUCACGUUGUAUAUGUGGGAGAUUGGUUGUCGAGUCCCGCUAGGAAGACACAGAAAUAAUGGUUAUAAUGUUAAUGCUUAUGCACAGAAUAGGCUCACACUGGGCUUGAGAAAAAUAAAUCCUGAACCUAAGUUUAAAUGUCUUGUCUUUUGCUGCACCCCAGAUUCCCAGUGACUCCUCUUGUCUACACGGGCAGUCAAAAUGUCCAGUUUUUCCCUCAUCCAGCAAAACCUGUGCUCUCCCAGAAUGGCUGGCACUCCAUGUGGUUGAAGGAAAACUGUGCUUUAAUUCAUGCAAAGGUGGAGAUGAUUUCAUGGAUUACGGAAGCAUUUACAUAUAGAGUAUUUUUAAAUCCCUACUUGAGUACUUAAUUGCCAAAAAUUCAUGUCAUCUUUUUCAACGUAAUGAAUAUCUCAGAUAUAAUAGGAUCAACAGAAUUUUGAAAAGCAAAAUGGAAUACAAAGAUAGUAGAUUCAAAUAAAAAUACCCUUCUAUUAGCUUGAAAAGUAUUCACUUCUGUCUAGUCUUCAUAAUAUGGGAAAAGUUGAUAUAUUUUUUCAAGAGUUAUUAUUUGGUUGACUAUUUCUUUUUUUUUGUCUUUUUAAAAAUUAUUAUUUUAAUUCCUGUGUAGUUAACACACAGGGUUGGUUGACUAUUUCUUAAUUAAUAAUUCUCAUGGGUUUUUUUUUAAUGAUUCGUAGUUUUAUUUCAGUCUAAUUGUUUUCUUCUCCCCCCAUCUUGCUCACGUUUUGGGGGGGCGAUCUCAAUAAAAUGGGUGUUACUAGAAGGAAACCAUCUCUGUGAACUGCAGAUGGCCCUCUCUAGGGAAAAAUACAAAUGCCUUCAUGCCAUCAGCCAUCAGUCAGGAAUAAGCUCCUCCCAUUGCCCAGCUCCCUGGGGAGAAAUGCCACUUCUUUCUAAUGAAAGAACUCCCUUAGUCUUGAAGCAUCACCGUUGUGACUCUGGGGAUCCUUCAGGCUGCUUCUGAUCUGGAAAGACAAGAAUAUAGCCUUGGUUAUGAGAAGGCGGUAUGUGUUAACCUUUUACCUACCAAAGAUACUGUUCAAUCCAGUAGGGAAAAGCCAUACUAACUCAGAACACUUGAGCAUUUUCUGAAAGAUAUUUAACAAGAAAAGCUCCAGGGGAGCUGAUUAAAUAUGUUGCUUGCACCCCCAACAGUAUUCUAUUUCCCAAGAACAGCUGUACAAUAGGAAUUGCCAAAAUUGUAAUUCAUCACAUCAAAAUUGACCUUUCCAAAUAUUUAAGAGGUUGAGAUUUUAGCAAACUACAGUUUCAGGAGCUCAUUAGAUUUUCAAGAGUGUAUCCUAGAAUAUCAUGGUUACAUUUCAAAAUGUGGCAUUUAAAAAUAUGUAUUUUGAAUAUUGUUAUUGAAUUUUUUUCCUAUCCCAAAUCAAUUAGUUUUUGUUGUGUAACACAGCAGGCAGUAUUCUCUUUUCAGAAAGACAAAUUUAUUUUUCAUGAUGUUCUAGAGUCUAUGAAUUUGGAGAAAAUACCAGUCCAGACUCAAGAGCAAAUUCAUUUUCAAGCUAGGCUAGAAAAGAAAUAGAUGUCUUUUUCUGUAGUGAAGUAGAAAAGAGUCCUGAGCUGUGCAAUGCAGCAUUUGCCCUUGUCCUCCUAGGAAAACUUCACAUGGCCAAACAAAAUUGGACCAGCAAGUAUCAGAAUGCAUCUGUCUUUAGGAAAUUCAUGAUGUGUACCUCAGUUUUAAUUUCUGAAUGAUUCUGUUGUAAAGAUAAUGGUAAUGUAGUAUUUAACCCAGUAAUUUCCAAAUUUAUUUGAGCAGCAGCUCUCUUUUUUAAAUACUGUGCAGCUCCUAGAUGUCAGGUGCAGUCUAGAAAAGGUUGUAAACACCAGUGAAGAGUCCUCUGAUUGCCUGAUUUUGUCUACUCCAAACACUAUCCUCUUGGUCACGUAUCAGAAUCUAGACAGUUAAGGUGGCUCACUACAGCAAUGCCAGCACAAGUUAAUUUUUAUAAAAAUUAGAUAGUUUUGUGCCAAAAAAAAAUGAAUCUACAGUGUGGUGUUAAAAUGUCUAUAUUUUUAGGGGUGCCCUGGUGGCUUGGUCGGUUGAGCAUCUGUCUCUUGAUUUUGGCUCAGGUCAUGAUCCCAGGGUCGUGGGAUUGAGCCUUGCAUCAGCCUCCACACUCAGUGUGGAGCCUGCUUAAGAUUCUUUCUCUCUCUCCCUCUGCCUACCUCCCCUGCUUAUACAGUCUCUCUCUCAAAAAAAAAGGUCUAUAUUUUUAUAUGUAUAUUAUAUACAGUAUGCUGUAUAUACUAAUACUAAUUUCCUUUGCUUGCCACACACACACACACACACACACACACACACACACACACAAAAUGGAUAACAAUCUGUAGCUAAGAAGACCACUGUAGCAGUCCACUGGAGGGUCCUUUUGUCCUUUUGUGUCUGGAUUUGAAUAGUCUGUGAUAGUCCCUUUUACAUCCCCACGCUAUUACUAUUUCAGGUACCGUGUCCCUAAGUAUUGUGCUUCUCUUGUGUCUUAUAGAAGCAUUUAGAAAUCUCAGACUCUGCCUGCAGUUGUUAAGCGUCUGCUUUUGUUUGUUCGUUUAAUCAGCCAUAUCCCUGAGGAAUCUGGCUUAGCUGUAGUAUACUCUGAGAAGUGUCGCCAUUAAGAACUUACCAGGCAUGACUUCACUGUUUCCUCUGGUCUUAGCUGUAUGUCUACCUGAGAAGCAGUGUCGACUUAAGGGAACAUUUGGUGCAUGCGGUCCUUAUCUACAAUCCUGUGGAAGAGCUAGACACAAGAAUAGGAAGUAGGGCUGAUUUUUAAUUACAGGCAGCAUGGUAGCCACAGAUGAAGCGAGCGGCACAAAGCAGGAAUGUUGGGAAGAGAGGAAGCGCAGAGAGGGCGUCAGGCAUGGAAGAUCCUGUCAGACUUGAAGGUGAACUCAGGCUUCAUAUUGCAGAGGAUUUGUUUCAGAUUACUUUUGCAUCAAAUGCACCUGCUUAUAAAAAAAGAAGUUGAAAACAAGAGUGAUACAGAAUACAGAACACACAUUCCCUUUAUUCAAAAGACAGCCAUGUUGUCAUUAGGAUGUAGUAUUUCCUUCUCUGUCUUACAAGUUCUUUUAUCACUUCUCUGAGCUGAGUUCAUGCUUUUAACUUCAGGCUGUGGGUGAGAAAACCAAAACACUGAAUCAAGCGCCUGCCCAAAGUCCAGGCUCAAGAACAUGGAAACUUCCUGACUACUAAAAUGUAGACUAAAGAAGGGGGAAAAAAAGGGAAAAAAAACUAUUCUCCAAACAAGCAAAUAAUAGGCAUAGAGCAAAGUCUAUUUUCAUUAUUAUGUUUUAAGGAGUCUAUCUACCUGAGAUGUGGUAAACUAAGCUGGCAUUAUGACUAAUUGUUCAUCACAAAUCUGUUCCAAAGUGUAGUCAGUGAGUGUGGGCGCCCCACUACUAAGAAAUCUUGGGCUCCACAUUCACCAGUGGUCUUUUUGGGUGUCUCUCAGAUGCCUAAUGGAAGUCCCCAAAAGAAUAUCCUUUAUAAGAAUCUAGGCUUUAGGUACAUUUUCCCCCUUAAAAUUCAUCCCGGUAAACACAAUUAUUUUCUCCGGCUUUGUAAGACUGGUUUGACCAAAAAUAAGAAAUACUCCUUUCUGGCUUUUACAGUUGUAUUAUGACCUAACUUCAAAGACAGAGAGAAAGACUGAGAUUUAAGGGCUAUAAUUAUAAGCCACCUGAGUAAGGACUCCUGAAAGGUUACCUGAAGAAAAGGGUGAUUAACAUUUCCAGGCAUGUGAACUGAGUCAUUUCUGGCUGAAGGGUAGCAUUUUAAAGAUAUAAUAUUGUUUGUAAAAUUAAGGAACUUCAAGACUGGACCUUUUCCUUUGUUAUAUAUUUUUUUGAACUUUUAGAGAAUACAGGAAACCAUUGGGUGGGUUAGGCAUUUGUAAAAUUAUAGUUUUAUGGAGAAAAUAAUAGCAGUGGCUUUUAAAUCAGAAUGUUUUUUUUUUUCCAUUCAGAGCAACUCACUGAAUGGAGCACUUACUUGUUUUCACUCAGUACAAAAAUUCUAUCUCUGAAUGGUAGUUCCUGUUGUUUUUCCUAAGAUACAUUUUCCAAGGAUUAUCUCCCUCUCAUGCCACCACAUUGGAACAUUGGCCAAAGGUGCCCCUAGAACAAAACUAUCUCUGAAUCCCAACAGAUAAUAAAGAGGUAACACUGAGAACACUGAUUUUCUUGCCAAAAAUAAGAUAGAUUUACUGAUUGAUCAAAAGAUAGAGAGAGAUAAAUAUACAAUUAUGGGAAGUGGGAAACAAAACUGCUACAACCUUUUUGAUAAGGAACUGGCAUGAUUGACUUAAACAUAAAACGUGAAGACCGUAUGAUCCACAAAUUAUAGCUUUAAGAAUAUAUAACUACCAAAAUGAACAUACAUAUACACAAGGAUGGUUAUUGCUAAAUUGUUUUUAAUAGAAAAAAAGGAAACAUUCCUAAUCCCUUGAACAGUAAAAGGAUUGAAUAAAUUAUGGCACUUUGUGCCGAGGUGGGUUCACCAACUCUUACAAAGCAUGAGUUAGACCUAGACCCACUGAUGAGGAAUAUUACUGGGAACAGCAUAUGCUUUGUAACAUGAAUGUUAGAGUAAUAGUACGGAAUGACAAGACAAGACACAGGGAACAAUAAACAUCAAACUAGUAAAUUCAAGGGAUUGAAUUUGGGAGUGAAAAUGAGGGAAAGACAAAUUUAUUGAUUUUUUUCUCUCUUUAUGUAACUAGUAUAUUUUGGUUUAUGAAAUGAGCUUUAUGCCUUUAUAAAUACAAAAUAGACAACAUUUUGUUAUGUAUUAUUGUGCAUGAGUGGCCAUUGAAUUCUGUUUCUAAGAGGUUAGGUUGCCUGGAAUUUGGGCUGACCGAGAUGAAGGCUCCAGAACAAAAAGUUAAUGGUGGAACCCAGGUGAACAAAACUACCUCCUGCCCCCCACCUUAUUCUUCCCACUCAAUUUCCAUAGACUCCUUGGAAUUAUAAAUAGGUUAUUGUCCUAGGCUUAUCCAUAAAUACAUGUCUCGACUCAUAAAUACCUCUAUAUCCAAUGGGGAUACAAAGGCAGAAAACUGGGGCACCUGUGUGUCUCAGUCAGUUGAGCAUCUGACUCUUGAUUUUAGCUCAGGUCAUGAUCCCAGGGUCAUGGGAUCGAGCUUUGCCUCGGACUCUACACUGAGCAUGGAACCUACCUGGGAUUCUCUUUCCCGCUCCCUCUGCCCCCUUUUCUUGCUCGUCACUCUCCCUCUCUCUCAAAUAAAAACAAAAGGUGGAAAAUAAUAGUUUUUCUGUAUAAAAGGAAAAGUGGAAAUGUACAAACCCAUGGCUCUUUUUCCUUCCCACCUCAUUUCUUUUUUUUUUUAAUGUUUUAUUUAUUUUUGAGACAGAGACAGAGCAUGAACAGGGGAGGGGCAGAGAGAGAGGGAGACACAGAAUCUGAAGCAGGCUCCAGGCUCUGAGCUGUCAGCACAGAGCCCGAUGCGGGGCUCAAACUCACGAACCGUGAGAUCAUGACCAGAGCCGAAGUCAGACGCUUAACUGACUGAGCCACCCAGGAGCCCCCUUCUCACCUCAUUUCUACCAGCAAUACAGAUUAACUACUUUUCGACCAACCUACCUCACAAGUUUUAGAACUAUGUUGAGGGGCACCUGGUGGCUCACUUGGUUGAGCAUCUGACUUUGACUCAGGUCAUGAUCUCAUGGUUCGUGAGUUCAAGCCCCACAUCCAUCUCACUGCUGUCAGCUUGUCAGCACAGAGUCCCCUUCUGAUCCUCUGUCCCCCUCUCUCUGCGUCUCCCCAGCUUGCACUCUCCCAAAAAUAAAUAAAUAUUUUAAAAAACAGAUAAAAAUAAUCAUGAAUCACAUGUGAUAAAUGACUCUUUCACUCUUUAAUUCAGAUGUAGGCCACACAUAAUAUUCAAUGUGGUGCAUUGGCUUCAAAUUAAUUAUGUUACAAAAGGAACUGAUGUUUAAACUUUCUUUUUUUAUCCUUCUCCUGAAAGAUGCUAGCAGAAGAAGAUAUUUCGUUUUGUCAUCAUACAUACUCCACAUAAAGUUCAAAUUUCAUUUUAAAUCCACCACUUGUGACCAAAGGACAAAAUUCAAAAAUGGGAAGUUUCGCUCUAAAUUGUCCUUUAAUUCUUGUCAGCUUCAGAGUUCUUGAAUUCUAUGAUUGUAAAGAAAAAUUAAAGCCAAAACUACCGGUGAAGCUAGACAUAAUCUCCAGUAGGUUUUUGCUCACUGGAGACCUGAAUGGAAGUGUAUCAGUCUAUUCAAGCUGCUGUAAUGGCAUAUCCCAGAUGGGGUGUUUUAUUUUUUAUUCUUUUUUAAAAAUCUUUUAAUGUUUAUUUUUGAGAGAGAGAGAGAGAGAGCGAGCAUGAGUGGAAGAGGGGCAGAGAGAGAGAAGGAGACACAGAAUCUGAAGCAGGAUCCAGGCUCUGAGCUGUCAGCACAGGGCCUGAUACAGGGCUUGAACUCACGAACUGUGAGAUCAUGACCCGAGCCGAAGUCGGACGCUUAACUGACUGAGCCACCCAGGAGCCCCUGCUCUCACAGUUCUGGAGGCUGAGGGUCUGUGGCCAAGAGGCCAGAAGAACUUGUUUCUGGUGAGGCCUUUCUCCUUGGCUUGUUGACAGGGCUUUCUCACUGUGUCCUUACAUGCUGUGCUCUCUGUACCUAAGCAGAAAGAGAGAGUGAGCAAGAGAAGAACAGUCAAGCUGAGGUAUCUCUUUCUCUUCUUAUCUCAACACCAAUCCUAUUGGAUUAGGGCCCCCCUUAUUAUUUAACCUCAUUACUUAACCUUAAUUACCUCUUUAAAGACUUCAUCCCCAAAUGCAGUCACACCUGGGGCUUAGGGCUUCAACAUAUGAAUUUCAAGGGGACAAAAUUCAUCCAUAACAGGGAGAAAAACAAACAUAGGGUACCACAGGAUACAAAAUUUGUGUAUAUUUUACAUUAUGCUAAGUUUCUCCCUUCUAAGUUUUUUGUGUCUUUUAGUAAAAGAAACAAAUUGAACUGACAUUUAACAGCUUGCCACAGCCAGCAGGUAUAAUCUACAGGGUCCAAUUUUAGAAGGUCAUGAAUUAUUUCAUUACAUUGUUAAAAUGUCUUUAUAUUGAACAUAAUAUGUGAGAUACGUACGUACAUCUUUUUUGAAAGUGAUAUUUGAAAUGAUGCCUCUUUAGAAUUAUUUCUUUUGCUUUUAAAAUAGCUUCUGGGAAAAGCACUGGUUAGCCUAUUACAUUCUAGCCAUUUCGUGGGCCCCGUAGAAACACUAGUUAGUUUAUAUGAAAGACAUUUUCUUCUAAUUUAUAGAAACAAACAAGUACACAAGAAUCACAUCUAAUUACAGAAAGAGCCAGCCGACAGGCGUUAAUAUUAUUGGUGAAGCUCCUUUUUGUUACUUUUCUGUGUACAGACGGAGAAAGGUGAAAUUGUAAAGUCUGAGUAAUACCCUUCACACUGUUUUGUACGUCUAGUCGAAUCUAGCCUCCAACCUUUAUCUCAACGGUAUGAGAUUAGGUCUGCGAAAAUUGGACUGGCAGGCGGUCCUUUUCCACGAACGUAGGAGAGUUUUCUUCUCCCAUUACAGCUUUCUACCAAAACUGAAAUUCUCUUCAUUCAAUUGUCUGCUGAUGCUGCCUCAAAUUUCCAGAACUCUGGGUGUAAUGAGACUUUAUAAGAAUCUCAGUAGCCACUCCUACUGACCUCAGGCUCCCGGAGCCGUGAGAAUUGACCACUGCCAGCCACCAAGACUCAGCCGUGCCCAGGUCCCGAGUAGUAAAGGAGCAGACUCGUCCUCUCCAGUUGGCAGCUUCUGAGAAUCCUGUGACUUCCAAGAGGUCCAGGGUGGGCCUUGGUAGAGCCAGUGUUUACGGUUCAUCAUCCUCAAAUCCUGGUUUGCUCUUCUCAUUCUUAUUUAAAAUAGAUGCCCCCAGCCCCCAAUUCAACACACCUCUGAAGGCUAGGGACCCAGGGAUCUGCUUCACUAUGACCAGGGCACUCACUCCAGACUACUAAACCUUGCCCGUGUUCCCAGCCACUGGCUGAGGUCUUGUCAGCUCGGAUGAGCCACCGAGUCUGCUCCCAUCCUGAUGAGUACGGAACCUGCCUUGAAGGCUUCUAAGACUGUGUCCCCCAUCAAGCGGGCCCACUGCCCACCAUCUUGGCUUUGCAAUGGCUCCUUAGACACUGCAGUGUGGCAAUCCUCUCCUGGACAGCAAACCCCCAAAGUGGGAGCUUUUCUUCAGCUCCCAAAUGCCAUUCCCACUUACUGCCUCUCCCCUUCCAGAGUGUUCUGUUCUCAGGAAAAUGAAAGUAGAGCCUAUCUAUCUUAGAGGGCUCAGGAUCCACUAAAAAUUCUCACGGUGCUGCCCGGAUCAAGAUCCAUUGACCGUCAGCACAGGCAAAGCAACAUCUCAAAAAUGUUUUGGAUAUUGCUGGACCUGCUGCACCUCUACCCAUUCAAACCGAGAGUGGUGUUAAUUAUAUGUCUUGGAUGAAGUAAAAUAAGAAGGAAAGGACAGAGAAGGGGAAUGGUAAAUGGAAAAAGAUGAAGCAACGCCAAAUUUGGUCUCAGUGAUCCCUGUGGAGCUGUGGUGCCCCAACACAGAGCAAACAGGCAGCUGUUUCUUUAUCUAUGAAAUGUAGACAACAAUAGUUAGGGCUGUGGUGAUUAAAUGACCGGGUGUAUACAAAGGGCUCGGGGGGCGCCUGGGUGGCUCAGUCGGUUAAGCGUCUGACUUCAGCCAGGUCACGAUCUCGCGGUCCGUGGGUUCGAGCCCCGCGUAGGGCUCUGGGCUGAUGGCUCAGAGCCUGGAGCCUGCUUCCAAUUCUGUGUCUCCCUCUCUCUCUGCCCCUCCCCCGUUCAUGCUCUGUCUCUCUCUGUCUCAAAAAUAAAUAAACGUUAAAAAAAAAAGGGGGCUCGGAAUGGCACCUGCAACAUGGUGAGCGUUCGUAGAUACGUGUCGCUGUUGUGGUUACCGCUACAACUGUGUGCGACUGGAAAUGCAAAGGAGCCAAGCUUGGACAGCAGCUCUACCCACCACUCACAGGACAACUCUGAGACAGUGAUUUGAUCCCCGAGCCUCAUCUGCAAAUUGGGAAGAGUAACAAAAGAAUGAGUCGUUUCAUUCAUAAGAACAAUUUCAUGUUUUAAUUAUCUGUCUUUCCUUCUUCUGGAUAGGCUGGCUUAAAAAUGAGAAGACAGACUUUGAAAGGAACUAGUGAGGGUCCAACACAACAUCUGAAUGAAUGCAGAUACUUAGUGAAUCCUGUGUUUAGAUAAGAACUUAAUGCAAACCAGACUUAGCAUAAUAUAUACAUUUUUAGAACCAUAUUUAUCCUAUUCCCAUAAAGCAGGCUGUCAGACACAACUUUGUCAAAACACGUGUUAUUUUGGUCUUUGAUAAGCAAGUUAAAAACUAAAGCUAUAUCAUGAAAUUAAAAAGGAGAAUAUUCUAGAUCUUUCCGAAGAGGCUGGGAUCUAAUUUCAGCUGAAUACCAGAAGUUAAAUUAGUUAAUUAAGCUUAUUUAUUUCGGAGCUGUGAGCAGGUGUGAUGCUGUCUAAAUCAGAUGACUGUGGGGCACCUGGGUGGCUCAGUCGGUUAAACAUAUGACUUUUGAUUUUGGUUCAGGUCAUGAUCUCACAGUUCAUGAGUUCGAGCCCCGCGUCGGGCUCUGUGCUGACAGCACGGAGCCUGCUUGGGAUCCUCUCUGUCUCCCUCUCUCUGUCCCUCCCCUGCUUGCUCUCAUGCUCUCUCUCUCUCAAAAUAAAUAAAUAAACUAAAAAAAAAAUUUUAAACAUCAGAUGGCUGUGGGUUCAGUUAUCACUCAGAUUGCAAAACAUCUGCUCAAGUGUUCUGUGUCUCCCAGGAGAUCAGAGCAAUAUGCAUGCUCACAAUAAUUAGGAAGUAGGCAAAUAAUGUGAGUUUUUGGAAAAGAUUGAAGGAAAUGGGACUGUUCAGAUGGUUAUACUAAAAGUCCAGACCUGCCACCUUGUUGCUAUCUCAUUACCUCUGUAAAUACCCACUGAUACGACACAAAGAAACAAUUAAAGACACUAACAAAAGAGCCUACACAUCCUAAAAGUAAUGUUUUGUUGGCCUAUUCUCUACACAUCCUAAAAGUAAUGUUUUGCUGGCUAUUGAAAGAAUCUUCUCAUCUGUGCUUCCUUAUUAUUCUGUGUCUGGCUUUGUGUUCCUCUUUAUUUGGCCUACUGCAAGAUUACGACAACAAUCUCUGGAAUCGCCAAUCAUAUUUUCAUCAUAUAACCCUUUGAGCUGUGUCUACUGGGAUUUGGUAGAGCCUGUCAUCUACACUCGGAGAGCUGACGCUCACCCUCAAUGAAUGUCAUGUGCGGUUAAUUUGUGAUAGAAGUAAUUUGAAGUUAUGACGGAAGCCAGUUCCCUCACUGGUUCUCACAAUGAGUGCUUUGCUGAGUCUAACACUAGAGAAACUUAGAGAUUCUUCGAGGUAUUCAGUCUCAGUUACUGUUCUCUGAUUCAUGUAGUGAAUGAGAUAUUUUUAUUAGCAGACACUUGAAUGACUGGAUAGUGUUUAUUUUAUCAUUAAAUGUGUGACUUAAUUUUAUUUUAUUGAGAUAUGUAUUUACAUAUUCAAGUGAUCAUAAUCCUAAUACAUAGGCAUGUUAGGACUUCUACUUCUACUUCAACUGUGUUCUGGAAAUCCGUUCAUUUUAAUGAUAAAAUCCAUAUGACAAAUACGUAUUGAGCAAUUACUGUGCGUGGGGGACUUUGCAGGUUACAGUGACAGGACUGACACGGGCCUCAAUGAGAUCCACUUGCCCUUGGGUUCCCUAGAUUCUAUAAGGAAUCAACGGUGAAAGAUGAAGUCUAGGCUCCCUGGCAUGCCCCACCUGGCAGAAAACAUCCGGUUUGUUAGAGACCAGAGUCAGAAAUGUCUGUAUCCUCCCACCGACAUGCUAUUUGAUGCUUUUCCUAGCACUUUCUCUAGUUACAACAGGAGUGUUAAUGCUGCCGCACAUUCCCUUGAAGUGCCGUAAUACAUGUAUUAUUUCCUGAGGAGAUGCUGGGAUCUACCAGAAGCAAGGCCAUAGGUGGAAAAGGCCAGAGAGCCUGGAUUCAAGUGACCUCUGUUCACUCACAGCCACAGCCUCAGUUUACCCAUGCUCUCAGGAGAUGAUCAGCUUCAGCUGUUCCUUCCCGAGGAUGCCCUCCUCUGCUGGGGCUGCAGGGAGAGGAACCGUGUGAGGCUUCACUUGGGUCCGGGACCCUAUUCCCAGAGUGGGAGAGGUUCCUUGAUCGAGAGCUCCGCCAUUGCAGGCAAUAGCAGAGUGAGAGGCCCUCAGGGAGAAUGAGACAGCAAAGGAGGAAUGUUCUCGAGGAUAAUGCUUCUCAGACUGAGGCAGCACCAGUGACUUUUCUUUCUUUUCCUUUUUCCCAAUCUUCUGCAGAUCGAUACUUUCAACAAAAGAUACACACAAGACACGCAUCUAUUUUUCAUUAUGAAUGAAGUAUUUCUUUCUGUCUCCGGGCUUAUCUUGCAGACCACACUCUCAGAGGCUGCCCUGAGCUCCUCUCGUCCUGCGCACCCUGGGAACCCUCACCCUCUCACCUCACGGCCUCUUCCCCUCCUAUGGUCUGACCUCACUGUCACCUCUCAGGAAACUGCAAGGUUCUCCUUUUAAAAAUCCAGCCACAUCUUGUCAGUCCCCACCCCCAAUUCUGCCAUAGCACUUAUGGUUCCCUCCCGACCCUGUGUUGUCUGUGACGUCCUUCACAGGAGCACACUUCCUUCACCUCUCCCCGUGGAACGUGGUGUCUCUUUUUAUUUCUCUAGUCAACCUUCUAAAAGCUUCCCUAAGGUUCUAGCCUAAAUGUCAGGCUCUAUGCACUUUAAAUAUAUGAAUGUCAAGGGUGCCUGAGUGACUCGGUUAGUUGAGUGUCUGACUCUUGAUUUCGGCCCAGGUCGUGAUCUCACGGUUUGUGAGUUUGAGCCCCGCAUCGGGGCUCUGCACUGAAAGUUUGAAGCCUGCUUGGAAUUCUCUCUCUCCCUUUCUCUCUGCCCCUCCCCCCACUUGCACUCUCUCUGUGUCUCACAAUAAAUAAAUAUACUUUAAAAAAAAAUGUGAAUGUCAGUGUCUGAAACAGGGUUGGGGGAUGUUAAGAUUUGACCCUCUCCUAAUGUGAAAAGGGCCCUAAGCAGGAGUUAACUGCGUGUAUACAUGUCCAUCGUGUCUGGAGAAGGUAGCGGACCAAAGCUUCUGAGGAAGGCAGAUGGUAUUAACCCACUUGCUAACAGAGGAGGGUACCAUCACUAACUUGUAAAAUGAAGGGAUGUGCAGUAUCUUUUGUUUUCUGUUCUUCUCCCUUUGUGUCCCUUCACUCUGACGGGGGGCUUUGAUGGGUAUGAGGAGUGGAACUAUACAAAGAUCCUUUUGUAGAAAGUCAAUAGAUGUGUUUCUUCUGCCAAUGACAGGGAUCUUAACUCUCUGACCACCUGUAUCCUCAUCAGUGAUAUGCGGUGGUUCAGUACCAGGAUCACAUUCCCUAGAAAGUUCCAUAAUUUUCGUACAUUGCCUCAAAUCUUUUGUUUAACCUAUUGAUUUUUUUCGUCCCGGGGCUCUAUGUUAACCUUAUUUUCUUAAUUCUCUUCUAGCAUCUGUGUUCUGGUCAGAGGCCAAAUAAAUGACAUUCAGAACUUCUACUGAGGUACUAUAAGGUAAGAUCUUUUUCUGGGUUGAGUUCUUUGGUUUAAAAAAAAAAAAAAAAGGAUGUAUGGCUUGAUCAGUGAAACAGAUUAAUGAGGAAUAGGAAUUUCUAAGUUGGUGUUUUCAAGUAUGAUUUAUAAUUGCUCUCUGUGCAUCUCAACAUAGAUAACACAGUCGUGCUUGAUUUUUGUCUUAAUACAGAUACUUUUUUUUGGCUUUUUGCUCAUAAUACUCAAAAUUACAAUGAAAGCAUGUCGGUUAAAAUAUGAAAUGUUGUUUUCUUUCAAAUACUCAUUUGUCUCUUAAGUGUAGCAAGACGGGGUUAUUGGAAAUUAGUGCCAAAUGUUUGAAUUUUUAGCGUAUAUAAAAUUUUAUAGCUUGUCUAAUUUACAGAAGCUUAAAUAUUAUCCCUUGAUUGAUAUCACCUUAUAUAAAACGCCAUACAAAAUCUGAUAGUGAAUAUAAAGACAGAGCAACAUUGUGAAAAAGCUCCAUUUCCUCUCAAUGUUAUUGUUAAUACCUUCUCUAUUCAGCAGACAGUGUUAUUGCCCUAGUCAAUAUCCCUUCUCCCUUCUUCCUUCUAAAAAUCGUCAUCAUCAUCAUCAUCAUCAUCAUCAUCCUGGUAUUUUGAAAGGCAGUGAAAUGCCUUGUUUAAAUACCGUCACGUUCCCAGACUCCUUUACUGAGGCCACUAACUUGGUUCUCACUGAUGACCCUGGAUGGUGGGCCCCAGGGAGGACUUCUCUUCCUGAAUUUAUUCCCUUCCUGCACUCAUUCCCUUCUUGACUUAAAAGAUCAGAGCUUCAAGAGCAGAAUAUUUUGGGAAUAUUGUUAUUACUUCAUCUUCUUACCUGGAAAGCUGUUCUAACAUUUGUAGCCGCGGAUUUUAAUUUGUGGAGGUGACUGAGUGUUGACAUGGAGAGGUAAAUGCCAUUGAAAGGAGAAUUUCUUCCUUACAUAUGCUGAGAGAAGGGCCACUCUGUGCCACCAGGCCACCUGAGGAAGCACCGGGUUUGGUCAAGAGGCAGAAGACGGGAAGAGGAGAGAGUCUGAGUCAACAGUCUCUCCUGGGAGUGUCUGUGGGAACAGCUGUGCAGGGCGGGGCAUACGGUUGAGGAUUGGCCAGUUAAAACCCUGUGAGGGGCUCUGGGCUGUAAGGGUGGUCCCUGGCCGCUGGGUGACUUAGGGCUGAGGAAACACUGGCUUGGUGUGUGAGUUAGAGGAGAACUGGGACUGUGGAUCCAGGGUUGCUUGGUUUACACAUGAAGGAUGUGCUCUGGGCCACGCCCUUUGCUGUCUCUAAGAACUGGGGAGCCCUCUUCUUGGGAUGAGCGCUGGGAGUUGUAUGCAAGCGAUGAAACCUAGGAAUCUACUCCUGAAGCCAAGAGCACACUGUAUACACUGUAUCUUAGCUAACUUGACAAUAAAUUAUUUCAAAAAAAUUAGAAAAUAAAAAUAAAUGAAAAGAACUGGCUAGCUUUGACAGAGGCAGGCUCUCCCUCAGCAGCAAGGUUUUAAGAUCUCAAAACAUCAUAAAAUACAGAAAGGAAAGAACAUGCCUGAUACACAGCACAACCCCCCCCCCCCCCCGCCUCCCCAUCUUGAGAUCCCAAGGACGAAAGCCACAGCCAGAGAUGUUAGAGCAGGAAGGUAAAAUGAACUUGACUCCUUGAUGACAUUCUUGCCCUCCGGUGAGCCUACCAUCAGCUCUCCUGUGGGAUGACUCCGAUAAAUCCCUGAUUCUCUAGAUCUCUUGACACUUGGAGCCCAGUCCAGACAGCACUGAUUCAUGGGCGUUCGUACCCGGGGGUUGUGCUAGACAUGCCUGUCUUUAACCUUGGCAGUAGUGUGCAGUCAGGGUAAGUGUUACUAUCCCCAUCUACAGAUGGGGAAACUCACACACUGAGUGUUAAGGUUGAGGUUUGAGCUGGACCUUCCGGUGCCCUUCCCUGUCCUCUGUUACCCUGAUGCCUAUCCUAACGGCAUACGCCAGGAGCCUGUGCCUUCGGUAGUCACAUCUGCUGGCUAGUCAGCAACAUCGCCAAUUCAUUACCCCUUUGAAUGCUUGCUCUUCGAUAAGCCAGAAUUUCCACUGGAUUAUCCACUUAUAAAACCAAGUGAGGGGCGCCUGGGUGGCUCGGUCGGUUAAGCGUCCGACUUCGGCCAGGUCACGAUCUCGCGGUCCGCGAGUUCGAGCCCCGCGUCGGGCUCUGGGCUGAUGGCUCGGAGCCUGGAGCCUGUUUCCGAUUCUGUGUCUCCCUCUCUCUCUGCCCCUCCCCCGUUCAUGCUCUGUCUCUCUCUGUCCCAAAAAUAAAAAAAAAAUAAAAAAAAAAUUAAAAAAAAAACAAAAAAAACACCAAGUGAACUUAGGCUAUUCCACAUUAAAAAAAAAAAAAAAAAGAAGAAGAAGAGAGAAAAUUCUAAUUUGGGGGGAUCAGAUUUGAUUGGAAUUGCCUGUGAAAGCAAGUGAAGGAAAUAUUAAUUCCAAGGUGGUUUUUUUUUUUGUUUUUUGGGGUUUUUUUGGCAGUAAAAGUUUAGAACUCAUGGUCUCAAUAAGGCCACCACAAUUCAGCUUUUAACCUAUGGUCCAAAUAUUAAAUAUUCUCCUUCCAACAAUCUCUGUUCCUUUACUCGCACUUGUUGGGAUCGGGGGAAAAUGCAGGUAAAAGAUAAAUUAUAUAAAGAACUCCUUUCCAAAGAAAGUCAUGCACGAUAUUGAAUAAGGUACUGAGCUGAGUCAGGGAAGGAGGUGCUUGUAAUGGAAAAGUCUCUGGGCUGGAAAAUACGAGGGGGGAAGUGCAGGUGACAGCCAGCUCUUCCAAAGGCUUGAAAAACGCCAGCUCACCUCUCUGGACCUUUGUUCUUUAUUUGUAAAUGGAGGGUGCUAGAUAUUCUGAUAUUCUCUUCGUGUAAAAUAAUAGCUUUCUUCGUCAGAUCUCCUUUGCUAAGGCAGGGAAACGCAGCAUCUACUAAAGUCAUACUUUCCUUUUGGCCACUGAAGUUACGAUUUCUCAGUACUUUUCCUUUUUCUUUCUUUUCUUUCAAAUAGAUCCUGAAUCUCUUCAUUUCUUUGUGUCUCUUCUGUCACGACCCUGCCCUAGGUCAUCAUUCUGUCUUUCCUGGACAACUGUGUGAGCUUCCCGAUGGUCUCCUGGCUUCCAGGAGACUGGGGAGCCCGGAGCACAUCUCAUUACUCUCCUGCUGGAGACCUGUUGCAAACCCUUCAACUCCCUUCCUCUACAUUAAGAGCAAAACCCCCAGUGCACAACAAUGACCUAUACAUCCCAUACGAUCCGGUUUCUACCUGUACUUGUCUCCUUGCUUCCCAACUCCAGCAAGUGUCCUUUUCACUGUUCCUUGAAUGUGUCUUUGUGUUCUUUCCCCCGACACCCCCGGGGCCCUGGCGGUAUAGUCCCCUGGCUUGCAUUGUGUGGCCCUGGUCCUUCCAAUUCGGAUCUCAGCUGCUUCAGCCUUCCCUGACCACUCUCUGGAUAUGAGCGCCAGCCCAGGUACCCAAAUUGAAUUCCUUUUAAAAACUAGAAAUUUUAUUUUCUAAAGGAUACGAAAAUACCCACGUAUGGCAAAAACUACGUACGCAUAGAACUUAGGGGAUCUAGGAGAGACGUGAAAAAUAAGGGGUUUAGGCCAGACGUGAAGAAUGCAGCCAUGUUUGUUUAUGGUUUAUUAUCUCUUGCCAUAGUGUGAUCUAAGCUCGGUGAGGGCAGGGCCUUAUCUGUUCCUUCCUUGCCAAAGCCCACAGUGCCUACAAGGAUGCCUGGUCCCUGCAAGAAGCUUAGUAAAUAUUUAGCGAAUGAGUGAAUGUAGAGGCAGAAAACGCCGUAGAUCAAAUAUCCCCCCCAAAAUUAAGCGGUGCUUACAGAUGUCCCCGAAGAGUCUAUUGCUUAGGAAGGAAGGGGAAAAAAAAAUAAAAGUAAAGAUGAAAAAAAAAUUCUGGGGAGAGGGACAGACAGCAGGGCACAAGGAAAGAACAGUAAAUCUUUGGGAGGGAUCGCUUCAGGUAUUUUUACGAGCAGUAUUUCUGAUCUGUGGUGAUGGGUGGCGGAGGCCAGUUCUUUGGAUCUUAACAAAGAUUUAUUAGCUAAGCCUGACAUGUGGACGAGCAGAACUGUUUGUUGAAUGAAGGCCCAAAAGAAUGAAAUAAUAAAUUAUUGAACUGCUAAGAGCAUUUUGCCUUUUUUUUAAAAAAAUGGGCAGGAUAACAUUCCCUUGAUGCCAAUAUUUAGUCCGUGUUAGUAACAGCCAUUCCAAAUACACUGAGUGUGAAGAAUGUUCCAUGAAGCAGAAUUCGGUUACUGCGCUAGGCAUCUCCCUGAGAGCAUUUCAGAAUUUAUUCCAUCUUCAAGUAAAUUGUCACAGUGACUCUCCAGGAUGGCAUACCGUGGUAACGUAUUAAAAUGCUGAUGGGAAAAUGGAAACUAGAAAAAUGUCUUAUCUGUCAAUUAAAUGAUGUAGCCUCGUGAGUCGAUUACAGCAAUUCGGGGGCUUUUUGUUUUCUGCCAAUUGAGAUUUGACAGCUGUUUAUAAAAUAUUUACAUUCUGAUUUCAGUCACAUUGACAACACUUUUGGGUCUUUGGAAGAUGAUAAUUAUAUGUUAGGAAAACGUUAAAAAAAUUCUGAAGCUGAUCUGUUGAGGGGAAAAAAUAUCUGGCUUUUUUCAAAUUGUACGAAGGAAGGAAAUCUACUUUAUUAAAGGAUGUGUUUCUAAUAAAAGUCAGGAAUAAUAGACACUUGUGACCCAAAGACAUAUUGCGUGUAAUAUGAGGGAGUAUCUUUCUUCACCUCGCCUGUUCUGGGAACCUUAUCUUUUCUCAGUCAGCUCUGGCUAGCUAGAUACAUGUUUCUCACCUUUCUUUACUUUAUUAGGCAUACAUAAUGUUUGUAUGGUACUUGGGUGAAUUAGACAGGAUUUGAGAGCAUCUCUAUGGAAUUUUACAGAAAAAGAAUUCAAUAUAUAUUCUUAGUACUCGAAAGAAGAGAAAAUAAAAAGUAUUGGGGAUAAUACUAACUAUUGAAUUUAUAUCGAAUUUUCAAAUAAAAUACUUUUAAAUGUUUUUCAUGAGAAGUGUAAAUUUACAUGCAGCUUUUCUUUAUCAGGUAUCAUGUUGGAAACAGUGACCUCUAAUUUUUGAUCAGUAUCUGUCUAAAAUCUUGACAGCCACUGUCUGUGUGAUGCUUUGUAAGAACAAGUAGGUGAUAGAAAAUUUGAAACCUAUUUUAUAGCCAUUCAAGGGUUUCCUGUAACUGACAUUAUGUUUGAAGUAUCUAACAGCUAUUACUUUCUUUCACUGAUGAAUGUUCAGUUGAAGUUUCUUAAGGUAAGGCAAAUGAUUUUGGAAUCCAACCUAACUUUUUAGUAUCAAGUAUAUUAAGUUUGUAUAAAACAUAUAUUCUUUUAUAGCCAUCACCCUGCACAUAGUUUGGACCCCACUAAAAGGGCAUGUCAGUCAUAAAUGGGCCAAAGUGGGCUUGAGUUUAUCUGUGGAACCAGGAGAAAAAGUGCAGUUGGAGGCCCAGGGCCCACCCCCUUCCCGUCGCUGGCUCUUCCCUGUCUUUCCAGGGGCCUCGCUCUGGGACCAUUCAUGUAGACACUCCCUGUGAAAGUCUAACACGCCCCCUCCCCACUGUGUCACAGCUGUCCCUUGGUCAGCCAUGGGGUCCCAGGGACACCUAAGGAUGCAUCUGGUGAAGCCACCACGUAAGCCCUAGAAGUGAGCAGACCUUUGGUGAGAGAUUCUAGGGACCUGCAGAGAUGAAGCCUGGUCUAGAAGAAACCCAACUCCCUGUGGGCAAUUCCCAUGCAGAGGGUCAUGGCCAGAGGAAGUCCAGAGUGACACAGAUACAGCACUUCUCCAACACUAACAUGGAUGCACCUGUUAAAAUACAGAUUCUGAUUCAGAAGGGCUGAGGUGGGCCCGAGCUUUCGCGUUUCUGAUAUGCUCCCAGGUGAGGCUGAUGCUGAUGCUGACUAAACUCUGAGGAGCAAGACGGUGAUGCACAAGGUCAAGGCCAGGGUCCUACCGUCUGGGUUGCAGGGCAGUACUGGACAGAAGUAUCUGCUUUGGGUGAACACAGAGACAUGGGCCUGCCACAGACAGCUGUCCUCGCCCCCAGGACCUCCCAGCCCAAUUCUAUAUCAUGUCCCUUGGCAACCUGUGUCACCAGUUGUCCCUCCAUCAGCUCCCAGCCCCUUGUCCACGUGGGCAGCUGCCCACUCAGGGGCUGGGCACUGAACUUGAUGUCCAGGUGUCAGAGCCCACCUUGGGUGUGCUCAGAGUGUUGCAAGGCCAGGUGUCCCCAGCAUGCUUGCAGCCAGGGAGAGCUCAGCACCAGACCGGGCUCAGGCACACCUGCCCCUGGGGAUUGCCCCCCACCACCACCACUACACAGGUCCCUGAGGGCAUGUGCGCCUAUCUUACACCCUGGGGCACUUCACCCAGCUUGUGGGAAGUCCUACAAUCAGGCUCAAAAAGGCACAUUAGGGGGAAGUGGUAAAUCUAAUAGUUCUCUAGCAAGAUUAUACCUCAUUAUAUGAAAUUGGAUUAGAAAGUUUUCAGAAGUGACCCAAAUAAAAGCAGUGCAUAAAAAAAUGAUUAAGUUCUCAGAGGAACCUUUGAACCAAAGAGAAAAGAAAAUCCAAAUUAGGAACAAAAGAAAACAAAAGAAAAGAAACACUGGGGGGCACUUGGGUGGCUCAGUCGGUUAAGCGUCCAAUUUCGGCUCAGGUCAUGAUCUCAUGGUUUGUGAGUUCGAACCCUGCAUCGGGUUCUGUGCUAACAGCUCAGAGCCUGGAGCCUACUUCAGAUCCUGUGUGUCCCUCUCUCUCUGCCCCUCCCUGCUCACACUCUGUCACUCUCUGUCUCAAAAAUAAAUAAACAUUAGAAAAGAAACAUUUGGGAAGUAAAUAUAGGUGUUACGCCAUAUACAAAAGAAAUAAAAUGCUACCCAACAAUUGAUUAAAUCAUCAAAAUAUAUCACAGAAUCCCACUUUAAAAUUUUUUUUUAAUGUUUAUUUAUUUUUAAGAGAGAGAGAGAGAAUGAGUAUGAGCAAGGGAGGGGCAGGGGGAGAGAGAGAGAGGGAGAGGGAGAGGGAGAUUCCAAAGCAGGCAAGAAUCUCAAGCAGGCUCCACACUGUCAGCAGUGAGCCCGAUGCCAGGCGCAAACUCAAGAACCAUGAGAUCAUGACCUGAGCCGAAGUCAGACACUUAACCGACUGAGCCACCAAGGCGCCCCUCACAGAAUCCUGUUUAAGACAAACACACAAACAGUAUCGGGAGAUAGGAAUCAAAAAUUAAAAAAUAUUAUGGGAUGACUAUAAAAACUUGUAACAAAAAAGCAGCUCUAGAAAACUGGAGUAAUCAGAUAAAGUAAUAAAGGUGAUUAAUUUCAUAAAAAUCCAAGUUUGGAGUUAGUAGGUGAUACUUUUUAAAUAAAAGAGGGUUUUAGACAUUAAUUCCAUAACAUGGAGAAAUUCAGUUACAUUCCAGGAGAAAUGAAAGAGCUCAUUAGAAUAAAAACAUCAUAGGGGCUCCUGGGUGGCUCAGUCAGUUACACGUCCGGCUCUUGAUUUUGGCUCGGGUCAUGAUCUCAGUUCCUGGGAUCAAGCCUCACAUCAGGCUCUGUGCUGACAGCACAGAGCCUACUUGGGAUUCUCUCUCCCUCUCUGCCGCUCCCUGGUACACACUCUCUCUCUUCCUCUCUCUCUAUCUCUCUCUCAAAAUAAAUAAAUAAACUUAAAAAAAAUUGUAGAGGGGCACCUGGGUGGCUCAGUUGGUUAAGCCUCUGACUUCGGCUCAGGUCAUGAUCUCACGGUUCGUGAAUUUGAGCCCCGAGUCGGGCUCUGCGCCAACAGCUCAGAGCCUGGAUGGAGCCUGCUUCGGAUUCUGUGUCUCCCUCUCUCUCUGCCCUCCCCUGCUCAUGCUCUGUCUCUCUCUGUCUCUCAAAAAUAAAUAAAUGUAAAAAAAAAUUUUUUAAACCCGUAGAAAGGAACAUUAAACACAAGCCACAGUCUUCACACCAGACAACAUGCAGCGUACAUGGAAGUAUAAGAAAUAAAUUCAAAGUGCGUAUAAGGAUGACUUGGAAAGAAAAGAUCUCAUAAUGUGAUCAAAGGCAAAAGCUGUCGAAGUGCUAUAUUUACAUUCUCGUGUGUCAGAGGGGAGAAAAAAAGAAAAUCCAUCUACACAGUUUCUUAUUAUUCCAAGACUGCAAACUCUAUCCAGUUUUCUUUACAGCAAAGGAGUUAUUCAAUUCCUGUUGGAUGUUCCUAAGAGAAAUUUUAGAUGAUCUAUACCAAUGCUUUAAUACACAGGGUCUAUCCUCAAAGAACGUGCAGUUCCGUUUAGACAGGAAGCCAUACACAUUUUUUUUUAAUGUUGUAAAGUGUUAAAUACAAGACCAGGUAUUAGCAAUGUAACUAAGUAGUUUAAGUACCAAACAGAUCAUUGACCUGUUGUGGUCAUGGGCUAUAGCCUUAGCGUGUUUACAUCCUUGAUGCUUUUCGCAGUGAUAGACCUGUGUGAGCUUGUAGAACAUGUUUAUGAAAAGGAUGUGUUAAUGGCAUGCCAAAGCAGAAUAAAAGGUAACAUUUUUCAUGGCUUCAGGGGCACAGAGACACCCCUCAAUAAAAAGGGAUGACAUAUAUAGAGGCUGGAGAGAGAGUAGGACUUACAUAGGCAGAAAGAAACCAGAGAACAUUGAAAAGGAUCACCGGGCGGAAUGCAGGUAUCAUCCGUGUGUGUGUGUGUGUGUGUGUGUGUGUGUGUGUGUGUGUGUGAGUGUGCACGCGUGCGCAGGAAGUGUUUUUCAAGGAUGGCGAGUGAAGGGGACGAGCAGAAUGAAGAGGACUUUGUGAUUCUAAAGCAGCUUGGAUUUUAUCUGAAAAAUCACGGAAUACCACUGAAAGAAUAUGAACUAGGGGAUAACGUGAGAAAAAUUAAUUAGGCAACACUAUGUGGAGCUAGAUGGAAAGUGGGGAAAAUAUGUGGGUGACUUUAAUCAGGAACCAGAAUGUCAAAGGCUGAAGAGAAAGCUACCCCCAGGAGGGAGGAAAGCCUGGAUUCAGAAACAGCACAGCGAAGUCUCUGUCUUCUUCUUUUCUAGUCGGUGUGGUGUUUGCUCUCUCCUGUCUUCACACCUUUCUGUUCUUUUGAUGAUUUGCCUUUCAUAUGUACAUGUCAAAUGGGUUCAAAUCAUAAAGAAAAAGCAAACAACACCCUGCCUAGGUUCUCUUUUGAUUUCUGUCUCUCCCUCCUUCUCUUCCUCCAACCCGCCAGUGACCCUGGUUCCUUCCUUAGGUUUCCUCCUCCUCAGUCCUCAACCCUCCGUAGCCUGGUGGCUGGCCCCCCUGCCUCACUGGAACUGUCGCUAAAAUGAGCGAAGAUCUGGUUGAUGAACCCCAAGAAUUUUUGAUCCACAACUUUUUUGACAUCUCUGCAAGUUUUGCUGCCGUUGGUCUUUUUGAAAUUUUCUCUUUGCUUGGAAUGCAAGGAACUUCCUCUCCUUGAAUCUCAUUGUACCAUUUUUUCCCUCAUUGCCAUUCUCCCUCCCUCCCUCCCUCCUUCCCUCCCUUCCUUCCUUCCUUCCUUCCUUCCUUCUCUCUCUCUCUCCUCCUAUCAGCUGCCUAAGUGCAAAUUCUCUCCUCUGCCCCUGCAAAGCUCUGUUCAGAAUUCUCCUUAUUUCAUUUAACUUCCAGGCUUAGACUAUGACCUCAAAUCUGUGCCUCUAGCUUAGACACCUUUCCCUAGUUCACAUCUAACUGUAUCUGUAGAGACAACUCUCUCUACAGGGUUUCACCACAUGCUCCAAAGUCAGAACGGCAGAACUGAACUCCCCUGUUCCUCUUUCCACUCUCUGCUUCUCCGUGUCUCUGUCUUAGUGCUGUGUGUGUUAUACAAGUGCAACCCAGAAACUAGAUAAACCCUUUCUGUUUCUCAAGUGAAAAUCUAAUCUUAAUUCCACUGAGCCACUUCUUGGCUGUGUGACCUUCUAUGUUACUUACCUUCUAUGGCUCUCAGUUUGCUUAUUUAUAAAAUGGACAGAAUAGUAACACUUUUCUCACAGAAGGGCUGUGAAGAUAAGAAAUGGCACAUUGUAAGCCCUCAAUACGUAUAGCUAUUGCAUUGUUUGAAAUAAUCUGACUCCCCAUAGACUUGAAAAGAAAAAAAACCCUAGUUUUCUUAGCAUGUGAUUUGAUGUUUGCCUAAUUCUCAAACUUCUUUCUCACCAUUUCCCAACUUCCACCCUGCUCUCCACCCUUAUAGAAGACACUCUAAGGUGCCAUUCUCUUCCCACCAUCCCCCAAGCUCAUGCAUGCCUCUUCCUGGUAUUAGAUCAUGACUUAACCAUGAUAAUUUCCCCUGAUCAUCAAAGUGUAUGUGGGUAGGGGUGCCUGGGUGGCUCAGUUGGCUAAGCGUCUGACUCUUGAUUUCGGCUCCGGUCAUGAUCUCAUGGUUCGUGAGUUCCAGCCCCACGUUGGGCUCUGUGUUGACAGACCGGAACCUGCUUGGGAUUCUCUGUUUCCCUCUCUCUCUCCCCCUCCCCUGCUUGCUAUCUCUAUCUCUAUCUCUCUUUCAAAAAUAAAUAAACUUUUUUUUAAGUGUAGGUGCUUAGCUCUUCUUGCAUUUUUCUCUUCGAUCUCAACUAGUUUUCCUCCAUGUGCUUCUGGAAAGCCAUUGCCUCAGAGAUUGUUCCUUCUAUGUUGCCAUCGAGCACAAAUCUUCAUCUCUACCUCUGUACUAUCAGUUUCUUGGUGGUAGAGGAUGUCCUAUUUAUCUGUAGGUGGGAGUGGUUUUGAGAAGUAUAACCAAUAGGGUGUGGACAAAACAGAAUAACCGUUGGCCGUGCCAUUGUGCACCUAGAAAUGGCUCUAAAUAUGGGUGAGUCAGCUUUCACCUCAGCUGAGUCUGAGAUAGCUGCAAAAGGGAAAGUUUGAAGAGGACAAGGCAAAAGGAAUAUGAGGAUCCUGAGGAAAAGCUAAGUCAAAGAUGUGAGGGGAAAAAUGGAAGCCAGCUGGUAGAUGGUUCACAGUGGAGGAGAGGCCCAUGGGGCCCAGUGGAAGGGGUGGCUGGCAAGAAAGGAGAGCUCAUGCUGACCUGUGAUGGAUUUAUUUCUGCAUAAAAUCUUCCAGAAGAAGAUUCCAAAAAAGAGAGGCUCUCAGUGUCAAGAAUGAGGAAAGGACAAAACAUACAUAAAUUUGUGAUAUAUAGGAAAUUGAGAUAUAACAAUAUACACACAGUUUUAAUGAGUUACAGGGUUUUUUUUGUUAUGGUAUUUGUGGAUGUAAUGCCAUGUAUAAUAGUAUAUUAUAAAUAUACAUUUUUAUAUGCGGCUGACCCUUGAAAACACAGGGGUUAAGCGUGCUGAUGCCCCAUGCAGUCAAAAAUUCAUGUAUAACUUUUGGCUCUGCAAAAACUUAACUACUAAUAGCCUACCGUUGACUGGGAACCUUACCGGUAACACAACAGUCGAUUACCACGUAUUUCAUAUGUUAUAUGUAUCCUAUGCUGUAUUCUAACAGUAAAGUAAGCUAGAGAAAAGAGAAUGUUCUUAAGGAAAUCAUAAGGAAGAGCAAAUACAUUUCUCACUUAUUGUCUCCCCAACCCUAAGAGACUGGGCAACAGGGCUCUGUGUCCCUGAGUUCAAGUGGGGUACAGAUUUAAACCUUCUGGAUUUAGAAGAACAGGUCUGGAGAAAGCACACCGCGUGCCCAGCAACUGACCUCAGGGGCCUUGUUUUCAGGCAGACCUCUGUGUCCUGACUCUGCCCCCUUCCUUCAGCUUCAGGGCUCUCGUCACGGCUGGUGGUGGUGAGGCCUGGACUGGGUUGGUCUGGACUCUGGAAUGGACUCCUGUGCCAGCCCCAUCAUGACUGUCCCUGUCAACUUGGGCCAGGCACUUAGCCCUUUCCACCUCAGCGCUUAUCAUGUAACAUGGUGAUUAAAGCUGGUCGUGAAAAUGAGCAACAAAUAAGAACACUGCUAUAGGAGCGCCUGGGUGGCUCAGUCGGUUGAGCGUCUGACUUCAGCUCAGGUCAUGAUCUGAGUUCAAGCCCCGCUACUUCAGAUUCUGUGUCUCCCUCUCUCUCUGCCCCUCCCCCACUCAUGCUCUGUCUCUGUCUCUCUCUCUCUCUCUGUAAAAAAUAAAUAAACAUUAAAUUUUUUUUUAAAGAAAAAGAAAUUGCACAUAAAUUUCCCAGCACACAACAAGAGAGCGUAAAGAGAAAGGACAGCCAGACACUGGUGACAUCCUAACAGAAAUGGGGGAGAGAGAAAGUGAUUAACGGUUUGAAGGCAAAGUUUUUAAAAACUUAAUUUUUAACCAAAUGGCAGCCAAUUAAAGCCUGGUGAGGUGGGCAAGGCCCCGCUUUUGUUUUGAAGCUGAUAAAUUUAAUAAAAAGUUCUUCAUGUUCACUUCAGUAAAGGCCAGGGGAGAUUUCGUGUGUGCACAGGCACAUUUCCAAACACGUAUCUGUAAUUGAAUGAGAUUUUGUACUGGGAAAGGACAUUAAUUACCACGUUAUAUCAGAGCAUCACGCAAAACACUUAAAACUAAGUAAACUAACUAUUUAAUUGAAAUACUCUGGGUUUUUUUUAAUGUUUAUUUAUUUUGAGAGAAAAAGAGCAUGAGCCAGGGAGGGACAGAGAGACAGAGAAAGAGAAUCCCAAGCCGGCUCUGAGCUGUCAGUGCAGAGCCCGACUUGGGGCUCAAACCCAUGAAUCGUGAGAUCAUGACCUGAGCUAAGAUCAAGAGUUGGAUGCCCAACAGACCCAGGCGCCCCUAAAAUAUACUGUUCUGUAGCAUCAUGGAUAUAAUAUAAAAACAGGGUGUUAAAAAUGUGUAUAUUAUGUGUCUUGAUUUCCAGAUGGAACCACCAGUGUCCAAGGGCAAAUCUAGAACAGUGCCUGGGACAUAGUAGCUACCAGAUGGUGGUGGGUGAAUAAAUGAACAGAUAAAACCCCUGUUUGCAACCUACGUAGCUUACAUUGGAGGGUCUCCAUCUUAGGAAAAAAUAGCCAAUGCAUUCUAUUUAGAUUCUUACAAACGAAUGCAACACAAAAUUGUGCUUAAUGCUAGAAAGCACUAUGAUGAAGGAAUUUUGUAUGAGUUGAUGUAUCAAAUCCAAGGAAAAGGGCAAGGCAUUCUGAAGUACAUAUCAUGUAAGCGUAGGUAGGAUUGUGUUCCAGACAGUUGGAAAAAGGUUUAUGGUGCAAAAUCAUACCAUUAAAGUAUUACCUGAAAGAAUGUUAUAUUUAUUGCAAAAUCAAAACAUUCCUAUGAGAGAAGAAGGAAGGCAAGAUUUUAAAUUUUUUUAACUUAUUUUUUGAGAGAGAGAGAGUGCUAACAGGGGAGAGGCAGAGAGGUGGGGGACAGAGGAUGCAAAGGGGGCUCUGUGCUGACAGCAGAGAUCCUGACGUGGGGCUCAAACUCGUGAACCAUGACCUGAGCAGAAGUCGGAUGCACAACCAGCUGAGCCACCCAGGCGCCCCAAGGAAGGCAAGAUUUAAAGCUGGCGGUGAUGCAGCACAGCACGGGAACAGGGAGGGGGUGUUCGGAGAAGCUUGAAUAGUAGUCCUGGCUAAGACAGAGUUGGGGAUUCUCUGUCCUUCCUUCUUCCCCUUCCCCAGGCUAGUCUCCAGCAUGAGAACGUCAGUGACCUGAGUGACUAGCUUAGUACUUUCUGAGGGGAGUAUGAAGAGACUGGUACUUUGGGAGUAUGAAGAAACUCGUACCCGGGUGGCUCAGUCGGUUAAAGUGUCCGACUUCGGCUCAGGUCAUGAUCUCAUGGCUCGUGAGUUCCAUCCCUGCAUCAGGCUCUGUGCUGGCAGUUGAGAGGCUGGAGCCUGCUUCAGAUUUUGUGUCUCCCUUCUUCUGCCCCUCCCCCACUCGCACUCUGCCUCUCUCUCUCUCUCUCUCUCUCUCAAAAAUAAACAUUAGAAAAAAAAUUGAAAAAAAAAGGCAACUGAUACUUAAAGUGUGAUCCACGGACAAACAUCAGCAUCACCCAGGAACUUACUGCAGAUGCUGAAUCUCAGACCCCAUAGCAACUCUUUAUUGAAUUGGAAUCUGCCGUUAACAAGUUCUCAAGGUGUGUGGGCUUCAAUCUUAAAUUAAAAUUUGAGACGUAUUGUUCUAGGGAUUAGAAACGUGGGCUUUAAUGCAAGGAGAUCUGAGUUCAAAUCCUGAUUCCUCCUCGGGCAGGCCAGUUAUAUAAUACUGUUUUAUCAUCUGCCCUCUGCACUUAUAGGUAUGUCAUAAAUACCCUUAUCUUGCUGUAAAUGAGAUAGGUACACGUAAAGAAUUUGUGUAGUACCUGUCUUUCAGUAAGAAAUCAAUAAACCUUAGCUAUGUUUAUUAUUUCUCUAAUGCAGAGCAGGAAGAAAAGGAAAUAGUGAGGAAGGGUUCUCGCUAUGACCUUACUCUCUCCUUUCCCAAUCCCAGACUCAGCAGGAACUUGCAAGCAGAUCUGAUAGUUUCUCAGAGUUUCCUUCUGCCACCACAAGGUUUUUUUUUUUCUAUUUACAUUCCUAUGGACAAGUCACUUAACCUCUUUGAGCCUCAGUGUCCUCCCCAGUAGCAUGGGAUGGCCACAUUAGCCUGUAUCACAGUUGUGGGGAAAAAAAAAAAGUGAAGGGGUCCAUAAGACAGUAGAUUCUUUUCAUUGUUCAAAGAGCGAGUCUGGAGAAGGUAGCAUAAUGGAUUUCACAAUUAGAAAGAAUCCUCUCGGGUGCCCGGGUGGCUCAGUCAGUUAAGCGUGUGACUCUUGAUCUCAGCUCAGGUCUUGAUCUCCGUGUCAUAAGUUCAAGCCCUGCGUUGGGCUCCACGCUGGGCAUGGAGACUACUGAAAAGAAAGAAAAGAAAAGAAAAGAAAAGAAAAGAAAAGAAAAGAAAAGAAAAGAGAAAGAAAGAAUCAUCUUACCAUGAGAGGCUAAAUAACUGAAGGUGCUGAAUUACAUCACUUUAGAGUAAUGCAGGGUGGAAUAAAUGGUAGGGCGUUCCCUUUUGAUAAGAGGAGAGCAGGUGGAUUCUACUGGCAGAUGGGGAGGAGAGGGAGUUAGUUCCGUCUUCAGAGACAGAGGCCUCUGAAGUUUGUUCUUGAAAAAAUAACGUAGACUUUCAAGGGAUACUUAAGUAUUUUGCUCUUUACCUAUGUAGCAGCAGCAAAAGAGCGAGACAAAAUUAAGGAAGUAGGCAUAGAGGAAAAGUUUCUAAAGAGGAUCAGAGGAAGGAAUGAUUGCAUCUGGUUGGGUCUCAGCAGAGCUUCUGAGAGAGAAGAUUUUUAUGGUUGGCCUUGGGGGAUGGAGAGAAUCUUGAGAGGGAGUUGCAGUCUUAUUGGAGGAAAUAGCAUGAGAAGAACAAGCCAGAAAAGCUUGAUGCUCAUGAAGGAAGAGUGAAGAUUCUAAUUUGGAGGCUCCAGAUUGCACAGGGUUGGAGAGGAAGAAUCAGUCGUGAAGGUAGGUGGGGAUCAGAUUGUGAAGGACCCUGACUGUUCGAUUCCUAAUUUCUGCGCGACGGCUGGUCAUAGAUUGUUCUUGAUUUGGGAGCUGACAUGAUCAGGGAUGUGUGUCAGAACAUUUAUUUGGCAUCCAUGUGUGAUGUGGCUUAAACCGGGAAUGAGUAGAGAGACUAAAUCUGUAUUGGAGUGGCUCAGGAAAAGUAAUCAGGCCCUGAGCUGGAUUUGUAAUGCUGGGAAUGAAAAGGAAAGGACAGUUUUGAACAAAUGCCUUUGUGACAUGACUCUUCCUUGUCAGCAAGAAUCAUCAGUAUUAGAGGGAAAUAGAAAUCACUCACUUCAUAGUGAGCAAUGCUCUUACCAACUUCCAUGUUUCAAUAUAUUUUAAAGUUAGUGUGAGUAGAAGUGCAAAUAUACUAGUUUCUUGUUCUAUUUUUAUGUCCCCGUGUAAGGAAAGAGAAAAAGGAAGAGUUCUUUUGAUGUGUCAUACUCUGAGACUUGUGGUAGUUUGCUAAUUAUAAGUUCUAUUAUAGUAAGGUCUCCCAGACCCCAGUGAUUACACAGCUGCAAAAUCUGUAGCCGAAAUGUCAGCCUGACUUAGUAUUUUUGCAGGCCAAAAGGCCAAGCAAAGUAAAGUCAAACUGUUUCUCGUUUCUCACCAAAAUUUGCAAGAUCUAACAAUAGAUCUCAAGACUGCAUCAAAAAACUUGCAUCCAUUCUUUGCCCUCCUGGACUGUUGGCUGAGCUGGGUUUUUUCCAUCUGUUGAAUGGGGGAUAAUCAUACUCUUCAUCUAUAUCCCUGUCUUUGUAACAAAGGCUUUUUGAGUGCCUUGGUUUCCAGAUAUUUCCAGAUACCCAAAAUUAAACGUAAUUCGAAUGUCCUCAUACACAUGGUGGCAGACCAGCUUUCUUUCUUGGUGUAAAUUCUUGAAACUGAUCAGCCACCUUCGUCCACUUACUCUCAGAGCUGGGUGCCCACCUGACUUGUCAUUUCCUUGACGUUUGUUAACCUGCCCCGUCAGGCUCGAUCUUAGAUGUUAGUGUCAUCUCGAUGUCUUCUCUAUAGGGGCAGUCUUUCUAACGGCUUACCAAAUAGUUUGAAAUGAAACAUUUAACUUAAUGCGAUCUCUUUUUGUUUGUUUGUUUGUUUGUUUGUUUGUUUGGUAAAAGUCAAUAUUAAGAAAAUGCAAAGAAAAAGUACUGCCACGUAAAAAUAUUGAUUCGGGAUUGUAAGUGAUUUGUAAAAUGUUUUCAUUUUUUCUUUUCAAAUCUUUGUAAUGAGAAAACCAUUUCUUAGAGAUACAGAGAUAAGUGACCUAUGAGUUAUGUCAGUUCCUGGCGUGUAACAUAAAGAUGCAACAUUUGUAUAUACUGUGAAAUGAUCACCGUAUUAAGUCUAGUUAGUGUCCAUCACCAUACCUACUUACAGAAUUUUUGUUUUCUUGCCAUAGGAACUUUUAAGAUUUACUCUCAGCUACGUUCAUAUAUGCAGUAUGGUAUUAUUAACUAUAGUCACCAUUCUGUACAUUACAUCCGGGUACUUACUUAUUUUACAACUGGAAGUUGGUGCCUUUUGACCACCAUCACCCAUUUCACCCACCCUGUACCCCCACCUCUGGCAACUACCAGUCGGUUCUCUGUACUUACGAGCUUGGUUUUGUUUGUGGAUUUUUUUGUAACAUCUUUCUGUUUUUUAUAUUCCACAUAUAAUCGAGAUCAUAUGGUAUUUGUCUUUCCCCAUCUUAUUUCACUUAGCACAGUACCCUCAAGGUCCAUCUGUAUUUUCACAAACAGAAAGAUUUUGUUCUUUUUUAUGGCUGAGUAAUAUUUCAUCAUAUACAUGUAUACAUAUACCUACCAUCUUUUCUUUAUCAUUCAUCCAAUGAUGGGGAAAAAAAUCUAUUAUUUAAAAGGCUUUUUCCUAAGCAUAACCAUCAUACUUCAUUUUUAUAAUUUUGAAGUAUUUUUUUGGGAGACAGAGUGUGCUUCGGUGAGGGAGGGGAAGGGUAGAGGAAGAGGGAGACAGACAAUCUUAAGCAGGCUCCAUGCUCAGUGUGGAGACCGAUGUGGAGCUCGAUCCCAUGACCUUGGGAUCAUGACCUGAGCCGAAAUCAAGAGUUGGAUGCUUAACUGACUGAGCCACCCAGGCGCCCCUUGAUGUUUUAUUUCUAAAAGACACAUCCUUUGAUACGUUUUGGUGAUUGUGCACAUUAUUUUAUUCUAUAGUAACGGUUCAUAUGAAUUUUUGGUUUUGAAAAUGGAAUAAUGUUUUAAGAGCAACUAAUCUUGUGCUGUUAAGUUUUAAGAAAAGGAAAGGAUAUUUUAAUACUAUACUAAUAUAAAGGACUUGGUCUAAGAACAAAAAGGACCCUUCAGAAGAAGGGCCAAUAGGUAUAUUUUUACAAACUUUUAUGAGGGCUAUAUUAACACAUAUAUACACCAUUUCAAAUCCAUUAAAAUUCUAUUUAAUGACAUUAGUGUGAAAUAAAGUUAUUUUGGAGACAGCCAUUUUACAGCGAAACAUGGAGAUGGAGUGCCUACAAUGUCUCAUUUUCUCUCUGUGUCAUUGUAACUAUAAAAUUGCCCAGCUCUGCACAAGAAUAUUGAAGAAAAUGGAACAAUACUCCGUAAUAUUUACUGCGCUCAAUUUGGAACGUUCCAGGUAAAUUGAGAGGUACCAAGGUACAACCAAACAUCCUGCCAAAAUUGUCCCCUUGAAGAACCUAGAAUUUCAGGAGUCAGGUGACUGGCUGACAAGGUGGCCUCAGCAGGUAAGGACUCUGCUGAUUCAGCACAGAAAAGUCAGCAGCUUAUAUGAACGAUUCAUCAAGGUUGGUACCGGACAGGCAUUUGAGAAUCCUCUUCUUUCACUGCCUUUUUAUCCUCAGUCAUUUUCCCCCCGCUGUCCGAAAUAUAUUUUAGGUACUAAAUCUCAUGAUAAAGCCAUUUUAACUCUAGCUAGAUUCUGUGAUUUGAAGUAUGGACAGGCAAGUCAUUGGCCCUCAGAAGAACAUUCACAUCGGUAGGUUGCUUUUUAAAAUCAGGCAAAAGCGGGGCGCCUGGGAGGCUCAGUCGGUUGGGCGUCUGACUUCGGCUCAGGUCAUGAUCUCACACUCCGUGAGUUCGAGCCCCGCGUCGGGCUCUGUGCUGACAGCUCAGAGCCUGGAGCCUGCUUCCAAUUCUGUGUCUCCCUCUCUCUCUGCCCCUCCCCUGCUCAUGCUCUGUCUCUCUCUGUCUCAAAAAUAAAUAAAAACAUUAAAAAAAUUUUUUCAAAUAAGGCAAAAUCCCAUUAAGAAUAACAUCUGUCUCCACUGCCCUUGGAGCCUUUGUCCUUUAUAGAGCUAAUAUGUCUAUGUUCUUCCCUCUACGGUCCUUGGAGAGAAAUUACAAGAUUUAUGUUAUUACUCUGACAGCUGUGUUAUUGCAUAAGUACCGAAAAACUGAGAACAAUGCAGUGUACUUCAUUGGGGUUAUUCUUAAGGGGUCUAGUAUGUGCCCCUUUGUUAAUAUUAAUUUGCAGUUCUUAGUAUGCUCUGUGUGUGGUUCUCUCAAAUGAGGAAAAGUCCCUGACUAGGGAUUAAAUGUCUAAUAGAGUGAGACCAACUGUUGAGAUCGACUUUUUUAUUGCAAGUGAGUGAUUAACUUUUGGAUUUUUAAUAAUGAGAUGAGUUUAUUAUUGGAAAAAGAAGCUGUUGCUUCACCAAGGGCUUCCUUUAUGUGACUCACUACACAAUUUUAAUAUUAUUUGUGCUAGAUUUACAAAUAAUCUUUAGUUCUCAUACUAAGUGGCAGGCUCCAUAAUGGGUAUUAUGGGGCGCCUGGUGGGAGCUCAGUUGGUUAAGCAUCCGACUCUUGGUUUCAGCUCAGGUCAUGAUCUCACAGGUUCAUGAGAUUGAGCCCUGCAUCAGGCUCUGCACUGACAGUGCUGGUGAUCCUCUGUCUCCCUCUGUCUCUGCCCCUCCGCCACUUAUUCUCUCUUUCUCUCUCUCUCUCUCUCUCUCUCAAUAAAUACAUAAAUAUUCAAAAAAUGUUUUUUUAAAGAAAUAAUGGAUAUUGUGUUGAAAGGCAUCCCAAGGCUUCCUUGGGCUCAACCAGAAAGAAUAUCAAGACGGAUUCAUACUGUCUACAAAAGACAGGAACCACGAGGUGCACCCGAGUGCCAGGGUGUUGUUGUGCCCAAUUUGAGAUAAGAUUUUCAAACUGUACUCUAAAAUUUAGUAUCUUUAUGUUGUUCUCUAAGCUUCUUCUGUAAGUCCAGACUUUUCAAUUUCGUUGUACGUUUUCCCAAAGCAUCUGGUAUGUUAGGAACCAGUAAGCAAUAAUGAUUGAUUGGUUAAUUAAUGGAUUGACAAAUAAGCAAAUAUUUAGCACCUAAAAGUUGCCAAAUUGUACAGCAUAUCUGUGUGUCCUCAUUCAGCAAGUACAUUUAUUCCAUGCUCUCUUUGUGUAAACACUAGCAAAGUCUACAUCUUUCAUCCUCCAUGGUGGUUUGUUCAAGGUUAACAGGUGUGAGUUCUGGGGUGUCUGGGUGGUUCAGUUGGUUAAGCGUUCGACCUCGGCUCAGGUCAUGAUCUCACAGUUUGUGGGUUCAGAGUCCCACAUAGGGCUCUGUGCUGACAGCUCAGAGCCUGGAGCCUGCUUUGGGUUCUGUGUCUCCCUCUCCCACUCUUCCCCUCCCCUGCUUGCACUCUACUUCUCCCUCUCUCAAAAAAUAAAUAAACAUUUAAAAAAAAUUUUUAAACAGGUGUGAGUUCUGUGUCUUUUAUUUCAAACUCACUGUUUUUGUACCUGCUAUCUGCUCCUUAUGUCUCUGGGGCAAAGGCGCUUCUCUCCUUCACCUCUAAGUAUAUACCUGCUCUGCUCUUAGCUUCUCCUGCCCCUCCUGGGAUCUUGUGCCUCAGUUGUUCCCAAGAUCUGUAGUAACUGCCCUGUCUUUCUCUUGUCUGGAGCCUUUCCCUCUCCUUAAAGAUCUACUAGUCUCUCUGUUUCAGUAUAAACUUCACUUCACUUAGCUCUGUGCCUCACUUCCAGCUACCAUAUCAUUUCUGUCCUCUCACAGGUGCCUCUCUGGCCUCCUGACCUUCUUUCACUCGAGGUACUUCCUGAAGUAACGGAAAUGUUCUGUGCCUGUUCUGUCCAGGCCACUCAGCACCUGUGGUUCUUGAACGGUUGAGAUGUGACUGCUGUAACUUGAAGAAAUGAACUGUGAUUUCUUGGCAUUUAUUUAUUUAUUUAUUUAUUUAUUUAUUUUUAAUUACACAUUUUAUUUUUUUUUAUUUUUCACUUUUUUUAUUGAAAUGUCUUUUCCAAAUUGCAGUUAAAAUGGUGUAGUCAAACUUUAAAAAUGUGGCAUUUCCAUUAAAAAAAGGUAUAGUGCAUUUAUAUCGAAUAUAUUUUUUUUAUUUUUUCAUUUUCUUUCCUCUUUAUUUUUUUUUAUUUUUUGUGUUUUUUUUUAAUUUAAUUUUUUUAAAUUUACAUCUAAAUUAGUUAGCAUCUAGUGCAACAAUGAUUUCAGGAGUAGAUUCCUUAGUGCCCCUUACCCAUUUAGCCCAUCCCCCCUCCCACACCCCCUCCAGUAACCCUCUGUUUGUUCUCCGUAUCUGUGAGUCUCUUAUGUUUUGUACCCCUCACGGUUUAUUAGUUUUGCUUCGCUUCCCUUAUGUUCAUUGGUUUGUCUCUUAAAGUCUCAUAGGAGUGAAGUCAUAUGAUUUUUGUCUUUCUCUGACUAAUUUCACUUAGCAUAAUACGCUCCAGUUCCGUCCACGUAGCUGGAAAUGGCAAGAUUUCACUCUUUUUGAUUGCCGAGUAAUACUCCAUUGUGUGUAUAUAUGUGUGUGUGUGUGUGUAUAUAUAUAUACACAUAUAUAUAUCACAUCUUCUUUAUCCAUUCAUCCAUCGAUGGAUACUUGGGCUCUUUCCAUACUUUGACUAUUGUUGAUAGUGCUACUAUAAACAUUGGGGUGCAUGUGUCCCUUCGAAACAGCACACCUGUAUGCCUUGGAUAAAUACCUGGUAAUGCAGUUACUGGGUCGUAGGGUAGUUCUAUUUUUAGUUUUUUGAGGAACGUCUUCACAUUUAAUUUCAAUUUAAAGCAGUCAUACAGGGCAAAUGGCUGCAAUAUGGGACAAUGGGUAGACUUUCUAAGCCAGAGUCCCUCACCUGAGCCACACAACACAGAAAAUUAUUUGAAUGUAUCGUCUCCAUUCUCCCAGGGAUAGUACAUAGCGGGUAUUAUCCCAAGAUGCAGAGAAGUUAAAUCAGCACAUGUAGUGGGUGCUUGAGGGCGUCAGGACUUUGUUCUCUCUGCUAAGGUAACUGAAGUCUUCCUUUCCAGCCCCUUGAAAGACAAAGUUCAAAUAUAUACCAUUUGCAAAGGUCAUCAGCAUCUCUAAAAGGCAGUCCGGUGCAAGUUUCUCAAUCCUGACUCCUAAUUCUCUGCCUUAAUGGAAUUCAUCACUAUCCUCCAAAUGCUAAUUUUACUUUUCUACUUUCCAGCCUCAUAUUAUACUUUAUCCUCAGACUGUUUUAUUCUGCCACCUCUCUAUGCUUACCAAACUAUAUAGAUUCUCGGAGGCUCACAUCUGGGUUUUUCUAAAAAAAUGAAGCCUAUGAAAAAUUGGAAUCCUUCAGCCUUUUCAAGAAUAUCUAUUGAAGUUUUGCUACAUUCCAGGCAAGGACCUCCCCCCUCCCCCACCCCAUUUUCCCCUCCCNNNNNNNNNNNGCUGAGACAUCUAUCAAGUUGGAGCUGAGGAGGAGUUUCUGCCCCGUUUGCUUCAUCAGGGCUUUCAAUCUCACCUCUUUUGCUCUUCCUUUGUCUUCCCCCUUCUUUCUUUUUUUUAAAAAAAAUUUUAACCUUUAUUUAUUUUUGAGAGAGAGAGAGACAGAGUGUGAGCAGGGAAAGGGAGACACAGACUCUGAAGCAGGAUCCAGGCUCUGAGCUGUCAGCACAGAGCCCGAGGCGGGGCUCGGGCNNNNNNNNNNNNNACGAACCGCGAGAUCAUGACCUGAGCCAAAAUCGGUCACUUAACUGACUGAGCCACCCAGGCACCCUCCCCUCUUUCAAUACAGAUCACCAUGAGACCUGUGACUUUCAUCUUAACACACUUACAAGGAUAUCAAAAGAAUGGACAUACCGAAUUUUGUCAACAAUGUGCCAAACUCCCGGACUCCGUAUAAUUCACUUUCGACAUGCUCACAUUUCUUUUCCUUGCUGUACAUCCCCAGGAAGAGGAAACACGAAUGCCUCCUUGAGGCAAACAUGCUGGAGGUGAUCUCAUCACAUAUCAAUGUCAUAAUAGUCAAUGGAGUGGAAUCAUAAGAGAAAGGAAGAACAUACAGUAAAUUUACUUCUUGUUUACUGCCUAAUUAUCUUUAAACCUAUUUAUAUUUUUAAGGAGGAAUAACUAAAACCAGAACCAUACAUACUGGAUCUCCAAAUGAAACAAGAAGCUAAACCAUCUGGGAUGGUAGUUGAGCAAUGUCAAUUUACUCUUAAAUUUUGUACAAUUCCGGAGUGCCUGGGUGGCUCAGUCAGUUGAGCGUCUUACUUCCGCUCAGGUCAUGACCUUAGUUUGUGGGUUCGAACUCUGCGUCGGGCUCUGUGCUGACAGCUCAGAGCCCGGAGGCUACUUUGAAUUCUCUGUGCCUCUCCCCCAUUUGUGCUCUCUCUUUCUCUCUCAAAAUAAUAAAUAAACAUUAAAAAAAAAUGUGUACAAUGCCAGUCAAAAUAUAUUUUUUUUGCAGCUGAUUAAUUAUAGUCAGUCCUAACCAGUAGAAAACUCUUUCGGGAUUCCUUUGGAGACUUUUUUGAAAAAUACAUAUUCCUGUGGCCUGCCCCUCACCCCUUUACUUAGAGUCUCUAAGCGUGGUACCUAGNGAUCUCACGAACCGCGAGAUCAUGACCUGAGCCAAAAUCGGUCACUUAACUGACUGAGCCACCCAGGCACCCUCCCCUCUUUCAAUACAGAUCACCAUGAGACCUGUGACUUUCAUCUUAACACACUUACAAGGAUAUCAAAAGAAUGGACAUACCGAAUUUUGUCAACAAUGUGCCAAACUCCCGGACUCCGUAUAAUUCACUUUCGACAUGCUCACAUUUCUUUUCCUUGCUGUACAUCCCCAGGAAGAGGAAACACGAAUGCCUCCUUGAGGCAAACAUGCUGGAGGUGAUCUCAUCACAUAUCAAUGUCAUAAUAGUCAAUGGAGUGGAAUCAUAAGAGAAAGGAAGAACAUACAGUAAAUUUACUUCUUGUUUACUGCCUAAUUAUCUUUAAACCUAUUUAUAUUUUUAAGGAGGAAUAACUAAAACCAGAACCAUACAUACUGGAUCUCCAAAUGAAACAAGAAGCUAAACCAUCUGGGAUGGUAGUUGAGCAAUGUCAAUUUACUCUUAAAUUUUGUACAAUUCCGGAGUGCCUGGGUGGCUCAGUCAGUUGAGCGUCUUACUUCCGCUCAGGUCAUGACCUUAGUUUGUGGGUUCGAACUCUGCGUCGGGCUCUGUGCUGACAGCUCAGAGCCCGGAGGCUACUUUGAAUUCUCUGUGCCUCUCCCCCAUUUGUGCUCUCUCUUUCUCUCUCAAAAUAAUAAAUAAACAUUAAAAAAAAAUGUGUACAAUGCCAGUCAAAAUAUAUUUUUUUUGCAGCUGAUUAAUUAUAGUCAGUCCUAACCAGUAGAAAACUCUUUCGGGAUUCCUUUGGAGACUUUUUUGAAAAAUACAUAUUCCUGUGGCCUGCCCCUCACCCCUUUACUUAGAGUCUCUAAGCGUGGUACCUAGAAAUCUUCCCUUUUCGAGGAAUUUCUUCUUCGGAGUGCCAGGGUGGCUCAAUUGAUUAAGCAUCUGACUCUUGAUUUCAGCUCUGGUCAUGAUCUCAUGAUUUGCACUGAUAGUGCAGAGCCUGCUUGGGAUUCUCUCUCUCCCUGUUGCUCUGCCCCUCCCCAGUUCAGGCUCUCUCCCUCUGUCUCUCAAAAUAAAUAAAUAAACUUUGAAAAAGAAAAGAAAGAGAGGGAGGGAGGGAGGAAGCAAGCAAACAAUGUCUUCUUGAAAAGGAAUUUUGAUGAUUUCAUCAGGGUAGGGAACCAGUGGCAUGCAAUCUUGGGUGGUAAGUGAAAACUACUUAAAUAUCAAAAAGCUUUUAAAAUAUAUGUAACCCUUUUUAAAAUUCGCUGAUUUUUUUUUCUUAGUCGUGAACCCAAGUUUUACAAACACGAUGGUUGGCUUUACCCUCUGGGUGUCCCUUCUGGCUCCCAUGAGGAAUUGAAAGCUACCAAAACCCUAAUGCAGUCUUCAUUCAAAAAAUAUUUUCAUGACAUCAGAAAGCAAUAGACCACCAGUCACUUGUCCAAGAACCCUCUUUGUCUGUAAAUAUUUACUCCACGGUGUCACCUGCCCUUGCCGGUCCCCUCUCUUCUUUAGCUCACUGCCAUUUGACUUCUCCUCCUUCAUUAUCUAGAAACAUUGGUCUUAAAGGUUUUCAGUGAACCCUUCUCUUUUUAAACCUAUUUUUCUCCAGCUUUUCUACCUGAAAACUUUUCAGAAGUUGAGGCCAUAGUUACCUAUUUUUUUGACAUUGCCAUCAGUCAGAUCUGUGAAUCCUUGUAUUUUUCCACUUUCUCCGGUUGGUUCCUGGAUUUUGGCUGGAGUCUUCUUUUCCACCUCCUGCCCUCCUAAAAUAGUUAUCCCCUAAGACUGAGUCUGCCUCUCCUGUCUUACAUGCUUUUCUUCCUAUUCUACGUGCUCUAUUCACAUAACUCUCAUGGCUGUUGGGCAGGUAGGUCAUCUUUAUAUUUUAAUCUUUAAACUAUCUCUCCAAGGCUUAAUUCUUGUGUUAUUAAUUGUUUAAAUGGCUGAAUGAGUAAAAAUCAGCACUUCUGAAACACAGAACUAUUUACCAUUUUUCUUGAAAUUUACACACACACACACACACACACACACACACGCACACAUUUUCUUUUCCUUUUUAUCUCAAAGAAAUUGUUAUUCUCCUAGUAACUUGGCCUUAUCAAAAUAUGUGAAUAAUCUCCUUUUUCUUUUAUAUCCAGUUAGUUGAGAAGUUGCUGUGUUGAUCUCUGCCUGAGGGACUCACCUGGGCUCCUCCUACCUGUAGCCAUUGAGCCAGGGGCUUAUCGAGCCCCCCUUGACAUUUCCCGUCAGAGCCUGUGUUGGGGUUGCACUGGCCUUGUGGUUCUUCUAAUUUCUAAACACAUCUCAGCAACAAGGUAAGGGAAGUUUGAGGAAGAAGACUUAUUCCUCACAGGUUCUGGAAGGUGGAAGGCACACCUAAGGGCCACACAAUGAGGUCACAGGUAGAGAGAGAGGGAGGGAGCAUGGCCUGAGGCUUGGCCUUUUUUGGAGUCCAAGGGUGGGGUGCCCAUGGUUCAGUAUUGAUAAAUUGAAAACAUAAGAGUGGGAAUUAGAAUGUAGGAAGGGAAGAGUGGGGUCACCCAAGUGGUCAGUUACCUAGGUUCCCCGGGGCUUUCUGGAAGGGGAACUUCAUGCGUGGGAGAGGCCUGGCUCCUUAUCUGGUGGUUUUAUUAGCAUCUCAGUCACACAACAGCCGGUAUGCUGAGUUGAGAUGGGGGUCAUUGAAAAGGAAGCCUCAGCGAUCAAAAGUGUCUUGUCAGGUGCUUGCACUACCAAAGCCUAGUCAGCUGUGUCCUUCAUGAGGCCUUUUGGCAUAUUCAGUCCUUCAUUUUCCACCCCAGCCUCAGCACCUGCAUCAGUCACUGCGUGCCUAGACCCUUGGCAUCAUUCUCCAGAUUCUACCAAGGCCUCAUUCUUUCUCAUGAUCCCCAGUGUGACUGACUCCCAUCGUGACUCUGUUUCACCUCUCUGUAACAGAUUGAUUACCGUUCAACUUUUUGACAUGUCUUCAGUGUGAAUUCAAGCCAUAAAAACGUAGAGCUCCAUGAGGAGACUGAGGCCCAAAAGGGAAAAAUAAUUUUCUCAAAGAAGCAUCGCUUCAUUCUUUGCUUUUGCAUGUGCCACCUUCCAGAAGUAUAGAUGCACCAGGAAGGCUACCUGUCAUGUUCCGUGCUGCAGCCUGUGGACAUUUUCCUGUGUUCCUCUGUACCUGAGUCCCAUGUCUCCCAUGUCUUCCUGGCAAAACUCUACCCCACCUUGCAGGAUCCUACACAGAUCUGCCAUUCCCUUCUCAUGCCUGAUGAGAACAGAACUCAUCCUUCUCUGUGUUCAUGUAGCUUUGUAAUUCUGUCACAAACCCUGUUGUCUUCCUCCCACAAUAUGCAGUUAGUGUUUUGUGUUGAAUUGCUGUGAAAUUCAACAAUAUGUGCAGACUUGAAGCACCUAAUUUUAUUGGAAGUUUACUGCUACUUAAAAAUGUUAUUCAUUCAUCACUUAAGGAUACACUUUCCAAAUUUAAUUUGGCCUCUGCUUCCUUAGUCCCUUGUUCUUUGUAUCUACUAAGCAUUGCUUACAGAUCUUUUUUCCCAGAAAGACCAUCUCUAUCACAUGAACCUUCUACUCAAAACAUUCAGUGACUCUGCUUUGCUCUCAGGAUAAAGCACAAAUUCCUAAUGACUAGCAUUCAAGACUUUCUCAGUCUGGUUCCAGCCUAGAUUCCUGUAAAUCUGUUCAGUGUUAUCCUCCCCUUGGUGUUACAGUAUAUUAUCUUGAUUCUUGAUUCUGAGCCUUUUUUCUUAUUGUCCACCCCCCAAUCCCUGAACCACUUCCCUCUUCUUAUUUUAUGAAUUACAUUGAGAAUUUAAGAUCUAGCAUUUUCUUCCUUUUUAGUUUAUUCUUUAUGAAUCUACGCCUUUCCCAUGGCGCCGUAAGACUCACUGCCAAUAACGCUGAGCACCACAUUAGAAGAUGGGUGGAUGGAUGGAUGGAUGGAUGGAUGGAUAGGUAGAUAGAUAGAUAAAUAGAUACACACAAUAUACACAUUGUAUGCAUAUAUGUAACUUUCUGUUAUUUUCCCAACAUGAUUAUCUUUUUGCCGAAAACACCGUGUAACCUUCCCAAAGGCAAGGAUGAUGACUUACACUCCUUUAUAUCCCACAGAGACACUAGAUCCCUAGUGUAUCAUACUCUCUACUUGAGUUUUUUUGGAAUAAUUAAAUCUAGAACAUAUUGAAAAAGAAACACAUGUAAUGUCUCUAUUCUAAAACUUUUCUGACCUUUGUUCUAUAUAGUCACACUCUUUCUAUUGGACUCCUUUAAGCUCCUAUUACUAAGACAAAACAUUUUUCAAGCAGAUAAAGUCAAUUUCUAAAAAAAAAAUGGUGUCCACAGGAAAAUUAAAGCUCCAAAAUAGUGAGAUUAUGCAUUACUUCUAUGCAACUUGCACUCUUAAAUAUCCUGGUGCUUGAUUGUUCUAGUUCAACAAUAAGAACAAUUCCCAGUUCAUCCAUAAUGUGUUGGCUUCUGGAAAACAGAAUUCUAAUUUAUCACAUCAGAGUGUGAUUGCAGAAGCUUAUGUUCUUUGCUGGUAAUUAGUACAUGUUUUUUGUGUCCAUUCUUGCUCAUUAGUAAAACAGUUUGGGGUCUUAUUCACAGAAAGAACGGGUAGUUCUAGAGAUAAUCAGAUCAAGCAGGAAGUGCCAUAUUCCAUUUUAUACAACACUGAGAAACUGAAAGGGACAUUAAUUUCUCUAAAGGGCAUCCCUGCCUACAUAGCUGAACACCACCUUCUACAUCGUUCAUCAAUUUCUAUUCUGACUGACCUCAUCCUGAGCUUCAAUCUCCCUGGAAAAUUCAGGAGGCUCUGUCAGCAUGGAGCCUGUUCACGCUCCUGUUAGUCAGGAAGGGGCUCAGCACUUCCGGACCCAAACCCCACUCAUGUGACUGCGAGCCUGCAGCCAGCUUUCCCCGAAGUUAGCAAGCAUUCUAACGCCUUAAAAGGGAAAAGUAAGAUGAAAACAGUGAAGGCCAAUUUCCAUUCCCUUUAACAAAAAUUCUUUGCACCGGCUCUUUCUUGAUGUUCGUUGUGUUAAAUUGGUGUCUUGGUUCUGUUUGUUUCGAUCAACUGGUGAAAGCAGACUCAUUAUUCCCCUUCAUUUAACAAAGUGGGUGUUUCUCUGCACCUUGCUUAGUUUAUUCCUAAAAGGACCUCUCUUCUGCAGGCCAGGCUUUACUGAAAUUCAUUACUGUUUAAUACAAAGAACCAGACUCUGACUUAACCAAUUUCUCCUCAAAUUAUUCAGAACCUCACGUGUACAUGUGACACACGUUGAUUCUCAUCUGAGAGCUGUGGUCGACUAAGCUAUGAAAGGAGAUAAGGAAAGGACAGUAAAGAGGAUGUGAGAAAGACCCAGAAGGACUUCACCACAUAAUCCAAGAAGAAGAAUGUGGAGAGGAGGGCAUUAAAACAUACAUCUAAUGCCACCUGCUAUAUCGAUGAUACUCUUUUAAAGAAAUGCAGUCCUCUAGAUGUUUAAAACAUUUUAAAUAAAAAAAAAACUACAGGCUUACUCAAAAGCAGGCAGAACAUAACCAACCACCUGUACUCACAGCCUAGCUUCAGUAAUUAGCGGCACAUGGCCAGCUUGUUUCUUGUAGAUGGCCCUCUUUUCCCACAAACACUGGAUUUAUUUAUUUAUUUACUUAUUUAUUUAUUUAGAGAGGGGCAAAGGGAGAGAGAGAGAAUCUUAAGCAAGCUCCAUGCUCAGCACAGAGUCUGACGCAGGGCUCGAUCCCAUGAUCCUGGGAUCGUGACCUGAGCCAAAAUCAAGAGUGAGACACGCAACUGACUAAGCCACCGUAGCUCCCAGCACUGGAUUACGUUAAAAGAAAUGCGAGAUAUGCAUAUUUCCAAGUGUCUCUAAAUUGAUAUUUUAAUAUUAAAAAUUAAUUUUAAAAAUAAAAUAUUUAAUUUUUAAGAGAUCAUCUCUGAUAUUAUAUAAGAAUUAAGAAGCCAGUUAAGGUUCUGUUUAAUGAACUAUAGUCAGGUAUAAUGUAUAUACAAUACUAAGCACCCAUUUAAAUGUAUAUUUGGAUGAGGUGAAACACAUUCAUCUAACCAUGUUAUUACCAGUAAAUCAAAUCUUAACAGUGCACUUCCGUCACCACACCUUGUUCCUUUUAUGCCCCUUCUUUGUCUCUUGACACACGCCCUCAGCCCACCUUAAGCCCCAGGUGAUCACUGCUGUGCUUUCUGCUUUCUAGAUUUCCUUUUUCUAGAGUUUUCUAACAAUGGAAUCCUAUGAGGGGUGCCUGGAUGGCUCAGUUGGUUGAGCGUCUGACUGUAGCUCAGGUCAUGAUCUCACGGUUCGUGAGUUCGAGCCCCACAUUGGGCUCUGUGCUGACAGCUCGGAGCCUGGAGCCUGCUUCGGAUUCUGGGUCUCCCUCUCUCUCUCUGCCCCUUCCCCACUCAUGCAGUCUCUCUCUGUCUCUCAAAGAUUAAUAAGCAUUAAAAAUUUUUUUUAAUGGAGUCCUACGAUAUAUAUUUUUGUGCCUGGCUUCUAUUGCUUAGCAUAAUAUUUUUGAAGUUUCUGCAUAGUAUUGUGAAUAUGAGCAGUUCAUUCCUUUCAUUACAUUUUUUAUUCCAUUGUAUGAAGGUAUCUAGAUUUGCUCCUCUGUGUCCUCUGAUGGACAUCUGCUUUCUCAGUUUGAUAUAAUUGUGAAUGAAGUUACUCUGAACAUGGGUGUAAAAGUCUCCGUAUUGAUACAUGUUUUUAUCUCUCUUGGGAAACUAACUAGGAGUUUAAUUGCACAGCCUUGUACUAAACAUGUUUAACUAUACAGUAAACUGCAAACCUGUUUUCCAAAGUGGUCAUAUCACCUUACAUUCCCAUCAGCAGUGUAUGGAGACAGGAGUGGCUUCCUGUCCUGUCUGGCCAGCACGAAUAUAGUCAGUCGUUUUAAUGUGAGCCAUUCUUGUGGGGGCUUGGUGGCUUCUCACGGAGGUUUUAUUUUGCGUGUCCUGAUUACUAAUGGUGUUGAGCAUCUCACUCGUCGCCUUACCGGACUCCUCAAACUCGGGUCGUCACUUUUUCAAUUCAGUGAGGCAGCUGUGCUCUGCCCACUUCCUCUGUCCACUUUCCAGAAAUCUUUUCCAAACAGGGAGCCCAGAUGUUGUCUUCCCUCAUUGGUUUCCCUUCCCUCAGUCAUCACAGUCCUGUAUACCUGUUGUCCGGUUCCUGAAAACAGUUAUUUCGUUUGUUUUGCACAGUCUUCUAAGGUUCUUUUUUGGGGGGCAAGGGGGAAGGCCGGUGCCGUGUGCAAACGAUUUAGGUUACUCUCCAUCCUCGUUACUCUGUCAUGGUUAUAAAUAGAAGUUCAGGUUAUUUUCGGCAAUUUUCUAUAUUCUUUGUUUUAGUUUAUCAAGGGCCAAGCCCAGAAAACUCAAGUCAUAUUGUAUGGGAAAAAAAAAAAAACAAACCAAAAACCCUUCAACUUAUCACUUCUGGGCUCACUGUCUGAUGGUAAAAGAAUAUGACACCAAGAAGGAGAAAGGAAAGCGUGCCCCUUUGCUGAGCCUGAGGAACUCUGCCAAGCAGGAAUGACAGUGGCAGGGAGGAAAGUAAAGCUGUAGAAUGUGUGCCUGCCAACUUUCUCUCUUGGGGUUUUAGCCCAGAAAAAGAGAGGUGUGUCAGUGAGAACGAGGUGUGCACAAGACGGGAGCUUUUUCACGCGCGGCCCCAUGCAGCAGCAUAGUGAACUCAGCAGUUCAGCCUGCUAGGUCACAGGGAGGCCUUGGAACUUAGGUUCCCGUGUGGCACAGAAAGGACCCCGAGAUAGCCGGAGAACCUGUCACUGGGGCUGGGGUUCCAUCACGUGGGUGAGGGUGCUUCUGACCUGAGGGCCGCAGCACUCGAGGGCUGAGUUUGCAUCACAGCCACACCCUAGAAAAGGCUUCAUCGUCAGCGGGAGGCAGGAUGAGUUAAAUAGAGACGUCUACCCACCGUAGCAGGGCAAGAAAAAGCAGAUGGCAUACCUACCAGUGGUGAAUUGAACUGUAAAGUCCGCAAAGCCGGGAGCACUCAGAUGGAUAAGGAGCCCCGUCCCGUAGGUCAGAACAGAUAAGAGAAGUCAUGUCUGGAGACAGAGACCCUUUUUUCUGUUCCUAGAUUUAUUCUUUUGCUGUUGUUCUUUUUAAAGUAAUCUCUACGCCCAAUAUGGGGCUUAAGAACCCUGAGAUCUUGAGUUGAGUUUUGGGAACUCAAAACCCUGAGAUCAAGAGUUGCCUGCUGUACCAACUAAGCCAGUCAGGUGCCCCUGUUCCUAAAUUUAUUGAAGGCACACCUCUUUCCACUCUGCAUAACACACACACACACACACACACACACACACACACACACAUUUUAGAAAAGAAAUAGAGGAAGUUGACGGAGAUGCUAACUUGUCCAAAAAAGAUUAACGGUACCUGAAUUACACUUAAUUUUGUGUUUCUUUUUAUACACAAAUGCAUAAAUACAAUACAGGCAGAGGGGCAGGGAUGCGGUUUGUGAAUUUCUAAUGAUCUGUAAGAUUUAUACACUUAGGAAGUGCCUUUGCUUUCCAAGAACUGUUGACAUGAGAUGGGUAAUAGUUUCUCUGCAUUCAUCUCUAGAAGACAAGGAGUGUGUUGGAGCAGCAAAUGCCAUGACUUUACUGCCUAGAACCGAGAAUGAGACCAAGAACGGACAGGGGUGAAUAUGACACCAUCUAAGCACUUGCUUGCUCAUCCUUAGUCUUACACGAGGCAGAAGCAAGCACCAAGACUUGCUCUUGUUUCUUCAAAUGCUCCUUCUUCUUGCCCAGCCAAAGACAAAAUGUCUUCCCAAAGAUGGAGGAGACCUUGCUGGGGCCAAGGGUGAUGUCUUAGAGCAGAAGAUGAAGCAGUGGGAGAAUUCUCCAGCCCACCUACUUUCCCUAGAACAUGGGAUGGAGGGAAUGUGAGAAGAUGAAAGCAUAAUACAUAGUGGGAAAGACUACUGAUCGUAGAUCCAUUUCAGAUCACAUACAUUAGCAAUUAUGUCAACAAAUCUUGUAAUCUCAUCUUAAUUUCCAAUGGCUGCCAUAAUACUAAAAACAUUUGUUUACACCAUUAUGUUAAAAUAUGUGCAUUUUGUCCCAGCAUCGUACAAACCGUGCCUCCUUCUCUCUUCCUCCACUAUCAAAUAGUUAAUUAUGUAACAAAAUAAUAUUGUGUAUGUGGAAAUCAUUUAACCAUAUAAACACGUACUCCAACUGUAUUGUGUUUGUGGGUCUAUAUUUUAAUUCAAUGGAUACUUUAAAUGAGUACAGUUUUAAAUUAUAUGGUACGAAGGGGAUUAGGAUUUCUUAAAUGUAUUCAUCCCUACUCUACCCCUAGCACAACUAUUUUCUUUUUCUGGUCACCAGCUAGUAUUUACUCACAUAUGUAGUUUGUUCCUACUUAUAAUCAGAACAUGCAAUUUUAUAUAUAGCUGUCUUUAUCACUCUCCAUAUUGCAACUUAAUGGAGUUAAUCUAGCAACAUUUUCUUAGAAUCUCCCCUGUUGGACACACAGAUUGUUUCCAUUAUUCACUAUAAUGAAUAAGGCUGCAAUAAACAUUUUCCUAAGUAUGCCAUUUUCUAAUUUUGAAUUAUUCCCUUGGGAUAAUUUGUAAGAUUAAUAGUCCAAAGAUAUGAAUGUAUUUAGGGACUCUUAAUAUAGAUAUGGAUCAGAUGGGGGGGGGUCCAUGGGCUAUAUAUAUGUAUAGUACCACCAGAACUAUAUGAAUUUAUCAAUUGUUUUCCCAGUAACCUCAUCUGCAUUUAUAUUUUCUUGCUUAUAAUUUUAACUAACAUAAUAUGUGUCACUUUUUAAAUUUAUUUGUAUUUCUUUAAUUGCCAUUCAGAUUUUGAAAGUUUACAUAUUGCUUUACACAUGCCUUACUAUUAGUGAGCUUAAUCAGGGAAAUCACUGAAGUAUCAUUCAAGCAUAGGUUCAAGUUCCAACUCUGAAUUAGCCUCUCAAAAAAAAAUAAUAAUUUCUUCAGUUACGACUUAGUGACAACGAGGCCUGCGUUACAAAGUUGUUGAAACGAUUGGAUGAAUUAAUCAAUGCCUCAUGAGUUAGCAGCACAUGGGGAAUUGUUACUUCUCUCUCUGUCUCUGCCUCCCUCAUCUCAUCUACCAACCCUCGUGCCCCUGACUUCCUCUCGCAUGGAUUAUGCACUCACGCUCUCUUGGUACAUAGUUUUAUAGGACCCGCCUUGUCCUUCCAGAGUUUACAUCCAUGGGAGCUCUUUGUCAGCGUUCUCUAGAGAACCGAUCUCUGACUUGCCAGCAAGUGCUGACUUAUAUUGCACAUCGCUGAAGUCAGAUCUGUUGGACCACGUGUGAACUCACUUGAGUGUUCACACAAACAUGUGGGUAAUACACUCGGUAUGAAUGUCUUUCUAUAAAUUACUCACUUUAGGAUUCUGUGUAUAGUCCAGUUUCUCUUUUUAAAUGUCUCUUCUCUGAGUUUCCUUCCACUAGUCUUUUCAGAGAUAUUUUUAUUUGUUUAUUUGCCUCUUUGUGCUGGUUUCGGGUAAUACUUUAUCUUAAUCUUCCACUUAUUGUGUCCCACCUGAGAACAAGCGUCCUUCUUCUGGUAGCAAGUGCAGUUGGUCAAACAGUCGUAAGACAAGACGAUCGCUAGACGUUGCAUUCUAGAUGAUACUGUCAUCUGGAUUUUGUCCAUCUUACAUCUAGUGUGUUUUCCAGGCAUUAUCCCCCAGCAGUUGCCUGGAGUUGGUUUCCAUCUUGAGGACCUUUGUGGCAGGAGCUGUCUUUUCAAGCAGUCAUUCUCCCUUAAACCCAAAAUAAUUCCAAAUACAUUAUAAAGUAUGAGAAAGCCUGUGAGCAAGCAUAUGGUUUCUCAAUUGGAAAAGCCUCAAGAUUGUAAAUUCCUGUCCUCUUCCAUGAGGGCAAGGCGGUUUGGGGUCUACCAGAAGAUCUUCCAAUCUCUCACCUUCAUGACAGGAAAUCGAACUGAGUAAGAUGUGUUCUAAGCAGUUCCACUUCGGGAUUUUAAAAAGAGCAAAAGGGGAGGAGGGAGAAGAAGGGAGAAGAGUUCUCUACAGUCUUUUCCAGCCUCAGCAACUGUAUUUCUCAUCCUCUAGAGAAUGCCACGGGCUCCUUUCGAUUUUUUAUUUCUUACAUAAGCCUUCUCUUUAUGUGUCACAGGCAAGGCUUCAUUUUUGCAUUGCUAAACCUGCUUUCCUGCAUCUCUGUGCCCACUCUCCCCAUUUUUAGAUGUUACACAUGAUGCUGGCCUCUUUUCCUAUCUGAGCAGAUGCAACAAUUCUACCUUCUUACCCACAUCCAAGCUCUUCAUCCGCACACUGCACCAGCAAGUGUUCAAGUACUGAUGAUUUCCACCAAGCCUGAGAGAGGCUCCUGUGUAAUAGUUAAAUCAACAAAGGGAAUUCAAGGAUCACAGCUGGGUUUAGACACAAAGACCGGUUUUUCCAUUGCUGGUGAGUGGUACACAGCAGCCACCAUGCCCGCAAUAUGCCUGCGCAGAGACAUCUAGCACUGAAAUGUCCAAACUCACAAGGUGAACGAAACGUGCACUUACAAUCACGGUAUUGUUUCUCUGCCCCACACUUGCAUUCAUGAAGCUGGGACCAGAAAGGGCGAUAUUAGAAACAGUGUACUUGUGCCCAGAGCCCAACUUGCACACAGCAAGAAAGCUGUUGACAUGAAACAGGACAGUGACUGUAAUGGCAACACCACGUUCAUCGCUGUAUCGCACGCGCUUCUUCAUGAACCCUGGCAUCCUGAGCCUCUCCCUGCGGCUGACGGAGGACUGGCCCCAGCUUGAACCUCAGUCUGCAUGACUCACUUUGUGGUUUGAUCAAGUCCCCUUAGCCACAGUUUCCCCUACACAGUGCAGGUAAGGUCACACUGUCCUGCAAAGAGUUCAUUAAGCUAGAAGGAGAUAAUGUGCAUACAGGAUUUUGGAACAGGGUUCAAAUUCUCUACAAUUACCAGGGUAGUUGUUUUUGUUAGCGCCGUUAGGCUGAUUUACAGUAAUUUAAAUCUGAAAAAAGAUGUUCUGCCAUUUGUUUGUGUAUGUUCCACUUUCCUCACCCUGUUGUGCACCAAUUAAGGCGGCUUUCAGAACAUGCCGUUCUCCCUCACAGAUUCCUGCGUUUGAAUAUGCCGCUUGAAUAUCCUUCUCCUCCCCUCCACCCCCAUGUCCCUUUGUCUGUCUGCCACUUUCCUACUCAGCAUUCAAGACUCAGCUUAAAGACCUCCUGACUGGUGAUGCCCACCUCUGUACCCUCUCUGUACCACAGUCGGGCAAUUACUUGCCUGUAUUGGGAUGAUCUGUGUCCAGUGUGGUCUCUUCCAUUUGACUGGACCAAGCUUGUCGAAGGCAGAACCAAGUCUUACUCAGUUUUCACCCCAAUACCUGGUUCAUGUUAUUCACUCAGUAAAUGUUGAUCAAAAUGGUGAGUGAAGGUCAAAUACUUGGUGCCAUGAAAUCAAUUGUAUUAAUCAGGUGAGCGAUUCUUUGCUUCUUUGCUAUAAAUUUAUGAAGGAAACUCAUCACUCAGCUUUCUAUAAGUGGUAUACAUAUAUAUUCAUUUUGUGUACAUAUUAAAGGGGAAAGCUAAUAAAAUACUCCCGGGGCUCCUGGGUGUCUCAGUCGACUCUUGAUUCCACCUCCAGUCAUGAUCUCACAGUUUGAGAGUUUGAGCCCCACAUCGGGCUCCACAAGGUGGAGCCUGCUUGGGAUUCUCUCUCCCUCUCUCUCUCUCUCUCUCUGCCCCUCCUCCUCUGCUCAUGCAUUCUCUCUCUCUCAAAAAAAAAAAAAAAACUUUAAAAAAUACUCCCAAUUAUUUGAAGUUUCAAACCGAGGACAUGUGACCAUAUGACAGAGACCAUAAGACGUGAUGUUUAUGUGGAGAGGUAAGUUAUACAAAUUCAUUGUUUCCCCAGUAGCUGCCAUGAAUCACUCAUUCAGCAGGACACCAACACAUAUUAUAGAAGAAUAGAGUUUCUUGAUGAACAUUUGGAAAAUUCUGGGAAAAUCUUUAUUUAUAAAAUUUAUCAUUUAAUUACAAUGUCAUCUCUGGAGGAGUAGGAGAAGGCUGGUCAAAAAGUAACAACCUUCCAGUUAUAAGAUACAAAAAUACUAGGGAUAUAAUAUACAGCAUGAUGACUAUGGAUAAUAUUGCCAUAUGACAUAUAUGAAAACAGUUAAGAGAAUAAAUUCUGAGAGCUCUCAUCACAAGGAGGGAGAAAUUAUUUUUCUUUUCUUUUUUGCUUUGUUUUUAUUGUAUCUAUAUGGGAUGAUGGAUGCUAAUAACUACACUUACAGCAAUAAUGAUUUCACAAUAUAUGUAAAUUAAAUUUAUUAGGCUGUACAUCUGAAACUUACACGGUGAUGUAUGUGAGUUGUAUCUCAACAGGACUGGAAGAAAGUGAAAUGCCAUCUCACAACUUAGCUUUCCGAGUAUCAUUUUGUCUUUUGUUUUGGUUUAGAUUAACUUCCUCUUUCAUUAUUUUGUUCGAUUUUCAGCUUUCGUGGUAACAUGGCCCCUGUUUUCCUUCUACAAGAGAAAUUCAGCACACAGCAGAGUCCUUGAUAAAUUGGAU